GAACCUCGGGACAUAAACCUCGUCGUUCUCAAGUGAUUGAGUGUUGGCGUGGUGACGUCUGUGGCUAAUUUUCCAAGAGAAAUAUGGAACCAUGAGAGAAGAGUGGACAAUAAGGCCAACAAGGUCAUUCACCCAACCAUAAUCACUGAAGGCGUCGUGAUCACAUUCGUGACCCACCACCCAAGCUCCCGUCAAGACACACCCCUGGACAGCAAUGUAAGCAGCCCAACCGACGUAAUUCAGAGGAUAUGGAAGAUACUGCUCUAUGUAAUUAGUGGCAAUAUAGUAGAGGGCAUAGGCCAUGAGGAGAUCUUGAAUGAGGUAUCGAAAAGAAGUGACAAGUGACUUUUCAAAGCAAUGAGCAGGAAUGGCUUUCUUAAGGUCACCAAUGGUGAAUGGAGGUUUCUCAUGAGGGGCACGUCGAAGUGCUUCUGUUUGAGUUUUCUUGGCAUUAGGAGCAGACAUGCGUCCACCUGCACCCAUCUUUCCCUGGUGAAGAAUGCAAAUAUUGCUACUCUUCAACCUUGUUGCCUUUGUUAUGUGUUUAGUUGUUUCGUUGUUGUUAUUACCUCAGACCAGCUUGGAUAUUUAUAAGGAUGUCGAAAUUAGAAAUGAGUUAAAGUCCUUAAGGCCCGCCAGCCAGGGGAGGAGUUUGAACUUUGAAUAGAAAGAGUAGGAAAUUAAGUGGCGUGCUCGUGUACAAUUAUUAGUGUCACUACUGAAAUGUGCAGUCAUAAAAUGAGUGCUGCACCAAAAUUUUCUCUUAAAUUCCAGGUCCUGCUUGGCGGCUAUACUAUCUUCAUCAACUUAUUGUUGUCUUGUUAUGCUCUUUUAACAUGCAUAUCUUUUGAUAUCUUCUUUCUCAUAUUAUGCAUUUGCUAAGCUUACUCUAAUACCAAAUAAAGUAGCUGACAUGAUGAAAAAGCAAAUUAACACACCUAAUUUAUGUCUCAUCCGAAAACAGGCUCUUUGGGGGAAUUAUUCUUUAUCUAAUAAAUGAGGUAAAAUGAUUAAUAUUCGAUAAAAUGAGUAGUGAAUGAAAUAUUCCUGUUCCAUCUUUACAAUCAAUCAUCUUCAGUUCCUCAAGUUUACGCUUAAGUGGAAGUUAUUUCUAUUUACUUCCUCCGGAUUUACAGUUAGUCCCAAGAAAAGUGUGGCAGCUGGGCAUUAGUUCUAGCAUGCAGGUUCCAGGUUACGAGAUCAUUUAUCAUCAAAUUGCAGAGGCAUACUUAGCCAAGUUAAAUUAAUGUUGGAAACUGGGAUCAGAACUUUAAUUUAAGCUGCUUGAUGUUCCUUUUUCAGUUCACUCACUACUAGGGAUGGCAACGGGUCGGGUUUCAUGAGAUCUAGACCCGAUCCAUUAUAUUUCGGUUCGGGUCCGGGUCUGAAAAAUGAAGAUCCAGAUCCGAUCCGUCGGAUUUUUUCGGGUUUCGGUUCGGGUUCGGGUCUAAUUCGGAUAUUUAAAAAAAAUUAAAAAUUAUAUAUCUAUAAAAAAUGUGAUGGCUUAUUUUAAAAAAAAAUUAGGAAUAUAAAAAAGGACUUUACAUGUUUCAUUUAGUACAAUAAACACGUGAAACAUGCUAACUUAAUUAUAUACAAUCAUUCAACUUAUCAUUUAUAUUUUAUUAUAUUUAGAUUUUUUAAUGCACAAUAAUUGAGAAAAUUAAAAUAUUGAUGAAAUUAAUAUAUAAAUUAUGUAUUGCGCAUAUAAUAUUAAGUAAGAUGUUAAUACGCAUACAUAAUAAUUCAUAAUAUUUCAUAUAUAUACUUUACAUUUAACAAAUAAUAUAUAUAUAUAUAUAUAUAUAUAUAUAUAUAUAUAUAUAUAUAUAUAUUAUAUUUGUAUGUGGUUUUUAUUAAGAUCCAGAUCCAGAUCCAAACUUUUUCGGGUCUAAAAAUAAGAUCCAAAUCCGGAUCCAGAUCCACAAAAAUCGGGUUCGGAUAGAUCCAAUCGGGUCGGAACGGGUCGGGUAUCCAUCGGGUCGGGUAAAACUGCCAUCCCUACUCACUACUAUUGAAGUGAUAGUUUAUACUCCCUCCGUCUCAAUUUAUAAGUCCAGUUUGGAAAAAAAAAUUGUCCCAAAAUACUUGUCCCUCUCUUCUUUCAAUACAAAUUUAUCUACAUAUUAAUUGUGAUUUUUUUUGAAACUCAACAAUAUUCUCACUUAUCAAUGCACUAAUUAAUGAUACAUGAGAUAAGAUUCUAUCUAACUAACUUUUUUCUUAAUAUGUGUGUUUAUUCCAAAAUCGACUUAUAAAUUGAGACGGAGGGAGUAUUGAACUUCAUUUCAUGACAUUUUAUAACACUGGAAGUUGCUUCAUCACUUGUAUUGUGUACAAAUAAAAACACACAAAGCACUCAUAUUAAUCUGAGCUUAUACUGUGAUUAAUUUUGCAUUCAUCUUACUGAAUACAAUCUUAGUUUCAAUUUGCCAAAAGCCUCGAGGAACACAUCAAAUGGCUCAAUUCAGACCAAGUAUGCUAUGAAGAUUAAGACGACGCUGUCUGUAAAUAUUGUGCAACCAUGUAAACAUUCUGCCAGGACUGUUUCAAAUUGUUGUGUUUGCAAUAUAUGGGUAAAUCUGGGUAACUCAUAACUGUAAUGUCCAAGAUUUAAAUUACGACCUCUCCUAUUGCUACGUACAAUUAAAUAUGAGUUUCUGACUCAUAAACUGAAACAAGCUGCAAAACAGAAUUAUUUCCCAGUUACUUAAGCUUCUUCUUCUUCUACUUUAGUAGCAUAAAAAUCAAAUUGUUUGAUAUUACAAAAAUUCUGAAAAUUCUGUGUAUUGCAUUGAAAAUUUGUUUUCAACUACUUACCUUAUUGUACAACAUCACAUUAAACAAUCUAAAGUUACUAGGAUUCUAGGAAUAAAAGAAGACAAUGCAGAAAUAAGUGAAAGAAUUAAAUCGAGGUAGUCUCUAACACAUUGAGCUAAAUAUCCUUUCUGUACCAGUAGACUCCUUUGGUCUCGCCUUCAUCCUUCUCCACGUAAAUGCAUUCCUUCAUUUCUCUGUACAUGGCCUUAAGUAUUGGAGUUCCAUCAUACUGAUAAUAAUCGCCCAACACUGGCUUCAUGGCCUCUGUUGCUUCAAGUCCGUGGUAAUGUGGGAUCAUGGAGAAUAUGUGGUGACAGACAUGAGCAUUGCACACAUUGUGGAAUACCUUGUUCAAAAUUCCAUAAUCUCUGUCCACAGUGCAGAGAGCUCCCCUCAACCAAUCCCAUUCGGUUGAAUCGUAGUAAGGCACUGAGGGAUGAGUAUGGUUAAGGAUGGUGAUCAAUGUGAACCAUCCAUUGACAACAAGCAAUGGACCUCCAUAGACACAGAAAACCCAGACAAAUCCUUUGGCUAAUACUAGAUUGUACAGCCCAUAGAUAACAGCAAGAAUGGCAAGAUCAGACACAAUGAUCUGCUUGCGCUCACGUUCUGUGUAAAGAGGGCUGUGGGGAUCAUAAUGUGAAGUCCACCUCUCAUACUUGUGUCCAGAAACAUUGAACAUCAAAUAUAGAGGGAAACCUAUGAGAAGUGUGGUAACCCAGACAAGGACACGACCGGGUGGGUUGUUGAGAAUUUUGUAGUAGUUCCUGAUGUUGGACUUGAAUCUGGGAACGUAAACUUCAUCAUUCUCAAGCGACUGAGUGUUGGCGUGGUGACGUCUGUGGCUAAUUUUCCAAGAGAAAUAAGGGACCAUGAGAGAAGAGUGGACAAUAAGGCCAACAAGGUCAUUGAUCCAGCCAUAGUCACUGAAGGCAUCAUGAUCACACUCAUGGCCUACAACCCAAGCCCCGGUGAGGACACAGCCCUGUACAGCAAUGUAAACUGCCCAACCCAAGUAGUUGAUUGGAUGGGGUAAAUACUGGUCUAUGUAAUUUGUGGCAACAUAGUAAAGGGCAUAGGCCAUGAGGAGAUCUUGAAUAAGAUAUCGGAAAGAAGUGAUGAGUGAUUUUUCGAAGCAAUGAGCAGGAAUGGCUUUCUUGAGGUCACCUAUGGUGAAAGGGGGUUUCUCAUGAGGAGCACGUCGAAGUGCUUCUGUUUCAGUUUUUUUGCCUUUAGGAGGAUCCGACAUUCGCCCACCUGCACCCAUUGCCCCUCACAAAAGAAGAUGCAAAUGUUGCUACUCUUCAAGUCACUCUUGGUUUUUGUUGUGUGUUUAGCUGAAGUUGCUCUGUAUUUCCUUAGAACGGGCUCGCUUGUAGAUUUAUAGGAAUGUAUGAUAUCAACAUGUGCGUAGAUAGAAGUGUGGUGAAGCUUAAAGCGCCCGCCAGCCCGCCAGGCAAGGAAAAGUUUGAAUAAACAACUUUGAAUUUGUUAGUGUGUUGGAAUAAAAGAGUAGGAAAUUGCACUAGUUCAGUCGUUUUCAAUGUGUGUUUUAGAGAAGUAUGCCCACAUGAACUGAUUGAGUCGCUAUGUUUUCUCUACGUUUCAAGGUCUCCCUGGGCGGCUGUACUUUCAUAAAUUAUACUCCCUCCGUCCCUCGUGCUAGUUUACGUGCACUGUUUGCACGCAUUUCGAAACUCUUAUAAAGUAUUGUAUUAUAAUUUUUUUUGAAUAAAAGUUUAAACAUCAAACUUUUAUUCAGAGAAAUAAAAAUUAAAAAAUAUAUUAUGAAACUAUACUUUAAAUGAGUGUGGAAAAACGUGCCAAAAAAUAACGUAAAGAAAAUGAGGGGACAGAGCGAGUACUCUUUUAACAUGCAUACUUUUUGUUUUUUUCCCUGAUUUUAUUCGUUUAGUUAUUACAAUAACAGAUACGGUAGCUGACGUUAGCCUAGAAAAUCAUACAUAUCAGAACUGCAAGCAUAUAAUUUGAACUGAUAACGUUUCACUAAUUUAACAUUCAGAACCAGCAGCUUUUUCAUUUUGAUCGAUAGUAGUUUAUGCAUUCGAGUUGAAGAUUGGAAAAUACAAACAAUAGAGAAAUGAUUUUUGAGAGCAACACAAACUUCUGCAUAACAAGUCACUUUCACAAGGAAACUUACAAUGACUCCCCACAAGCUAGACCAAGUGCUUUAAAAAGAGACGAGGCUGAAUUCAAAUCUCAUUUGCAGCUCCUCGUUGUUCACUGGACUGAAGUCGAGUUGUUAACAGUACGUUUUAACUUAUCAGAUACCUAAAUGAUAAGGGGUGAAAUAGAGAUAUACCGUUAAUCAGUAAAAUAUAGCACAGCUAGUUUUUCAAAAGGAACAAUGUUUUGGUUAAGAAACAGAAUCAGAAAAUCCUAUCGUAAAGGCUGAUGCAUUAAUAUGUUGUUAUGUUCAUGCAAAAUAUUACCUUGCUCCUUACAACUAAAAAAAGGAGCUGUCAGACAGACUUCUUGGAUCCAACUGCUGGCGACGAGCUGGCUGUUUAAAACUUCCCUGGCCAUUGAGAGCCACGGACUAGGACCCAUAAUAAAAUCCUUAUUUCCUCUGUUCUUUUCAGUUUAAAAGUUUUUCAUAUCAUAUAGGCAGUUUCGGGCAAUUUAUCAUAGAGGAAGACGCUGCUGUUUACAACGCAUUGAUAAAGAGCGCGGAGCACCCUGUAUGUUUGAGGAGUCUCUGAUUAGGCUUAAAAAGAUUAUUUUUUGUACCAAAGAACUCAUGGUUCAAUGAUAUUUUCCUCGAUCUACUUGCAGGAUAUUGAGGUACCAUUUGAAAGAAAUUAGUUCGUAUGUUAUUCGGCAAUCUCCACAAAGACACAAAAUAUUCAUUUUUACCCUUAAAAUUAAUUUAAACUUGCAUUUUUUUAAUUUGUCUACUAAUUUCAUUCACCAGAACACACUGAUUAGGCAAAAGAUAGCUGAAUCCGGACCAAUUUUUUUUCAUCAAGAUUUAUAUAAAGUUGUCAGUAGCCAAUAAAAAUGAGUGACCUGUGAUCAACUAAAUUAUCUAAAGCUGUCGAGCUGUGAUAUCUUGAUGAUUUCUGGGUCAUCGUAACAUAUCAAAUAAAACGCCUCUCCUCUCUUACGAGUACAAAUCUUGUUUGGUUAUGUUUUUCCCAGACCCAGACUGAGAACUCUGUACUUGAAGAUACCUUUUCUGGUAAAGAAAUGGCAAGUCCCACCGCCCUGAAUCCGUACUCAUCAGCAAAAGGGAACUGAUUCAACAUCGGGUGGUAUGCAGAUAUCAAGACUACUGCAGACAAUUAGCUAGCUUCAUUUACCUGAAUAACCUCAUUCGUUUCAAGUCUUAAACUUGAAACUGAUGACUAAAUAUAUGCCAUUUUUAUAUGAAAUUAUAUUCUUUUGCUCGGCCAUUAAAUUAAACCAAAAGGACAGUCAACAUUAAGAAGGGAGAAUUUAAGCACGACUGCGAAGUGCAUAUAAUCAGAAAGGAAAGUUACUCCUGAUCUUGAACAGAUGAAAGGUUAUAUAUAACUCUUUAUGUAAUUGUAACACAUUUGACCCUAACGAUCUAAAGUUGGCAGGAUCAAUGGAAGGCAAUGCGAAGACAAGUGAAAGAAUAAGAUUCUUGUAAUACCAAGCACUUAAAACUAAAUAUCCUUUUUGUACCAGUAGACUCCUUUGGUCUCGCCUUCAUCUUUCUCCACGUAAAUGCAUUCCUUCAUUUCUCUGUACAUUGCCUUGAGAAUCGGAGUUCCAUCAUACUGAUAAUAUUCACCCAAUACAGGCUUCAUGGCCUCUGUGGCUUCGAGUCCGUGGUAAUGUGGGAUCAUGGAGAAUAUGUGGUGACACACAUGAGCAUUGCACACAUUGUGGAAUACCUUGUUCAAAAUUCCAUAAUCUCUGUCCACAGUGCAGAGAGCUCCCCUCAACCAAUCCCAUUCGGUUGAAUCAUAGUAAGGCACAGAGGGAUGAGUGUGGUUGAGGAUGGUGAUCAAUGUGAACCAUCCGUUGACAACGAGCAACGGACCUCCAUAAACACAGAAAACCCAGACAAAUCCUUUGGCUAAUACUAGAUUGUACAGCCCAUAGAUAACAGCAAGAAUGGCAAGAUCAGACACAAUGAUCUGCUUGCGCUCACGUUCUGUGUAAAGAGGGCUAUGGGGAUCAUAGUGUGAAGUCCACCUCUCAUACUUGUGUCCCGAAACAUUGAACAUCAAGUAUAUUGGGAAGCCUAUGAGGAGUGUGAUAAGCCAGACGAGGACACGGCCUGGUGGAUUGUUGAGAAUUUUGUAGUAGUUCCGGAUGUUGGACUUGAAUCUAGGGACAUACACCUCAUCAUUUUCAAGGGAUUGAGUAUUGGCAUGGUGACGACGGUGACUAAUUUUCCAAGAGAAGUAUGGCACCAAGAGAGAAGAAUGGACAACAAGGCCAACGAGAUCAUUAAUCCAAUUAUAAUUGCUGAAUGCAUCAUGAUCACAUUCAUGACCCACAACCCAGGCCCCUGUUAACACACAGCCUUGAACAGCAAUAUAAGCUGCCCAACCCAAGUAGUUGAUUGGAUAAGGAAGAUAUUGGUCGAUGUAAUUAGUAGCGACAUAGUAGAGGGCAUAGGCCAUCAGAAGAUCCUGAAUGAGAUAUCGAAAAGAAGUGACUAAAGAUUUUUCAAAGCAAUGGGCAGGAAUGGCUUUCUUGAGGUCACCAAUGGUGAAAGGAGGUUUCUCAUGAGGAGCACGUCGAAGUGCCUCUGUUUCAGUUUUUUUGACACUAGAGGGAGCAGACAUACGCCCACCUGCACCCAUUUUUUCUUUCGAAGAAUAUGCAAAUGCUCUUCUUCCUCUCCUUCUGGUGUGUUUUUGCUCUGAAGUUCCUAAGGUUCCAACACAGAUAUUUAUAAAGAUAUCGCAGUUGGAGUCACAGGCUACUUACUUAACAAUGCUGACUCGUGCGUGAAGUUGCAACAUAAUAAUUUGUAACAUGUGCAUGAAUAGAAUGUCUAGACAGAUAAAACUAGUGAAAAAAGCUUAAAACGCCCGCCAGGCGCCAGCCAUUAGAGGAGUUUCAGUAAAAUACUUAAAACUAGUUCGAAAUCAUUGAUGCAAAUGGCGUGCUGAAGUAGAGUGUGCCUUUAGUGUAGGACACAACGAGCAUAUUUGUUUUGCUAUUUUCUAAUUUUCGAGGUCCUAAUUGGCGGCUGUAUGAUUAACUGAUUAAGUAUGUAAGAUGGCUCCGGAUCCAUGACAUACAUAAGAUGAAGCAUAGUAUUAGCGGGUUUUUUUCCGCUAAAUGACAUUAAUUAACACUAGAUUUUUGAUGAAAAUGCAAGGGACUACUGUAUCUUUCGGCGGAAAAAUUACUCAUUCUAUGAUUUUUACCGUCCAGCGUUUUUUUUCCCGCUGAACAUAUGUUGCUUAUAAUUUGUGGACCAUUACCAUGUGAGCUAUAUUGAAGCACAUGUAUAUCUGUUUGCUUGUUUGCCUUUUUGGUUUUCCUGAUAUCCUGUUCUGCAAUUCAUAGCAUUCAUGCACCUAAAGAAACUAAAAUGAGUUCAAAAAUGAGCUGUAUAACAUCUUAAUCUUGUAAGUUGUAAAGGAUGAGCUGAAGAUCUCCACAAACAUCAGUCAGGAAACGUAAAAUCAUCACCGAAAACAACACGACGAAUUCGGAGUACUGGCAAGGAAAACAAACCUUCAUACAGCUGCCACUGGGGACUCGAAAGGUAUAUGUGUUUGCAUGAUUGAACAAAUAUAAGAGCAAAGCAGCAGCCCAUUCAUGACUUGAGGAUUUGGGUCAACACUAAUAGCACACUACUAGCUGCAAAAAUCACACCAACCUUAAAUAAAAUAUCAUUUGCGUUUCCUAUUUCUUUCCACAUACACAUAAAUUAUGACAAAGUAGAAUGCAGUGCUAGGAGUAUAAUAUGUUAUAGCCUAAAUGCAUGCAACAAAGUCCAGACAGCAACUCCAGUGGCGGGCGCUUCAACAUGCUUAUAAAUCAACACAGUUUUGAGGAGUAAUAGCACAAACUCGACAAACACCAGAAGGCAAUAGGAAGAGAGCACAAGAGGCCUUCCCCAAGGAUCUCUUUCAGGUUCUUCUUUCUUUGUUUCUUACUCGAAUCGAUAGAAACAGAAUCACAUUUUGCAGGGCAGCAUGUACUAAAUUGUAUUACAUUUGUUUUUAUUGCAGACAGCGAGGAGACGAAAAAUGGGUGCUGGUGGACGUAUGUCCGCUCCUACUGGAAAGAAAACUGAAGCAGAAGCACUCCGACGUGCUCCUCAUGAGAAACCUCCAUUCACUAUCGGAGACCUGAAAAAGGCUAUUCCUGCCCAUUGCUUUGAAAAAUCAGUCAUCACUUCUUUCCGUUACCUCAUCCAGGAUCUCAUCAUGGCCUAUGCCCUCUACUAUGUUGCCACAAACUAUAUAGACCAGUACUUACCCCAUCCUCUUAACUACUUGGGUUGGGCAGCUUACAUUGCUGUUCAGGGCUGUGUCUUGACCGGGGCUUGGGUUGUAGGCCAUGAAUGUGAUCAUGAUGCCUUCAGUGAUUAUGGUUGGGUCAAUGACCUUGUUGGCCUUGUUGUCCAUUCUUCUCUUCUGGUCCCUUACUUCUCUUGGAAAAUUAGCCACCGUCGUCAUCAUGCCAACACUCAGUCCCUUGAGAAUGAUGAGGUUUAUGUCCCAAGAUUCAAAUCCAACAUCAGGAACUACUACAAAAUCAUGAACAACCCACCCGGUCGUGUCCUUGUCUGGCUUAUCACACUCCUCAUAGGCUUCCCUUUAUACUUGAUGUUCAACGUCUCUGGACACAAGUAUGAGAGGUGGACUUCACACUACGAUCCCCACAGCCCUCUUUACACUGAACGCGAGCGCAAGCAGAUCAUUGUUUCUGAUGUUGCAAUCCUUGCUGUUAUCUAUGGCUUAUACAAUCUAGUACUAGCCAAGGGAUUUGUCUGGGUUUUCUGUGUUUAUGGAGGUCCAUUGCUCGUCGUUAAUGGAUGGUUCACAUUGAUCACCAUCCUCAACCAUACUCAUCCUUCUUUGCCUUACUAUGAUUCAACCGAAUGGGAUUGGUUGAGAGGAGCUCUUUGCACUGUGGACAGAGAUUAUGGAAUUUUGAACAAGGUGUUCCACAAUGUCUGUAAUGCUCAUGUUUGUCACCAUAUCUUCUCCAUGAUCCCACAUUACCAUGGACUCGAAGCAACCGAGGCAAUGAAGCCAGUACUGGGAAACUAUUAUCAGUAUGAUGGGACUCCAAUUCUCAAGGCAAUGUACAGAGAAAUGAAGGAAUGCAUUUAUGUCCAAAAGGAUGAAGGUGAGACCAAAGGAGUCUACUGGUACAGAAAGGAAUUUUAGGUCGUUGAGCCUUAUUAUCUAGUGGAAAGAAUAUCUCAUUACCUAUCAUUGCAUUUUCUUCUGUAAUUUUAAAUUAUUGCAAGUCAAUGCAUUAGGUUAAGAAGAUAAAGAGUUAACCAGUAACUCUAUGUAAUAAAAAGAAUUUCUAAUUCCAUUUUGGUUGUUCAAGAAUUUCUUAGCUAGCUAGUAUAUGCCUUUUUGCUUCUACAAUUUUCAGACUCUAAACUUCAUUGUUCCUGAUGUUUACUAGAAAUGUAAAGAUGAAAGAGUGCACAGAAAUUACAAACAGGACGCGUUACCAGGGAAAAAUAAAAGUCACGUUAUCCGGGGAACAAACAGUACAAAAUGAAAACACUGCAGCCAUAAGUAUCAAAUAUAACAGAAGAACAUAAACUUCAAGUGUUAACUACCAUAAUCUAAAAUCAUCACUAUUGUUGUAUAACUGAAUAAUCUUUACUCUAUAAACCCUUAAGGUGAACAUUUGAUCAAGCCAGAAUUUGAAAAAGUCCCAGGAAUUCUGCUCAAAUACUUGUGAUUCACAGAACUUUCACUUCGAGCUGAUGAAUUCAUACCCAGACCAGAGGUUUUGAAGCGAAAACCAGGUGGAACAUAAUAGCAGCCCCGUAAAAAAGGAUGCUGAAGAGCCUCCAAAGCAGUAGGCCUUUUGCACGGAUCCCAGGAGCAAAGCGAUUGAAUAAGGCCAACCACAUCCUUGCUUGCAGAUGGCAUCAGCUGAGACAGAGAAACACCAGAAUGCUGAGGAAACUGAUAACUUAUAUCAUCUGCAAGUUCAAUCCCAUAAGCCCAAUCAACUUCAGUUGGAGUCCCUAAAACACUGCAUAUUCUGUACAUUUGAUGCUGUUGAUUUACCCCAGCAAAGAGUGGGCAGCUAGUCAGCAAUUCAGCCAUAAUUGCACCCAUUGCCCACAUAUCAACCGCUGGACCAUAAAUUGGCGCAGCAAGCAGAAUUUCAGGUGCUCUGUACCAUCUUGUUGCAACAUACUCAGAAUAAGGAGGCGAAGAAUUAAUCUCGCGAGCAAGUCCCAGAUCAGCAAUCUUCAUAAUAUCUCCAUUCACUAGCAAAUUCUCAGGCUUAAGAUCCCUAUGAAAAUACCCUCUUUCGUGCAUGUAAGCAAGACCUUGAAACACUUGAAAGCACCAGUUUCUGAUUUCAGUUUCUGAGAAGGGCUUUGUCCUGGUACUCAUAAACUGGUAAAGAUUGCAGUCCAUGUAUUCAAAAACAAAGAACAAGAAGUUAUUUUCUCCGAUUAUUUCCUUGAGCUUCACAAUAUUUGCAUGGCGCAUCUUCUUGAGAGACUUGACUUCUCUCAAAUUCAGACAUUCUUCCCACGAGUGAAACUCCUUGUUCAAUCUCUUAAGAGCCACAACUUCACCACUCUGUGUAUUCAUAGCUUUGAACACACUUCCAAAAGAUCCACUCCCAACUUCCUUGAUAAUCUUAUACUUCUCCAUUAUUCUGACUUAUAUUCAACGUCACAACAAAAAACAGGGUACCCCCGAAAAUUCAAGAAUACUCACGCACUAAGUCUCUACCACGAAUAUGCCAUUGCCCUCGGAAGGAUUUCGAUGAAGAUAUGUUAUGUGAUUGUACGAUCAAAUAUAUGAUUGAUAAGACGGCAAAAUAUUUUCGAAGUAGGCUGCAUCACAAUUUAUGGGCUGGGAUGUUUUUUCGAAGUAGGUUGAAGAUGAAAGAAUGAGAAGACGAGAGAAGAGUGCUGAGAUGUGUAUAUAUAGGAGCAGAGAUUUCCGAAGGGAAGUAGGAUCUUUAAGUCGUGAAUUACUAGGUUUAAGGAUCUUACUUGGGGCUAACACAAUAUCUACCAACGGAAGCUUCCUUCUUAGUACUAGGAUGCUCUGUAAAAGAGUUACUAAUUGGUAUUCGUGGCGGUGCUUUUACUCUUUCACUGAGUUUCUUUAAACUCAAAUGAGCUUCCUUGAACUUGAACACAUUUUCAGCCCUGACAAAAAAAAUUCAUCUUCAACCUCUUCCUUGUUACCGAAUACUAAGGGUGUAAUCGAGCCGACUCGAGUCGAAACCGUCAAGGCUUGAGUUUGAUUGGAAUGUUCGGGUUCAGACUGGAGCUGCUCGAACUUUUAAUUUCAAGAUCAAAACUCGGCUCACAAAAAGUUCGAUAAACUGGAGUUCGGCUCGAACCUAUUUUUUCAAAUAUUGACAAAUACUCAAAAUAUGAUUAGUCCGGCUCGAUUGAAUAUAUUUAAUAUAAAUAAAAUAUUAAAUACUUACAUAAAAAUAUAUUUAUAGUUUAAAAAUAAUAGGAGCUUGAUAAGGCUUGCGAACUUUAUAUGGAGAGUAAUUUGAAACUCGGUUUGAGUAUGAUUAGAAAGUUCGAGCUCUAGUUUGAUCAAGUCUUUAGUUUAGAUCGAAACGAGGCUAGUAAAAAAUUUGAUGACUCGAGUUUGGCUCGAAAAUUUGAACCUAUUUUAUUUAACAAAAACUUGAAAUAUGAUCAGCCCGUCUCGAUUAAAUAUAUUCGAUAUAAAUAAAAUAUCAAAUAUUUAUAUAAAAAUAUAUUCAUAAUUUAAAAAUAAUAAAGGCUUGAUGAGAUUGGAACUUUACAAGCAGAGUAAUUUGAAGCUCGAGCUCGGUUUGAUUAUUUACGUGCCGAAUUCGAAUUUUUUACGAGUCAAACUUUAGUAACUCACGAACUGCUACAUUCAUAUUUUAUCAAAAUUUUAGUUUCUAUCUCUCCCCCUCUCUCUCUCCCACACACACGCACACUAUAACACUCUCUCCACACACACACAAACACUCUAACACAAAUCCUGCAAAACCUUACUUCACGCCCGGCGAGUGAAAAAUCGAAUCAGUUAGGUCUCGGUUAUUAUCGUCAACAACACUGCAUCAAAUCGACCAGAAAUGCGAGGUGAUCAUUCAUAUGGUCCAUCUGAUGAGACAAUAUCCUUACAACGUACUGACAGGUGUUAUCUUUCCUAGAACAUAAAAUUACAUGAUUAUGAUUAUGUGAUUAUUUUUUAUUUACAAUAUAUAUCAUUGUUGUAUGGUUCAUAUUUCAUUUUUCUCACGAUUAGGUAUAAGUGUGUGUUUGAAUCUAUUAUGUAUGAGUUGUUUCGUAUCAUAUUUCGUCAUUUUUAUAUAUUGUUUAGUUAGAUUUUAUUUGUUUUGUAUCCUCUUCUUCGGUACUUAGUUUCGCUAGUGUAGAUGUUGGCGAUGAAGGUGGUAUAGCGGUGUAUUAAUUAGUGCGUAUAGAUCAUUCUGAUUGACUAAUGUUAUUGCAUGAUUUUGUUUUAGUUUUGUAAUUUUGGAUAUUGUUUGUUGUUAAUAAUAGUAAUUGUAGACCUUAAUAUUAGUUGUUUUUUGAAUGACAAGUUGACAUUCUUUAAAUGUUCUUAUCUUUGAAAUUUGAAUCUCCAUGUUUAAUUUGAAUUUUUGUGUUUCGAUUAGAAGAUAAUUUGAUAAGAUAAUUGUUGUAUUUUAAUUUGAUAAUUACUGAUUAUUGUACCUGAAUUCCAUAAUUCAUGGGGGCCAUAUAUGAUGGCUUUAUUGUGCCUUAAUGAGGUAUUAUUGUGCCAUUAAGGGUUGAUUUGUUGUUUGGUGUAUACCAAUAAUUAGCUAAAAUCUUGAUACUUUUGUUUGUCAAGAUUUUUAAUAUUUUUGAGUAGAUAUAUUUUAGAUCUUUUUUCAAUUUUCAAUUAUAUUUUUCUAUUUAUAUUUUAAUUUUUUUUAAAUUAAUAGUCAGCUAUUUUGUUCGGAUUAAAAUUUUAUUAUCUAUCUAACCAAAGAGAUCUCACUAUCUCUUUGGUGUAGAUUUUUUUAAUGAUUUGUUUUAUAUUAGUUUUUUAUAUUACUUUCCUUAUUCUUUAAAAUAUUAUAUUAUAUUCAUAUCUUUUAAUGAGUUUAUUGACUCUUUUCGUCUUUCGUUUUAUAUAGUUUUAUUAUUUUAUUGUCUGUAUGAACUUAUUAUGGUUUUAUUUGUAUUGUAUUUUUCAGGGUACGCGAGAUGGAAGAAAGAACGAUAGCGGGAUCAUUUAUGGGUGUUUUCUUAUCGAACAUUAGAGCUUUAUUGUUUAAGCGUCCCCGGUCAUCUCUGCAUAUCCGAGGGUUAGAUGGUAAACUUUCUUGAACGAAAGGAACUCCUGACAGCGGCUAUUGUAUUCUGAUACGAUUCAUCAUACGUGAAAGUAUCUUGUGACAAAAAAAAAACUCACGAACUGCUUGACUCAUUUACGCUCCAAAAGAAAACCAAUUUUUCAAAUUGUAAUUACUUGUUUUGCAGUAAAAAUAUAAUUUAUAUUAAUAAACUUGAACUCCAUGUAAGGAUCCCAAACUCGCAGAUAUAACCUUCUCUCUCCUGAAUAUAAUCAUUCGCUAGCACUUAUCAGGCAUCAGCCAUAAGUUCAUAUUAGCAGCAUAUUAUCUAUUGAGUGAAUUUCUCCACUCAGUUUGUGCAUAUAAUUACAAGUCCCUCGCCCUUAAUUUAAUCAUCAGAAAUUUUGUCAAAGCCUUUGAUGUAAAUCCUUACAUCCAUAAUGUAGCUCAAUUCAAAUACACGAAUAUGACUGAAAAGUAUCAAUGACUGAAAUAGGCUAUCCAGGUUUUCGUGAUUCAUAAGCCAUUUCCAAUACAGCAAGAUGCAAAUCACCAGAAGUCUAGUCUUAAUUCAUUUCCCUAAUUAAGCUGACAGAAAACUCGGAUAGUCAUACCCAAAACAUACUCUCAAGCCAAUUAUUCGGAUAACUAUAAGCUAAUUCACAUGAGUGUAUGUUUUAUGUUAGUAAAUCAGUAAUGUCAAGCUCAAAGAGAUGCCAAAAAGGUAUCAGCCACACAAGGAUCAAACACUGAAGCUGCAUUACGUCUACCCAACUAAUAACAAAGCGUCAAAGCCAAAACAGUUUGCAAAUGAAGUUGUAGUUAUUUAUAUUUCCGUUAUUACUAUUGUGUAUGUGCAGGUGAGAUUUAAAAUGUGAUUAAAUCUUUUAAAAGCAUAACUGAUUUACUGUUGAUGAAGAACAUAUAAUUCACCACAACUUUCAGCAAGAGCACUUUUCACUCACAAUAAAACCAUUUGAUUACACAGCACAGUCAUUUAAAAACACAAGUGUACAAUAUGUUUGCAUUACAAAAUCAGUAUACAGAGUUAAUGCAUUAGGUUAAGAUAAAGAGUUACCAAUCAUUGCAGACAAAACAGAAAAGCCUUUCAUUACCUAUCAUUGCAUUAUCUUCUGUAAUUUUAAAUUAUCUGCAAGUUAAUGCAUUAGGUUCAGAUAAAGAGUUAACCAGUCACUCUAUGUUAUAAAAGUAAUUACUAAUUCCAUUUGGGUUGUUCAAGAAUUUCCUAACUUGCUAGUAUAGGUUUCCUGGUUUCUAUGAUUUUCUGACUCUCAUAUUCAUAGUUACUGAUGUUUACUGGAAAAGUAAAGAUGAAUAAGUGCACAGAAAUUACAAACAGGGCGCAUUAUCAGGGAAACUAAAAACUAAAAGACAGUCGCCUUAUGUGGGAAACUAAAAGACCAUUGCAUUAUCUGGGAAAGUUAAAGAUGGUUCAAGUUAUCAGGGAAACAAAGAGUAGAAGAAAGAAACUAAUGCAGCCAUAAACGAAAAAAUAUAGUAUAACAUAAACUUCCAGUGUUAACUACAUAAUCUAAAAUCAUCACUAUUGUUGUAAAACUGAAUAACCUUUACUCUUUACACCCUUAAGGUGCACACUUGAUCGAUCCAGAAUUUGACAAAGCCCCAGGAAAUCUGCUCAAAUACUUGUGCUUCACAGAACCUUCACUUCGAGCAGAUGAAUUCGUACCCGGACCAGAGGUUUUGAAGCGAAAACCAGGUGGAACAUAAUAGCAGCUCCGGAAAAAAGGAUGCUGAAGAGCCUCCAAAGCAGUAGGCCUUUUGCACGGAUCCCAGGAGCAAAGCGAUUGAAUAAGGCCAACCACAUCCUUGCUUGCAGAUGGCAUCAGCAGAGACAGAGAAACACCAGAAUGCUGAGGAAACUGAUAGCUUAUAUCAUCUGCUAGUUCAAUCCCAUAAGCCCAAUCAACUUCAGUUGGAGUUCCUAAAACACUGCAUAUUCUGUACAUCUGAUCUUGCUGAUUUACCCCAGCAAAAAGUGGGCAGCUAGUCAAUAAUUCAGCCAUAAUUGCACCCAUAGCCCACAUAUCAACCGCUGGACCAUAAAUUGGCGCCGCAAGCAGAAUUUCAGGUGCUCUGUACCAUCUUGUUGCAACAUACUCAGAAUAAGGAGGCGAACAAUUAAUCUCGCGAGCAAGUCCCAGAUCAGCAAUCUUUAUAAUAUCUCCACUCACUAGCAAAUUCUCAGGCUUAAGAUCCCUAUGAAAAUACCCUCUUUCGUGCAUGUAAGCAAGACCUUGAAACACUUGAAAGCACCAGUUUCUGACGUCCGUUUCUGAGAAGGGCUUUGUUCUGGUACUCAUAAGCUGGUAAAGAUUGCACUCCAUGUAUUCAAAGACAAAGAACAAGAAGUUAUUUUCUCCGAUAAUUUCCUUGAGCUUCACAAUAUUUGCAUGGUGCAUCUUCUUGAGAGACUUGACUUCUCUCAAAUUCAGACAUUCUUCCCACGAGUGAAACUCCUUGUUCAAUCUCUUAAUAGCCACAACUUCACCACUCUGUGUGUUCAUAGCUUUGAAAACACUUCCAAAAGAUCCACUCCCAACUUCCUUAAUAAUCUUAUACUUCUCCAUUGUUCUGACUUAUAUUCAACGCCACAACAAAAAACAGGGUACGGCGAAAUUUCAAGAAUACUCACGCACUCAAGUCUUUACCACGACCCGAAACAAAUUGACAAAUUGUCUUCGAAUAUGCCAUGCCCUCGGGAGGAUUUCGAUGAAGAUAUUAUGUGAUUGUACGAUCAAAUAUAUGAUUGAUAAAACGGCAAAAUAUUUUCGAAGUAGGCUGCAUCACAAUUAAUGGGAUGGGAUGUUUUUUCGAGUUUUUGAGAAGCUCUGACUGGUUGAUGAUAAAAGAAUAAGAAGACGAGAGAAGACAGCUGAGAUGUGUCUAUAUAGGAGCAGAGAUUUCCGAAGGGAAGUAGGAUCUUUAAGUCGUGAAUAGAUACUAGGUUUAAGGAUCUUACUUGGGGCUAACACAAUAUCUACCAACGGAAGCUUCCUUCUUAGUACUAGGAUGCUCUGUAAAAGAGUUACUAAUUGGUAUUCGUGGCGGUGCUUUUACUCUUUCACUGAGUUUCUUUAAACUCAAAUGAGCUUCCUUGAACUUAAACACAUUAUCAGCACUGACAAAAAAAAUUCAUCUUCAACCUCUUCCUUGUUACCGAAUACUAAGGGUGUAAUCGAGCCGACUCGAUUCGAAACCGUCAAGGCUUGAGUUUGAUUGGAAAGUUCGGGUUCAGACUGGAGCUGCUCGAACUUUUAAUUUCAAGAUCAAAACUCGGCUCACAAAAAGUUCGAUAAACUGGAGUUCGGCUCGAACCUAUUUUUUCAAAUAUUGACAAAUACUCAAAAUAUGAUUAGUCCGGCUCGAUUGAAUAUAUUUAAUAUAAAUAAAAUAUUAAAUACUUACAUAAAAAUAUAUUUAUAGUUUAAAAAUAAUAGGAGCUUGAUAAGGCUUGCGAACUUUAUAUGGAGAGUAAUUUGAAACUCGAGCUCGAUUCGGUAAUGAAUUCGAAAAACUCGAGUUCAGCUUGAUUAUUAACAAGCCGAAAUUCGAAUAUUUUACUAUCCAAAUUUGAGUAACUCAUGAUCUGUUUGACUCAUUUACACCGCAACCGAAUACCAAUUUUGCAAAUUUUAAUUACUUAUUUCUGCAAUAAAAAUAUAAUUUAUAUAAAUAAACUCCAUGUAAGGAUCCCAGACAGGCAGAUAUAACCUUAUCUCUUUCCUGAAUAGAGUCAUUCGCAAGCACUUAUCAGGCAUUAGCCAUAAGUUCAUAUUAGCAGCAUAUUAUCUAUUGACUGAAUAUCCAGACUCAGUUUGUGCAUAUAAUUACAAGUUUUUGUCAAACCCUAUCAUGUAAAACCUUACAUUCAUACUGUAGCUCAAUCCAAAUACACGAAUAUGACUGAAAUAUAUCCAGGUUUUCGUGAUUCAUAAGCCAUUCCCAAUACAGCAAGAUGCAAAUCACCAGAAGUCUAGUCUAAUUCAUGUCCCUAAUUAGGCAGACAGAAAACUGAGAUAGUCAUACCAAAAGCAUUCCCCCAAGCCAAUUAUUCUGAUAAUUGUAAGCGAAUUGGCCACUAAAAUUCACAUAAGUGUAUGUUAUAUGUUAGUACAUCAGUAAUACUCAAGCUCAACAAGAUGUCAGAAAGGAUAUAGGCACACAAGGAUCUAACACUCAAGCUGCAUUACAUCUCCCCAACUAAAAACACAGCGUCGAAGCCAAACUAGUUUGCAAAUGAAGUUGUAGUUAUUUACAUUCUGUUAUUACUAUUGUGUAUGUGCAGGUGAGAUUUAAAAUGUGAUUAUAUAGGAUCUUUAAAAAGCAUAACUGAUUGAAUGUCAAUGAAGAACAUAUAUUUCACUACAAUUUUAAGCAGAGCACUUUUCACUCACAAUAAAACCAUUUGAUUACAUAGCACGGUCAUUUAAAAACAUGAAUUCAAUGAACAAUAUGUUGUGCAUUACCAAAUCAGUAUACAAAUUUAAUGCAUUAGGUUAAGAUAAAGAGUUACCUAUCAUGACCUAUCGUUGCAGACAAAACAGAAGAGCCUUUCGUUACCUAUCAUUGCAUCAUCUUCUGUAAUUCUAAAAUUAUCUGCAAGUUAAUGUAUUAGGUUAAGAUAAAGAGUUAACCAGUAACUCUAUGUUAUAUAAGGAAUCACACUACUAGAAAUCUGCUAAUACUCUAUGUUAUAAAAUGGAAUUAGUGAUCACUAAUUCCAUUUUGGGUUGUUCAAGAAUUUCUUAACUCACUAGUAUAGGUUUCCUGUUUAUAUAAUUUUCUGAUUCUAAUCUUCAUAGUUACUGAUGUUUACUGGAAAAGUAAAGAUGAAUAAGUGCACAAAAAUUACAAACGGAGCGUAUUAUCAGAGAAACUAAAAACUAAAAGACAGUCGCGUUAUGUGGGAUACUAAGACCGUUGCAUUAUCAGGGAAAGUUAAAAAUGGUUCAAGUUAUCAGGGAAACAAAAAGUAGAAGAAAGAAGUUAAUGCAGCCAUAAACGAAAAAAUAUAGCAUAACAUAAACUUCCAGUGUUAACUACAUAAUCUAAAAUCAUCACUAUUGUAACGUAGAACUGAAUAAUCUUUACUCUUUACACCCUUAAGGUGCACAUCUGAUCGGGCCAGAAUUUGAAAAAGUCCCAGGAAUUCUGCUCAAAUACUUGUGCUUCACAGAACCUUCACUUCGAGCAGAUAAAUUCAUACCCAGACCAGAGGUUUUGAAGCGAAAACCAGGUGGAACAUAAUAGCAGCUCCGUAAAAAAGGAUGCUGAAGAGCCUCCAAAGCAGUAGGCCUUUUGCACGGAUCCCAGGAGCAAAGCGAUUGAAUAAGGCCAACCACAUCUUUGCUUGCAGAUGGCAUCAGCUGAGACAGAGAUACACCAGAAUGCUGAGGAAACUGAUAGCUUAUAUCAUCUGCUAGUUCCAUCCCAUAAGCCCAAUCAACUUCAGUUGGAGUCCCUAAAACACUGCAUAUUCUGUACAUCUGAUCUUGUUGAUUCACCCCAGCAAAAAGAGGGCAGUUGGUCAGCAAUUCAGCCAUAAUUGCACCCAUUGCCCACAUAUCAACCGCUGGACCAUAAAUUGGCGCUGCAAGCAGAAUUUCAGGUGCUCUGUACCAUCUCGUUGCAACAUACUCAGAAUAAGGAGGCGAACAAUUAAUCUCGCGAGCAAGUCCCAGAUCAGCAAUCUUUAUGAUAUCACCACUCACUAGCAAAUUCUCAGGCUUAAGAUCCCUAUGAAAAUACCCUCUUUCGUGCAUGUAAGCAAGACCUUGAAACACUUGAAAGCACCAGUUUCUGACGUCAGUUUCUGAGAAGGGCUUUGUUCUGGUACUCAUAACCUGGUAAAGAUUACACUCCAUGUAUUCAAAGACAAAGAACAAGAAGUUAUUUUCUCCGAUAAUUUCCUUAAGCUUCACAAUAUUUGCAUGGUGCAUCUUCUUGAGAGACUUGACUUCUCUCAAAUUCAGACAGUCUUCCCACGAGUCAAACUCCUUGUUCAAUCUCUUAAUUGCCACAACUUCACCACUCUGCGUAUUCAUAGCUUUGAACACACUUCCAAACGAUCCACUCCCAACUUCCUUAAUAAUCUUAUACUUCUCCAUUAUCCUGACUUAUAUUCACCGCGAGUCCGCGACAACAAAAAACAGGGUACGGUCUCACGCAAAAAUUCAAGAACACUCACGCACUCGUAUCUCUACCACAGCCCGAAACAAAUUGUCUCGGAAUAUGCCAUUGUCCUCAGGAGGAUUUGGAUGACUAUAUGUUAUGUGAUCGUACGAUCAAAUAUAUGAUUGAUAAAAGCGCAACAUAUUUUCGAAGUGGGCUGCAUCACGAAUAAUGGGAUGGGAUGGUUUUUCGAGUUUUUCGAGAAGCUCUGAGUGAAUGAAGAUGAAAGAAUGAGAAGACGAGAGGAGGCUGCUAAGAUACUCCUAUGUAUAUAUAGGGGCAGAGAUUUCCGAAGGGAGGUAGGAUUUUAAGUCGCUGAUAGAUACGAGGUUUAAGGAUCUUACUUGGGGCUAAAGUAAUAUCUACCAAAGGAAGCGUCCUGCCUAUUUUCCAAAUUUUAUUUAUCUGUUUUUACAAUAAAAAUAAUAUAUUAGUAUACUUAUCCAGAUCAGAGAUAUAAUAUAUCUACAUUAUUAUUAAUUAAUCUCUUAUUAUAUUCUAAUAAAAUUUAUAAAUAAUAGAAUUGAAAAUUUCAAAAUUGAACAAUGAAAGUGCGAAAAAUACAAAAAAAAGUUGCAAUAUAGUUUGUUCUUUGUUUUUAGAAUUAUGUUUUUUCAAUAUUCCAAUUUGAACGGAAUCCUGAUAGAAGAAAAAGUUCACGAGAAUAAUAGAACAUAUGAAAAAUAUUAAGAAAAGAAAUUGCAUAAUGUAUAAGCCUACAAGGUAUAUUAUAAUACGGUAUUUAUUUGCAAAACUAGUUAUAAGUCGUUUCAGACGACUUAUAAUAUUUAGUUAUUUUAUCAUAUAUAAUUUAAUAAUUCUUAUGAAUAUAAACUAUAUUAGAAUAAUAUAUAUUUCUUAAUAUUUUACUGUACAACAGAUACAUUUUACUUAGUACUAGUGCUACAUGCACAAAAUUGAGUACAGAAUUUUGCACAAAAUGAUAUACAGAAUUUUGCACAAAAUGAUGUGGCAAGUGAGGUGGGAAGUUUUAACUGGUACUAUUAAUGCAUACACAGGGGGCUCAUUUCAAUCAAAAAUUGACACAUACUCAUUAUGUGAAUAUUUUUGUACCCAAUUCUGUGCCUCUAGCAUUUUCCUUUACUUUUUUAUAGUCUUGCCGGUGCACUGCAAACAAAGAAAGAAAAAGGAUUUUACCCAUAAGAAAGUGCGAUACCAUACUGCUCAGCAAUGCACUUCGUCCAUUCAGCUACACGGUCCAGAUUUAGCAUAAGUUCUAACCCAUAAGAAAGUGCGAUAACAUCUUUAUAACUUUGUUUACGGCAUCUGCAUAUACAAUACAAGUCGCAGAGUAAUUAUUAUGGCAAUAACCGGCAAUAGAACCAACAAGCAAUGAAGGUCCUUUAGACUAUCUCCAACAAAUUAAGCAUCGGGGAAUUUACUUACUGCUGGACAGUUCUGUCGGCAGCCUAGCAAGAAACAGUUGUUCCUAAAUGGAGUCAUUCGCUAGCACUUAUCAAGCAUCAGCCAUAAGUAUAUAUUGCAACUUGCAAGCACCAUAUUAUCAUCUACUGGCCAGAUUUCCAGAGUCACUUUAUGGCUUAUGCUGCCUGAAAGGCACCUGUAUAAGAAUUUCAUAUUACAACUUUUACUAGAAUGCACCCCUACCUUCAAAUUGCAUAAUGCAGCUCACAGCAACUCAACAAUUUCAACAUUGAAACCGCAAAGUGACUUCUAUCAGGAUUUAAUUUUCAACAGGAUGACACUUCAGUAACAUUAAAACCAUUUGAUAAGUCAUUUAAACAAAUACGAAUUGCUAAAUCAGUUUAAGUCCAGCUCAACAACCAAUUGAAUCGAACAGUAAUGCCGAAAUGACAAACUCAGCUACACAAUGAAUCAAACAGGUAAGCUGCAUCAUAUCACACCAACUCAGCCAUCCAAACCACUUCAGCAAAACACCAAGACAUUUUGCAACUACUUUGCAAUUAUUUACAUUUCUUAUUCAAACACUAAUAUAUAAGCAUAGAUCUAAGAUCAAAACAAAAAAUAAAGCAUACAAACAUGCUAAAUAAACAAAAAUAAAUUCACACUAAUUCAGAACAAUAGAGCAAUUUCAUUCAUACUAUAACCAUUCAAUUACACAUCACAUUCAUUUCGAACAAACACAAUUCAACUAAAACACAACCUAGAAACCCUAGAAAUCAACCGCCGAAGCCAUAAAGAGUCCUGCCCUGCCUCUUGAGAGCGUACACAACAUCCAUAGCAGUCACAGUCUUCCUCCUAGCGUGCUCAGUGUAAGUAACCGCAUCACGAAUCACAUUCUCCAAAAAGAUCUUCAAGACGCCUCUGGUCUCCUCAUAGAUGAGCCCGCUGAUUCUCUUUACACCGCCUCGGCGAGCCAGACGACGAAUGGCGGGCUUGGUGAUGCCCUGGAUGUUGUCACGGAGGACUUUGCGAUGUCGCUUGGCACCGCCUUUGCCAAGGCCCUUGCCUCCCUUGCCACGUCCUGACAUCUUAAAUUUCGAAUGAGAGAAAGAGAGAGAGAGAGAGAGAGAGAGAGAGAGAGAGAGAGAGAUUUGGUUGUGUUGUGGAGAGAGAAAUGAGAGUGUUUGAGAUGUGAGAUUGGGAGAGAUGGUAGGGGGUUAAAUAAGGGGAGUUUUGGGGGUUUGAAAAUUUUGAAAGUUUGGGCGGGGUUUUUGUGUUGGUUUUGGUGAUCCUGGUGGUUGAUUGGUGAAUAUGAGACGUUGAUGUUAAAAAAAAUCGACGGUUGGGAAUUGUGUAAAUUAUGAGGCACGGAUCGAUGACAUGGCGCUGAUCAGCCAGUCAGGUCGGACCCAACUCAAUCUGGGGAGUACACGCGCUGUUUGUUUUAGCCUUUUUUUUUCCCUCAUAUUUGGCAUUCCUUAUUUAAAUUCUGACUUAAGGUUAGAAUCAUGGUAUUUAUAUCAUUUACGUAAAUUUUUGUCGAAAUUUCAAAAAUCGAAAAUUCUAGUUUAUGUUUAAUCAUUUAAUUUUUUUAAAAUUUGAUUUUACCAAUUGUAUAUGAUAAUUUUAAAAGAUAAUUUAUAAAAAUGUAUUACUAUUACUAUAUUAAUAAUUUGUGUAUCAAAUAUGUUGUAAACACAAAAUAAAUAAUAUUCAAACACAUAAUUAAAAGUUAUUUCUCACUCAUAGCUAAAUUCUCAUUUAUAAGCAAUAAUCACUUUUUUUUAUGUUAAGUGAAAUGUCCCCAAGGCUGGCAAUCUCCUGAUGCUGAAUUGUAUAUAUAGGUUAAUGCGAUGAAGACAUCUGAAACCGGUCACAUGGCGUGGAUAAUUAACCGAAUUGAUCGUAUAACGGUUUGGAGUGGAUAAUACCUGGUAUACAAAAUGCACGAGUUGAUCGUAUAACGGUGUGAAGUGGAUAAUACCUGAUAUACAAAAUGUAAACAAAGAGUGAAUAUGGAUAUAAUAAAAAGUCUCGCGUCCGACCCGCACUCUAUUCGUACAUAUAUAUAAAUGUACAUGUACUUACUAAAUUUAUCACAAAAAUAUAUUAUAUUUUCAUGUUACUAUUUAAUAAAUUUUAAUAUACAAAAGAUAGUAAGCUCGUAAAAUAUUCAUAAUACAACUUAUUUGAAUAUUAGUUUCAAAUUUGUGCUAAUUAUUAAAGAAAUCAUAAUUCUUUUCAUAAUUUACAAAUUAACUAACAAUGUUUGUAUUUUACACAUUUGACCAACAAGUUUUAUAAAAUCAUGUUAAAAAAAUAUGACACAACUACGCGUAACGCAUCCGUUCACCACUUUGUUCUCUACUCAUCUCACUUCUAAGACAAGCUGCCUUUAGCUAGGAGUCUCUUUUCUUUUUGUCCUGUUCUCGUUCACCACUUUGUUCUCAACUCUACUCACUUUUAAGACAAGCUGUCUUUAAUUAGGAGUCUCUUUUCUUUUUGUCCAGUUCCGCUAAAACGAUGCUCGACUUGCAUGUGUUAAGCAUAUAGCUAACGUUGCUCCUUCUGAGCCAGGAUCAAGUUCUUAUUUUAAAUAUGACUUUGAAACCUGAUGAACCAGGCCUAGUACUUCCCGACCUUAUGUGAGCUUUCCUGCUCUUAUAUAAUUGUAAUGAGAGAAUAUUUCGAAAAUCUUUUUAAUGCUUUUGAUCCGACUAUGCUCAACGAGGUGACUCGUGUAUGCGACGAGACUAAAGACAUGAAGUAGAAUGUUCAAACCAAAUGGUAUCCAAAGGAAAUGAACAACUUAAGGGAACGACAUUUUUCGAUUAGGAGAUCUGCUCCCAGUUUGACCAUCAUCAUUACUCUUAAGGUUAUCACCUUGCUCAAUUGAUUAGUUCUAUCAUCCCAAUAUUUUAGCACGAAAAAAAUGUAUUUGUCAAAAUCAUAAAAAAAUGCGUGAAAAAACUCUUACUUAUUAUUCGAACUCUGAUGAGUGAAAGGACUUUCAAGAAAGUUAUUCUAGAGGAUCAACCAGAGAUCGAUUGACUUAGUUAGUGAUACUUGAUACGACAAACUAAGUUUUAAAGUAAUCAGUCGCACUCGGCAAAGGUGAAUAAUUAAUUUUCAAAUUAACCAUCAUACAAUCACAUAGUACAAAUUUUUGUUCUCUCUCUCUUUAAAAAAUUUAAUUAUCUAAAUUAACAACAUUCCACUAAACAUGGCUAUAAUGUUAUAAAAUUUCUUUCCAUCUCAUUAAUUAAAUAUUCCGAAUAUCUUAUAUGGAUGAAUAUCUAAUGACAAGGAUUACAAACAUUUUUUUAGAACAUCUGACGGGUAAAUACUCAUUUCGGUCAUCUAGCUAAACCACAAACAUUUUUUUAGAACAUCUGACACAUUUUUUUAAACAUCUGACGGGUAAAUACUUAUUUCGGUCAUCUAGCUAAACCGCUAAAUGACAGAUAAUCAUUUUAUCCAGCAGUUUAAAAACGUUGAAUUUAUUAAAAAAAUGUUAACGGCAUAUGAUCAUUUUACUUCAAAUAGUUUAAAAAAGCUGAACAUAUUUAAAUAUUUAUCCAAUGACCUUUGCAAAUAAUUAUAGUAAUAUUUCCCAGCAAUGAAGUAAAAGUGGAAGACAGUGCCAAAAUAAAAUUUGUUACCAAGUUUAUGGGCAAAAACCAAUACAAUAGUAUACUACAUUCAACAUAAUUUUUUCAACCUCAAUGCAUUUGAAGUUUGAAUUCAACAAAGCACACGGUAAGAGUAGAACUAGUGUUGCACUCCUAAUCAACAUAACCAAAUAAACAUAAAUCGGGCAGCAAUUAAAAGACCAAGAGAGCACAUCUUAUUUUUCAUAUAUCAACACGAAGCUUACAGUUUAGGACACUGCAGACAUACCUUUUCCCAUUCAUAAAAUAAAACUGUAAUGUCUAAUCAAAUACAUAAAACAAAAACCAGAAAGCUUUUCAUUUUCAGAUCCUCAGCAACAAAUCCUAGUACCUCGAAAAACUUUAACUGUAUUCUUCAUAACCAAAAGUGACCCAGACAUAUACAUGUUACUGGAGAUCACACUUUCCUUUGGAUUCCAAGCCUCUCGCGGAAGUCACUUUCCAUGAGAGGAAGGCCAUCACGCAACUUUACCUUUGGUUCCCAACCUAACACUUCCUUUGCCUUUGUUAUGUCUGGCUUUCUCUGGCGAGGAUCAUCAGGCGUGUUCUCCACAGUUAUGAUUUGGACUUCUGGAUUAAUAAGCUGCAAAAUAAUUGAGGCCAAUCAACACUUGUCUAUUGAAUGAAAACGUAACGUCAUAUCUAAUUUUUCUUCAAAACAAUAUAUUCGUCUAACUAUCCUUUGGAUAUUGAGCACAGUUGAACUGACCUCCUUUACAUUUUCAGCAAGCUCCAUCAUUGUGAAUUCACCUAAACAUUAAAAAACAGUCGGGUCAUGUAAACACGAAAUUGGGCAUAACUUUUUAACACGCCUAACAAUAGGUAACACAAGUUAUUUUUCUUAUAACACAGAUUUGUUGCAAUGAAGAUCACAUAAUGCAGAUUCGUUGCACUUCAUAACUAACAUCUACCAAAAAAGGUGAAAACUAGGAUCUGCGACAUUGUUUUUUAAAGUACCUGGGUUCCCAAUAUUAAUUGGUCCAGUAUUAUUUCCUUCCAUAAGUUUAAUAAGGCCAUCAACCUUCAACAGAAGUCAGAAUAACUUGUCAGCAAACAAAUUUAGAUUGAAUUGUAGUGCAGGAAAAAUGCACAAAUAUGUCGCUUACCAUGUCAGAAACAUAACAGAAACUGCGAGUCUGGGUUCCAGGCAACUGAACAGUCAAAGGCUCGUUACUGCAACAUAGAGAGGAAUAUAUUAGGGUGGCAAUUAGGUUCCCAAUCCAUUUAAAUAAACCAAACUUUUGGUUUUGGUUCAGGUUAAAAUCAUAUUUAUAUAUGGGUUGGAUUUUGAGUCUCAUAAUGUAUUAAAAAUUUAAAAUGUGAUCUUUCUAAUUCCAAAUAAUUAGUGCAGAGAAAAUUAAUAUAAAAUAUAAAAAUAGAUAAGUGGUUACAUUUGUCUGUAAAACCUAGAAAAGUAAAGUUACCGAAUCGCUUGAGCAAUGAAAUUACUGACAACACGGCCAUCAUCAAUAUUCAUCCGAGGGCCAUAAGUGUUGAAAAUCCUGGCUAUCCGUAUUUCUGCAGUGACCAGUUUUAGACAUGGAAAAACUGGGUUACAAAUAUUCUUACACAAAAGAUGCUAUUCAUCCUAGAAUUUAGUUGGCAGUUGGUAAAAUAAGAGUCUGUACCAAUUCCAUGCUGCCUAUGAUAAUCAAACAUCAAUGUCUCUGCUACUCUUUUUCCCUCAUCAUAACAACUCCGGACUCCUGUAAAAAAUAUAUUGAAUGAAACUCUUUUCAAGAUACAUACAGACUUCGACAAUAAAUAGACAACCAUUAAAUUACUAAUGAAAAGUCUUAAUCUCUACAUGUUUAUUGCAUGUGUACAGCUGACAAAACUUAGCAAUACAACUUUUCAGGAGUAUGUCACAGGCUUCGCAAUAUUAUAUGGACUAAACAAAACAUUUUCUAGUUCUAAUGAUUAAAUUUUAAUUGAGCAAAUAUCAUGUGUGCAAAAACGUGCAUGCAUGUAUGCAAUUACUACUUGUUUGUGAGCUUUAAACUGCGUCAUAAUAUAUUUGAUCUAAUAAGAAUUCCCUUAUCCCUACAGAAGCUAGCAUUUUUAUUUUAUUUUGUCUACGAAUAAUAGCGAGAAGGCUUAUGAUACAUCACAUAUUCAUCUUCUUAAGUAAGAUUAAGUGGCCAAACUAAUACAAAACAGCGGUAAGAAAGUAAGAUAGUCCAUCUACCUCAUUUCCAAGAAGAUAACUCCUAUACACACACACACACGCACACCACAUAUUGAGAACUAUCAUUCUUGAGAGAUGUCAACUAAGGAAUAAUAAAACUCAAUUUCACAACAAAACCAAAUCAACACACAAGGCGGACAACUUAUGUUAAAUAAUAGGCCAGUUGUAUGUACCUAUGGGGUUGACAUUUCCCCAAUAACUCUCAUCCUGAGGAUGUACAAGGGGAUCUCCAUAAACCUCUGAAGUUGAUGUCAAUAAAAUCCUGUAGUACAGUAGUAAUAUGAGACAACCACAAUUCUACAAAUACUAUGCAGCAUGUGUAAUGGAAAUGUUCAAACCUUGCUCCCACUCUCUUGGCAAGUCCUAACAUGUUUAGUGUCCCAAUGACAUUGGUCUUGAUUGUCUGUCAAGUCAAGUAUCAUAUAAUCAGCAUUUAAUUUUGCCAAAUACAUAAACACAUCAAACCAUCCUAUAUGCUUAGCUAAAGCACCAUAUGUACUUAAAAGAGUCUCUGCUCAAAAGCAGUUAUAGUGUUCUACACAAUUAGCAACAACAUAUAUUGACGUGUAGGGUUUUGCAGAUUAGAUAAAUGACCGGGGUAUCUGAAAACAAUACAGCCUGUAAGGACAACUACUGAUAAAAUUUCCUUGCUGCUGCUGCAAAACAACUGGCAGGUUCAGAAGCAUAGAACACAACAGGUUGAAUCUACACCAGCUUUAGAACAAGUAGAUUAAAUUAUUAAUCAAAAGAGCAAAGUACCUUAACAGGAUUAUAUUUGUAGAAAAUUGGUGAAGCAGGACAGGCAAGAUGAUAUAUUUGAUCAACUUCAACCAACAAUGUUUCUGUUACAUCUGCAGAAAUAUUGAAAUGUAUGUAAAUAACAAAUUGAACUAGAUGUGGGAAAAUAGAUAAAUGAGACACAAGGCCAAGGUUGGGACUUGGAAUUAUUGUGCAAAUAAGACUGCUGACUGCAGUUAAGAUACAUACUGUAUUACAAGCCCUUUUUCAAUUUUGAGAGAGCCCUGAUUUUGAUUUUAAAUCUUUACAGGUAUUGCCUAACAUUACUACUAUAUAAUAUAUCUAUAUCGAUAUAUACACAUAUAUAUUUGUAUUUUUUGAUAUCUCAAUAACAUUUGAUUCAGGGUUAAGCUCCAAAGAGCCUGAGAUGAUCUUUUAUAUACGAAAUAUAAAGUUAAUUUGUGGACACAAUGUUGAAUGAAUGCAUUUACAUUUUGAUUAUAUAUUUCAAUAAGGGUUUAAGUAAAAAUAAAUGAAAUAACUUGGAAGCAACAAUAAACAGUCAAUAUAAAGAACACAUUUCGCAUAGAUAAUUCAAUGAUGUUCAUUAGCAUAUACACAAAUGACGCAACUUGGAUGAUAAAAGAACAAAUACCAUGUCGAAUAAGCUCAAAUCUUGGAUGACCAAUCCACUGUCUUAGGUUGUCCUUUGAGCCAGUAAAGUAGUUAUCAACCACGAUCACCUAGGAGGAACGAGAAAGUUGCAUUAUACUAUUGACCAAUCAUGCAGAAAUUCACCAAGCAGAAUCAUCUGACUACAGUAUCAGACGAAACAGAAGAUUAUGAUAGGAAGUUUAUACCUCAUUCUUCUCAUUUUGCAUCAGUCUGUCAACUAGAUGAGAGCCAAUAAAUCCAGCUCCUCCAGUAACUAAGAUUCUCAUGUUGGCCUGUCAUCAGCAAGCUAUUAAGUAACAGAAGAAGAUAUGCAGAGAGUACCAUAACUCACAUGACUCUAGUCAGUUUGUCACAAAACACUCUCCUUAACCUUAACUAUGAAGGAACAAUCAGCCAACAUAUGUUUUACAUGAAAAAUUACACAAUAAGAGAGUUCUUGACAGCUAUGACACAGAACAGUGGUGGAUAUGAAAACCAGAGAAUGUAUUGAAAAAAAUUAUAUGAUUCGGAAAACUUGCCUGCUUUUACCUAUGUACACCAGAAUUUCCGUAUAGAUAUAUUAAAAUUAUUAGCAAGUUUGGAACAAAUUUUCUGGGCACUGAAGAAAGUAUUAUGGUUAUCACAGCAGAUACUUGAUCUGACUAAUUUUAUAGCAGCAAGUGUUUUCCCAAAAGUAAAUGCGAAGGAACACAAAAAUUACCACUGGGACACCCAAUAUGCAUCUACUCAAAAUUUUGAUUCAAAUGCAGUCUACAUUAAAAUAUAUAUGGAAAACCAAACAAACAUUUAUAAAAGAAAGAGAAGAAAUUUUGUUUGCAAGUCAAUAACUUCUUCAUGUUCCAACAAACAACAUAAGGUAAGUAUAUCAUACAUCAAGCACAUAUAUUCUCCUAACCACAAAUGCAUACAGUUCACAGUUUGUGCUUAAAAAGAACCAUCUUGCUGGUUGCAACCUGAAAAAAUUUGGCAGUGCGCAAUGGAGAAGGUGUUGGAGGGGGUUUCGUGGAUCCAUUAGCAACUUCUUUCGACAUCUUCCCAGAUCCUUCUUCGAUUACUGACACCAAAAAUAUCCAAAUAAAGCACCUAUUAAGAUAAACCAAUCAAAUUCAAUACCACAUUACAAAUCACAAAUUAAUUCACAAUAAAAAAAGCAUCUUUUCCCAUAUGCCUCAUCAAAAUUCAAAAACUCAAUACCUGCAGAAAAAUAAAAUCUUUGCACAAAAAACCCACAAAUUUGCUUGAAAUUGGUAAAGAUCAAAACUUUAUAUACACAUCCAAAUGGGUUGUUGAUAAAAGGGCACAAAUCAUCCAAAAAACAUGUAAUAAUCACACCCAAUUAAAGAAAAAAAAAGAAUAUGAAAGCUUAGAGAACACGAAGAGUAAAGAGUACAAAAAGCUCAAAAGUGGAACCCCACUACAACAAACUCACCAAACAACAAUCAGAUCCAAAUCUCACCCAAAAAUCACAAAACAAAUUUGCAAAUCAAGAAUUAAACAGAGAAUUUAGAACAGUAAAAUUAGGAAAAAAAUCAAAAAAUUGUGAAGAUAGGGAUGAGAGAGAUAAAAUUAGUAGUACCUCUGAAUAAACACAAAGAUUUGUGAUCACUGAUCAAUGUGAAGUAGUGCGUGAAUAUAUGUGGGUUUUAUAUUGUAUAAGUAUAGAUAGAUAGAUAGAUAGAUGCAAUUAACAGGAGACGUGAAUUAUGUAAUUUGUGUCUUCAACAUGACGUGAACUUACUGGAUUCAUCUGCCACGUCAAUUACACAUAGGAACGGUAAUCACAUAAAUUUAUUGCUUAUCCUUUUAAUACGGUUUUGAAAUUUGGAGUUAGCAACAAAUAAUGUGUAAUUUUUGUCAGAUAAUUUUUUAUUUAAAAAUAUCUAUUAGAGGUAUUUUUAUAAUUUAUUUUAAAUAAAAAAAUUAUAGUUUAAUGAGCAUGUAAUAUAUAAUUCACUGAAAUUAUGUAAUUCUUGUCACAUAAUUUUUUCAACUAAAGAUCGCUAUCGGAGAUAUAUUUAAAAUUAAUAUUUAAAAAAUAAUACUACAGUUUUUACCUUUAAGAAGUAACAUAUAACAAUAAGUUUAAACAAGUAACCCAAAAAGUAGAUAUUAGAUAUAUUCUAUAAAUUUUAUUACUUACAUUCAUCCUAAUUCGAUAUACAAUUUGUUUAGGAAAAAUAAAAUUGUAAGUAGUUUUUGGGAAACAGGUCAGUCGCAAAAGUGCUCUGCCAACCGUUUCAACGAAGAGAUAAGCAAGUCGAUCACUAGUAUUUUACACUCACGUAAAACAGUUGACAAUGAGAUGAGUGUUAUAGAAUAGUAAGAAUAGUCAAGCACCAUGUCCAUGUAUGAUUAAAAAGCACAUGACUAUUUAACAUGGUUGGUAUAUAACCAAAAAUCACAUGACUAUUUAACAUGGUGGGUAUAAAUGGGAAUUGAAAUUAAUUAAUUAAACUAUCGGAAUUUAUCAAUUUUUUUGGAAGAAUUAAAGUUCGAGUAAAGGACUUAAAGUUUGUUUUACAAAGCAGGUGUGCCAUUUGAGUUUUGUCAAUCUCAUAAGCAGGAUUCUGUCGACAGACCUUGAUCAGUUGAUCAAGUGCAUCUGUAUUUUCUAAAAUUAUAUCCGACCUCUUCAAUUCCAAUCGCUCACUUAUCAGUUAUCAAGCCUUGUAAUUUCUUCAUCAGAUGAGUAAAAUGACGUGUGUGAUUCUACGUUUUACACCUUGUGCAUCCAGCUUCUUAAGUACAGGAAAGAACUCAGACACAUUAGCCUUACCUAUUUCAGACAAAAUUCCCUAAACCACGACUCUCAACUCCUUAGCGGAAUCCACAUAAGGGUUCACCCGGAAAACACCGUGUUGGAUAUAAAAUUCAGCGAGGUCCUAAAACCAGCUCGACUAAUAUCAACUGCCUCUCCAGUCACCAAGCUCAGUCACCUUCCUAUUACGUACAUUCUGAUUUGCAUUAACCGAAAAUAUGUUAGUAGUCACAAUUUUUCUGAGAUUUUUCCACCUCGGGCCAAUAGGCAAUUAUGCUAACGAGUACCUGGAAUGGUCACAAGCACAAAGAGCAUCUGAACAAACCUGCUAGAAAAAACAAGGUCUUGCUUCUGAAGCACUUCUCGAGCUAUAGUUGAUGAAGAAAUGACUAUUGUAGUUAUGCUCCCGAGUUAUAAACACAUGAUCGGACCAUAAAACUGGGCAAGUUCCGUGAGGGACGGACUGAUGAGGCAGCUUCCCUAUAUCGGCUAAAAUACCAAUGACAGGCCACUGGAGAGGUCCUGGAGGAAGGUUUUUGCCUCUGUUUGAGAACAAAAACAGAGAUUCUAAGAAUGCAAAAGCAAGUAUGAGAUAUACUACACCGAUUAACAAGUCCAUUUUGCUUAAACAAAGUGUUUUUAAGCCUGUGAAGUGAGAAACCUUGAGCAGUUGAGCUAUAUGCAUGAUUCAUGAAGCAACUCAAGGUGCAACUAGUGGAGAAUAAAAAUAGAAAAUUAAAUUAACGUAUUAACUAUUAAGUAGUCCUAUGAAACUUGUUUAAUUAAGGGCUGCUCCCUUAAUUAGCAGCCAUCCAUUGAGCCGCUUAUUUGGCGGUAUGCACGUGGCAUUCAUAUAAUCAUAUUUAACUUUUUUUUUUUUGGUCACAAUAUAAUCAUAUUUAACUUGACGUAGGUAAAAAAGGACCACAGUUUACGAGUCAUUGUUGUACCAAAUAAGUAAAACAAUCACUACUACCCUUUAAUUAUAAAUAACCAGCAUUAGAGUACUCUACCCUUUUUAAAGAUGGUAUUUACACUUUAUUUGACCUUGCAAUAUGUGGAAAAAUGGUGUUUCGUUGCUCUCUUUUUACACUAAAUUUGACUUUUAUUAACAUAAGGAGUGGUAGUGUUUUAUUAUUUUCAGUUUUACACUUAAAUUUACAUUUAAUUUGUAUAAAAUACAGAAAAUUCACAAAAUAAUUAUUCAUGUACGGACUAUUAUCACUUGCACCUGUAGAUUAUAUCAAAUUAAUAUUUGUAUUUGUUCUUAAUGCUGUAUUACUGUACACCGAGCUUUUUAUUAAGACCACAAAUUAAUAGUAGUUAAUCCUGAGUAAAAUCUUUUACCAUAACUGAAUAUAUUUAGCAUAAAAUACUAUACAAACAUAUAAAGUGGCUGUAGUUUAGUGGUUAGAAUUCCACGUUGUGGCCGUGGAGACCUGGGCUCGAAUCCCAGCAGCCACACUUUUUUUCCCAUUUUGCGACCCUUUUAGAAGUGUAGGGUUUUUAAAGAGCCCAAUACUCUUUUCUAUUUGCUUUUGUUUUUUUUGGAAGACGCACAAGUUGAAGAUCAACAAAACCUAGAAAAGGUAUGUAUAGAGGUCCAAUCUUUAGCUCAUAUUAUGUGAUAAUCCUGGCCUUUUUGAUUUGAUUAUAUUUCAAUGUGUUCUUUUCGGUUGUCAAGAAAUGCUGUGAAAUAAUAUGAUCUUUCUUGGGUUUAUGCAUAGUUAGUCAUCUAGAUCUAAGACCCCUUGAUGUGAAAUUUAUGUUUUAAGUAGUGAAGAUCACAAGGAAGUGCUAUAAUAAUGUAAAGGUCCAAUCUUUAGCGUUUAUUAUGUGAUUAUGUUGGCCUGAAUUAUGAGGGUGUGAAGUUGAUCUGGGUGUGUUUGAGGCUUUGCAUAAUUCAUGAUUGUAAGCUGAAGACUGUUUUGUGAGGGUAGUAAUAAAAUUCAAUCUUAUGAUCCGGUGAACAGAAUUCGGUGAUGAUGAGUCUAUGACAUAUAUAACCAAGAAAUGACUGGUUCACAUAAAUCCAAAAUCAUCACCAUCUCUAUGGCCACAUAAUUUGGGUGAGUGGAAAUCUUAGAAUUCUAUUUGAAGGAAAGCUCUGACACACACUCAAGCUUUUAAGAGGUGACUCAUUUCUAGGUCUUUGAGAAGUUUGACAUCAUUGUAUGAACAAGUUACGAUGAUGACACUUAAAAGUGACUUGAAAAGUUUAAUGCUGUUCUUUCUAGGUUUUACAGAUUAUGUUUUUCUAAUUUGCAGCAAAACCGCCUUAAGUAGACUAAAAGCAUGUCUGAUAUAGUUGAAUUGAAUAUUUAGUUCCAUACAUCUGAAAGUAUAGACAAUUAGCUCUGUUUUUGAUUGUCCGUUGUGUUUUUAAGUGCGAAACACGCUAAAAAUAUCUUCAAUCAGAACUCGUAUGGUUCGAGAUGUAGGGUUAAAGGGUUAAAUGAGCAUCUACUGUCUGUAAAGCGAAAAAUUUGAUUCUGGUGUUUUAGUAGCUCAUACAAAGAAAUUUGUCAAGAAUAAGUUUGUUGUAGAUUUCAACUUUACAAGCUCUCAAACAGAGUUUUUUGACAAUGAAAAACAUAACUCAUAUUAAAGAAAAACAAACCACAUAUACUAUGUAUGCCCUGCUUUGUAGACAAGGGUUUGGGGAGAGACGAUGUUCUAUAUGUAAACAUUACCUCUAUAUCUAAGAGUAGAGAAGUUUUUUCUGUAUUACUCAAAACUUUAAUUCAUCCUCUUGCUAUCAAAGCUUCAAUUAGAUGUUAUAUGUAUAUGUCUGUGUAGAUGUAGUAUAUAUGAUAUUACAGUAAAAGUGUGUUUAUUAUUAUGUUAAAAAUGGAGCUUGUUGCUUUUACUAUGAAUUAGAAGAAGUACGUACUGGGUAUUUUAGGUGGUUUUGAUGUUCUGCAGAUUAUAUAACUAGGAAAACUAAACGGGGCAUGUCGCUUUAUAUACAUUAUUGUGGUGUCAUCAGUAUAUCUUUUUUAACUUGUUCAUACAUUGCACGUCAAAGCAUUUGGCUGGCCCAGUAUUUCGAUUAUGUUUAAAUGGUAUAUUAUUUGGACACUCAUUCAGCUUUAAUAAUUGAAGACAAUUAAAAGUACACUUUAAUUAAUAAUUAUAACAAAAACAAAUCUAUUGAUAAAUUGGUUAAAUUUAACUCUUAAGCCAUCAAUGUGACUUUAGUUUAGGGCUUGAAUCCAAGCAGUCACACCUAUUUUUGAUUCUUUUUUUUGCAACCUUCUCUAAAGUAGGGUUUUUAUAUGAGACCAGUUGCUUAUUUUUCUUUCCUUUAUCAUUUUGGAGGGCGCAGAAGUUGAAGAUUGACUAAAGACAGCAAAGGUAAUUGCACAAUCUCAUGCUCUACACACACAGACACACACACACAAACAUCACUUAUUAGAUCACUGUAUCAUAUAUGUGUCAUUUUUUAAUGGAGUUUGACUUGGAUGUGUUCUCGUUGGUUCCUAGAAAUUUUGUAAUAUAGUGUGAUCUUUAUUGGGUUAUAUAUCCUCUAGAUCUAAAACCCCUUAUUGUGAAUUUAGUGAAGGUCAUAAAAAAUGCAAUAAUAAUGUAAAGGUCCAAUCUUUAGCUUAUAUUAUGUGCUUAUUUAGCUUAAAUAUUAAUGGGGUGAAAUUGAUCUAAAGUAUGUUUGAGGUGUUUAUUUUUAUUUACGAGGAUUAGCUAAAGAUGGUUUGUGAGGAUUUUUAAAAAAUUUGAUUCAAUGAUCAGGCGCACAUAAUUUGUUGACUACAUAGGGAAUGCCGCAUAUAUAGAAAAACUCUGAAAUGACUGAUGCACUCAAAUCACAAAUCACUGUACACCAUCUCUUUAGCUGCGUAAUUUGGGUGGAACUCAUCAGAAUUCCAAUCUGUCAAUUCAAGAAAUUCUCUCACACCCUUUGCGCCAUACAGUCUACGUCAGACCCUUUGGGUGACCUAAUAAAUAAAUGAUGGUUAAAAUUUGAGAAACGGGUUGUUAAAAUGAUUCAGGGUGUGCGUGAUAUUCCUUGAGAAGGUGUAGCAAUGGAAUUAUAUGAGUUACACCCGAAUUGCAUGGCUGAAGAGAUGGGUGUAGAAAUGGUAAGAUGGUGUGGUUUGUCGAUUGGAUGAAUUAUUGUUUCUGUCACUUGUAGUGAGUCUUUUCGUCCGUGUUAUGUUUCUCUUUGUGGUCAACAAACUUUGCUUGUAGUCACAUUAAUAAAGGAACACUGAUGGUCAGUAUUUCUUGGUACGAGUAUGAGGUACUGAAGUCUUAACAUUUGGAUCAAAAUUGUAACCUUGCAGAUGAUAGACGAUCAAGACUUGGGUUUCAUAGCCAACUUUCUUGGAAUCUUUAUAUUUGGUUUGGUAAUUGCUUACCAUUAUGUGACAGCUGACCCGAAGUAUGAGGCCAACUAGAUCCAAGAUGCAUGCAACAGUUUAUCUCAGUUACAUGUUUCCUUCAUGUUGAAGUAACAUUAAGUUGGAACAAUGCUGGCAUUUACUAUAUUAAAUGUUAGCAGUUUUUAUGCUAGACAUUUCAUUUACAUUUUGUUAAAGCUUAAUUAAAAAGUUGCACCACAAAUUCUGUCUUUGUUAAUCAAAAUCCCACCUGAAUGCUGUGGAAGACGCAAUCUGUUUUUUGACUAUGAUGCUUUCGAUUUUUAAACACUUUCCAUACAGUUUAGGGGCCUUAUCUUAAGCUGUCUGGAUGAGCUUCAAAAUUUACUUUCAAGCCCAAAGUUCCCCCAACAUGUAUACUUUACCUUGCAAGUAACUUUAAUUUCAUAGUUCAUACCUCAACAUUUUCCUGCUCAACCUGAACGAAGUGGGGAUCUGAUCGGGGUCGAGCGGUACGGGUAAAUGUCCAUCCCUGUUUCAUACCAACACCAUUUUCCUGCGCCUUUGGUUUUAUAAGGAUCAAUGUCAUAUAUCAAAUUCCAAAAGAAUAAUUAUGCGGUAAAUCACUAAACCGGUGAGGAACAUCUCAUCAAAUAUCUCGACUGGAGAUGUAAAUAUUUGUAGCUGAUUCUUACCAUCAAAUUGACUGUUUAUUCUUCAUAUCCGAUUAAGCAAAUUGUCAUUUUUCACAAAUAUGAAACAAUGUUACGCUGUUUCUGUGUGUGGAUGUAUCUGCCAAUUUGCCCUGUCACAUUUAUUUUUAAAGGUAACAGCUGUGAAUUGGUGAUUAUUUACUCUAAGAACUUAAGUAUAGCUUGCAGGCUGCAGCAGCAGUAGCAUAUGAAAACCAGUGCAAAACUACAAAAUAUCGUUACCAACAGCGAAACUUUACCACCACCCAAAAAUGCACUUGCGCAUGUAAACGUAACGAGAUAACAAGUACCUCUCUUUACGCGUUUUAUUGUACAUCAGAAUAACGAUAUUAGUUGUCACUUUUCCGGACUGAGGGAGUAUGUUACAUGAAAAUAGUGCAUAAAUCGGUGAAAACAUGAAAUAAGAAUUAAUCAGAAAUUAGUCUAAAAUUAACUAAAUGAUUAAUUAAAUUAUAAUUAAUCAGAAAUUUAAUAAAUUCAACGUCCUAUAAAUUAAUCACCUACUUUAUGCAUAUUUGUCACAUUUCUGAAUUCAGGAAAUAUGCUAGUUUUCAAGCUACUUUUUCGAGGGUGUUAACGUCGAGUCUCACAAUCUGAAAGAAAAUGUUCCCAAGCACCAAUAUCAGAGAAGACCUUCAUCUAUCAUUUUUCCAUUCAAGACACUAUAUCAUAUAGUUUCCAUCCUCCUUUUUCUUUUUAACAUUCCACGAUCUAACGUUUAAAAAUCCUAGACUCAUUACGACCUAGCAUUAGAAACCCUAGACGCUAAUUUAUGUAACGUUCUACUCCUAAAAUGCUACUCGUUUAGCAUUUUACAGUGAUUUUCAACCCCAAACGCAGUGUUUUCUUACCAAAACUGAAACACAAGAUAGUCAAACGUUACUGAAUGAUAUUUGAGGCCAUUUUUGGGCAUUAGCUAUAAGUUUUAAGACAUAUGGGACCUUUGCUGCAAUUUCGAAAAAGAGGUAGCAUGCUAGAUAUAUUUGCAGGACACGAGAGGGAUGAGGGAGUAUUGGCUGCUUUCCCAGGAAGGAGUACACCAGAAACAUUUGCGGGAUGUAAGGGAGGAGGUGAACUGAGGGAGUACGCUAGAAACAUACACGGGACUGAGGAAGAAUGCCGGAAGCAUUUGCAAAGUAAUUGCACAGCACUAAACCUCUUUUCCAGCUAAAUGGCCCAGUACCAUUAUAUGUAAGAACAGGUACAAUAACAUCUGCAACACCUAGCAUUAACUAAAAACCUAAAAAUAAUAAAACUAAAUACUAACAUCUAUAUUUUAAGUUUAAACCUCCCUCCCAAUAUUACUAUAAACUACCAUGCACAUUUUAAGAUACAGCAACUGAGUCUACAUACAAAAUCCUAUUAAAAGCAACAUCCAUCUGCUUGACUACUACAUCCAUCUACUUGACUGUUGAACUGUUGGGCUUUUGUGUGUGUGUGUGUGGGGUGGGGUUGGNNNNNNNNNNNNNNNNNNNNNNGUGGGUUGUCACGGUGCUGGUUGAGUUGCAUGUUUGGCUGCCCAUAAGUAGGCAAUAAACAUCCACAACACAACCAUACCAAUUAUAGUGGUUCUGACCACUUCUUCCCUGCUCAUGUUAGUACGAAGAUCUGAGUAGUGGGAUGGACCAACAUUCACAUGAUUAUGGUGAUUUGUGCUUGAGCUCGCCCCGGUGAUUUCUUCAUAAGUUUCAUCUCCAAUCUCUGUCGUCGUGAUUAUUUCAUCAGUACUAUCUCCAAGCUCUGUCUCGGCGUUUUCUUCAUUAAUUUCAGUUUCAAGCUCUGCUAUUGGGCUUGUCUGUAUGAUUUCUUCAUUUGUACUUGUUACAUUGCUACUGCCUAAACAGUUAACGCACGAGCACGUACCACCUAGGAAAAGAGGUAGUGUCUGUAGGAAUUCAGUGACGACCUCUUGGUAGUUAUCUCCUAUGAUCCUUACUUUCUGUCUAGUGGCAGGUUUGAGAACCUGACAAAAAUAAUAGUAUAAUACUUAAUACAUGAAAAGAUAUGACAGGCAACUUACAACUGCUCCAAAUGUAAUAUUAUAUUGGCUACCACUUGGUUCUCAUGCACAGAUAGAGUUGAGAGAGAAAACCUGCCUGAAAUAGAGUUUGAAUUAUCAUACGUGCAACCGCAGGAAGCCGUAUGAUAGCCAAGCAAGCAAGACGUGUUGGAUAGUGAUCUUGCAGCAGUGUAGCACACGAUCGCAAUAUUUGCAUCGGAAAACCAAAUGGUGAUAAUCCCUUGCAAUCCAUCAAAACCGUAAUUUGAGGAUGCCUCCUGUCAACGAGGUUCAAAACUCCGUGUUCUAUCUGGGAAACUAAAAGAGCAAACUGUAAUUGAUUAAUCUGCUUAAUAAAACAUUAUGAAUUUAGCUAGGAGAACAAAUAAAAAUAAGAUAGUAGCAUAUCAAUGGACGUAGGUAUGUGAAAUGAAGCAACUCAUCCAGUUAUCAUCUGAUAGUAACCUUUAGUUGACCAGUUAAUAUCAUUCCAGGUUUCACCAACUUACUUCAAACAAUAUAGGGUUAGUUCUCAACCUAAUGAAAGCAAUCAAUCAAGCUAGUACAGGCAAUCAGGUCAAUGAUAAGCGCUUUUACAAUAUAGCUUAAAAAGAGGAAUCAAGACUCGUCGAGCUUUACUUUGACUUGUUACUAAUUGAAACAAGUUACUUAAAUGUACUUAAUAGAGAAUACUCACCAACUGCUUUAGCAAAUACGGGCUUAUUGCUAGAACUCAGGUUGGAGCAAGCGAGCCCAAGACGGAUAAUGAGACAGGGUCUUCUCUUAACAUCAUAGCCAUGCCAGAAUACAAAGCAAUCCCAGUCCUUAAGUUCAUCUGGGGAUAACAUAGUGUAAGUUUGUCUCCAUUGUAUCGUCUUCUUCACUGCUGUAACAAACCUUGAGAAGUCACCAUUCGAAGCAGCAUAAAAUCUACAAAGCUCAUCCUCGUCAAGCCUGGAGAGGCAUAUCAUCCAGUUUAACACAGUUAAGAUACAGAUGACUAAUUUUCAAAUGGUUAAUGUUUCUUAGAUCAAAAUUUUCAGGCUUUGUGGCACAGUAAAGUAUCUAGACAUAUCAUCAAGUUUUAAUCCUUAAAAGUAAAAUUACUUUAACAGAAGCAUCAUAUCUAAGGAGUUGUGUCUGCAGUCCUUACCUUUCAGGUAAAGUCAAACCCUCCUCAUUUAACUUCUCAUGCAAGUCUUGCAACCACUUCCUGGAAACAAGAACUCUCGGAGCUUCAUUGGUGGACCUGGAAAAUCAUAUUGACCAACAAAAUGGAAUUUAUAUACACGCAAACAUCAUAUUAGCAUAUAUAAUGAUAAUCUACAUUAUCCAAAUUGCAAAGGAGUAUUGUUAUACUAGUUUAAUUCGGUGACUGAGAUCAAGAAUAUAAAUAUCAUCAAUGACCGAGACAAAUUUAAUUAAACUGGUGGCAACUCAUAGAACUGAUAUUAAUCUGAGCAGGUUUGGUACAUGUCAUGACAAGUAUACGGCUUUAAAAUUCAUACAAAGACUGGACAAAGCUGUAGCUCUAGAUUACUAGCCUAGGAAACACAAAAAGGCCAAGUGACUGCAAAAGCAAGUUUCUUCAGGGUAGUAAGAGGGCCUGACGCUACCAAACAACCAUACAAAUUUACCAGACCUCCCAAGUAUGAACAAUAUCAAAUGGGGAACACAGUAACACACUACAGCAUAUAUCACAAGAAAAAAAAAAAGCGUUCUUGCCAGAUCACAGGAACUUACUAAGCCAAAAAUAUGAGGAAUUAUUUAGUGCUUGUACUUGCAGUAGAAUUCAAUUUCUUACCUUACGUCUGGACUAGAUAAUUGAGAAGGUGACCCCGACUGUGUUUCGUAACCAUCUGGAGAGGCAUAGGAAUUGUCACAUGAAGAUUCAUCAGAGAAAAUUGUUGCGAUUGACAGAGCUAACAUUGGCUUCGACAACCCCUAGCAGAAAUAAGUAUCAUCAGUACCAUUAAUAUAAUCACAAUUUACAAGAAACAACUAUUAAAAGAAUCCUCGAAUAACGAAAACAAAAUUGUUGGCCAGUCCAUAUGAUAUAUAAUCAAGUGUUGGAUCGGAAAGAAAGUCUAUGGCAGUCCAGUUUCCUACAAAUACUGUGAUUGCGUUUCCAUCUUCUCUCAAGCCACUAAGAUGGAAUACCACAGUAUAGCUUGCUUGCUGUCCAUAAAAUUGGCCUAAUAGGAAAAUCCUAUCAGUAUCAAAUAAUCAAUACACCAAAUACAGGCUCAGAGCCAUUAGUCACCAUGCCAGUAGAGACAGAGGAACUACCUAAUUUGAAGCACUCGGAGUUAAUACCUAGAAAUCAAUGAUAUGGAGAUGCACGAAUUUAACAAAUCUAAAAAUAUUGGGAUCUGGUGCUUACUGCUUGGGGAUGCAGCUUAUCUAAAAAUGUUACAAAUAUACAUCUUGAUGAUGUUAUCGUAUAUUAAAUAUAAAAUCUAUAAGAAUUCAAGGGUAAUACAAUUCAAUAGAACCAGAAACUAUAGAAAAAUUUCACAAAAGAAAAAUCUUUAAUAUGUGACAGUAUACCAGUAGUAAAGAUUAAAGAAUUAUGUCAUUGCCCAGAAACUGCGGUACUUAUGUGGUACACACGCAAGUACAACAUAGUACACAAUGCUAUUACACUUUUAAGACAUCAUUUUUCAUUUGUUGCCUACUCUACUCUACCCACUACUCGACCCUAUAGGUGAAUACAAGACUUUACAUACAUCAUAUAUGACAGCUGACAGGAUAACGGAUAACCGAUAGAGACACAGUGGUCGGUGGACUGAAACUAUGAAAGAAGGCCAGAUUCUUUAAAACCCACUAUCUCUCAUCCUUUGAUUACAAAAUCUGCCAUCCCCGCACCCAACACCCCAACGCGCUCUUGCGGACACGUGUCGUACCCAUGCGUCUUGCCCAUUAAACAACUAAUAAAUAUGAAUAACUUGACUGAUAUAUAUUGAAUUGCUUCCUAAUUCGAAAUGGAGAAGAACUUUGAUUAUGAAAAUGAAUUUGCCUCAUUUUUGAACUCAUAUUGAUUAAAGUUUAAUCCUAUUUUGCUCAAUGCCGUGAUAAAAUAUAUAAUAUAUUUUGAGAUAAUUAAUUGAAAUAUUUUUGAAUUUUAUGACACCAAAAUUCCAAAUAAUGGAACCAAAUGCAACGAGAUCUAGCAUCGAUUUGAGAUACAAAUAGCAUAGUCUUUUAAAACUAGCCUUCUGUCACCAAAAAUUUCUAAGCAGCACAAGCUUGUCAGACUAAUGGACAUUCCCCAACUAUGUGGAGGAAUGCGAGCUAAGAAUAUCAAGGUUACCCGUAAAGGCUCCCUUUGUUUCACAGAGAACAUUUUGCUGGUUUCAGAUAUUCUGGUGUUUGUUAGAAUUCUAUUUUACAGAUUUCAUGUCUUUGUUUAGUUUAGGAAAAAAAGAUAUAUCUAUCAGAGUAUGAAAGUUACUUAAAAAAUGAAAUGCUUUAAACUUUCACAGGAAUUAGUGUCCUCCAUUUUGAGGAUUUUCCCUCCACAUAUUGAACAAUUACUCAACAAAAAUAUAUGCGAAAAUAUAAAACAUAUUUUCACACAUAUUUUUGUUCAGUAAUUGUUCAAAAUGUUAGUUCCAAAAAAAUAAUUAAUCAGCAAACAAAUUGUUCAAAAUGCUAUUUCCAAAAAAAUGUUCAAAAUUUAGGAGAAAUAUGUUUCCACUUUUUUUUUUUGAAAUUUCCGCAAACGAAUAUUAUUCCGGAUUUAUUUUCUCUGAAAAUCAAGUUAAAUUUUGGCAAACAACCGGACACGUACAGAAGUAUAUCAAGAUGCCCAUUUCUAGUAGGUGGAUUGUGAAUGAACUAGAUUACAAUGAUGCGACUCCUGUACAGUCAAUUAAUACGCAACAAAAUGAAAGAGAGCUUAAAGAGUAUUAGGAAAUGCAACUUAGGCACUAGAAACAUGGAAAUUUAAAACGGUAAGACAGUAAUAGUGAUACCAAACCAACCUGCAUAUUCUUAACCAAGCCCUUGAAAGGAGUCCAUCUCUCAAUCCACCUGAACGGUGGAUAGCACAGAAGCUGGAGAGCCUGGAGCCCUUCCCAGACAAUUGGGAACUUCGCAUUUGAGAUCCUCCGCACAACUUCUAGCGCUGCAGUUUUAAGAAGAAACACACCUAUGAUACCCACAACCGGAUGUGCUACUCCCUUUUUUAUAAAAGAAACACAUUGCAAACUCUUCUUAGAGUACGCCUCUGGAACUGAACCAACCAAACCUACUUGGUGUGCCAUUCUAGUAUUAACAUCCCUCGUCUCUAAGUUCUCACUUGAACCAGAUACCGAUACAGAGUUCCCCAUUCAACUUCCUUGCAACGUCAACUGAUACAUGUUAAAAAAAUAGUAAAUCUGCAUGCCUAUAAUAUACAAGGAAACUACACAUAAAAUUCUAAACUGAAAAGAUUCCGUAACAUACCUAUAAAAUACAAUUAAUUCAGAGAAGUCAAGUCUAACGUCAUGCAUUUGUCUUCGUGCAAAAGAGACAGAGAAAUUAUAUGGCGGUAUAAAAUGCGCUCAUAUGAAACCCUAGAUGACUUAAAACAGUAUACUGAGUAUAAUGACUGAACGCACUUAUUCCAAAAAUAUACUUUACUGCGCUUUAACUUUUUCUGGUCUUAUUUUAGAAAUCCAAUUAAAAGAAAUCCCUAGGCUGUAGCGUGAUCAACACGUCUAUUAAGACAUGACAUAUUAGGGUAGUUAUAAAUGGAUAUAUAAACUUUAUUAACAAUAAUCGCUCACCAUUUCUCAAUUGAUAUAUGUCACGAUUCUCUCCAUUUCUCACACAAUAUACGUCACGAUACUCUCCUGAUUAACAUUAUACGCAUCAAAACUUUCUAACGAUGUUCACUCCUAUUUUAAUGAAUCCAACCGUCAACUGAUCUUUCUAUUUUUUACAAUUCAAUACAACUGUCGUUAUAACCGUACUCUCUCAAUACAUUCCAGAACUUUUCCAUCAUGAUAAGAUUUCAUUCUUUCCAUAUCAUGACAACCUUACCCGAAAAUGAAGGUCACCAACAGCUGAGCUAAAUUGAGAUUACAAACACCAUUCUCUUCACAAAAAUAACGACUAAACUACCUCUAACUGAACUAAAAUAAUACUUAAUCAAAGGAAUCACUCCGAAAUCAAACUCCAACUCAAAACACAUUACAAAAUCACAUAAACAAACAUAACAGCUUAGCAAAAUUAAACAAAAACACUACAUACAGAAUCACAAAAACAAACAUAACAACUUAACAACAUCAAACAAAAACACUACAUACACAUACACAGGCUAACAAUAACAGUGAUCACAAUCAAUAAGUCAAUCACAGUGAUAUUAAACAAUCAAAUAAUAUUAAAAUGAGUAAAUUAAAUCUUCUAACAUAGCAAACAAAAAUUAUCCGAAAAAAUAUUCAAAAUAAAUACAAACACAUACACAAUCGCAUAAAAAAUAGAGGCGAAGAUGAUUUUACCUUGUUAAUUAGAGUGUUGAAAAACACAUAAUAUGAAAUGAAGAAUUUGUGACACGGAUAUGGAGGAGGAUGAGUUAGGGUUCGGGGAGAAUUGGAGAAGCUUCGUGAGUUUAUGAGAACUCAGAGUCGGUGAAUUGCGACUACUAAAUUUAUUAUUUAUUAUUUAUUACGUAUUUAAACUGGUUUUUUAUUCUGACAAAAAUUAAAAAAAGUUGGUAUUUUUCAUUUUUUUAUUAGUAUAUUAUAAUAAGAAUAAUAAUAUAAUAUAAUUUAGAACGGCGGAGGNCAGCGGCAUGCUAGGUGAAGGCAGCAGGAGUGAUUAAGUCGAAUCAAGAUGUACAAAUUUAGUUCGGUUUGAUUUUGAUUAUCUGAAAAUUCGGUUUAUGUGAUUCAGAUUUAAUAUAUCGAAACAAAAUUCAUAUUGAUCCGAUUUUUAAAAGAAUAUUCGAUCCGUGUCAAAUAAUAUAUAAUAUAAAUUUAUAUUCAUAUAUUUUUUAUAUAUAUCUUAGAGUACUGAGUAAGUAAUUAUAUUUUGAUAACUUGUACUACUUUAAAUUUACAAUUUUAAGACUGAUUUUUAAGGUCAACAAUUGUGUGGCUGAAGAAAUGUUUUUUUAACAGGUUAAUUAUCAAGUUGGUCACUGAAGUGAGCUUAAUGUAUCAAGUUGGUCACUGAACUCAAAACGGUAUCAAGAUGGUUACUAAAGUCACCAUAAAUAUCAAACAAGUACCUUGAAAUAUGAGUUCAAGUAGUAAAAAUAUUAUUUAUAAAGUUUUACACAUUAAUUUUAAAUGUUACCACAACCAGCUAAAAGGUUAUGACUUCUAGUAUUUAAAAUAAUAGAAGUUCCACCAAGAUUCAUCACAUGGAUACGGGGUUGUGUUUGCACCACUCAGUUUUCUGUCAAACUUAAUGGAGCUAGUGUGGGGUUUUUCAAGGGUGCUAAGGGGCUGCGUCAAGGUGACCCAAUAUCGCCGUAUCUCUUCACUAUUGCUAUGAAUGUGUUCUCCUCCAUUCUCAACCAAGUCCCUAGUGGCUUUCAGUUUCAUUGGAAAUGCAAAGAGCUCAAGCUUACCCAUCUUUUCUUUGCUGAUGAUGUCCUUAUCUUCUCUAGGGGCGACAGGACGUCCAUUGAGCACAUAAUGGCAUCCCUUGCUCUUUUCUCACGGGUUAGUGGUCUCUCUGCCAACCUUUUGAAAAGUACUUGUUUUCUUAACAACUGUGAUACCCUGUUGAAGUCUUGGUUUGAUCACACCUAUGCUAUCCCCCAUGGCACCUUGCCUGUGCGCUUCCUUGGCGUCCCCCUUAUCACAAAGCAGCUUUGUGUUAAUGACUGCAUGCCUUUAAUUGAAAAAUUAACUGCUAGAAUUGAUGAUUGGACAAACAUUCUGCUUUCUAUAGCUGGGAGAGUCCAACUCAUUAAAUCUGUCCUUUUGGCCAUGGUCUCCUUCUGGACGAGGCACUUCAUUCUCCCUAAGGGUAUACAUCACACCAUUCAAUCCAUCUUGACCCGGUUUUUGUGGAAGGGUUCUCUGGCUGUAGGUGGGGCAAAAGUGGCUUGGGUUGAUCUUUGUUUGCCCAAAGAGGAGGGUGGCCUCGGUAUUCCUAACCCGGCUACUUGGAAUGAAGCUCAAAUCCUCUCACACCUUUGGAAAAUUGUAAACAAAGAUUGUACAUCUUUAUGGGUCAAUUGGGUCAUUCGAACUGUCAUCAAGCACAAGUCCUUUUGGAUGCUUCCAAUCCCAACUGAUUGUUCUUGGAUAUGGCGAAAGAUUCUCACCCUUCGUGACUCUGCUCGAGGCCACCUCAAUUUCAGAAUUGGGAAUGGAGCCACGACAUUGCUUUGGUUGGACCCUUGGUUCAAUUCGACCCCUAUUGCCUCUUGUCCCAGGGAUCCUAUUAUUUCUUAUCUUGGCUCCACCCCCCAAGCCAAGGUUUCUGACUGGAUUUCUCAAGGGCAUUGGGCAAUCCCGGAUCCUAUUUCUUCUCAGCGUCGCAGCCGAGCCCGCUUUGAUGACUGGUUGGCGACCUUCACUUUUCCCCCUGUGUCCUCCAAUCCUGAUCUGCUUUUUUGGGACUCUAAUGCAGGAAGCAAUGUUACUGCUCGUCUUAUAUGGGAUACAAUUAGGCACCAUGGCCAUGGUGUGCCUUGGUUUUUUGCUGUGUGGUUCAAACAGGGGAUCCCUCGCUAUCGCUUUCACUCUUGGUUAGUUUGUAAGGAACGCCUUGGCACCCUUGACAGACUCGACCAUUGGGAUCUCACACCUACUUUACAGUGUUAUCUUUGUAUUGGUGGAGUGGAAUCUCACUCCCAUCUAUUCAUGCACUGCCCUUAUACUUCCUAUAUCUUGGAUUUGCUGUUUGCCCCUAUUUACAGGAUUCGGAUCUUACCCCACUGGAAAUGGACGCACCUCCUCGAGCAUCUCAUGACCUGUCCUGAUCCUACCAGGCGAACCAUAUCUCUCAUUGCUGCCCAGGUUACUUCCUACCACUUAUGGCGAGAGAGAAAUGCUAGAAGACACAACAGAGGCUCCUUUGGCCCACGAAAGCUUCUUCAUGGAAUCAUCACUGACUUACAGGCUCGAAUUUUUGGGGAGCCUUGGUUCAUUGCUGCUGUUCGUAGUAAUUGUAUUCUGAGAACUUGUAUAUCACAAUUUGACUAGCUCUUGGGACUGUUUAUUUAUGGGGUUGUUCUGCCCUCUUCUUUCUUUGCUCGACUCUCUAGUUUAAAUCUGUUGUCUUAGAUUUAUCUUAGAGAGUCAUAGAUGGCAGGAUAUUUUGUACAUUCUUUUCUCUUCUAAUACAUAUCUAUUUAGCAAAAAAAAAUAAAAAUAAUAUAUAUAUAUAUAUAUAUUUUAUCAAGUUUAUUUAUAAUUUAUAUUUUAUUAUAUAGUUAUUUUUUUAAUUAAAAAUAAAUAAUAAAUAAACUUGAUAAAAUCUAAAUAUAUUAUCAUAUAUAUUAAAAGUCAUAACCUUUUACUUGGUUUUGGUAACAUUCAAAAAUAAUGUGUAAAAUUUUAUAAAUAAUAUUUUUACUGCUUGAACUUAUAUUUCAAGGUACUUGUUUGAUAUUUAUGAUCACUUCAGUGACCAUCUUGAUACCAUUUUGAGUUUAGUUACCAAUUUGAUACUCCCUCCGUCCCAUUUUAUGUGACCUCAUUUCCUUUUUGGGACGUCCCAAAAAGAAUGAACCUAAAAUACUUACUAUUUUUGAACACUACUUUUUACUAUUGGGAUAAUUAAUUUAUAGGUCCUUGAACUUUGGCCCAUUUUUGGUUCGCGUCCUUGAACUAAGUUUGUCAACGUGCGCAUCCUUAAACUUUGUAAAUUUUCAACUCAGGUCCCUCCGUCAGUUUUUAACUAACGGACGUUAUCUUAAAUUUGGGGGUUUUUGAUUCGUUGAUGGAUUGAUGAAACUGAUGGCAUGGGAAGUUUCGGGAGGUCAAACUGAAGAGAUUCAUGUAGGUUUCGAUGGCGGAAGAUUGCCAAAAUGGUAGCCGGAAUCAAUGGUCAUUUUCCGGCCGCCGGAGAGAUUGUCACCAUUCUGGCAAUCCUCCGCCAUCGAAACCUACAUGAAUGUCUUCGGUUUGACCUCCCGAAGAUUCAUAUACCAUCACUUUCAUCAAUUCAUCAUCGAAUCGAAAACCCCCAAAUUCAAAACCCUAAUUCACUAACUUCCGUUAGUCAAAAACUGACAGAGGGACAUGAAUUGGAAAUUUACAAAGUUUGAGGAUGCGCAUAUUGACAAACUUAGUUCAAGGACGCGAACCAAAAAUGGACCAAAGUUAAAGGACAUAUGAAUUAAUUAUCCCUUUUACUAUUACACCCACUAACUCUAUAUUUUAUACUCUCUUAUUAUUAAAUAAACACUAUUACACCCACUAAUUUUCUCCACUAUCCCAAAUCUAUUAUUAAAUAUUGAUAGGUCCCACCACUUUACCCACUUUUCAACUACAUUUACUACUUUUUUCUUAAUCUCCGUGAAAGUCAAACCCAUUCAUAUAAAAUGGGACGGAGGUAGUACAUAUUAAGCGCACUUCAGUGACCAACCAGAUAAUUAACCUUUUUUUUAAACAUAUUAAGGGCUCUGCUCCAAGUUAUAAGAUGUUGUUGACAGUCUUAAAGACAACAUGGGCAAAAAUGUUUACAAGAGCUCUAUUUUGUAAACGCGAGCUAGCGCGGUUCGAACUCAUUUAACUAGGCUUGGUUAGACUUGUUAAACGAGCCGAAUUUGGGUAAAGGUUUCGGCUCAUUUAAAAACGAGUCGGCUCGACUCGGCUCAUGAAAUUAAACGAGCCGAGUUCGGGUAGAUGUUUAGACUCGAUUAAGUGUAAAAUUAUACGAGCUGACUCGCUCGACUUGUUAAAACCAACUCGUUUAGCUAAAUGAGCCGGGUCGACUCGAUUUGUGAAAUUAAACGAAUCGAGUUCGGACAGAAAAUUAGACUCGUUUAACUAAACGAACUGGUUCGACUCGAUUAAAUUUGACUCGAAUUAGGCCCGGCUUAAAACUCGACAGGCUCGACUUGUAAUACCCUAUCUGUGUAUAUAUGUGUCGACUGUGUGUACUGAACAUAUUCAUCUAAUCUAAAAUUCUCAAUCAAUUUGUUACGCACAAGAUGAAUUAUUAACAAUAUUUGUGUGGAAACUGGGCAGUGGACGACAACCCGACUUUAGUUUUGUAGUUGGAUGGUUAAAAAGAACAUGUACACUUUCUAACAUUGUGUUUUUUGACUUUUACGAACUUUAAUUUCUAUAAUUUAUAAUAUUUUUAUACAAAUAUAGUUUAUAGUCUUUAUUUGCAUACUUACAAAAUAUUUUGAUUAUAUUACUUGUUUAUUCAGAAAUUUUAUUUCUCAUACUUUUUACACAUCGAGAAAUUUGAUUCAGAUUUAACAAAUGACACGAAAUUUUAUUUGUGCAGGAAUUUUACUUCUUCAGAUUUUUUUUUACUCAUCCAUAAAUUUGAUUUAAAUUUAAACAAAUGAUCUCUUAAAUUACGAGAAAUCAAUAAUACUAGGUUUUUCUAAAAUAAAAUUACAAAUUUCAAAACAAAAGUAAAAAUUGAAUCUUGAGUUUCUUUAUGGGGUGAAUCUGCUUUAUAAUUCUAGGCACAUUCACAGAAGCUUGAGGUUUGGAUGUUAAAUUGAUUAGAUCAAGAUGAAAUAAGUCUCUAAGAAAGACCAGCUAAAAAAUGUAAUAAAUAAUUUAAUAACUAACUUAACAGCACGAAGCUUAGAUAGAAGAAAGAGGAGGGAGACAGAUCAAAACUAGUAUGAAUGUGUUGGGUUAAUUUUAUAUGGUAAACUGGUGACUCUUUUCAUUAGAUUUAUGAUCGGAAUAUAGUGGUUACACUAAAAAGUUUCUUUGACGAAGAGUGUUUUCUUUUGUUGAUAUUAUUGUAUCAUUCGACAACUAUGUAUAGUGUAUGCUGACAAGGCCUAAGGCCUACUGAUAUGAAACCACAAGCACAAUAGACAAUUAUACAGUAGGUGAGAUGAAGCGUUUAAAUCUAAACACAUUAGAUUACGGUUGUUAGGGAAUAAGGUGGAAAAAAGUGUUGGACGAGAAAAUAUUAGAAUUUUUUUUUUCGCUUGAUAAUAUUGUAUUUUUCAACAAUUUUUUCCGUCUUAGAAUCCGGAUCCUUGGAUUAAUUAUCUGGUUUCUUAUAAUCUGAACCGUGAUCUUUGUUAUGAGAAAUUUACUUAAAUUUAUUAAAGCGACUUAUAGAGUCUAGUCAGUCAAUGUUGUCAGCUGCUUCCUAGAAGAUAACUGAGUGGAGUUUGUCAAUCAACUUUUUCAGCAACCAGCUCUCUCCUUCCUCCCAAGUCCUGAUGAAUUUCUCAUUCUUUCUCUGAAACAUAUAAGAGCUCCUUACUUCUACUAGACACUCAAUUCUCGCAUUCUCUUUUGUUAUGCAAAAUGGCCAGAGGAGAAGAGCCUGUGAUCGGAAUCGAUCUCGGAACCAUGUACUCAUGUGUUGGAGUUUUUCAAAACGGUCAUGUAAAGAUAAUUGCCAGUGAGCAUGGUGGGAGGAAGACACCAUCUUGUGUGGCUUUCACUGAUACUGAGAGGCUUAUUGGCGAAGCUGUAAUUGACCAGGCUGGGAUGAAUGCUGCUAACACUGUCUUUAGUAAGUAUUCUUGCUAUUUUAUGUCUGUUUUCGGUAAGGAUCGAAUUAGGACAAAUUUAAAUAUUCACGCGCACAUAUUUAAGCAAAGGCCAUCGUCUUAACACGUUCAGGUUUUGGGAGGAUCGAGAACUUAACAUAUCCGUUAGGACUUGGGCCAAAUUUUAUUUAUUCUUCAUAGGCAGUGUGGUGAUACAUUUUUGUAGCGUUUCUCACUUCUUAAUGUUGCAAAAGCAUUAAUUAAGAUUCAAGUUAGCCUAUAACUGACAGAACUAUUGUUUGUAUGAUCCUAACAAGAACUCUGUAGUUUCUUCACUCCUUUACCUCUAAACCAUUUUAUAGCUUAAGAUCUAGACCUCGAAGUUCACGAGUACAACCGGCGCUGAUGUAUUUUUCAAACAAACUACUAAAAAGUUAGAUAAUGUAGCAUUAUUUUUGGAAUAAGUGUUAUUGUAGUGUCUUAAGAUUAGCAGACCUAUUUAAGAUAAUACUCCAUUCCGAUUUCUGUUUAAUCUGUCAUAAUCUCCGCAUUAUCUGUGAGAUCAGUUUCAACCCUAAAUGCUCUCCCUUGCUUACCCAAAAUAAUCAAAAACAUAGGUUGGGAGGGGACUUUUGUUACAUUUUCCGGAUGACUGAGGAAUAAGAUCUGAAGGCGCAUAAAAAAAAAUUAAGUUGAUUACAAGUUAUUCUGCUAAACGUGUCCAUGAUCUGAUGUUGCCUGUCCAAAAAAAGUAAUUCUUAUCCUUGUUACUAAUAUUGUGAUUUAUAAAACAGAUGCUAAACAGCUGAUAGGCAGAAAAUUCAGCGACUUGUCUGUACAGCGCGAUAUAAAAAACUGGCAGUGUAAAGUGUUCUCAGGUCCUUUGGAAAAGCCCAUGAUUUUGGUCAAUUACAAAGGUGAGGAGAAGCAGUUCUCGGCAGAAGAGAUCUGCUCCAUGGUUCUCGUAAGGAUGAAGGAAAUUGCGGAGAAGCAUCUUGGAACAACAGUAAGAAAUGCUGUUAUCACUGUCCCUGCUUACUAUAAUGACUCUCAGCGCCAAGCAAUUAGAGAUGCUGGAACCAUUGCUGGCCUGAAAGUAAUGCGCACAAUUGCUGAGCCAACUGCAGCUGCAGUUGCUUAUGGUUUUGACAAGAAGCUGGCAGGAAUCGUUAGUUCAGACGGGGAAAAGAAUGUGCUCAUCUUUGAUCUUGGUGCUAGUAACUGUAACGUGUCUCUUCUUACAAUGGAAGAUGGUAUAUUCGAAGUGAAGGCUACACAUGGUGCGAGUCAGUUUGGAGGGGAGGAUUUUGUUAAUCGUAUGGUCAAUCACUUUGUUGAGGAGUUCAGAAGGAAAAACAAUAAGGACAUAAGUGGUAAUGCGAAAUGUAUGAGAAGAUUGAAAAAAGAAUGUGAGAAGGCAAAAAGGUUGCUCUCCUCUGUCCCAGUGACCAACAUUUAUUUGGAUUAUUUUUACUACGAUGACAGUUUCUCUGCAAAUAUAACUCGUGAUGAUUUCAAUGAGUUAAACAAAGAUCUGUUUGAAAGUUGUGUGGAGCUGGUCAAGAAGUGUUUGAGGGAUGCGCGGAUUGAUAAAAGACACAUCCAUGAGGUGGUCCCUGUAGGUGGAUCUUCUAGAAUUCCUAAAGUGCAGCAGUUACUGAAAGAGUUUUUCAAUGGGAAGGAGCUGUCCAUGGGUUUAAAUACCGAUGAGGGUGUUGCAUAUGGCGCAACUGUCCAGGCUGCGGUUCUGAGUGGCAGAGGCGACGAGAGGUUUCAAGACUUGAUGCUGUUGGAUGUUAAUCCCUUAUCCCUUGGAAUUGAUAUUAAUGGUGAAAUGUCUGUCAUUAUUCCUAAGAACUAUAACAUUCCCGCUAAAAAGUUUAAGAUUUUUCCAACCACUACUGACAAUCAGGUUGCCGUGUUCAUCCAAGUGUUUGAGGGUGAACACAAAUUGACAAAACAUAACAAACUGUUGGGAAAAUUUGUAUUCUCUGGCAUUCCUCCUGCGCCUAGUGGUGUUUCAAAGUACAUAGUGUACUUUGAUAUCGAUGCAGAUGGAUUGUUCAAUGUUUCUGCAGAAAAUGAGAAUUCAGAGCCGUUGGAGGAGAUAAAAGUGCCAACUUACGAGGAUAGAUUUUCAAAAGAAGAGCUUAAGAAGUUGGUACAAGAAGCUAAGAAGUACAAAGCAGACGAUGAAGAGAACAAAAAGAAGAUGGAGGCAAGAAUUGCUGUAGAGUCUUACUUCUAUAACUUGAAGAACAUCAUCAGUGACGAGAGACUAAGUUCCAGAUUUGGGGUAGCCAGCAGGAAGAAAAUGAAGGAUGCUAUUGAUAUCGAAAACCUGUGGUCAAAUGGGAACCAGUUUGUAAAGUUGGAGAACUUGGAGGAAAUUAUUAAGGAGCUCAAGGGACUCGCAAUAUUUUAACAAUGCUGCACUUCUGGGAAUCUUGAUUUUGCCGUGUUGAUAAGUAAGAAUUGCUCGUUUUCCAGUUGAUCAGCUUGUGCAGAGGGGGUAUUCCUAAAGAUUGAGGAGGGUUCUGUCAAGGUCUUGUACCUGCUUGUGUUUGCUUUGGUUGAAAAUUCUGUUUUAUAUUUUAUCUGGUAUCAUGUUCCAUUAUACAGCUUAUAUUACGUGAAUAUAAUAUAAUUCUGGAAAAUAAUUAUAAAAUGUUACCUGGGUUAUAUGGUGACACAUAUGACAUAAAUAAUAUUCAAAUAUUAGAAAAAAGACCCAACUAUAUAAAAAUAUUAAAAUAUUCAUUAUAAAUGACAAGUAAGAUCUUAAUUCAUAUCCAUACCCAUAUUCCAUAUAUUCCAUAUAUACUUAAUACAUGCUAGUGAAUACAAUGGUACGGAUAUGAAUAGUAUGAAUAGAUAUAAAAUUUUAAUUAUCUAUUUAUUAAGAUUAUCGCAAUAGUAUGAAUAGAUAGUAUUUAUAAUACUAUUUAUUCAAUAGUAUGAAUAGAUAUAAAGUUUAAUUUUUUAUAAAUAAAUUUUUUCUAUAUGAAAUCAACAUGGAUAAUUUGAUAUUAUACGAACUAGGAAGAGUAAUCGUGCUCAUCGUAGUUUAUAUAAUUGUUGUUAAUACUAUUAUAAAUUUGCAUACUUUUUAUCUUUUUUUUUUGAUAAAAAUCGUGAUUUUUUUUUUUGUAUUAAUAAUUAUAAAAUCUUAAUGGGAGCUCACGAAGCGCGGGCAUAAUUGCCUAGUACAAUAAAUAACAUGUAAUAUUUGAAUAACAAAAAGAAAAUAUAUAAUUUCCAUAAAAAUCUACUCCCUCCGUCCAUCAGAUUCUUUACAGUUUUUUUUUGAUGUCCCAUCCAAUUCUUCACAUUUCAAAACUUAACAAAAUUAGUCGAUGGGUCCCACCACUACUCCCUCCGUCCCUUUUACAUGUCCACUUUGGAAAAAAAAUUUGUCCCAAAUUACUUGUCCACUUCUCUUUUCAAAGCAACUUUUUGUAUGAGUUUUCAAAAAGUAACAAUUUUCAAUGUUUAACUAAUAUAUAUAUAGGGGAGGGUUCUGGUACAAACUUACAAACUUUUUUUGUUCAACACAUAUAUAACUUGAGUUCAACGUUUUUUAAGAUAUUUUGUUGAACAUCGAUUAAAAUUGUGUUGGAGAAGUACAUAAACUAAUUUUUUAAUAUAAAAACUAAGUUAAACCUAUUAUAUAACCAAGAGAAAAGUUAUAUGGAGACCACUUUUUUUGGAGACCGUGGAGACCAUUAUAUUCUGCAAGUAAAAUAUUGCAUAAAAACAUUGCAAAACUCAUAAUUUUGCAAAUCAAAACACAUUAUUUUGUGAAAUAUGUACUACAAAUAUCACAAAUUCAUCAAAGUUAUUGAAGAACAUCUAUGUUUAAUAAGUAGAAUGUGUAUGUUCUGCAAAUUGAACAAAUGUUCUGCAAACUAAACAUAUUCCGCAGGACAAAACAUUUUGUAAUAUUCUNAUAUGUACUACAAAUAUCACAAAUUCAUCAAAGUUAUUGAAGAACAUCUAUGUUUAAUAAGUAGAAUGUGUAUGUUCUGCAAAUUGAACAAAUGUUCUGCAAACUAAACAUAUUCCGCAGGACAAAACAUUUUGUAAUAUUCUACAUGCAAAACAUACAUGAUAUUCAAGAUUUUAAAUGAUAUAAGAAUCUUUGCACAACCUGUUUUGCAAAAUUAUGAGUUUUGCAAUAUUUUUAUGCAAUAUUUUACUUGCAGAACAUAAGUGGUCUCUACGGUCUCCAAAAAUAGUGGUCUCCAUAGAACUUAACUUAUUUAUAUUUCUAGACCCUACCCAAACCCCAGAGGUAUAGUUUAAGCAUCUCUAUAAAUGUAUUCAACACAAUGAUAACUAAUGUUCUACACCCAAUGUUGAACCCCAGUUACAAAUGUGUUGAAUGCACGAUUUAUUUAUGCGUUAUUUUUAUAAUUGUGACGUUUUUUCAAUAAUUUUAAAUAUAAAUACUUUCUAUAACUAAGGAUUAACAGGUUGGGAGAAUAAAAAAAAUUCAAAAAAAAAGUUUGUAAGUUUGUAAGUUAAAAAAGUUUUUAUUUGAUCCUAUCCCUAUAUAUAUAUAUAUACACAACUCUAUCUAAUUCAUUACAUUUAUUAGAGAUAUGUAUGAAAACAAGAUAUCCAACUAACAUUUUUUUAAGAUACGUUAUUUUUUCAAAAGGGACAAGUAAAAAGGGACGGAGGGAGUAUCUAAUUUUUCCUCUCUUUUCACGCUAUAUAUAUACACAACUCUAUCUAAUUCAUUACAUUUAUUAGAGAUAUGUAUGAAAACAAGAUAUCCAACUAACAUUUUUUUAAGAUACGUUAUUUUUUCAAAAGGGACAAGUAAAAAGGGACGGAGGGAGUAUCUAAUUUUUCCUCUCUUUUCACGCUACUUUUACUCUCUUUUCACAUUACCUUUACUCCACUAUCUCCUUUUUAUACAUUAAAAAUUAAUGGGUCCCACCACUUCACCCAAUUUUCUUUCUCUUUCACUAUUUUAUACGUAUUUCUUAACCUCUGUGUCCAACUCCAAUGUAAAGAACUCACCGGGACGGAGGGAGUACUUAGAUAUGCAAUAUCUAACAAUUAAUAUCAUUUAAUAUCUAAUUAGCAAAAACAAAACAUGCAAUAUCCAAGAAAAUCCACAAGAUAUGCAAUAUCCCAGAAGAUUUUUAUAGAUUUAAUUUCUAACAAUAUUUAUUACUAGUUAAUACACAACAACUAUAAAUAUCAUGCACAUUUUAUUUCCAAGCAUCAUCCUCACAUCAAAGACAUUAUUCAUUUUGUUGAAUUUAUAAUCAGUUGUUUCUUAAGACCUAGUAUGGAGAAGGCUCGAGUCAACAAAAUUAUUUCUCUUCUUGUAUUUUGGUCAUGGUGUGCGAUAUGUCAUGUAGUUCUACAUAGUUAAUCUAUCAAUAUAUAUUAUAAAUAAUAUAAUUUUGUGCUUCGUGAUCUCUGAUGUCAAUGAAAUAUUAUUAUUUUUGAUAAUUUAUGCAGAUUUAAAAUUAAUGGGAACAAAUGCAUCAGAUACACAAUGCAAAAGUGACAAUGAUUGUGAUUUAGUAUGUACCGAUAAAGCCAAAUGUGCAAAAGGUGAAUGUCAAUGCGUACUUUUUGGUUACGUUCCUGGCCCUAUUCGUGGUCAUGGUUUUGAUGAUAUGUAUGGUAGGUAAACAAGUAUGCAAGAAUGGUGUGUGCAAAUGUGUAGGACAUAUCGGUGACGAGAAUGAAGGACGCGGGGGCAUUUAUUAACAUAUGUAUAAUGAUUAUUUUUUCAGUGAUAUCAACUUAAUGAUUAGUUCAAUUUCUUGCUCGAUUACUUUCUUUGUUUUGACUCGAUUUUUUAUAUUUUCCGACACUAAUUAAGUAUAUAAACUUUUUUCCAACACAAUACAUAUAUUAAGACAAAUGAAAGUAAAACAAACAUCAUUUACCUAAAAUUACUAACCUUCUAAUUUUUUUUAUUUCUUUGGUCACAAACUGACUUCUAAUUUAACCUUGAAUAAUUUUUUAUUUUCAACAAUAUGAAAUAUUCUCAACUAGUGACGCUUCAUAAUUUGUUUUGGGGCCAGUUGAUAGAGGAAUACAAUCGACAGAGUAAAUUAAAUAAGAGGAUGUAAAAUCGUGAUCGGUUACGUGAUUAGAGUAAAACUCAAAUAGACAAAAAAAACUUAAAUUAAUAAACAUCAGUAAAAAAUGAAUUGUAUAGAGUCGAACCAAAAUUAAAAAGUUAGAAACAAUUAAUUUUUUUAAACUUUAUUAAUAAAUUACAACCAAACGGAGAAAAUCAGACUAAUUUGAUUAUUAAGAUAAAAUCCUUUUAAUAAUAUAUAUAUACAUAUAUAUAUAGAGAGAGAAAUCUAUAUAUAUAUUAUAUUAUAAUAUAUUAUAUUAUAUUAUAUAAGUAAUAUAUUUUUAAUAUAUGCAAUUUUUUAAGUUACUAAUCUCUAAAUUAUUAAGCAAUGUGUUGUUAAUUUUCUUAAAUGGCAAGUUGUAGGGGGUGUAUUCCGUUGAGAUUUUAAUGAAUUAUAUAUUGAGUUUGUGAAUUUUAAUGGAUUGUAUUUGAUUUAAAUUUUAUACAGAUUCUUAAUAAAAAAUGACUGAGUUGAUGAGAGUCUUUAGGAUUUAAACACGAUACUUCAAAAUCUCAUAGAUUUUGGUGGAAUUUCAAAUAUCCUAAAAUACACCGAAUAAUCUAAAAUAUCCAUCAUUUUAUGAAGUUCAAAAAGAGCCAUGAGCAAUUGAAUACCAUCAAUGGAUUUUAAAUAAUCCAAAUUGAAUACCAUCGAAUUUUAAAGCAUAAUUUAAAAUCCUGAUUGAAUAUCACCAGAUUUUGUAGCAUAAUUUAAAAUCCUAAUUGAAUAUCCCAUGAUUUGAUCAUUUUUUAAAAUUCGAGUUCAAUACCCUCGAAUUUCAUAAAUAAAAAGAAAUAUUUACAAUUCCAAUUAAAUACACUCUCUAAUUUAGUUUUAUGGAUUUCUUUGAUAAUUUUAACUUGCCACUUGAGUGCUUGAGCAUGGAUUGUCCAUAUAUAUAUAUAUAUAAGGAUAUAUUGUCCUUCUAUGGUCACCUUGAUAUCUCGAUUUAUUCUUACUCAUCCUAUCAUUGGACAAAUAAUUCUGUAGACUUCAGGCCCGCGAUAUUUUCACCCGAGAGUUGCAGGGACUAAGAGCUUUAAGGUUUAUAGUAGAAAUAUUAUUUCAAUUAAAUUUUGUUUAUAUUAUCUCACUAGAUUUUAUAAUUUAAACCAAAUUAAUAGUGAUUAGCCCAUGUUUUUAUUUUAAAACUGUCAAUUACAGCUGCGCUUUCGACGUCAAAUAUCUAAUAUAUCUGCUUUCUUGUAAGAAAUGUGCACCAAUGUGAUUCGAGGAUCAUAUUACAUGUGAUUUAAAACAAGUUUGUGAGAACAAAGAACGGUAAGACAAUCGUCCAUAUCAUGAUAAAAUGCAGAACUAUAUAUCAAGAAUAACAAUAAUAUGAAAUAUGCGAUAUUAGUUUUUGAUUAUGAUCGACAAUUACACAAAGAACAUGCACCAUCGACCUAAUGCGAAAAAUGUUUGACAACAAAUUCUAUAAUAUCUGUUCCUCGAACAAUCGAGUAUGAACGAAAUCAUUGUUACCAGUAUUACAUACACAUACGCCCUUAUCACAAUCCACAAAAUCACAGGCCAUUCGAGGACAGUCCGCUUUAGUUUUGCAUCGGGCAGCAUUUGAAUUUUGUAAAGUGCCUGGAUGAAUAAAUUGAUAUACUUGUUAAAUUAAUUAACAUAUUAUAAAUUAUUCUCUAUGUAGCUCUAUAAUGUAAACAUUGCAACUUGGUGAACAAGAUAGGACAUACCGCAAAUCAUAAGCAAUAAAAUAAAAAACCCGCACGUGUUUAGUGAAAGUUUGAGCAUGUUGUGCAUAAAAGAUACUAGUACUAUUUAUCGAUAUUAUUAGUAAUUGCAACGUACAAGUUUCAUUGUAAUAUUGCAAUUGCUUAUAUAAUUAACAUGGUCCAUAUUGCAUUAAAUAAAUGUAUUAAUGAUAAAUUUAUUGUCUCCAGCUAACAUGUAAUAUGCCAGGUAACGAUAAAUUUAUUGUCUCCAGCUCACAUGUAUAUGCUAGUCUCCCAUCAACGAGUGUGAAGACUAUCAUUCAGUUUUAUACAAACGAAUCAUGAUCUUUAUUUGGGGGCUUGUGAUGGACUUGUAGAUUACUCAAAUCUUUCUUUUUAACAUCAAUCAUCAAUCCCUAACUAUCGUCAAAUUUUCAUUCAACAACAUCUUAUAGCUAUCUAUUUCUUUUUUUUUAACUAACUAAAUCUCGCUCCAACUUGGCUCAUAUUUUUUGAGAAAAUAAUUUUUUCAUAAACGACUUUUUAAAAAUUUCCCGUAUAGGAUUGGACACCUUAUUCCUCUUUACCUAUCGCCCACCUCUUAUUCAUAAGACACCAAUUAUAAGCGCUUCCCCGGAGUUGGUAGCUUGCAAGACUAAGUUUAACUUGAUGAUUUUUUUUUUCCAUCUCUAAACAGGAUGUAAUCAUUUAUCGACUUUUGAAGGUGUUAGGUAGAUUUCUCGAAAGGUUGGGGACUUGCCUUCUCAGGAUCCGUUUUAAGGUGUUGAUGAAAUUUGAUAUACUCUUAGAAAAAAUCCAUUUAAAAAAGUGAUGUAGAAAUCAGAUAACUGUUUUGCAAUUUUUUUGAUAUUUAUAUAUUUUGAGUUAUAAGAUAAAAAAAAUAAUUUUUGGUGAGUUUUAAUAGUAAAAAAAGUUUUUUCCAAAAAUAUAUGGGAACCUGCUUUUCCUAAAUAUAAUUUUUGAGCUAAAAGCCGCUAUUCGAAAAAUCUGCUUUUAAAUAUAACAAACAGUUUUUCACAUGUUUUUCAAUAAGAAAAUUUAUGUUGCUGUUUGUCAUAACAAUGCCAAACGGAGCUUUAAACUAAAGUUGACUUUUUGAUUCAGUUGUUUGUUCCCAACCAAUGUCGUUGAAGUUUCGCCAAUUAAUUCAUCAUAUUUAUAUCUUUGUUAUCAUUGUUAUUACCGUUUCCGCUUUUGUUUCGUUGGUGAGUUAUGACUGCUACAUAAUUCAUUUAUAACUUAAUCAUAGUACAAAUAGCAAACAAUAUUCGAACAAAUAUGCAUGACAAAAUAAACGCAAUGCUUGAAUUUGUACUAGUAAAUUGACUGAAAAAGAUAAUUUUUGACGACUUAUAAGCCUAUAAUAUUGUGUCACUAUGUUUUUGUGAUUUUAAUGAGUUGUAGAUUUAAUUUAUGUAACUUUCAAUUUUUUAUGUGAUACAAUAAUUCUGAUUCUACAAUAACUAUGAAAUUAUAAAAAUAUCAAAUGAGGUGUUUUAUUUGAAUUAUGAAGUUAAAUUUAUUUGUAUAACUCAAUACUUACGAAUUUACACAUAUUUAAGUUAGAAAGUGAGAAAAAUUGACUUAGAUAUAUCUAAAUUAUUAGUAAUUUAUAGAGCUUCAUUUCCUUGCAUAUAUAUUAUAUUAGACUAUAUUUUUCUAUGUUGGUUUCUAGGAAUUCUAUUAUCAUUUUGAAUUUUAUUUCCUAAUUAAUUCAUGAUAUUUCAGGUUUAGUUUUAAUGUUUAAAUGAAAGCUAACUGUCUGAAAAUUUAUAUUAAUACAUUUCAAAUUUAUUUCCGUCAAAAUACAUUUAAAAAAACUAGACAUAUUAUACUAAGUUUAGAAAAAUAGGCUUUCGGCCCAAACCAACAAAUAUUAUGCUCCAAUAACACAAUAUAAAUUGUAAAAUUCUAAUCAAAUUUUGAUUCUGAUAUUUAAACCAUAUAUGUAUGAGUUUAAUUGUAUACAUUUUAUUUGAGAUUUAUCGAGGAAUAUUAAAAUAUUAAUUAUAAAUAACAAGUAAGACCUUAAUACAAUAAAUAAUAUGUAAUAUUUGAAUAGCAAAAGAAAAUAUAUAAUUUUCAUAAAAAUCUACUAGAUAUGCAAUAUCCAACAAGUAAUAUCAUUUAAUAUCUAAUUAGCAAAAACAAAACGUGCAAUAUCCGGAGAAAAUCCAUAAGAUAUGCAAUAUCCCAGAAGAUUUCUAUAGAUUUAAUUUCUAACAAUAUUUAUUACUAGUUAAUACACAACAACUAUAAAUAACAUACACAUUUCAUUUCCAAGCAUCAUCCUCACAUCAAAUACAUUAUUCAUUUUGUUGAAUUUAUAAUCAGUUGUUUCUUAAGACCUAGUAUGGAGAAGGCUCGAGUCAACAAAAUUAUAUCUCUUCUUGUGUUGGUCAUGGUGUGCGGUAUGUCAUGUCUACAUAGUUAAUCUAUCAAUAUUUAUUAUAAAUAAUAUAAUUUUGUGCUUCGUGAUAUCUGAUGCUAAUGAAAUAUUAUUAUUUUUUGAUAAUUUAUGCAGAUUUACAAUUAAUGAGAACAAAUGCAUCAGAUCUACAAUGUAAAAGUGACGGGGAUUGCAAAUAUUAUGCUGAAUGUGUCGAUGGUAAAAUGAGAUGUGUAAAAGGUGAAUGCCGAUGCAUACAUUUUGGUAUCCCUGGCCCUCAACCUAGUCACGGUUUUGAUGAUGAUAAGAAAGUUAACAACGAGGUUAGAUGUAAAACAAUGAGAGAUUGUUUAAAUUAUCUAUGUUUAGUAGGUAAACAAGUAUGCAAGAAUGGUGUGUGCAAAUGUGAAGGACAUGUUGGUCACGAAAAUGAAGGACGUGGAGGAAUUUAUUAAUAUAUAUAUAUGUAAUGAUUAUUUCUUGAGUUUUAUCAACUUAGUGAAUUAGUUCAAUUUCUUGCUCUAAUUACUUUUCUUUGUUUUGGCUCGAUUUUUAAUAUUUUCCAACACUAAUAAAGUACAUAAAUUUCCCCCCCACAUAAUACAUGUGGUAAGACCAAUGAAAGUAAAACAAUCAUCAUUUGACUAAAAUUUCUGACCUUCUAAUUUAUUUAUUUUUGUGUGUCACAAACUGACUUUAUACUUAAACCUCAAAUAAUCUUUUAUUUUCAUUUUCAAGAAUAUGAAAUAUUAUGAACUAGCAACACUUCAAAAUUUGUUUUGAAGUUAUUUGAUAGAGGAAUACAAUCGACAAAAUAAAUAAAAUAAGAGGAUGUGAAAUAGUGGUCAAUUACAUGAUUAAAGUAAAAUAUUGGAUAGAUACAAAACUGAAAUCAAUAAAAAUUAGUAAAAACAAAAUCAUAUAGUUGAACCAAAAUUAAAAAGUUGAAAACAAAUACAAAAAUUAACUUUAUUUAUCAAUUACAAAGAAACAGAAAAAAAUCAGACCAAUUUGAUAAUUAAAAUAGCAUCCUUUUAAUAAUUUAUAUACAUUUUUUAUAUAAAUAAUUAUGUAUUUUUAAUAUUAGCAGUUUCUUAAGUUAUUAAUCUCUAAAAUUAAAAUUGAGCAAUGCAUUGUUAAUUUUUUUAUAGGGGAAAAUUCUAGGGGGUGUAUUCAAUUGAAAUUUUAAAAUUUUUUAUAUGAUCUAUGGAUUUUAAUGGAUUGUAUCUGAUUUUAAUUUUAUACGGAUUCUUGAUAAAAUAUGACAGAGUUGAUGAGAGUCUUUAGGAUUUAAACAGAAUACUUCAAAAUCUCAAGGAUUUUGUUGGAAUCUCAAAUAUAUUCAAAUACACCGAACAAUCUAACAAAAUUCAUCAUUUUAUGAAGUGCUAAAAAAUUCAUGAGCAUUUGAAUACCAUCAAUGAAUUUUAACUAAUCUCAAUUGAAUACUAUCGCAUUUUAAAAUAUACUUAAAAUUCUGAUUGAAUACCACCAAAUUUUGUAGUAUAUUAUAAAAUCCUAAUUAAAUAUCCUAGGAUUUGAUAAAUUUUUUAAAAUUCGAGUUGAAUACCCCUAAAAUUUCAUCAAAAAAACAAAUCUUUUAAUUCAAUUGAAUGCGCUUCAUAAUUUAAUGUUAUGGAUUCCUUUAAUAAUUUUAACUUGCCACUUGGGUGCUUGAGCAUGGAUUGUCCACAUAUAUAAGGAUACAUUGUCCAUCUGAGGUCACCUUGAUAUCUAAAUUUGAUUCUUACUCAUCCUAUCAUUGGACAAAUAACUUUUUAUUUGGAAAUGUUACAAGCACCGUGAUAUUUUCUCCCGAAAGUCGCAAAGACUAAGAGCUUUAAGGUUAAUAAUAGAAAUAUUAUUUAAGUCAAGUUUUGUUUAUAUAUCAUUAGAUUUUAUAAUUUAAACCAAAUUAAUAGUUAUUAGAUCAUGUUUUUAUUUUAAAUCUGUCGAUUACAAUGACGCUUUAAAUAUCAAAUAUCUAAUAUAUUUGCUAUCUUGUCAGAACUUCGCACCAAAGCGAUUCGAGGGUCAUAUCACACAUGAUUUAAAACAACUUUGUGAGAACAGAUAAAUGUAAGACAUGCGUCCAUAUUAUGGUAAAAUUUAAUUUAUUAAGCUUGUUAUAUUAAUUUUUAAAAAUAUGUUGUGAUUAGUUGGAUUUAAAAAAUCGAAUCGGCAAAGUAACUUGCACAAUUAGUCAAUCAAAUUGGCAAUUUCUGUAUUGAUAAGUUGUUCAGUUUCUUAAAUAUAUCUUGCACUCAAGUGAUUUCAUCUGUUGAUAAGAAGACCAGGUGAUUAGGUUACAUAUUAUCUUGUGUUAGUUCUCUAAUUAUUUAAUUUAUUAUGUCGCGGUCUUUAUUUAUGAAUACUAGUUGAUGAUCCGUGCCAAGCACGGGUUUAAAUAAAAUUUUAAUUUUUUUUAUUUAUUGGAAACAUAAUAUUUUUUGAAUUACAUUAUCAUAUUUUUAUUAUAUUUAUUUAAAUUAUUAUUUUUAAAUGUUAUUUAGAUUAUUAUUAAUUCGAUAUAAGACUUUCUAUAUAUUAAAAUUUGAUAUUAUUUUUGUAAAUAAUGAAUUUUAAUUAUAUAACAUAUUUAAGUUAAUUAAAUUAAAAAUUCCUUUAAACUUCGGUAUUAGUUUGUCAUACAAACAACUACUAUUCCUAAGUCUAAAAGAACUCCAACCCACAUUAGAAUUACCCAUUCUAACUCUAAAAUAAUUACGGAUUAAAUAUACAUAACACAUAUCUAUUAUAACUCUAAAUUAAUUACAAAUAUUAGAAGUCUAAAAAAAUUCUUAAGUUAAAUAACUUAAAUAUGUUUUUUAAAUAAAAUUCGCAAUAAAUAAUGAAAUAAAAAUAAAACAAAAUAAUAAUUGAGUUUCUUAGCUUAUUUUUUAUUUUAUGUUCUUAUAUCUACAUAAAAACUCUGUCGACUUAUUAUAUUUAUUUGAUAGGAAUUUUAUUGAGUUGAUUCAUAUUUAUUGGAUAGAAAUUUUACAGAGUUAAUUCCUAUGUUAAAUUGUUCGAUAAAUAUAUAAUUUGUAAUUAAUUUAGAGUUAUAAUAGAUAUGUGUUAUGUAUAUUUAAUCCGUAAUUAUUUUAAAGUUAGAAUAGGUAAUUCUAACGUGGGUUGGAGUUCUUUUAGACUUAGGAAUAGUAGUUGUUUGUAUGACAAACUAAUAGGGUUGGUUCAGCUGGUUAAAGAGAGGACAUAGGUUUACCCAGUGCGCACCCGAAGGGUAGCGGCUGCGGGUUCCUACGUUAAAAAAAAAAAAAAAAAUAUAGAAGUUUAAAGGAAUUUUUAAGUUAAUUAACUUAAAUAUGUUUUAUAAAUAAAAUUCGUUAUUUAAAUAUUUAAUUUAUUUUAUGUUCUCAUAUCUGCACAAAAGCUCUUCUGACUCCCUAUAUUUAUUUGAUAGUAAUUUUAUACAGAAUUCAUAUUUAUGUGAAAAGGAUUUUAUAGAGUUAAUUUCUAAGUUAAAUUGUUUCAGUUCUAAAAAUUACAAUAUUUAGUUAUAUUGGGAUAGAAUUAUAUACUAUGAAUAAUCGUUAUGUAAAAAAGUCAUGAGCAGUAUAAUGACCAAAUUUUGGUACUGAAACGUGAUUUCGCUUAUUAACAAAGGGUAUUGAUUGUUUCCGGAAGUUCUUGCAAAAAUCUAAUAAGAGCAAAUUUUUGUGAUUAAUUUAUGAAAGGUCCUACCAUGCACAAUCAAGCAGACAAAUGGAGAUGAAAAGAAAAGAUUGCCCAAACACGCCCUAUAUAGGAUCCAGCCAUUCAAGAUUAAUGGAUUGGUCUGAAGUCACAUUCUGAACUAUUAGCCAGGGAUUUACUUGUAGUUACCGUUGGUAGAAUUCUGGAACAUCGGUUUCGUUGGUGAAAGUGAUCACAAUGAGGUUACUCUGCUCUGAAUUAUUGCGGCCUGCAGCGGCUAAAAUUUGAGUUGGCUUGAAAAAUGAUGUGUAUGAACACAUUGAAAUUAGCCUUUUGCUGUCUGAAUUGUUCAUAGUCAACUUUAUAGCAUCCUACAUCGUCCUAUUGAUUUUUUUUUUCUAUGCAGAUUAGUUAUUUCAGCAGAAGAACUUUAUGUAUUUUUAUUGACUUUAUAUUUGCACUUUUUUUUAGGGUUUUGGAGAAUGGCUGGUGAAGCAGAAGGGCCUGCAGUUAGGAUUGAUCAUGUGCUCAUGUGUUCCAUGUACAAAUUUCAACUGUUUAUACCAAUAAAAUUACAGACCAUGGCCACACAAUAUGAUCACAAUUUUACGCCUUGUAAACCUAUAUGUUAUGCUAUCAUAUCGAAAAAUGAAUAAAUUUAACCACUUCAGAAAGAACUUAUGCGUCAAUUCUCAUCCAGAUUGCAGAAUUACUGGAUUUGAAGAAACUAAUGAAACUCAUUCAGAAAUUUGCAGUUGACUAAAAAAUGCAGUACAGUAUAUUAAGCCUUUUGUUCUCUUAAGCUGCUCAAAAGUGCGAAUGCAGAUUUUAUUUUGAAGCUGAGAAGGCAGAUUAUAUUAAGCUUCUUGUACUAAUAUUUUAAUUAGUCUUUGUUUUGAUGUUGUAUUCCCGUUUAAAAGUGUUUCAGUUCUAAAUUGGCUUAAUGACCUUUUAGCCCUCGAAGUAUGUAUGAAUGUUCCGAUGCGGCCUCGAUGUUUAAAACCGUACCUUUCGACCCUCAAAGUAUCCGAUACGUACCUUUUAGUCCUUUUCCUAAAAAACGGUAUAAAUCGGGGGGUAAAGUAGAGAAUUCCUAAUUUGGGUUAAGUUUAUGCGUACCCUUUAAACCCUAAAGAAUACAAAAAAUAGAAAACACAGUGAAGAAGCUCGAGCUGCUGCGGAUAGAAGAAACAAGGCGCGAUUGGGUGUGGAUUGAAGUCUUAGAUCGUGAUGGCUAGCAUAAGCGACAGCUCCGCUGGUAAUUUCUUAACCCUUUUCUCAAUUGAAUAUGAUGAUUAACCCCCCCCCCCCCUUGUAUCUGCAUCAUUUUCAUAGGGUUUUUGUUUUUCUGUAUGAUUAUUUUCCAAUGUUCAUCUCGUGAUUUUGUGAUUAAAAGGUGAUGAUGCUAUAAUGUUGAGUAUGUUUCAUGGUGGGUCUUUGAAUUGGGUCCCCGUUACCGAAUAUGUUGGGGGUAGAGUCACCGUGUACAAUUUUAGAGACCAGGACGAAAUUAACAUGGAGAGUCUGAGAGCAUGGAGUAAAGCUCUGGGUUAUGGGGGUUUGAGCUGUCUCUAUUAUAGGAUUCCUGAUAGAGAUCUUGAUGGAGGGUUGGUUUUAUUGAAAGAUGAGAAAGAUGUAGGAGAUAUGUUGUCAUUUGCUAUGGAAAAUGACAACAAAAUAGAUGUUUAUGUGCAACAUUCUAAUCAGGAGUUUGAAGAAAAUUUUGGAGGGGUGAAUGAUGCAGCUGAAGAACGCAUGAGUGUGGAUGAACUUGAGGACUCUGAUUUUGCUGAAUCAGAUUAUUCGAUGACUGAUGAUGACUUGCUCUUUAAUGAUAAAGUUGAUGCUGGAGUUGAAUGGGUUGGUGUAUUGAGGGCUGGACUGGGAUUAGCAGAAGAAGUGCCGUUGGAGCCAGAAGAUGAAGAACAGAGUGAGUAUGACAGUGAUGAUCUUGAAAGCUUGGAUGGCAAUGAUUUAGAGGAGGGUGAAGGCAGUAGUAGAAGGAAAACAUUUCCAAUCUACAAGGACACAGAAGAUCCAAAGUGGACAGUUGGGAUGGUUUUCACUGAUCACAAACAAUGCAGAGAAGCUAUAAUGAAACAUUCAGCUAGUGAAGGUAGAGUGAUAAGGUUUGUCAAGAGUGACAGAACAAGGGUGAAGGCUGUGUGUAAAGCUCCAUGCCAGUGGUCUCUUUUUGCCUCUCUCAACUUCAACAAAACCAUGCAGUUAAAGAAAGUGGGCCCAGGUACAUUUUGAGGUUAUUUGUGUCUUUUUACAAUGCCAACUGGGUGAAUGCAUAUUGUAUUUAUGUCUUCUUUUUCUGACAGAGCACACAUGUGCUAGAGAGCAGAGGGGGUUACCUCUGAUAAAUUCAGGAUUCUUGGCAAGGAAAUAUCUGGCAGAAUUCAGAAUCAACCCCUCUUGGCCAGUGAAAGCAUUCCACAACACAGUUUUAAGAGAUCUGCAGCUGGAUAUCAAGCCUCACAUCUUGAGAAAAGCAAGGAGAAAGUGUAUGAGAAUUAUGAAUGGGACACUUGAAGAGCAGUUCCAGAAGCUGUGGGACUACAGGACAGAGCUUCUCAAAAGGAACCCCAACUCAACAGUUGAGAUUGACAUAGAGCCAGGUAUUGUAUCUAAUUAUUUCACUUUAAAAUGCUUUAUGUGUACUUUUUUUUUAAAUUCCAGAUCUGUGCUUGUAGGGGCUGUUGGAGUCUUUAGAAGGAUGUACAUCUGUCUAGGAGGGCUCAAGCAUGGCUUUAAGCUUGGUUGCAGGAAGUUCAUAGGUUUGGAUGGCUGUCACCUGAAAAGUGCUUACAAAGGUCAGUUACUCUGUGCUGUGGGUUUAGAUGGCAAUAAUUGUAUGUUUCCUAUAGCAUAUGCAGUAGUUGAGGCUGAGAAACUUGAUUCCUGGAGAUGGUUUGUGGCUUAUCUUGUUCAAGAUUUUGAUAUAGGCCUAGGUGAUGGUUGGUCCUUCAUUAGUGAUAGGCAGAAGGGGCUUUUGAAUGUAGUUCAAGAGAUGUUACCCAUGGCUGAGCAUAGGUAUUGUGUUAGACACUUACACAAUAAUUUUAAGGGUAAGUAUGGGGGUAGGUCUUUGAAGGACAAGCUUUGGGCUUGUGCUAGGGCAUCAAAUAUUGAGGCAUUUCAGGUUGCUAUGACCAACAUUAAAGAGGAGAAUGAGGGUGCUUGGAAAUGGUUGACAGAGGUUCCAUUCCAUCAUUGGACUAGAUCUCAUUUCAAAACAGAGUCAAGAUGUGAUCUUCUUUUGAACAAUAUGUGUGAGAGUUUUAAUAGGUGUAUUUUGGGGGCUAGGGAGCAAGGAGUUCUAUUGAUGUUAGAAAUGAUUAGAGAAUACCUGAUGAGGAGGCUGCAGACAAAAAGAGAUGAAAUGGUUUCUUGGGAGGACAAAAAAUUUACUCCAAAAAUCUACAAGAUUAUUGAGAAAAACAAGAAACUGAGUGGAUCUUGCUACUCCACAUAUGCUGGUUAUGAUGAAUUUGAAGUUACUACAUUCACUGGUUCCAAGUAUGCUGUCCAUCUAGGAAACAGGACCUGUGGGUGUAUGAGAUGGGACUUGUGUGGCAUACCUUGCCAACAUGUCAUAAGUUGCUUGAAUAGGAUGGGGUACAGUGUAGAGGACUAUGUUGACAAGGUCUACACCACAGCCAACUACAAAAAAGCUUACUCUGGAAUAAUCUAUCCCAUGAAUGGUCACAAUUUGUGGGAGAAGAGUGGUUUAGUAAUGAAACCACCAACUGUUGAGAGGCAACCAGGAAGGCCCAAAAAAAGGAGAAGACCAGAGAUGCCAGACUUAGUUGAAAAGGAGAUUGAAGGUGUGAAGACUUUAAGCAAGAAAACUCAAUUAACUGUGAGGUAGUAAUUUCCUAUAUUUUCUUUAUUUUUUGCCUUUUUUGCCUUUUUCUAUGCUUUAUAAGAUUUUCUUACAUUUAUGCAGGUGUGGGAAGUGCAAGGAAUUUGGCCAUAACAAAAGGACUUGCCCUUCACUUCAUCCAGUUGAGGCAAAUGCUGAGGCAGAAGCUGCAAAUGCUGAGGCAGAAGCUGCAAAUGCUGAGGCAGAAGCUGCAGAUGAAGGAGAUAGUGCUGAACUGCAAGAAACUGCAAUUGAUUAUCCUGACCAAGGUCCACCCUUGACUCAACAAAGUCAAGAGUUUGAGGGACCUCUUGUUGAAGAAGAGGGGGACAGUGAGGGUGAAGCUGCAAGUGAGGACAAUGAGGGUGAAGCUGCAAGUGAUGCAAGUGAGGAGAGUGAGGAUGAUGAAACCCCUCUAGCAAUUGCAGCAAAGAAGAUUAGGCAAAUGAGGAUCCAAAAAAUGGGGUUGACAACAACCAAAGAUUCACCUAUCAUGGUUGCAGCUGGAAAACUGAAGACCCUUAAAGAGAUAAUGGAUUCAGAAAAGAAGAAGGAAACAAGUGUUGCAGAGGCUCAAGCUGUUGAAAUGGAGGAUGCUAGGAGGAAGACUGUGAAACAGGAAAUGCAACAGAGGAUUGACAAAGGCAAAAAUCCAAUGAAAGUCUCUGAGAUUGAACCUAGGAGAAGCUACAGAUUGUUUAGGAAAACAGCUCUUAACAAAUUCACAAACACAGUGGAUACCCCAGUUGUCAUUGAUGAGGCUGGGGAGGAGGAUAAACAACCUCCACGGGUGCAGAUAAAUUCUUACACAGGCCCUAUGAAACUAGGGAAGAAACAACCUCCACCAGUGAAGCAGUAUAAGGCCAUUGUUGGUCAAACAGAGGUAAAGUCUGCACCAUUCUUAUCACAUGGCAGAACUGUAAUCACAAAGGGUACAUUGGCCAAAGCUCUCGGUGCUUUGAAAAAGAGUUAUCUCCCAGGUUCUACAGCAAAGGGGAAGGAUAGCCAACAGCCUUGAUUUUAGCAGUUUUUCUCUAUUAUUUUGUAAUGCUAUGACAUUGGUACUUUGCCUACUUUCUGGACUUAAUUUUAUUUCAGUUGUAAUGCUUUUGGGGAUGUUUUGUAACUUGAUCUUUUGCAAAGAAUUUAAUGUAAGCUAAUGAUUUCCAUUCCAAAACAUCUACUUUCAUUUCAUUACAAUAGAUGCUAGUACAUACUGCAUAGUACAACUAGGGUAGUUCUAACACACUAGGUGAAGCAUUUUUGUUUGCCCUUACAAACACCCAUACUAUUAACAACACAAACAACAAAACCAGUAUGGACUUUUUUCUCUUCACGGGUCUGUUCACACCAGCUGCAGCCUCAUUUUUCUUUGCAUCAUCUUCGAGAUUUCGAAUGCGCCGCAACAGUCCUGGGAUUAUUGCUUUUGAUCUUGCACACAUGGGUGGAUCAAACCAUUGGUGAAAGUUACAAGCAUUGCUUCUGUUAUCCUGCAGUUAAAUUAGAUAUAGUUAGAUUACAUUUAAGAACAAAAAUGAGAGAUUAGAAUCUGCUUACCUUGAAUCUCAUACAUCCCCAGAAUUGCCUCCCCGGAUUAGAAUCAGUCCACGAUGUCUUCAAAGCAGCAGCUGUUCCACACCUACAGUUAGGCUCCAUCUAGACAACUUGUUCUGUUUUACACAAGAAAAUGACAACACACACAACUAUGAUACAUAUAUAUAUACACAAGAAACAUCAAGGGCAAAAGGGGAUGGCGGGAGACCUCCAGAUUUUUGGAGGGAAACUGAGGGUUAAAUGUCUUGUUUGUCCCCCCCCGAUUUAUACUGUUUUUUUGGAAAAGGGCUAAAAGGUACGUAUCGGAUACUUUAAGGGUCGAAAGGUACGCUUUUAAACAUCGAGGCCGCAUCGGAACAUUCAUACAUACUUCGAGGGCUAAAAGGUCAUUAAGCCUUCUAAAUUUUUAUGGUCUGCACUGUUUACUAGAAUUAUUAUCUGGGAAUUGUAGCACUGUUUGUUAGAAAAUGGUAAGUUUAAGACAUGGAAUUACCUUAAUCUAAUUGUUGGAGGUUGUUCCUUGUAAUGAGGACUUAAACUUUCAUGUUUGGAUCUAAGACAUUUUCUUAGUGUAAUCCAUAAAUAAAUUGAGUUGAAGUUAGUAGCUUGAAAGUGGUAAAAUAUGUUAUGUGGGUUAGUCCCACAUUGAUAUUGGAAAGUGAGGUUGGUGGCUUUAUAUAGUACAUGUGCAAGUGUAGUGUUCAACUACUAAGGCAUGUGGGUGUGCAAGGUUGUAGUGAGCGCCCGCCGCCGCCGCCCCGGGUCGGGUCGAAGGGCGAUUUGGGCAAGCUAAGUGAUUUCUGUCUUUUCUUGUCGAUUUAAGGUACCUGAUAUAUAACUGCCUCAUUGUUGCGCUAAUAUAUAUAGUUUAAUAUUUCCAACACUGUUCACAUAGACUCUUUUCAUCAACAUGUAGCUCAUAUGGGAGGAUCAUGUUUAACUUUGAAUGCAGGUAAGCAGUUCAAUAUUAAUAUAAUAAGGAAUAUAAUUUCUGCGAUGAAGAUAAAAUGCUUAUGGAGCAAAUAUAACUUGGUCAAAAUGAAAUUACUCUCUGAGAGGAGACUUUAGAUCUGAUCAGAGUAUCAAACAGACAGACCUUAUUAGACAAUUUGACUAAUUUAGAUUAGGAUGAAGUGCAUGUGUAUACUAUAAGUUGGUAGGGAAUUUGCGAGUCAGUUUCUCAACCUCUAACUUCAUCUUCCGGAUUUUCUAUUUUAUUUAUUUAUUUAUUUUAAACGUAGGAACCGCAGCCACUACCCUUCGGGUGCGCACCGGUUCUUUCUCUGCAAAUUAGUUUUCUAAACAGAACAUCUCUUUAUUUUUAUUCUACUUUCUAUUUUCAGUUCUGCAUUCUGCUUCUCCAAAAUGGCUGGAAGAGGAGAAGGACCUGCAAUUGGAAUCGAUCUCGGAACUAUGUACUCAUGUGUUGGAGUUUAGCAAGGCAUGUUGGAUUUUAUAUAAUCUUAAACCACGCUAGUUAAUUAUCAUUAUUGUUUUUGAUUUCAUUUGCUGUAAUAACGAGUGGCUUGAUAUAAGUCAGCUACUAGCAUCUAGGACCGUGAUUGUCUGGCAGUAGAGUUGGUUUAGGAAUUUUGUUGGACUCAUGUCCUUAUUUCUGGCUUUCCAGUUUUUGAGUCUGUAAUCUAUUUAUGCAUUUUUCAGAAUAAAGAAAAAAGCAAGACUUUGACGAGCAAAACAAAAGCUUUUCGAUCUCUCUCAGUUAUAUCAGAUUGUUGAUAUAUGUUUAUUAACAACACUUGGUAUCAGAGCUGAAGUUCUCUAUGAAUGUCAAAGACGCCAACAAUGGAGAUGAACAAAGACAAAGGCGGUUCAAUCGAUUUGAGUUACCCAAAGGCACCGGUAGAAGAGAAAUUGGCAUGGCUAUGAUUUCCAGUUUUAUACUCCUAUCAAAUGUUGAUUUACAGCUUCUUCUUUUUUUUUGGUAAGGAAUGUUGAUUUACAGCUUUAUAUUCAAAGCAUACAUGAUUUAUAUACUCUUUCUCUUAUAAACUGUUUUACAAUUAUAUCUUUCUUUUAUUCAUAUUGAUACUGCUGUUUAUUCAUAUUGAUACUGCUAUUUAUAGCUCACCCUUGCAAACUAUGUUCAUACAUGUUCCAGAUGCCUAGGACUUGAGCGUUAGCUAGGAGACCUGUAGCAGGGGCUCUAUCCAUGCCCCAACUUUGGAUCUUUUGAGGUAGAGUAAGUCAGUCUUCUAGUUCUGAUUUCAAUACUAGAGCCGAUCCUGGUUGAAAUUGAUUUUUAAUUUAAAUCAUUUUUAAAAUAUGCAAGUUUUGAAAUAUAUGUUUUUACUUUCUUUUAAAAUUAGAGGUUUUAAAUUGUUUUUCUUUUAAUGACACCAAAUUCAAAUUAUUUUUAUUGACUCCGGAGAGAUGUCACUAUGGUAGAGUUAUAUAUUAUAAUAAAAGAUUUAGAGAGCUUCAUUAUCUUGCAUUUAGAUUAUAUUAGACUAUAUUUUUUAUGUUGGUUUCUAGGAAUUCCAUUAUUAUUUAUAAAAAAAAUCUAAUUAAUUCAUGAAAUUUCAGGUUUAGUUUUAAUCUUUAAAUGAAAGUUAAUCAUCUAAAAUGCUAGGCCUUUAUAAUUUAGAUUUAUGUCUAUUAAAAUUCAUUUAAAAAUAAUUAGACAUAUUAAAUUAAGUUUAGAGUAAUAGACGUAUGGCCCAAACCAACUAGAAUUUAUCCUCCAAUAAUACAAUAUAAAUUGCAAAUUUUAGUAAUUAACUAAUAAGUAAUUUUGAUUUUGAUAUAUGUAAUUUUGAUUGUGAUAUUUAAAACUCAAAAUGACACAUAUCCAAGUAUAUAAUAUUUUUUGAGCUUAAAUACAUUAAUUUUAUUUGAGGAUCAGGGUGGAAAUAUUAAAGUUCUCAUUAUAAAUGACAAGUAAGAAUUUAAUACCAUAAACAACAUGUAAUAUCUAAUUAGUAAAGAGAAAAUAUAUAAUAUGUAGAAAAAUCCACUAAAUAUGUAAAAUUUAGGUUGUGGAAAUAUCAAAGUUUUUAUUAUAAAUGACAAGAUAGAUCUUAUCUAUUGCAAUAAGUAACAUAAAUAAUUAGCAAAAAUAAAACGUGCAAUAUUCAGAGAAAAUCCACUAGAUAUGCAUAUCGAGGAAAAUCUCUAGAGAUUUAAUUUCUAACAACAUUUAUUAAUAGUUAAUACAAAACAACUAUAAAUAACAAACAUAUAUCAUUUACAACCCAUCAUCCUCACAACAAGGACACAAUCAUUUUUGCACAACUUAUAACCAGGUGUUUGUUAUGACCUAGUAUGGAGAAGGCUCUAAUCAACAAAAAUAUUUUUCUUCUUGUAUUGGUCAUGGUGUUUGGUAUGUCAUACAACUCUACAUAAUUAAUCUAUCAAUAUAUAUUACAUAUAAUAUAAUUUUGCUUAAUGAUAUGUGAUACUAAUGAAAUAUUAUUGUUUUUUUAUCAUUUGUGCAGAUUUACCAUUAGUUAGAUUAAAUGCAUCAAAUAAAAUAUGUAAAAUAGAUAAUGAUUGCGGAAUUUCGGCAUGUUCCAGUGGUGUAAUGAGAUGUGUAAAUGGUGAAUGCAAAUGUGAACCAUUUUAUUUUGACCCUGCCCCUGUCCCAAGUCAAGUACCUAAUGAUGAUAAAAAAGUUAGCAGUGAGAUUAGAUGCAAAACAGUGCACGAUUGUGAAAAAACUGUUAUAUGUAUGAUAGGUAAGCAGUAUGAAAGAAUGGUAUGUGCAAAUGUGUAGGAUAUAUUGGUCACUAAAAUUGAAGGUCGUCAGGGCAUUUAUUGAUAUAUGUAUGAUGUUCGGUGCUUUAAUAUUAUCAAGUUAAUGAAUUAGUACAAUUCGUGUUUGAUUACGUUUCCUUGUUUCAACUUGAUUUUUUAUCCGACGCUAUAAACACACACACACACACAUACAUAAUAUAUAUAUAUAUAUACACACACAUAUAUAUACAUAUAUAUAUAUAUAUGUAUAUGUAUAUAUGUAUGUUAAUGAUCAAAUACAAACUACAAACUAAUCUAAGCCAUUAAAUCAAGCUAAUGUAAUUGCCGUCCACUCUACCCUCUCACACAUAUUCCACAGAUUCCCUCCAUUUUUAAUUUGAUUUUUCACGUCAAUCAAAUCACUUUUUUUGAAAUCCGACUUCACUGUAUUUUUCUUCAUCUCCCAGCAAUCAAUUUCCAUACCAUAUUUGAUAUAUUUCGAUGCGAUUUAUAAAUUUUUUAUUUUGGUUUUUAGUUUUUAUUCUAAGAAAUGUUUGUAGUGGAGGAGCAUCCUAUAUUAUAUAUAUCUAUAUAAAAGAAGGCUCAAUGGAGACCAAAUAUUUUGGAGUCCUUAGAGCAUCUCCAAUGGGAGGUGCCAAGAGGGGUGCCAAUGCCAUGUGGCAUGACAUGGACCGGCACUCUCGUUGGCACCCCCAUUGGAGAUGUUGGAGUGCUAUUGGGGUGCCAGGUGAGUUGGCUUUAGGGUGCCAAAAGUUGGCAACCGAUAAAGUAGGGUGCCAACUUCAUUUGUGGUCCCAAUAAUACAUAAAAUAUAGAUUUGUGGUCUCAAUAAUACAUAAAAUAUUAUUUCUCUAUUAAUAAAGUUGGCAUCUUUGGAGUGCCAACCAUUGGAGUGUAUUUUUAAAAAAGGGUGCUAAAAAUGAUUUGGAAGAGUGUGAAUAUAAAAAAUAAUAUUUUGAGUUAUGUGUUAAAAUUGGCACCCCUUGAAGGGUGCCAGCCAUUGGAGAUGCUCUUGGAGACUACAAGAUCUACCGUUAAUAUAAUCUGGCAAUUAACGAACAUGAUUAAAUAUUUUUGUCCUGCAUUUCUAGUAAUAUUCUUGUCCUGCAUUUCUAGUAAACAACAAUUGCAGAACAUUGUAAUUUGAAGAAUAGAUUCUUGAGAUAUCAUAGCUUCAGUUGCUUCAAGAUCAUCAACAUGAGUUUUAGUUUUAAUUCAAAAUUAUCUUUAUAAUUUACUGUAUUCUUGUCGUAAUGUAGUAUUAAUAAUUUGUCCCGCAUAUUUGUGAUAUAUCUAAGUGUUAUUUUGUCUCGCAACAAAUUCAAUUCGUUGCAGGACAAUAACGAUGAGUUCAGUGCCAAUCAUAGCAAUGUCCAACUACAUCUUUGUUUUGUAUCCAAUUAUUAUUUUUAUUUUAUUAGGAUUUCGGUGAUUGAACACCAAUAUCAUGGAAUUAUUAUUUUAUGUUCUGCAGGAUUUAGAAAUUCUGCAUGUUGUUCACUGAUUUAGAAGUGCUGGACAGGAGGACCUGCAGUUAGGAUUGAUCUUGGGACCAUAUGUACUCAUGUGUUGGAUUUUGGAGAUGACACCAUCUCAUGUGGUUAUUGCGAGUGUUUUUAAUGAAGCUUAGCAAGGACAUUAAUUCUGAUGAGGCAGUUGCACUGGAUGUCGCUGCCAUAGCUGACACGAUGAUUAGUGACGAAGGUGGUGGAAUGAUUAAUGUGAUGCCACUGGAUAUUACUUCUGAAGACCUUAGUAGUGGGAAUUAGACUGUUCUAUCUCCAAAAAAUACAAGCUGUCCUUGACUUGGUAUUGAUCCAAGUGUUUCAGAUUAGGGUGCUGGUCCCUGGCAUAUGAUUGCCAGGGAGGGGUUAAGUAACACAUGGUUUUCUGGCUGUCGGAUGCAUAUCUAGCGCCCAGGAUUAUAACAUUUUUCUUCAGACUUCUAGCAGUUUUUAACCGCUAGACGCUAGACAGAUUUUCCCCUUCUAGCGGUUAAAAACCGCUAGACGUGUUAAAAUUUUGUUAUAAUCCUGGCCGCUGGAUAUGCAUNUGUCGGAUGCAUAUCUAGCGGCCAGGAUUAUAACAUUUUUCUUAAGACGUCUAGCAGUUUUUAACCGCUAGACGCUAGACAGAUUUUCCCCUUCUAGCGGUUAAAAACCGCUAGACGUGUUAAAAUUUUGUUAUAAUCCUGGCCGCUGGAUAUGCAUCCAACGGCCAGAAAACCAUAUGCCAGUUAAUCAGUCCACAGCCAUCGAUGGCUGUGGACCAGGACCCUUCAGAUUAUGCCUUGUUACAAUAUGAAUGNCAUGGUUUUCUGGCUGUCGGAUGCAUAUCUAGCGGCCAGGAUUAUAACAUUUUUCUUAAGACGUCUAGCAGUUUUUAACCGCUAGACGCUAGACAGAUUUUCCCCUUCUAGCGGUUAAAAACCGCUAGACGUGUUAAAAUUUUGUUAUAAUCCUGGCCGCUGGAUAUGCAUCCAACGGCCAGAAAACCAUAUGCCAGUUAAUCAGUCCACAGCCAUCGAUGGCUGUGGACCAGGACCCUUCAGAUUAUGCCUUGUUACAAUAUGAAUGUGUAUUAUAUCGAAAAUAUAAUUACAGAUUAUGGCCACACAAUAUGAUCAACAAUUUUAUGCCUUGUUAACCUAUAUGAUUAGUGUAUAAUGUAUUAUAUCGAAAAAUGAAUAAGUUCAAUCACUUCAGAUAGUACAUAUGCAUUGGUUUUCAUCCAGAUUGCAGAAUUACUGGAUUUGAAGAAACUAAUGAAACUCAUUUAGAAAUUUUCAGUUGACUAAAAAAUGCAGAACAGUAGUAUAUCAAGCUUUUUGUCCUCUUAAGCUGCUCAAAAGUGGGAUAGUAUAUCAAGCUUUUUGUUUUCUUAAGCUGCUCAAAAUUGGGAAUGCAGAUUUUGUUUUGAAGGUGACAAGGGAGAUUAUAUUAAGCUUCUUGUUCUAUUUUUGUUAGUAUUAAUUUGUUUUGAUGUUAUAUACCCAUUUAAAAGUGUUUCAGUUCUAAAUGUGUAUGGUCUGCUGUGAUGUUUUUAGAUGGAUCUUCACUAACAAAAUACCAAUUCAAAGGAAAACAAGCACCAGCACUUAAUAAUAAGAUCCAGAACCAAGUUGCUUACAAUGAAAAGAAACUAGAACAGAUAAACUGGACAAUUCGAGAAGCCAGAGUCUCCUUACUAAAUUGAUUAAACUAAAAUGAUAUUCUCCAUAAGCCCCUCCUCUCAACCCUAAUUCCUCUUAUCCCCUCGCUUCCUCUUGCUGUUCAGUUCCCUUUCUACCCUUGGGCUUCCUUCUGUUGAAUACUAGUAGCUUAGUGGGCUGGGCCUGAUCUGUAGGCUGGGCCUGAUCUGUUACAUUACUCCCCGCCAGAUCCUGAACCUUGUCCUCAAGGUUGAAAGCUGGGAAACGUUGGUCCAACAAAGCAGCUUGUUCCCAAGUAGCAUCAAAUGAGGGCAGUCCUUUCCACUUAAUCAGUGUGACAGCCCGAGAAUCCGGGGGUCUGGAUUCUGACGUCACCACAUAAAGCCAUUUUAAAACACUUUUGAAAACCUGUAUUUAUUUGAAAAGAUAAUAAAAUCAAAGGAUUUAAAACUUGAAGACUUUAAUAAAAGAUUUAAAAGAAAACACUUUAACCCCCUAAAAACAGGAUCGCAUCCAGGUCACAGUAUUGAAAUUAGAAUCAACCGCUAUAAAUAAACAAUGUCUUACAACCUCAGAUCAUCUUCGAUGAGAAGAAUCACUGCCAAUCUAUUUAAAUUAUGAUUACAACUGAAUCUCAACAAUUCUAUCUAGAACCAACCUUGACAAUCUCCCUGAACAUUUCCACUUGUCCUCUGUAUACUCUAUACUCUGACUCCUCGCCUAGCCUUAGCCAUACUCGCAACCUCAAUCAUGCAAUUCAUCGUUAAGCUUUUCUGAAAUGGUUAAAAAGGAAUAGCAAGGGUGAGCAACAAUGCUCAGCAAGUGUAUAUAAGCAACAAUAGUCCUGAAAUAUCUUAUCAGGGUUCACAAGUUCAGGAUAUGCAAUUGAAAACUUCACAAUUCUUAUCAGCAAUUGAAAUCAGAAUUCAAACUUACAGAAGAAUUGUCGAAUUGGAUUCAUCACAUUUUUACUUAAAAACCAAAGGUUAGGCUGCUGAUCAGUCACGCACUAACCCCGAACAUGGCACACAGCCCUGUUCUCUAUACUGGAUCCAAGGCACACAUUGGCCUAUAAUUGACCACGAAUCUGGUCUGACCACGAAUCUGGUCCACAUAUUUUAUAAAAACUAAUCCAAUUCUAACAAUUUAAAUCAACAGACAAUUGAAACAACAGAACAAAAUCAUAAUCAUUAUCAGCAACAGAAAUAUUUCAAAUCAACUUUUGGGAAUCAACAUUUCAUAAACCACAGUCUGUCUUUUGAUAAAUCAUAGUUCAGGAAAUUCCUAACUAUUCAGUAUCCUCCAUUAUCGGCUAAGCAACUGAAUUUAGCCUGCUAAACCAGCAUGACAAUGGCGGGUUGAAUAAUCAAGAAGAUCCCAAUUCAUUCUAGGUUCUAACUAUCACUGAGCAACACAUGCUUCAAUGACGGUCUGAACUUCGAAUUAAUUUGUAGAACUGGUAUUUUUAAAAUCUUGAGGAUUGGAAAGAAUGGAUCAAAAUAGAAAGUUGAGAGUAAUUAGGUGUUUGGCUUUUCAAAACUUGGAAGAAGAAAACAAUCAUGGGAUUCAUUCUCAGAAGUAAGAGUUUGUUUGAGAAGGGUCUCAGCAUAAACAAUAUCAUAAUCUUGACAGAAUAAUCAGAACAUGCAAUAUAUAUAUGAGGAAGGAUUUAGGAAUACUUGCCUUAAAUCCGCCUCCACACCCAUAGCUUAAUCUCAUCUUUCCAAUUCACAAUCUAUGCAUAUCAUAACCUCCAGACCAUCUCUGUAUAUACUCUAUUCGCAAUACGACUUCGCUUUCUCGACUCGUUCCUUAUUCGCUUUGCAACAUCGUUUGACCUUCUGUACGUCUUCAAUCGUAUACGCCUCGUCCAAAUCCUUUACGAGAAUAAAAUACUACCAUAAUUACUAAAUAAUCUAUUGAUUCUUAUCUUACUUAUCAAACUCGGUAUCAUAACCUAUCGCAUAUACAUAUCACGUAUAUCGAUAGCAUUUAACACAUAAUCACAUAUCACCCUAUAUAAUCUCUAUGCACUUAUCAGAUAUCACUUAACAUAUAAUCAUGCUUUGACUCUAUCAUAUAGUCACAUCAUACUCCAUGUAGCAUACUACAACUCAAUAACCAUAUAUAUCCUAUUGAAAAUCUGACAGCGUCUUGUCUAUUUAUAGGACUAUCCAUCUGUUAAUCUAUUUCAACCAACAACCAAUCAAUCAACUCAAAUUCCUGUAAUCUACAUAUUCUUAUCCAACAUUAAUCAAGAUAAGAUGCUAUGUCUCCCAAAUCAUUUAUCAAAUCAAAUGGACACGUAUUUCAUAUAAUCAUCACUAUAUAGCAAAUAGAUCACGUAUAGUCACAUUAUGCAUUUUCAACAAUCUUUAUACACAUUGGAAACUCAAUCAUAUUGUUACAUUAUAUUAAACUAGAGUUUCUAAGCUUUAACCUCUUUUUCGUUUCACUCGAUUCUGAAUUACGGAUCAAAAGUUAUUAACAAAACAGUUUUCUAACUCCCUAUCGACAUAUAACAUAUCACACAGACAACAGAAAACACAUUGCACAUAAGGUUUCCCAUCCCAAUCGAUAUCCAAUCAAGUCUCAGGUUAAAAAUGAUUUUUCGAGAAUUUUCUGGAAUUUUCUAAACAUUUUUCGGAAUUAAAACAGGUAAAAGAAUCCAUUUUUGAAUAAAUAAUCAAAUCCGAUUGCUCAAGAUCGGAUCCGAAAUCAUUUGAAAUCAAUUAACGAGCCUCAAACAUAUUUUAGAAAAAUAAUCCAAAGCUCGAAACUAUUUCUCGGAAUUUUUAAAUCAAAAGAAAUCAUUAAAUCUAAUUAAUUAAUCAAUUAAAAUCAAUUAAUAAUUUAUUAAAAUAAUUAAUCAAUUAAUAUUAAAAUUAAUUGACCAAUUAAAAUAAUUAUUACUAAUUAAAUUUAAUUAAUAAUCUAAUUUCAGAUUUAUUUUUGAAUAAAGAAGUAAUUAAAAAGCAUUUUUGAAAUUAAAAUAAUUAAAUAAAACAAUUUUUGAAAAUUAAAAUCAAAAGGUUUAUUUUGUAAACUUUUGAAAGUUUUCGGCCAGGGUUCAAAAUGCAACUUUUCAAAGUUACAGGGGGUGUUUUGUAAGAUUCAAAACUUGGAUACGAUGACUUCAUCAUCUUUAUAAGUUGGGUGGCCAAACGGCAAUUUGCCGCCGGCCACCACUAACUUCGCCGGACACGGCGCUGCCGCCCCCCAACAUGCAUCAGAAACUCCAGAAACAAUGUAUACACUACCAGGAUCAUGUUCAAGUCGUUAAAAUCAGUAACAAAUCGAAGGGUUGGCCGUAAAAUCUUAAUAAACAACCGCCGCCGGCGGACCCAUUUCCAGACUCCGGCGACUCCAUUCGAAUUCCAACAUAUAAACUAAUUACACGAACAAAUUCAUCUCCUCAUGCUCUAUCCAGUGAUAUAAGCCAUAACAGCCCAGAUUUAGCGAAUUAAAAACCCCCAAUUUCCGAUUGAAAAUAUUCAUAAUCCUUCAAGAACAUUCAAGAACACAACCCAAUAAUCAAACCCAAUUUUAUAUAUGAUACGGAAGUCAAAAAUCGAUAUAUAAUAUACCAAAACGACGAGAAAAACACGCUCUACAACAUGGAAUCAUCAAAUCAAUCAAACAAUCACGUUUGCAAAAAUUCACUAUUUAAAUCAUAAUAAUUCGAAUUUUAUAAAAAUAAAAUAAAAUCACCUGUUCAAUCUGCAUAUAAACGGAUGAUUAUACUAGAUUCUACUCGUCAAGAGCUUCGUUUUGACUAUUUAUACGCCUCUAUCCGAUUCCAAUAACGCCUUCAAAUCCUCGUUUGAUUAUGAAGAACACGAAGAACACCCGUUCGUUUUCUCUCGGUAUUCGUGCAGAGAAACUGACGAAAUGAUUAUACGCGCGAAAUAAACUGGUAAAGGAUAUUUAUAGAAGAAGAUAAGAGAAUAUUCCUUGAAUAUGCUUUGGAAUAUUCCUGGAAUAUGCUUCACGCAUUACGAGAUAACCAGAUAAUUAUUAACUUUAAAAAUAUUAAUAAAACCGUACCGGAUCAUUUACGGGACAAACCGUACUCCGGAUCGAAAAAGUUAAAACACGAGAAAUGCUCAGAAUGUCCCAAAUAGCUUAAUGGCGAAAUUUUCCCGAACGCCCGCGGGGUUUAAAAUGCUAAAUAACUAUUUUAAUAUAAUUAAUAAUCAAACGAGAUUAAAUUCACAAAUCGAUUCUAAAAUCACGUAGCAAUCCAAAAAUCGAUAUGAACAUAUCUAAAUAAACUAUAUUUUAUCCUGAUCAUAUAGAAAUUGAAAUAUCUCAAAUCCGAACACAUAUGGGCAGUCAAUUCAAUAAACCAGAUAACACAACUCUUACAACAAUUUAUAUAAAUAUCACAUACUAUUCAUAAAUUAUCAGGAAAAUACCCAAAUGUUUUAUAUUUUAUUUUGAGAAUAUAAAAAUUGAAAACUCGUGAUUGCAACAUAUAUAAGCAAUCAAAAUAGAAAACUAGUCCUCAUAUGAUUUACCAAAUAUUCAUAUAAUAUUCAGAAAUAACCAUAACUAGUUACACGACCAUUACACACGUAACACUUAAUCAAGUAAUGCAUAUAUUCAAAUAUUAACCAUCUAACUUUCAUGACCAAUCUCUGUAUUUUCAGAAAUAAUUUUUGAAAUGAGUUUUGAAAGGACACUCAUAUAUCCAUAUAUAAAUCAUUUGAAAAUAUCUAAAUAACAUAUGACUCAUUCUGAUAAUAUCAAUAAUUAAACCCACAGUUCUAGCACAUAUAAAUAACGUUUACAGAAAUUCAAUUUGCACCAAAAUUCAUACAAUAUUCACAUUAAAUUAUCAUAACUAACUAAACUCACAAUUCCACAUGCAACACUUAGCCAUAUAACAAUAGCAAUCUUUUAAAUCUUUAAAAUCAAUUAUAUAAAAUAUAAUUUUGAAAAGACAACCCUGUAUUGAUAAAACAAUAACCCGGAAUUUAAAUAUAAAGUUUUGAAGACACAUUAAACUGGAAUAAAAUAUUGAACUUUAUUCCUUUCUCUCUAAGAAAAUUACUUUCAUAACAAUAAACAAUUUUUGAAAAAUCCGGGUCGUUCAAAUAUACGAAAUUCCAGAAGAAGAGUGCACAAUCUGUUUAAACCUUAUAAUUUUACAUCACAAUUAUACUCAUACUACACAGACUAUUCAUCUUUUCAGAUAAAAGUCAAUUAAAGCCAAUAAUAAUAUUCAAAAACUUAUCUCGAUUUUAAUAAACUAAUUCUUAAAAUCUGGGAUGUUACAAUCAGUAUCUCAACUUGCUGGUCUGGGGUCUGUCUUACUGCUAACAGCUGCUCCGGUUCCACACACAACUCCAUAUCUGCUGUUAGCUGCUCAGGGAUCGUUGCUCGCACUACUUCUGUUCCAACAUGUCUUUUGAGAUGAGAUACAUGAAAGACUGGGUGAAUUUUACAGCCCUCCGGUAGUUCCAGUUUGUAAGCAACUUCCCCCACUCGCUGUAUUAUGCGAAACGGCCCAAAGAAUCUGGGUGAUAACUUCUCACAAGGACGACGAGCCAACGAACUUUGUCGAUAUGGCUGAAGCUUAAGAAAAACCAAAUCCCCAAUAGUAAACACUAAAUCCCUGCGUUUAGUAUCAGCUGAACUUUUCAUAUGGUGCUGGGCUUUAAGCAAGUUGGCCUGCAGUUCAUCUAACACAGCGUCUCGGACGCGCAGCAUCUCGGACGCGCAGCAUCUCGGACGCGCAGCAUCUCAUCAAUGGAGUCGACUGGGGAUUGUCAUCUUCCCAACCUGUACAAUGACGGUGGUUCACGCCCAUAGACUACUUGAAACGGCCUAAACUUUGUUGACAGGUGUGGGGCUGUGUUAUAGGAGAACUCAGCCCAAGGCAACCAUUCCGCCCAAUUCUUCGGUUUGCCCUGGAUAAAACACCUGAGAUACGUUUCAAGCCCCUUAUUUACAUUCUCAGUUUGACCAUCCGUUUGGGGAUGGUACGCGGUGCUCUUCUUAAGCACUGUCCCCUGUAAGCGAAAUAAUUCAGACCAAAAAUUGCUGAGAAAAAUACGAUCACGGUCGGACACGAUAGCAGAAGGGAACCCAUGCAAACGCACAAUCUCUUUAACAAAAACUCCUGCCACUGUCACAGCACUAUAGGGAUGGCGCAAACCCAGGAAAUGAGCGUAAUUGGACAAGCGGUCCACAACAACCAAUAUCGAGUUAUACCCCUUUGGUGACGGUAAUCCAUCGAUGAAGUCAAGAGAUACCUCUUCCCACACUAAAUCUGGCAAGGGCAAUGGUUGUAACAACCCCGCUGGGGACUGUUGUAAGGCCUUUUGUUGCUGACAGGUCUUGCACUUCUGCACAUACAACCCGACAUCUUUCCUCAUACUUUCCCAAAACCAAUCUCCUGCCAAUCUCAAAUAAGUCUUCAACUUCCCCGCGUGACCUCCCAUCAUAGAGUCAUGAUACUCGUGCAACAACCCAGGAAUGAACGCUGACUUCUUAGGAAUCACAACUCUCCCUUUGAACAUGAGAGUGUCAUCAACCACUGUUGUACCCUUUGUGAGUUGUGCUCCCCUGAGUGAGCUCUGUUUUUACCAGCUGUAGCUACGAAUCCGCCGCUAUCUCUUGGCGUAGCUUGCUCCAAUCUAACACUGGGCGACAUACUAACGCCCUCAACAGAACUUCACCUGCCUGUUUACGCGACAGGGCGUCUGCCACGCGAUUGGCUACCCCAGGUUUGAACUGCACUUCAAAAUCGUACCCCAUCAGUUUUCAUACCCACUUCUGAUACUCCAACCCAAUUUCACGCUGCUAGGUGAUGAAUUUAAUACUCUGCUGGUCAGUUCUAAUUACGAAAUGUCGGCCUAGGAGAUAACUCCUCCAUUUCUGUACGGCUAAACACACAGCCAUCAACUCCUUCUCGUACACGCACUUCUGCUGAGCCUGAGGACCUAAAAGCUUGCUGAAAAAUGCCAAUGGCCGUUGGUCUUGCAUUAGUAUUGCACUAAUACCAAACCCGGAUGCGUCGGUCUCCACCACGAAGCUUUUCUGCCAAUCUGGCAUGGCCAGUACCGGGGGUUGUGUCAUCGCACUUUUCAAUCUGUUAAAUGCAGCUGUUGCCUCUUCCGUCCAUCCAAACUUAUCUUUCCGCAACUGUUCAGUAAGCGGUUGAGCAAUUUGCGCGUAAUGCUUGACAAACUUACGGUAGUACCCCGUGAGCCCGAGGAAACCCCGUAAGGCACGCAAAUUUGCAGGCACGGGACAAUCCAUGAUUGCUUGCACCUUCUCCAUAUCAACCUCCACCCCUUUCUCUGAAAUAACAUGUCCCAAGUACGAAACUACCCGCUGUCCAAACUCACAUUUCUUCUCAUUUGCGUAAAGCUGGUGUUCGGCUAAUUUACUCAACACCUGGCUGACAUGAUAAACAUGUUCACUAUCAGACUUGCUGUAUACGAGGAUAUCGUCAAAAAAAACCAGCACAAAUCUGCAUAAGUAUGGACGAAACACAUCGUUCAUUAGAGACUGAAAUGUUGCGGGCGCAUUCGUCAAGCCAAAAGGCAUGACCAGAAAUUCGUAGUGGCCGGCGUGUGUAUGAAAAGCAGUCUUAUGCACAUCCUCAGGGCGUACCAAAAUCUGGUGGUACCCGGCUUUCAAGUCGAGCUUUGUGAAAACCUUUGCACCGUAUAGCUCAUCAAGUAACUCUUCAAUGAUCGGAAUAGGGUAUUUGUCCGGUAUUGUCUCCUUGUUCAAAGCCCUAUAAUCAACGCAAAACCGCCAUGACCCAUCUUUUUUCUUAACUAGUAGUACUGGACUAGAAAACGGACUAGUAGAUGGGCGGAUCACCCCAGCUGCUAACAUAUCUUGAAUGAGGCGCUCAAUCUCAUCCUUCUAUGAUUGCGGGUAGCGGUAAGGUCUUACUCCCACCGGAUUACUCCCCUCCCGCAAUGUGAUAGAGUGGCCAUGGCUUCGCUGUGGAGGUAAGCCCGGAGGCUGCUGGAACACGGUGUGGAAGUCAUGUACCACAGACUACAAGAAUUCAGGCACCUCACCCCCCCCCCCCCCCCUUGCUCCACACCCACCCCCCCCUGUNNNNNNNNNNNNNNNNNNNNNNNNNNNNNNNNNNNNNNNNNNNNNNNNNNNNNNNNNNNNNNNNNNNNNNNNNNNNNNNNNNNNNNNNNNNNNNNNNNNNNNNNNNNNNNNNNNNNNNNNNNNNNNNNNNNNNNNNNNNNNNNNNNNNNNNNNNNNNNNNNNNNNNNNNNNNNNNNNNNNNNNNNNNNNNNNNNNNNNNNNNNNNNNNNNNNNNNNNNNNNNNNNNNNNNNNNNNNNNNNNNNNNNNNNNNNNNNNNNNNNNNNNNNNNNNNNNNNNNNNNNNNNNNNNNNNNNNNNNNNNNNNNNNNNNNNNNNNNNNNNNNNNNNNNNNNNNNNNNNNNNNNNNNNNNNNNNNNNNNNNNNNNNNNNNNNNNNNNNNNNNNNNNNNNNNNNNNNNNNNNNNNNNNNNNNNNNNNNNNNNNNNNNNNNNNNNNNNNNNNNNNNNNNNNNNNNNNNNNNNNNNNNNNNNNNNNNNNNNNNNNNNNNNNNNNNNNNNNNNNNNNNNNNNNNNNNNNNNNNNNNNNNNNNNNNNNNNNNNNNNNNNNNNNNNNNNNNNNNNNNNNNNNNNNNNNNNNNNNNNNNNNNNNNNNNNNNNNNNNNNNNNNNNNNNNNNNNNNNNNNNNNNNNNNNNNNNNNNNNNNNNNNNNNNNNNNCUUGUAGCUACACAUCCAUCCAUCUGGUUACAUUCCAUGAGAUACCCACCCCCUUCCUUCCUUAAAGUUCUGAUCAUAGCCUUCAACGACAGCUGAGCCCGGACCAAAGACGGAUCCCCAACCAACUUCACCGGCUGUCCAUUCAUAUCAAAGAUCAUCACCUGAGUUUUCCAAUUGGUAAUAACCGUUCCCAGUCUCUCUAACCACUGGACACCGAGUAUAAUAUCAGAAUUGCCAAGCUCCAAAGGCAAAAAAUCAGUCACGACCUCCACCCCUCCAUCUAAGUGUAGCUUGACCCCUUCACAGAUGCCCUUACCUCGUAUAGCCUCUCCGUUUCCCAAAUGUACCCCGAAACUGCCCGAGUCCGUCACCACAAGGCCGAGUUCCUUUACUACCCCAAGUGCGAUGAAGUUGUGCGUCGCACCCGGGUCAAUCAUGACUACCACUGAUCGAUCCUUAACCAAACCCCGCAACUUCAUUGUUUUGGGACUAGACAACCCAAUAACUGAGUUCAAUGAGACCUCAAGAGUGGGUUCCUCCACCGUGGUUACGACUUGCUCCUCCUCAUUUGGGCCCUCCAUAUCCUCCCCGCCAUCCAUCCACAACAUGCUCAACUCCUUUUUAGUGCAACAAUGGCCCAUGCUCCAUUUACCAUCACACUUGAAACACAGACCCUUAGCCCUCUUUUCCUGAAAUUCCUUGUCGGAGAGCCGACGUACUUCACCUAACAGCUUGGGCAUUGCUACAGUACUGGUCUUAGCCCCAGAAACAAUCGAAGUUGAGUUGGAAUUGUUAUUUUACACCAACUAUGAGAAAGAUUGUAGAAGGGGGGGUUGAAUACAAUCUUUUACAAAUUUAAAAGAUUCAAGAACAAUACACUAAGAACACAAUAAACAGAAAAACACCAAGUAUUAAAAAUACGGGUGGAUUGAAUGAUCCACCCGUGAGAUUUUAUAUAGAAGAAUCUGUGGAUUGUUUUACAAUUCGCACAGCUGCUGGUUCAUCACUCAAAACAAGUUCUAACUCUCAGAUUUUUCUCUCAAGUAAUUGAACAAGUUCAACUGAUGCUACUAACUUGGUUAUAUACUCCAAGUUUUACAAAGCUUUUAGCUAGAUUACAAAAUGCACUCUAAUCUAAAAACAAUGCUGCACAACUUUGUCUUAUGCAUGCUUUCUGAGAUGUCUUCAUCUUUGACCAUCAUCUUGAUUUGAUCCAGAUUGCGCUGCAUGAGAUAAGUAUGUUUCUGCUUCUUCUUUAUUUUCCUAAUUAGGCUUCCAUGUCUAUUUUAGUGUAAUUCGAUCCAUGUGAUUUGUCAGACUUAAGCUCUAGUCACUUUCAACUGCUCUUUGCUUCAUCAGUUGAAAGUUCUGGUUGCUUUCUNNNNNNNNNNNNNNNNNNNNNNNNNNNNNNNNNNNNNNNNNNNNNNNNNNNNNNNNNNNNNNNNNNNNNNNNNNNNNNNNNNNNNNNNNNNNNNNNNNNNNNNNNNNNNNNNNNNNNNNNNNNNNNNNNNNNNNNNNNNNNNNNNNNNNNNNNNNNNNNNNNNNNNNNNNNNNNNNNNNNNNNNNNNNNNNNNNNNNNNNNNNNNNNNNNNNNNNNNNNNNNNNNNNNNNNNNNNNNNNNNNNNNNNNNNNNNNNNNNNNNNNNNNNNNNNNNNNNNNNNNNNNNNNNNNNNNNNNNNNNNNNNNNNNNUAAAAAUGUUUAUGUUAUCAUCAAGUGUAAUCACCCUGAGAAUUGUGGUUGUGGUUGGAAAAAUUAUUGAUUCCUAACAAUCUCCCCCAAUUUAUGACUGGAGAAGAUGCAGACAUAAAUUCUACACUUGAUGAUAACAAAACAUUAAUAAAAUAAAAUGCAGAAUUUAAAUACAAGAGUUAGAAAAGAUUACAGAUGAUUAUGCUCCUCUAGACUGAGCAGUUACUUGUUCCUAGAAGAUCUUCUUCUUCUGGACUUAAGUUUUUCUUCAAGAAUAUUAAUCUGCUUCUGAAAGAUCCUGUAGAACCAUUCUUCAUCACUAUCUUGUCUGUUGAGCUUGGAUUGGAGAGUCUUCAGAGUAUUCAAGCUAGCAACCUUGAGUUGAUCUUUAGGUCUGAAAAAUCUCCUAACACCUUGAUUGUCCCUAAAUUCCAUGACUGGAGUAGGUUCAUGAUGAAUUUUCUUUCCAGUGUAGGGAAUUUUCAGCCUUCUUUGUAGACUAGCAUCUGAGUUCCAUUCCUUCCUGAUCUCAAGGAUUCUCUUUAGUACCAUUUGCUUUGCAGGUGGUGUAAAUCCUCCAGUCCUCUUCAUAGAUCCAUAUAUUUUUGUUAGAGAACUGAAUCCCUCAGAAUUCAGAACUCUGUGAAGAGGCCAGAUGACAUCACCCUUGUUUUUGUAAGAGAAUACCAAUCUUUCAGGUAACUUUGAAGUUGCCUCUAUUCCUCUUACUUCUUGAAGAUCAUCCAGCUCCAGAUCCAACUCAGAAAUUUCUUCAAUGUUAGCAAUGAUGAGAUAGUCAUCAAGGUUCUCAGGUUCUUUUGGAGGUUUAGGAGGGUUAGCCAUCCUUUUAGCCACAGACUUGACUUUCUUCUUUGGCUUGGAAGAUUCUUGGACAAGAAAAGCUGGAAUUGGAAUAUCUUCCAAGUCAAUUGGCUCCUCCUUUGGCAUUAUUGGCUCAUCAUGGAAGUUGACAUCUGGAUGUACUACUGUGGUAUCCUUGAUUGGAGAAGAAGGCUUUGAGAUAGGCUUUUCUGGCACUUCUUCUCUUCUCUUGGCUGCCUCAGGCAUCUUAGUUUUAGAUUUGACUCUCUUUUUCUUUGGAGAAGAUUCAAGAGGCAAUCCUUUCUCAUUUAAAAGCUCAGCUGCCAACUCCUCUUCCAGCUCAAUAGCAUACCUUUCAUCCACCUCUAUUUGGUUCAAAGAGAGUUGGGAUUCAAACUCCUCUUUUUCACAUUCUCUGGCCACCUCUUCAGCUUUUGCAAAUGAGUAGUGAGGAUGGCCAGUUCCAAUAAACAGCUUCUGGCCUUCUCUGUAGAUGAUGGCAAAAUGAGCCUUUAAGGCCACAUCUGCACAAUCUUUAUAACUUUUGAUUUCUUGGCCCAAAAGCUUGUAUUCAUUUUUGUCAGGCCUGGCUAGUGGAAAGUAGAUUGAGCUUGAGUCUUUUCCAGGCCUGGAGUAACCACAAUUGUUUGGAAACAGAAUUGGCUUGAACUCAUUCAGAAAUGAUGGCUCACCCUUUUCUGUCUUGGAGGGAAUAACAAUCUCAGGUGUAAUUACCCUGAGAAUUGUGGUUGUGGUUGGAAAAGAGAUUUGAGCUGUGGUGGCUGUAGAAGAUGUAGACGAUUUCUUGCCCAGUUGAGCCACUCUCUUUGCAAUGGAGUCCAAUUCUUUCAUCCUUGCAAUCUUCUGCUUUUCCCUUUCAGUGUGGAAAGGGGGUAGAANNNNNNNNNNNNNNNNNNNNNNNNNNNNNNNNNNNNNNNNNNNNNNNNNNNNNNNNNNNNNNNNNNNNNNNNNNNNNNNNNNNNNNNNNNNNNNNNNNNNNNNNNNNNNNNNNNNNNNNNNNNNNNNNNNNNNNNNNNNNNNNNNNNNNNNNNNNNNNNNNNNNNNNNNNNNNNNNNNNNNNNNNNNNNNNNNNNNNNNNNNNNNNNNNNNNNNNNNNNNNNNNNNNNNNNNNNNNNNNNNNNNNNNNNNNNNNNNNNNNNNNNNNNNNNNNNNNNNNNNNNNNNNNNNNNNNNNNNNNNNNNNNNNNNNNNNNNNNNNNNNNNNNNNNNNNNNNNNNNNNNNNNNNNNNNNNNNNNNNNNNNNNNNNNNNNNNNNNNNNNNNNNNNNNNNNNNNNNNNNNNNNNNNNNNNNNNNNNNNNNNNNNNNNNNNNNNNNNNNNNNNNNNNNNNNNNNNNNNNNNNNNNNNNNNNNNNNNNNNNNNNNNNNNNNNNNNNNNNNNNNNNNNNNNNNNNNNNNNNNNNNNNNNNNNNNNNNNNNUGCACACACGGGCACUCCGCACUUGUAAAUAGAAGAGUAAUUGACUUAGUAGCGAGAGAGAUGAAAUUCGAGAACAUUAGCACAAUCUGAGGUAUUAUAAUUGGCAAGGCAAUUACUUCAUAGUUCACUCAUUCAUCACGUAGUUGCAUUCAUGCAUUGCAUUGUAUUAUUGUAUAGUGUCGUUGACGCUUGAGGACAAGCAUCAGUUUAAGUUUGGGGGUGUGAUAAGUGGUAUUUAUACACACUUAUAGGCCUUCAUUUCCACUUAAAUUGGUUGGUUGUACUUAAGUGUUUAGUGUCUUUUGAUGUGUUUUUAUUGUUUUUCUGUGCAGGUCACGAGUUGAGGUGAUGAAGUGAUUUUCUAUCAUUUUAGGUUGGUUUUGGUGCAUUAUUUGCAAGAAUAGAGAAUUGUGGAUUCAUCGCGACUUGGGAUUUUGUGGGUAUAUCUUCUACAAACCCUCACGAGAGCACACUCGUCCACUAGAGCUAUCUAGGGGUUUAAAGGGCUUGUUGCAUGUGCUAAAUGCAACCGUGAUCACCUACGGAAGUGGUACUAGAAGCGAGGAAGGACAUGCACGCGAGAACGAGCGAGAAACGAAGAAACGGAGCUGCCAGUGCAGACACUAGCGCGCCCGCGCUAAGUGGUAGCGCGCCCGCGCUACUAACUGCAUCACUAGCGCGCCCGCGCUAGAGUAGCGCGGUGGCGCCCCACUGAAGCUUCCCGGGCCGAUUUUUACAGCUUUUCUGAUGGAUUUUCGCAGCGGCCGAGGCCCGGUUGACUUAGUCAAUGCAUUUUAUUUCUCGUGUGUAAAAACCCUAGCCUCAUAGUAGUUAGAAUAUCGAAACAAUAUCAUAGCUAGUUUUCUUUUGUAAUCGAACACAUUAUCAGUUGUAUUAGAUCGUUCUUCGCGAGGAAGUGACAGUUUCGAGCAAGAUCGUGAACUUCAAUCUGUAACGUGUGAUCUUUAUUAUUAAUUCAAGCAUUUUUAUUCCAAUUAAGUCUUGUCUUUUCUUUAUCAUGUUUUCAUUAGAACCCAUGAUGUCGAUUAGUUCGAUUAUGAACUAACCGCCUUCAUGGGAUUCUAAUGGAUUUAUCGAUGUAGUCUAGUAAAGAAUAUUAAUUACUCGAUUUUGUGACAUAUGUUGAUUUCUUUGCAUGAGCCGUGCUUAUUCUUCUUAGGAGCGUAGCUAACUUCUAAGUUGUUUGUUAAUUCUUUCUGAAGCGAGAGUGGAUGAUUGAAUUUAGAACUAUGCCAUGUAAACAUAGGAUUAUGUGAAUGAAACAUAAUUUGUGGUAGACUUGAACUAUUUUUAUCACCCUGUGUAAUCACGAUAGACGACUUGCUAUUAAACCUCUCUGCUUACACUACCGCUAUAGAGAUAUAGGGUCUGAGCUUUGUUGGUGUCCAUGAGAUUUCUAUCUUAAUUGUGGAUUUCGAUUGGUAUGAUAUGUGUGCAACGAGAGUUGGCAUGUAUUACUUUCGUGUUGUCUGAUUAGGAUCAACAGUCGCAUAUUAAUCAGUAAUUUCAAUUCUAGAUGAAUUCGAUAAUGAAGUUAGAAUCCCAUGUGUUUUCCUAUUCUGAAUUUGAUUAGUAAUUUUAGUUAUUAGUAUAAAAGAAACCAUCCUUGUUAAUUGUCUUGGCAGUGAAAAUUGAUCAUACAUUGUUGCAUAGGUGCGUAUUCUUAAUUCACCAGUCUCUGUGGGAUCGAACUUAAUAUAUUACUUGUGAUCACGUGCGCUUGCGUGUAGAUUUUUUGCGAACAAGUUUUUGGCGCCGCUGCCGGGGACUCGGUGUUAAUUAAUUAGUUUAUGUACUUGUCAUCAGUGUGCAUUAAAAUUCACUGACUAGGAUUCUAUUCUCUUCUCACUUUUCUUCUUUUCUUUAUUUCAGGUACUUGGAUCGCGUUUUUACUAACACGUUCUCAAGCUCGUAAAAAAGCAAUUGAUUCAUCUUCAUCUUCUUCUUCUGAUUCUGAAAAAAUGACAGAACCUGAAGCACAAACAGACAGUAAGGCAUUGAAGGAUUUCUCUAUGCCAAAGAUCGAUGAUAUCCAGUCAAGCAUUGUCAGGCCUGCAAUCGCAGCCAAUGCCUUUGAAAUCAAACCAGGAACUAUUCAAAUGGUCCAGAACUCGGUACAGUUUGGGGGUUCUCCUACUGAAGACCCUAAUAUGCAUAUACGUAAUUUUAUAGAGAUCUGUGACACUUUCAAAUUCAAUGAUGUCUCUGAUGAAGCUGUGAAGCUAAGGCUUUUCCCAUUUUCACUGAGAGAUAAGGCUAAGGGAUGGUUGCAUUCUUUACCAUCUGGCCCUAUUACUACAUGGGAAGAUCUAUCUCAGAAAUUUCUCACUAAAUUCUUCCCCAUGGCAAAGACUGCUGCACUACGAAAUGCUCUAUCUCAAUUCUCUCAACAAUCAGGAGAAACAUUCUGUGAAGCCUGGGAGCGAUAUAAGGAGAUGCUAAGGAAGUGUCCCCAUCAUGGCAUGCCGGAUUGGAUGCAAAUAAACUGUUUCUAUAAUGGUCUUGGACCUCAAUCCAGACCUAUGCUUGAUGCUGCUUCUGGAGGUGCGCUAUGGGCUAAGAGUUAUGAAGAAGCUUAUGAUCUUAUUGAAAAUGNNNNNNNNNNNNNNNNNNNNNNNNNNNNNNNNNNNNNNNNNNNNNNNNNNNNNNNNNNNNNNNNNNNNNNNNNNNNNNNNNNNNNNNNNNNNNNNNNNNNNNNNNNNNNNNNNNNNNNNNNNNNNNNNNNNNNNNNNNNNNNNNNNNNNNNNNNNNNNNNNNNNNNNNNNNNNNNNNNNNNNNNNNNNNNNNNNNNNNNNNNNNNNNNNNNNNNNNNNNNNNNNNNNNNNNNNNNNNNNNNNNNNNNNNNNNNNNNNNNNNNNNNNNNNNNNNNNNNNNNNNNNNNNNNNNNNNNNNNNNNNNNNNNNNNNNNNNNNNNNNNNNNNNNNNNNNNNNNNUUUUUUUCUAUUUUUCUCAAUUUUUUUUAUUUUACAUGUUUAGUAGUAAUUGUCGUAGUCAGUAUCACGAGCAUUUGCAUGAAUUAUGAAGUUAAGCCAAGUUAAUUGCCUAUGAUGAGUUAUGUGCGUAGUUCUUGAUUAGUAGUUUCAAUUGCAAUGCUAGGUUAGUACUUGGAAAUUGCUUGUGUUGGAAAUUGUAAUUCACAUAUGUUCUUGAGAUAGGAUUUAGACGAAAUUCCAUGAAUUCUAGGAUUGAAUUGAGCAUCCUUCAGCUUAGGUCUGUAAAUCUUAAGUUUGGGGGAACUGAGGAGUAGAUAUGCCUUUCUAAAAAAAAAAAAGAAAAAGAAAAAAAAAAGAAAAAAUAGUAGUAAAUAAAUUCACUAAAAAAAUAAGUGGUAGAAUUAACUAGGUUGAGCUCAUUAGUACUCGAGUAAUUAAGUCUGAGGGGACUUUGUGCCUAACAACCUAAAGCCCUUCGUGGUUUGGGAUUGUUGACCCAACGCUCGCUACAUGGGUACUAGUGCAUAAAUCUUUAGGGAUCUCAACCAUUGCACGGUUAAAUAAACCACUAGAAUAAAGUGAAUAAUUGGUGUGUGAAGUCUUGUGGUGUUCGUAACGCAUUUACACUGCGAAGCGCUCUGACCUUAGACCAAGCAAUUAAUCACCAAUAAAAAAAAGAAAAAAAAAAAAAUAAUAUAGUGAAUAAAAUAGAAGGGUGUGGACAUUCUUUGGGACCUUGGCUUUUAGUUGGACUUGAGUGACGGGGUGUUAGUUUAGACUUUUACGAUUCUUGAUUGGGAUUCUGUGGGAGUAGUAGUUUUUGUCUUGUCUCAAUAAAAGAGCAUGCUUGCACACACGGGCACUCCGCACUUGUAAAUAGAAGAGUGAUUGACUUGGUAGCGAGAGAGAUGAAAGUCGAGAACAUUAGCACAAUCUGAGGUAUUAAAAAUUUGCAAGGCAAUUACUUCAUAGUUCACUCAUUCAUCACGUAGUUGCAUUCAUGCAUUGCAUUGUAUUAUUGUAUAGUGUCGUUGACGCUUGAGGACAAGCAUCAGUUUAAGUUUGGGGGUGUGAUAAGUGGUAUUUAUACACACUUAUAGGCCUUCAUUUCCACUUAAAUUGGUUGGUUGUACUUAAGUGUUUAGUGUCUUUUGAUGUGUUUUUAGUGUUUUUCUGUGCAGGUCACGAGUUGAGGUGAUGAAGUGAUUUUCUAUCAUUUUAGGUUGUUUUUGGUGCAUUAUUUGCAAGAAUAGAGAAUUGUGGAUUCAUCACGACUUGGGAUUUUGUGGGUACAUCUUCUACAAACCCUCACGAGAACACACUCGUCCACUAGAGCUAUCUAGGGGUUUAAAGGGCUUGUUGCAUGUGCUAAAUGCAACCGUGAUCACCUACGGAAGUGGUACUAGAGCGUGAUUGAUUUUAAAGGAAAAUCCACAGAACACACUGUCACAGAGGAAGGAAAUGGAAGAGAAAGAUCCAACAAAUCAUCAAAAUGAUGAUGAUCAAUCUCAGAUGGGGGCUUCUCCAUGAAAUCCAAAGAUGGAGAAUUUACAAGUGUGGUGUGAAUUAAUUCCACAUCCACAGAAGAGGUUGGGGAUUGUGUUUGAGUAGUAGAGAUGGUAAGAUCAUAAAUAUGGGUGAUUUGUUGAGAUGAAGAAGGGGGCUGUGACUCCACAUUUAUUGGAGUCACAUCAAUCUGACUUUGAGAAGUUACAGGCAUAAAAUCCAGAAUGGAUGCCUGUGUGUGUGCAGAGUGCUUAAGUUUGUCACUUCUCAUCUUCUUUCUCCCAUAAGCUUUGAUUGGUGAAGAAGUGGUGUCCCUCCCCCUUUUUAUCUGUGUCCCUGGUUGGGGACUAUUUUCAAUAGCAACAUCCUUUUGGGAGGAUGCUGCUAGGGAUGUGUUUAAUUCCAUAUUAACAUCUACAGUCUUUUGGGAGACUGCAGAGUGGCCAGGCUGGUCAACACACACCUCUCCAUCCUUAUUCUUAGGGCUUCUUUUAUGUUCACCCUUUCCCUCCCCCUCACAACCUCCAAUCACACUCCCCUCAGGUUUGUGUUUCUUGGAUUUUACAACAGAUGUCUUUUGGGAGGCAUCUGAGGUUGGUUUAGAAGACUUGUUUUUAGAAGGUUUUGCCACUUGUGUGGACUGUUGAUGGGCCUCUUCAACAGCCCUGAUGGCAGAAAGCAAAGAAGGUGAGGGUUGAGAAAGAGUAGUAGGAAAGCCAUGUACCUCUUUGUGCUUUCCAGCCUCCAUUGUUGGCAGGUACACCACCUCCAAGGAGGGAUAUAAAUUCAUCCUAAAGAGGUCUUUAAAGACUCUCUUUUCCUGCACAAAACUGGGAAGCUUGGCUUCCUUGUUAGUAAUAACUAGCUUUUUGUUGAGAUGAUUAGCUAGCAUCAUGAGAAAUCUGACAUAAUAAAUAUUCCUAGGUCUACCAGUUUUAUCACCUAGUUUCUCCCCAAUUUCUUGGAUCAUCAAACCACCAAAGUUGAAAUAUUCAUUAGUCAGGUACAUGUAAAGCAUUUGUAAAAUCUGGGAAGUAAGAGCAUUGAAAUUACUAAUUUUACCAGAAAAUGCCUUAAUAAAAGCAUCACAUAAAUAACUCCAUUCUCUCCUAAGACCCCUUCUUUCUAUUUUACCUAAGGCAUCAGUUGGCAAAACAUAAUUCAUGGCAUAAAGUAAAUUAACCAACUGAUUAUCACUAGGCAAAGAUAAAACAGUAUCUUCAGGAAUCUUAAAGCAUGCUUUCAUAACAUCAGCAUUGACAGAAUGAAUUUCAUUAUUGACAGAGAAAGUUAGAGUUUCAUGCUCACUAUUAAACUCUGCAGAGGUCCACAUCUCCUCCACUAUUUCAUGGUAGAUGGUAGGAGCUUCAAGCAUAGCAUAAGAGAGCUGGCUUGACUUGAUGAACUCCAUCAUCCUGUGAUACUCCUUCUCCUCCACAGCCUUGGUAUCCACAAAUGACGCGAAGUUGUUCUUCUCAUAAAUAAACCCACUUGGUGCAGUAUACUUCUUCAUUGGUGCCAUUGUAGUUACAGAGAAAGCUUGAGGAAAAAUUAGAGUUUGCUUUUGCACAGAGAGAGAAGAGAACUUGAAGAAUUCGAAAGAGUGAGAUGAAAAGAAAUGAAAAUAAAUUAAAACACUUAAAUACUUUCUCAGAAAAUUGCUGUGAUUGGCUGAGAAAUUACCGUUGAGAAGAAAUUACUCUUAUUUAACUCUACAAAAAUUACACACACGAUCGUGUGUAUAAAGUAGGAGAGAGACAAAAGAAAUUUCAACGGCUCAGAUCUGAUAAUACUUUCAACGGAUGAAAUAAGCGCCUCUUUAAACUUCCUAUUCAACUGAUGAAGAUCAGUUGAAGGCGUCUUCAACUGGUGUCAUCAGUUGAAUGAAAAACAACGCAAGAGGAUAUUGUUUCAAGCAUCAGUUGAAACAAUUUCACUAGUUCAUCAGUUGAAAUAUUAUAGACUUUAUCCAGAAUUAUAAUUAAUUCAAUUUUGAUAAAUCAAAAUUAAUCAAAUUCUGGCUGCCAAAUUACAGAAAAAUUCACUCUAAAUUAGGAGAAAUUUAACAUACCUAAUUUACUUACCAACCUUGUGAAUGUGGAUUCAUCAAGAGGCUUUGUGAAAAUAUCUGCAAUCUGUUCUUCACUUGGAACAAAAUGCAUUUCAACAGUACCAGCCAUCACAUGUUCUCUUAUGAAGUGGUAUUUGAUGUCAAUGUGCUUGGUUCUUGAGUGUUGUACUGGAUUUUCAGUUAUAGCAAUAGCACUGGUGUUGUCACAAAAUAUUGGGAUUUUUGAGAGAUUUAAUCCAUAAUCAAGUAAUUGAUUUCUCAUCCACAAUAAUUGUGCACAACAGCUUCCAGCUGCAAUGUACUCAGCCUCAGCUGUAGAGGUUGAUACAGAAUUUUGCUUUUUGCUAAACCAAGAAAUCAAUCUGUCACCAAGAAAUUGACAGGUGCCUGUUGUACUUUUUCUAUCAAUUUUGCAUCCUGCAAAAUCAGCAUCUGAAUAUCCAAUUAGAUCAAAUCCAGAGUCUUUAGGGUACCAAAUACCAAGAUUUGGUGUUCCCUUAAGAUAUCUGAAUAUUCUUUUUAUAGCAAUAAGAUGUGAUUCUUUAGGAUCAGAUUGAAAUCUAGCACAGAGGCAUGUAGAAAACAUAAUAUCUGGUCUACUAGCUGUCAAAUAUAAAAGAGAACCAACCAUGCCUCUAUAAUUAGAGAUGUCCACAGAUUUCUCAUUAGGACUUAACUCUAAUUUGGUGGCUGUUGGCAUGGGAGUCUUAGCUUCUUUGCAAUCCAAUAAAUCAAACUUUUUAAGUAGAUCAUAGAUGUACUUAGUUUGAUUUAUGAAUAUACCUUCCUUUACUUGUUUAACUUGUAAACCAAGAAAGUAGGUGAGCUCUCCCAUCAUGCUCAUUUCAUACUGACUUUUCAUUAGAUUAGCAAACUUCUUGCAAAGUUUCUCAUCUGUAGAACCAAAAAUUAUAUCAUCUACAUAAAUUUGAACCAGAAUAAAGGCACCAUUUACAUUUCUGUAAAAUAGUGUUUUAUCCACAGUUCCUCUGGAAAAAUGAUUAUCUAACAAGAAUUGAGACAGAGUGUCAUACCAUGCCCUUGGUGCUUGCUUUAGUCCAUAGAGUGCUUUUAAUAAAAAGUAAACAUACUCUGGAAAUUCUGGAUCUUCAAAACCAGGAGGCUGACUGACAUAUACCUCCUCUUCCAGUUCACCAUUUAGAAAAGCACUCUUGACAUCCAUUUGAUAAACUUUAAAGUUUGCAUGAGCAGCAUAGGCCAGGAAGAUUCUUAUUGCUUCCAGUCUUGCAACUGGUGCAAAGGUCUCAUCAAAAUCAAUUCCUUCAGAUUGAGAGUAUCCUUUAGCAACAAGCCUUGCCUUGUUUCUGGUGACAACUCCAUUCUCAUCCACCUUGUUUCUGAAUACCCACCUUGUUCCUACAAUUGUUCUGUUUUUAGGUUUGGGUACCAGCUUCCAUACAUUGUUUCUCUCAAAUUGAUUUAAUUCUUCUUGCAUAGCAAGAACCCAAUCAGCAUCUUUGAGAGCAUCUUCUAUGACUUUAGGUUCAUCCUGUGAAAGGAAUGCACUGUACAAACACUCAUCUUGAGUUGCUCUUCUUGUUUGUACAGAUGCAUUUGCAUCUCCAAUAAUUAGCUCAAAAGGAUGAUCCCUUGUCCACUUUCUUUGUGGUGGAAGUGAUUGUCUUGAUGAUGUGGCUUCAUUAUUGAAGUUCAGGUUUCCAUGUUGGAAAGCUCCCCCUAAAUUUGACAUCUCAUUAUUUCUAGACUGAUUGAAACUUUGAGACAUUCUUUCAACUGAUGAUCCUUGAGGUGUUUCAACUGAUCCCUCCAAUGUAGUUUCAACUGAUGCUUCAGUUGAAUUUCCAAUUGCAGUUGUUUCUUGCACCAGAGAGUCAUCAGUUGGAAUAUUAAUUCCAGGAUUAAUUCCAACAUUUUGAAUAAUGUCAUCAUCAUCAUCACUGUCAUACAGAUCACCUUCACCUUCAUUUUCAAAUCUGAGAUUAUCAUGAAAUCCUUCAUCUGAGAAUCCUUGAAUCUUCUUAUCAUCAAAAACCACAUGGAUUGAUUCCAUAACAAUGUUGGUUCUCAGAUUAUAUACUCUAAAUGAUUUUCCAUCAGAGUAUCCAACAAAAAUAGCUUCAUCUGCCUUGGCCUCAAAUUUUCCAAGAUUUUCACCUUGAUUUCUUAGAACAUAACACUUGCAUCCAAAUACAUGAAGAAAGCUAAUUGUUGGCUUCUUUCCUUUGAAGAGUUGAAAGGGAGUUAGAUUAUGAGGUUUGGUAAUUAGUGAAAUGUUUUGAGUGAAGCAAGCAGUGUUCACAGCUUCAGCCCAAAAAUAGGUUGGAAGUUGAGCUUCAUUAAUCAUGGUUCUUGCAGCCUCAAUAAGAGUUCUAUUCUUCCUUUCAACAACACCAUUUUGUUGUGGAGUUCUUGGUGCAGAGAACUCAUGAAUAAUUCCCUCUUCUUCACAAAAUUCUUUCAUCACAGAGUUCUUGAAUUCUGUUCCAUUGUCACUUCUUAUCCUUCCAACUUUGACAUCUGGAUUGUUGUUUAAUGCCUUGAUAUGAUUGAUGAUGAUUUUCCCAGCUUCAUCCUUAGAAUGCAGGAAGAAAGUCCAAGUGAAUUUUGAAAAAUCAUCAACAAUCACUAGGCAAUAUUUCUUCUUUGAAAUAGACAUGAUGUUGACUGGUCCAAACAAAUCCAUAUGCAAGAGCUGAAGGGGCUUCACAAUUGAUGAAAGAGUUUUGCUUUUGAAAGAGCUUCUCUUUUGCUUUCCUAGCUGACAAGCUCCACAAAGUCCAUCUUUGGAGAAUUCCAGCUUAGGUAGACCUCUUACCAAGUCCUUCUUUACUAACUCAUUCAGGGUUUUGAAAUUUAGAUGAGACAAUCUCUUAUGCCAUAGCCAACUGUCAUCUGAGCUUGCUUUGCUGAGAAGGCAAGUGAUAGAUUCAGACUUUACAGAAUUGAAGUCAGCUACAUACACAUUUCCUUUCCUUUGUCCAAUCAGAACCACAUUGUUGUCAUCUCCUUUGGUGACAACACAGGCUGCAGGAGUGAAAUUAACUUUGUAACCUUUGUCACAGAGCUGACUGAUGCUAAGCAAGUUGUGCUUAAGACCAGACACCAAUGCAACUUCAUCAAUGAUGACAUUCUCUUUUGCAAUCAAGCCAUAUCCCAUAGUAUAUCCUUUGCUGUCAUCUCCAAAGGUAAUGCUAGGGCCAGCUUUCUCCACAAACUUUGUGAGCAGGGAGGAAUCACCAGUCAUGUGCCUGGAGCAUCCACUAUCCAAGUACCACAAAUUCUUCUUGUGGUUUCCCUGCACACAUUUCACAAACAGAUCAAGUUGAUUUUGGUACCCAAAUUGCUUUGGGUCCAGAUUUGUUAGUCUUAGCAGCCUUUUCCACUUUCUCAACCUUUUCCUUGGAUUGAAUUGGUUCAAUCUUUGGUUUUGGUUGAGAAAUUGGAAUAUCAACUCUGUUUUCAAACACAGGCCUUUGAGACAUGCAUAAAUUGUUCAUUCCAUGCAAAUUUGAAUGAAAUUGAGGCAUGUUAAAGGCAUUGAAAUAAGGAUUGAACAUAUAUGGCAUGUUAGGCUGAGAAUAAGGAUUGUGAGGCAAUAAACCAGGCAUCAUAUUCAUAGCAGAUAAAUUCAUGUGAGGAACAGAUGUCAUAGGAAUAGGCAAAGAUAAAUUAGGAGCAAUCACAGUUUUACAAUUAGCAGAUAAAUGAUUUACACUACCACACUUACUGCAGGUUUUCCUAAGAGCACUAGCAUUGGGAGUGUAAUUGGUGUGCUUGUUAACUCCUAUUUUGCCAUUUCUAUUUCCUUUCUUCUUUUUAGUCUCCUCAGAUUUAUGCUCACUAGUAUCCAACUUCUUCUUGUUCUUGUUACUGGAAUUAAGAGUGUUAUUAACACUAUCACUGGUCUCAGAAGAACUAUUCUCACCUUUAACAAAAUUCUUUUUAACAGGACCAUAUUUCUUGUUAAGCUUCUUGAGAACACUCUUGUCAACUGAUGAGUUUUUGUUCAACUGAUGACUCUCAUCAGUUGAGACUUUGCUCUUCAACUGAUGAUCAUCAUCAGUAUUCUCAUCACCUGAACUGUUCUCAGAUAUCUCAAGCACUUUCUUAUUCCUCUUCCACUCAUUCUCUACAAAGGUCUCUCUACCUUGCAUGUUGAUGAUAUUGGUGGAAACAUCCCUACCAGAUUUCCAUUUGGCAAUAAUCUCUUGUUCCUUAUCAAGCUGCUUUCUUAUGAUCUCUUCUCUUUUCAGAACAACCAAGAGAUCAUCCUUGGCUGUCUGACACUCAAUUUUCAGCUUCUCAAACUCAAUAAAUUGAGCUUCUAAGACACUGUUUCUAUCACUAAGAAAGGUGUUAGCUUCCUUAAUCCUACUAUUUUCCUUAGUGAGAGAUUUUAAAGAAACAUACAAGUGAUACAAUUCUGUAGACAUUUCAUUAAUAGUAGCAUUGCAUUCAUCUUUAGUUAACUCAACUAGGUUUGUAGUGAAUACCUGACUACUGCUUCCAGUGUUUUCUUCUUGAUCUGUGGAGUUGGCCAUUAGAGCUAGAUUGACAAACUCCUCCUCUUCAUCAGAAUCAUCUCCAGCUGCCCAAUCAUCCUUUGUGAUGAAUGCUCUUUCCUUUUGUUUGAGAAGUUCAUAAUAUUUCUUUUUGUAGUCAAUGUUUUCACUUGACUUCUUCUCAACUUUAGGCUUUCUGCACUCAUUUGCAAAGUGACCUGCAUUCCCACAGUUGAAGCACUUGAAUUUUGAUCUGUCUACCAUGCUUCUAUCAGACUUGGGAUUGCCUUUAAAAGAUUUUGCAGAAUUAAAAUUCUUUUUGAAUUUCAGUUUGGAGAAUCUUCUUGACAGGAAGGCUAGAUGUUCAUCAAUUCCAUCACUUUCUUCACCAGAAUCAGCUACUUCUUUCUCCUUUCUUCUUCCUUUGCUUGACUCUGAGCUCUCCUCUUUGACCAACUUCUCAGUUUCUUCAACUUGAGACUUUCCCUUGUCCUUGACAGUAUCCUCCAGAGAUGCAACUAGAGCCACAGAUGAAUGCCCUUUCUUUUGGCUUUUCUCAAUCUCUUCAUCUUGUUCCAUUUCAAGCUCAUAAGUCUUUAAGGUUCCAUACAGUCUCUCUAGAGUAUAGUCUUUAAACUCUUGUGUAUUUCUGAGAGAGACUGUCAUGGGUUUCCAUUCUUUGGGAAGAGCUCUUAAGAAUUUCAAGUUUGAAUCCUUAACUUGAUAUACUCUUCCAAAGAGCUUUAGACCAUUUAACAGUUUUUGAAAUCUGUUAAAUGUAUCACUCAAACUUUCACCAGCCCUGAAAUGGAAUGACUCAUAUUGUUGAAUAAGAAGCUGCAUUUUGUUCUCUCUUACUUGCUCAUUCCCUUCACAGAUGGUCCUGAUGGUGUCCCAAACUUCUUUGGCACUUGUGCAGCUAAUAACACUAUCAAUCAUUUCUUGAUCCAAACCAUUGAACAGAAGGUUCAUGGUUUUCUUGUCCUUGUGCACUUCUUCAGUAUCUUCUUGAGAAUAUUCAUGGAUAGGUUUUGGAAUCAUCUUACCUACCAUGUCUUCACCAUCAGCUCCCAUACUUGUGCAGACCUUCAUGGGGACAUGAGGUCCUUUUUCAAUGCAGUUCACAUAGCUUUCAUCAAUGGACAACAGAUGCAGAUGCAUUCUCACUUUCCAGUGAAAAUAGUUGUCUUUGUCAAGAACAGGAAUCUUCACUCCAGCAUCCUUCUUUCCCAUCUUUCUCUAGCAGUGUUGAUCUUUUUCCCUGUUUGUUGGGAACCUCGCUCUGAUACCAAUUGUUAUUUUACACCAACUAUGAGAAAGAUUGUAGAAGGGGGGGGUUGAAUACAAUCUUUUACAAAUUUAAAAGAUUCAAGAAUAAUACACUAAGAACACAGUAAACAGAAAAACACCAAGUAUUAAAAAUACGGGUGGAUUGAAUGAUCCACCCGUGAGAUUUUAUAUAGAAGAAUCUGUGGAUUGUUUACAAUUCGCACAGCUGCUGGUUCAUCACUCAAAAAAGUUCUAACUCUCAGAUUUUUCUCUCAAGUAAUUUGAACAAGUUCAACUGAUGCUACUAACUUGGUUAUAUACUCCAAGUUUUACAAAGCUUUUAGCUAGAUUACAAAAUGCACUCUAAUCUAAAAACAAUGCUGCACAACUUUGUCUUAUGCAUGCUUUCUGAGAUGUCUUCAUCUUUGACCAUCAUCUUGAUUUGAUCCAGAUUGCACUGCAUGAGAUAAGUAUGUUUCUGCUUCUUCUUUAUUUUCCUAAUUAGGCUUCCAUGUCUAUUUUAGUGUAAUUCGAUCCAUGUGAUUUGUCAGACUUAAGCUCUAGUCACUUUCAACUGCUCUUUGCUUCAUCAGUUGAAAGUUCUGGUUGCUUUCAACUGCUCUUGACUUUAUCAGUUGAAUGCCCGGCUCAUCAGUUGAAUGAAUUACAAACUCCAUCAGUUGAAUGCUGUUCCAGUCUCAUCAGUUGAAUUCCUCAGCAUCAUCCGUUGAACACUUUGUCUUCAGUUGAAUGCUUGAUUUUCAUCAGUUGAAACAUCAUCCAGUCUUCAUCAGUUGAAUAGUUACAUCUCAUCAGUUGAAUAUCCUUCACUUAGAUAAAAUUACAUGGCAUUGGAUAUUUACAAUUAGCCAUCCUAUUCUACCCAUCCGUUGAUAAUUCCCAAAGACAAGAAGUGUAACAAUUACAACUGAAAUUUGAUAAAGAUUCUAAGUAAGACAUGUUACAAAAAUGUUUAUGUUAUCAUCAAAAAUUAUUGAUUCCUAACAGGAAUCACUUACCCCAGAGAUGGUAUUGUGACGAGUGAACGGGCUAGUUACAAACCCUGAACUGGUAAAUCCUGUGGCAGAACUCUUCUGCCCUGUAGUUGCCUGCCCCCCUUUAAUACACACAGACCCAUUCUUGGAGUUGCCUACUGCCUUAUAUUUUUCCUCGACUCGCAAAGCCAUCUCCAUUGCCUGUUCGAGAUGUAUCGGGUUCAGGAGUCGUACUUCCGCCCGAAUGUCCUCCUUUAAACCAAUCAGAAAUUGCCAAAAACAAAAUGCUCUCAGGGAUGCGAUCCAAAGGAGCUGCCGUCUCAAUAUAACUACGCUUAUACUCCAAAACCGUAGAGGUCUGUUAAGUGGCCAACCAUUGUUCAUACAACGAGCCCCCAUCCGCAACCCGGAACUGCUUUAGUAUGAAAUCAUUAAGAUCACUCCAAAGCCGAAUUGGCCGCCUCUUAUUCUCCCAUUGAUACCAUCGCAGAGCGUCCCCUUCCAUAGCCACAACCACCGCCUCUAGCAUCUCCUCCUUCGAUAAGCGAUAAAAACUGAAAUAACGCUCAACCCGGAGUAUCCACCCAUCCGGAUCUGACCCAUCAAAGACCGGCAUGUCCAACUUACGAUAACGCCAGUGGCCGGGACCACCACCCGACCCACCGCCCCCAAACCCAUGACCUUCCCCAGUAGGUGGAGCAAAUCCGCGGUGGCCCUGACCGCCUCCACCAAAAGGCAUGCCGAGGUGAGUGGGGUGAGAGGAGCUUCCUUCACCACGAUCGACGCCCACAAAAUUAGUGGAAGUGAGACCUGUGAGAGCAGAUCUGAGUUCAGCCUGAAACUUGAGUUGGUCAUUGCGCAUGAGAUUAAUCAUCUGCUCAUGGCUCUCACGAGAUCUAUUAAUUCGCCCUUCCAAUCGAACAGCCAAGGCAUCGAUAUCCUCCCCCUAUUUGCGCGCUGUGGCGUUCUGCCCUUGAACUAACAACUCGGUGAGCGACGCGCGCACCGCCCCCAUCGCAGACUCAACUGCUUUCGCAACGAGCUCGGCCAUAGACUCCUCGAGCUCCGUCGCCUUCUCUUCAAGCUGAUCAAUACGCUGAGUGACUGUUGGCGGCCCCAUGGAUGCAAACGCUUUGAUACCACUUGUGAUGUUUUUAGAUGGAUCUUCACCAACAAAAUACCAAUUAAAAGGAAAACAAGCACCAGCACUUAAUAAUAAGAUCCAAAACCAAGUUGCUUACAAUGAAGAAAAACUAGAACAGAUAAACUGGACAAUUCGAGAAGCCAGAGUCUUCUUACUAAAUUGAUUAAACUAAAAUGAUAUUCUCCAUAAGCCCCUCCUCUCAACCCUAAUUCCUCUUAUCCCCUCUCUUCCUUUUGCUAUUCAGUUCCCUUUCUACCCUUGGGCUUCCUUCUGUUGAAUACUAGUAGCUUAGUGGGCUGGGCCUGAUCUGUAGGUUGGACCUGAUCUGUUACAUCUGCGCUAUGUGUAUGAUCUACAGAAUACACAAGGCGAUACUCGUUUACUAGAAUUAUCAAAUAUAAACUCGUCAAAAUGAAAUUACUUUUCAAGAGGAGACUUUAGAUCUGAUCAGAGUACCAGACAGACAGACCUUAUUAGACAAUUUGACUUUAUUUAGAUUAGUUGUUAGGGAAUUUGUGAGUCUGUGAUUGCCAGUCCAUAUGAUUCUGUUUGUGAAAUUAAAUACUGAUUUGUCCCAUCCACUUCCAUCACUGGUGUUGCUGUUCCCGGAAAUGCACUAACCUCUCUCAGCCACUUUGCGCCGAUCGUAUGAUUUUUCCUACGGGGUUCAGCUCGCAUCCAUGUACCAUAACCAUAAGGUUUUUCAAUCAGUUCUAUUGGAGUCUUGAACAAUCUUCAGCAAAAUUUCUCACUAUGCUUAAUCAUGCCGCGUAUGAAACAAAAAUAAUAUUAUUUUGAAAUUCCCUAGAUUUGAUCAAUUCUAAAUGUCCUCGUAUUAUAUUAAAUUAAAUAUAGUAUGAGGGAAUGUAAUUCCUACUCCUAAUUUCGGAACCUAAUUAAGAUCUGAAAAAUCUAUAUGUGGUUUCAUUCUGAUUUUUGAAACUAGAUGUGGUUUCAUUCUGAUUUCUGAAUUUGCACCAUCUAGUAUUUAAUGGUUUUUACACCGUUCGAACAGAAAUAAAGAUUCUCACAAGAAUUUGUGAAAAAUCCGAAAUACUUUUAAAAUAAUUACUACUUAAUAAAUUACUCAAAUAUGAAUCAAUAUAUAAUCAUGGUAUAAUUAAAAAUAAACAUAAAUUAUUAUUAAUAAAAUCAUAUAACAAUAUGAAAUAAUAAAAGUACAUAUAAUAUAUAUGAGAAUUGAGGAGCGAGAUAAAAUAUAGAAAAGAUAGCGGGGUUCUGAAUUAAAGGGUCAUAAAAUUUUCAAUUCUCCGUUCGGAAUAAAGCGAUUAAGAGCAGUCGGUGAUAAAUUAAAAUAAUAAAUAUUAAUUACUGAUCGAAGUAUAAAUUAACUUAAAUUAAAAUAAAUAAAUAUUGAUUAGUGAUAUAAAAAAAUAUAUUUACAUAAAAAUUAUACAAACAUAUUUCAUGUAAAAUUGGGAGGUGAUUUUUUUUUUCUUUUGUAACCUGAAAAUAUGACAGGGGAGCGAAAAUCAACGCAAGUCAUAAGACACGGCACAACGUUAGCAAACCAGAAUUUAAAAUAGAAUCCCAACAUAAUAUUCUUCUAUCCCCUUUUACGUAUGUUCAUUUUGAUUUUAAUUUUUAAUUAAACAUAACAAAUUAUCUAUUCAUUAUUUUUAAAAUCUUAAAAUUGCAUAUACAAAAAUAUACAAAAUAUAUUUUCUAAUGAUAUAAUUUUUAUUAUUUUUUCAAUUAUAUAAUAUGUAAAUUUCUGCAAAGUAUAGUCAAUUUAACUGAUAAAAGUCAAAAUGGACACAUAAAAGGAGACGGAGGGAGUAAUUGUCUUCCUAGUUAAAGUUGCGAAGCAAAAGAAGAUAUGCAAUCUUUCUUUCCGACAUCGACCAUCAAUCCCUAACUAUCAUCAAAAUUUUGUUUAACAUCUAAUAACUAUUUAGUUCGAAUGCAAUCUCAUGUCUCUUGACAGUCCUUCCUCAAACUGAUGCGCCUACUAACCUCCUCCUUUCUAAUCAAAGUUACAUCAUACUAACCCAUAAUGAAAAGUCAACUUCAUGCUCGGAAAUAAUUUGUUUCUCUCUUUUUUCCAAACUAAUUAAAUCUCGCUCCAACUUAGCUCAUAUUUUUUGAGAAAAUUAUUUUUUUAUAAACACCUCUUUAAAAAUUUCCCGUAUAAGAUUGGACAGCUUGCUCCUCGUUACCUUUCACCCACCUCUUAUUCAUGAAACACCAAUUAUAAGCGCUUUUGAGUUGGUAGCUUGAAAUACUAAUUUUUAACUUGCCGAAUUUUUUUCCAUCUCUCAACAGGAUAUAAUCACUAAUCGACUUUUGAAGGUGGUAGGUAGAUUUCUCUUAAGUUUGGGGACUUGCCUUCUCAGAAUCCAUUUGAAAGUGCUGUUGAAAAUUGAUAUACUCUUAAGAAAAGUAAAGAUAAAAAAAAUAAUGUUGUGCAAAUUAGAUUAAUGUUUGACAAUUUUUUUUUAUAUUUCCAUAUUUUGAGUUAUAACAUAAUUUUUUUGGGUGAAGUUUAAAAGUGAAAUCUGUAACAGCUUCCUACAAAAUUGAAAAAUCAGCUUUUUUUCAAAAAUAUAUGGGAACAUGCUUUUCUGAAAAAUUAUUUUUUAGCUAAAAACUGCUAUAUAUAAAAUAGUUUUUCACCUGUUUUAUAAUAAAAUGUUGGCAUUGUUGUUUAUAAUAACAAUGCCAAACGAAGCUUUAAACUAAAUUGUUAGGCUUUUUGGUUCCCUUGUUUUUUCCCAACUAAUAUCGUUGAAGUUUUGGCCCAAGUAAUUCGUCAUAUUUAUAUAUUUGUUUGUUGUCAUUGUUAUUGUUGUUUUCACUUUUGUGGCGUUGGUGAAUUAUGACCGCUACAUAAUGCAAUUGUAACUUAAUAUCAUAGUACAAAUAGAAAUAAUAUUGGGAGAAAUAUGCAUGACAAAAUUAAAAGCAAUGCUUGAAAUUUUACUGGUAAAAAAAUUUAAAAAUUAAUUCUUCACGACUUAUAAGCCUAUAACAUUGUGUUAUUAUGUUUUUGUGAUUUUAAUGAGUUGUGUAUUUAACUUAUGUAACUUUCAAUUUUUAUUGUGAUACAAUACUCUGACUCCACAAUAAUUAUGAAAUCAUAUAAGAUAGUAAUUGAAUGUGGUGUUUUAUUUGAAUUAUUAAGUUAAAUAUAUUUGUAUAACUCAAUACUAAUGAAUCUAAAGCAGUGUUCUAAAAGUCGGCGAUUAAUCGCGGAUUAAUCGCUGUUCGGUCGGCCACCGUCUCGAUUAAGCGUUAAUCGGUGAAAAAAAUCGUUUUUUCUGAAAAUCGGGAUUAAUCGGUCAAAAGUCGGGAUUAAUCGGAAAAAGUCGGUCAAAAAUCGGCGAAUUUAAAAAAAUUUAAAAUAAAACGUAAAAAAAUUUUAAAAUUAAUUUAAAAUAAAACAAAAGGCAUGGAAAUGACAAAACACAGAAAUUAAAGUUGUUUUUUAUUACCUUUCACUCUUUCAAUAUUAGCCUCUAAAUUCUAAUUACAUAAAUUUGCAAUAUCUUCCUUCGCAGAUUGAAUCAAAUUCAAGUUUAUAUAUGAGAUGACUAGACUUGUAUAUGUAUAUAAAGGCAUGUUUUGUAUUAUAGAAAAUCAUUAAUCUUUUGAUUUUAUAUGUCUAUAAAUUUAUACUAUAUAUAAUUUUAUUAAUAUAUAUAUAAUUUUAAAAAUAAUAUUAAAUUGAUCACGAUUAAUAAUCUGAUUAAUCACUCCGAUUAAUCUCCGAUUAUCCGAUUAAUCGUUGGACGGUGUCUUCACCGACUAAGUCCGAUUCCCNUAUUAUAGAAAAUCAUUAAUCUUUUGAUUUUAUAUGUCUAUAAAUUUAUACUAUAUAUAAUUUUAUUAAUAUAUAUAUAAUUUUAAAAAUAAUAUUAAAUUGAUCACGAUUAAUAAUCUGAUUAAUCACUCCGAUUAAUCUCCGAUUAUCCGAUUAAUCGUUGGACGGUGUCUUCACCGACUAAGUCCGAUUCCCGCUUUUUACAACACUGAUCUAAAAGUAUAUCUAAAGUUUGAAAGUGAGAAAAAUUAACUUAGAUACACCUAAAGUUUUAGUAAUUUAUAUAGCUUCUAUCCUUGCAUAUAGAAUAUAUAUGUUACACUAUAUUUUUCUAUUUUGGUUUCUAGAAACUUUGUUAUCAAUUUGAAUAUUAUUUUUUCUCUUAUUAAUUCAUGAUAUUUCAAGUUUAGUUUUAAUCUUUAAGUGAAAGCUAACCGUCUGAAAAGCUAUAUUAAUACAAUUCAAUUUAUAUCCAUUAAAAUACAUUAAAAAAUUGAGAUACAUUAACUUAAGCUUAAAAAAAUUAGCUUCGCGCCCACACCAAUAAAAAUUAUGCUUCAGCAAUACAAUAUGAAUUGUAAAUUUUAAUAAUUAUUAGUAAAUCUUGAUUUUGAUGCAGGCUAUUACGUGAGCUCGUGGGUUUAUCCAGUGCGCAUCCGAAGGGUAGCGGCUGCGGGUUCCUACGUUAAAAAAAAUAAAUAAAUUUGAUUUUAAUAUUUAUAACUCAAAUACAUUUACAAGUAUGUAAUAUAUAUNNNNNNNNNNNNNNNNNNNNNNNNNNNNNNNNNNNNNNNNNNNNNNNNNNNNNNNNNNNNNNNNNNNNNNNNNNNNNNNNNNNNNNNNNNNNNNNNNNNNNNNNNNNNNNNNNNNNNNNNNNNNNNNNNNNNNNNNNNNNNNNNNNNNNNNNNNNNNNNNNNNNNNNNNNNNNNNNNNNNNNNNNNNNNNNNNNNNNNNNNNNNNNNNNNNNNNNNNNNNNNNNNNNNNNNNNNNNNNNNNNNNNNNNNNNNNNNNNNNNNNNNNNNNNNNNNNNNNNNNNNNNNNNNNNNNNNNNNNNNNNNNNNNNNNNNNNNNNNNNNNNNNNNNNNNNNNNNNNNNNNNNNNNNNNNNNNNNNNNNNNNNNNNNNNNNNNNNNNNNNNNNNNNNNNNNNNNNNNNNNNNNNNNNNNNNNNNNNNNNNNNNNNNNNNNNNNNNNNNNNNNNNNNNNNNNNNNNNNNNNNNNNNNNNNNNNNNNNNNNNNNNNNNNNNNNNNNNNNNNNNNNNNNNNNNNNNNNNNNNNNNNNNNNNNNNNNNNNNNNNNNNNNNNNNNNNNNNNNNNNNNNNNNNNNNNNNNNNNNNNNNNNNNNNNNNNNNNNNNNNNNNNNNNNNNNNNNNNNNNNNNNNNNNNNNNNNNNNNNNNNNNNNNNNNNNNNNNNNNNNNNNNNNNNNNNNNNNNNNNNNNNNNNNNNNNNNNNNNNNNNNNNNNNNNNNNNNNNNNNNNNNNNNNNNNNNNNNNNNNNNNNNNNNNNNNNNNNNNNNNNNNNNAUAUAUAUAUAUUUGAGUGUAAUUAUAUUUAUUUUAUUUGAGAUUUAUAGUGAAAAUAUUAAAAUUUUCAUUAUACAUGACAAGUAAGAUAUUACUACAAUAAAUAACAUGUAAUAUCUAAUUAGCAAGAAAAAAAUAUAAUAUCUAGAAAAUCUACCAGAUAUGCAAUAUCUAACAAGUAACAUCAUGUAAUUACUAAUUAGUAAGAACAAAACGUGCAAUAUCCCGGGAAAAUCCACAAGAUAUGCAAUAUCCGAGAAGAUUUGUGUAGAUUUAAUUUCUAACAAAAUUUAUUAUUAGUUAAUACCCAACAACUAUAAAUAACAAGCACAUUUCAUUCCCAACCCAUCAUCCUCACAUCAAAGACAUAAUUCUCUGUGUUAUAUUAAUAAUCAGUUAUUUCUUAAGACCUAUUAUAUAUGGAGAAGGCUCUGGUCAACAAAAUUAUUUCUCUUCUUGUGUUGGUCAUGCUGUGUGGUAUGUCAUGUAAUUCUACAUAGUUAAUCUUUCAAUAUAUAUAUAUUAUAAAUAAUAUAAUUUUGUUCUUCAUGAUCUCUGAUACUAAUGAAAUAUUAUUAUUUUUUGAUAAUUUAUGCAGAUUUACAAUUAAUGAGAACAAAUGCAUCAAAUAUACAAUGUCAAAGUGACACUGAUUGCAAAUAUUUUCCUGAAUGUGUCGAUGGUAAAAUGAGAUGUGUAAACGGUGAAUGCAGAUGCAUACCAUUUGGUGUCCCCGGCCCUCAAGCUAGUCACGGUUUUGGUGAUGAUAAGAAAGUUAACAACGAGAUUAGAUGUAAAACAGUAAGCGAUUGUGCAAAUACUUUUCUAUGUUUGGUAGGUAAACAAGUAUGCAAGAAUGGUGUGUGCAAAUGUGAAGGACAUAUUGGUCACGAAAAUGAAGAACGUGGAGGCAUUUAUUAAUAUAUAUGUAAUGAUUUUUUCUUGAGUUUUAUUAACUUAAUGAGUUAGUUCAAUUUCUUGCUCUAAUUACUUCUUUGUUUUGGCUCGAUUUUAAUAUUUUCCGACACUAAUAAAGUAUAUGAAUUUUUUUCCGACAUAAUACAUAUGUUAGGACCAAUGAAAGUAAAACAAUCAUCAUUUGACUAAAAACUUCCGACCUUCUCAACUUUCUACUUAAAUCUCAAAUAAUCUUUUAUUUUCAUUUUCAAGAAUAUGAAAUACUCUCAACUAGCAACACUUCAAAAUUUGUUUUUGGGUUAAUUGAUAGAGGAAUACAGGCAAAAGAAAUAAAAUAAGAGGAUGUAAAAUAAUGAUGAAUUACAUGAUUAAAGUAAAAUACUGUAAUAGAUACAAAACUAAAAUCAAUAAAUAUCAGUAAAAACAAUAUCGUAUAGAGUCGAACCAAAAUUAAAAAGUAAAAAAAAAUAAAAAAAAAAUAACUUUAUAUAUAAAUUACAACAAAACAGGAAAAGAUCAAACCAAUUUGAUCAUUAAAAUAGCAUCCUUUUAAUAAUUUAUAUACAUUUUUAUAUAAAUAAUUAUGUAUUUUUAAUAUAAGUAGUUUCUUAGGUUACUAAUCUCUAAAAUUAAAAUUAAGCAAUGUAUUGUUAAUUUUCUUAAAUGAGAGAAUUCUAGGUGCUGUAUUCAAUUGAAAUAUUAAUAAACUUUAUCUAUGAAGUUUAAUGGAUUGUAUCUGAUUUUAAUUGUAUACGAAUUCUUAAUAAAUUAUGACGGAGUUGAUGAGAUUUUUUAGGAUUUAAACACAUAGUUCAAAAUCUCAUGAAUUUUGUUGGAAUUUCAAAUAUAUUAAAAUACACCGAACAAUCUCACAAAAUUCAUCAUUUUAUGAAGUUCAAAAAAAUCUGUGAGCAUUUGAAUACCAUCAAUGAAUUUGAAAUAAUCCCAAUUGAAUACUAUCGCAUUUUAAAGCAUACUUAAAAUUGUUAUUGAAUACCACCAAAUUUUGUAGUAUAGUAUAAAAUCCUAAUUGUAUAACCUAGGAUUUGAUACAUUUUUUAAAAUUCAAUUGAGUACUCUUAAAUUUCAUUAACAAAAAGACAAAUCUUUUAAAAUUUCAAUUGAAUGCACUUCGUAAUUUAGUGUUAUGGAUUUCUUUAAUAAUUUCAACUUGCCACUUGGGUGCUUAAGCACUUAUUGUCCACAUAUAUUAUAAGGAUACAUUCUCCUUCUGUGGUCACGUUGAUAUGUAAGUUUGAUUCUUACUCAUCAGAUCAUUGGACAAAUAACUUUUUAUUCGGAAUUGUUACUAAGCACUGUGAUAUUUUCUCCCGAGAGUCAGCACAGACUAAGAGCUUUAAGGUUAAUGAUAGAAAUAUUAUUUCAGUUAAGUUUUGCUUAUAUUAUCAUCAGAUUUUAUAAUUUAAACCAAAUUAAUAGUAAUUAGACCACGUUUUUAGUUUAAAUCUGUCGAUUACAAUGGCGCUUUAAAUAUCAAAUAUCUAAUAUAUUUGCUUUUUUUUUUGUCAGAAAUUCGCACCAAAACGAUUCGAGGAUCAUAUUACACGUGAUUUAAAACAACUUUGUGAGGAUAGAGAAAUGUAAGACAUGCAUCCAUAUUAUGGUAAAAUUUAAUUUAUUAAGCCUGUUAUAUUAAUUUUCAAAAAUCUAUUGUGAUUAGUUGGAUUUAAAAAAUUGAAUCGGCAAAGUAAUUAAUUUGUACGAUUAGUCGGUCAAAUUGGCAAUUUCUGUAUUGAUAAGUUGUUCAGUUUCUUAAAUAUAUCUUGCGUUCAAGUGAUUUCGUCAGUUGUUAAGACUUAAGAAGACCAGGUGACUGCGUUACAUAUUAUCUUGUGUUAGUUGUCUAAACUUUAUUUAUUAUGUUGCGGUCUUUGAUUUAUGAAUAUUGUUUGCCGAAGUUCUUGCAAAAAUCUAAUUUUUGUGAUUAAUCUAUUAAAGAUCCUACCAUGCACAAUCAAGCACAUGCACAAUCAAGCAGGCAAAUGGAUCGACGCCAUUCAAGAUUACAAAUGGAUUAGUCUGAAGUCACAUUCUGAACUCUUGGCCAGGGAUUUACUUGUAGUUACCAUUGGUAGAAUUCUGGAACAUCGGUUUCGUCGGUGAAAGUGAUCACAGUGAGGUUACUCUGCUCUGAAGUAUUGUGGCCUGCAGCGGCUAAAAUUUGAGUUAGCUUGAAAAAUGAUGUGUAUGAACACAUUGAAAUUAGCCUUUUGCUGUCUGAAUUGUUCAUAGUCAACUUUAUAGCAUCCUACAUCGUCCUAUUGAUUUUUUUUGAGUAUAUUGCAAAACGCACCCCCUGAUUUUUGCGAAAAGCACUUUUUACCUUAGACUUUCCAAAAUUGCACUAUCCACCCCCAUCAUUUGAAAAGCCUGGCAGUAUGCACCUGGUUUGACCACAACCGUUAGUCUCUCCCGUUAACGUUAAACUUUAAGGGUAAAGCUGUAAUUUCACCGAAGGCUUUACAGUCCACUUCUAUUUUUCUACUAAUUGUUUACCCUAAAUAUCUAAUUCCCUCCCAAAUUGAGACCCUAGAAUUGAUAUACUUGCACUAAACUUUUUGAAGCUUUGUAAUUAACAGCAAUGAGAGGGCGUUUAAGGAUCGGCGUUCAAGCCCGAAAUGAUGGUGACCUUUGGAAAGAGGAUAAAGAGAAGAAGAUUCAGUAAGCCAUGAUUCAGUAAGCCGAUUUGAAGAAGAAAAAAAAACGAAGAGAAAAGAGAAGAAGAUGCUGUGGGGUUGUAUGUAGUGUGCGUAUAUAAAGCCAACAUGAAUAAGACCGUUGCUCAGCAUUUAAUUAAAAAGAAACUGAAAUACCAAGCAUACCCUCAGCAUUAACUAACGGUAACGGAUAUAUUUAGCGGAAGGGUCUAAAAUGUCGCGCCAAAAAAAUUAUCGGGCUGGAUAGUGCAAUUUUGGAAAGUCUAGAGUAAAAAGUGCUUUUCGCAAAAACCAGGGAUGUGCGUUUUGCAAUAUACUCAUUUUUUUUCUAUGCAGAUUAGUCAUUUAAGCAGAAAAACCUUUUAUAUUUUUAUUGACUUUAUAUUUGCACUUUUUUUUAGGGUUUUGGAGAAUGGCUGGUGAAGCAGAAGGGCCUGCAGUUAGGAUUGAUCUUGGGACCAUGUGCUCAUGUGUUGGAGUUUAGCAGCGGGAUUGUGCUGAAAUUAUCUCCAAUGAUGAUAAUAAGAGGAUGACAUGUCUCAUGCUGUUAUUGCGAGUGUUUUUAAUGAAGUUUAGCAAGGACAUUAAUUCUGAUGAGGCAGUUGCACUGGAUGCCGCUGCCAUAGCUGACACGAUGAUUAGUGAUGAAGGUGGGGGAAUGAUUGAUGAGAUGCCACUGGAUAUAUAUUACUUCUGAAGACCUUGGUAUUGAAACUAUUAGUGAAAUAAUGACUGUCCUAUCUCCAAAGAAUACAAGUGUUUGAGGGACGAGGGUGACAAUAAUAUGACAAAAUAUAACUAGUGUUCCAUGUACAAAUUUCAACUAUUUAUACCAAUAAAACUACAGACCAUGGCCACACAAUAUGAUCACAAAUUUAUGCCUUGUCAACCUAUAUGGUAUGCUAUCAUAUCAAAAAAAAAAAAUUCAACCACUUCAGAAAGAACUUAUGCGUCAAUUUUCAUCCAUAUUGCAGAAUUACUGGAUUUGAAGAAACUAAUGAAACUCAUUUAGAAAUUUGCAGUCGACUAAAAAAUGCAGUCCAGUAUAUUAAGCCUUUUGUUCUCUUAAGCUGCUCAAAAGUGGGAAUGCAGAUUUUAUUUUGAAGCUGAGAAGGCUGAUUAUACUAAGCUUCUUGUACUACUAUUUUUAUUAGUCUUUGUUUUGUUGUUGUAUUCCCAUUUAAAAGCGUUUCAGUUCUAAAUGUUUAUGGUCUGCACUGUGAUGAUCUACAGAAUACACAAGGCGAUACUCGUUUACUUCUCAUAGACUCUUUUCAUCAACAUGUAGCUCAAAUGGGAGGAUCAUGUCUAACAUUGAAUGCAGGUAAGCAGUUUAAUAUUCAUAUAAUAAGGAAUAUAAUUUCUGCGAUGAAGACAAAAUGCUUAUGCAGCAAAUAUAAGUUGGUCAAAGUGAAAUUACUCUCUGAGAGGAGACUUUAGAUCUGAUCAGAGUAUCAGACAGACAGACCUUAUUAGACAAUUUGACUUGGUCAUUCUUUUUGCAAGUUGACUAAUUUAGAUUAGGAUGAAGUGCAUGUGUAUACUAUAAGUUGGUAGGGAAUUUGUGAGUCAGCAGUCAGUUUCCUCAACCUCUAACUUCAUCUUAGAGAUUUCUUUCUCUGCAAAUUAGUUAUCUAAACAGAACAUCUUUCAUUUUUAUUUCACUUUCUAUUUUCACUUCUGUAUUCUGCUUUUGCAAAAUGGCUGGAAGAAGAGAAGGACCAGCAGUGGGAAUUGAUCUGGGAACCAUGUACUCAUGUGUUGGAGUUUGGCAAGGCAGCCAUGUCGAAAUCAUUGCCAAUGAUCAUGGUAGCAGGACGACGCCAUCUUGUGUGGCUUUUUCUGAUACAGAAAUUCUGAUUGGUGAUGCUGCACGCAACCAGGGUGGAAUGAAUCCUGAUAACACCGUCUUCAGUAAGUACAUUAUGGCUUAUGCUAUGUUUUGUCCCAUUUCUACAAUUAUUAUUCAAUUUUUAUUCAAGCAAGCAUAGCGACUCAGAUGUGAAAUCACCCAGACAGUGUUUUUCUUUGUUCAUUUGUAUAUAGUUUUGCAUAAUGACAUGUGUAAUACAAGUAGAUUUUUGUUUCUCUAUUGUUAAACUUGCUCAGAAAAUGUCAUGACCUAAGGAGUAAUGAUUUUGGCUAGUGUUUGACAGUGUAUCCCAUUGCCUAUAGAAUUUUUUAUGAACCUGAUGUUUCUUUCGUAUUAUUUUUGUUGCAUAAAGGCGUUAAACGGUUAAUAGGCAGAAAAUUCAGCGACUUGAGUGUACAGAAUGACAUGAAAUUUUGGCCCUUUAAAGUCAUUUCUAAUCAUGGCGGAAAACCUAUGGUCUUGGUCACCUAUAAGGGGCAGGAGAAGAGGUUUUACGCGGAGGAACUCUCCUCAAUGAUUCUAAUAAAGAUGAAAGAAAUUGUUGAGAAGUGUCUUGGAUCAACUGUAAGAAAUGCUGUUAUUACUGUCCCAGCUUACUUUAAUGACUCUCAGCGGAAUGCAAUUAUAGAUGCUGGAGUUAUUUCUGGCAUUAAUGUAAUACGCGUAAUUUCUGAGCCAAGUGCAGCAGCAAUUACAUAUGGUCUUGAAAAGAGGAAGGCGGAUAGUAGUACAGGCGGUGAGAAAAAUGUGCUUGUCUUCGAUCUAGGUGGUAGUAAUUGUAAUGUUUCUCUUGUUGUAAUUGAAGAGGGAAUUUUUGAAGUAAGGGCUACCACUGGUGCCAGUCACCUUGGAGGAGAGGAUUUUGUCCAUCGGAUGGUGAAUCAUUUUAUUCGGGAGAUCAUGAGGAAGAACAAAAAGGACAUAACUGGUAAUGCUAAAUCUAUUAGAAGAUUGAAAAAUGCUUGUGAAAGGGCAAAGAGGACACUCUCUUCGGCUGCAAUGACAUCAAUUGAGUUAGAAUUUUUGUAUGAUGGUGUUAGUUUCUCUGAAAAUAUUUCUCGUGACAAAUUUGAAGAGUUGAACAUGGACCUCUUUAAAAGUUGUUUGGAGCUGGUCGAGAAGUGUUUGAGGGGUGGCAAUAUUGAUAAGAGAAACAUCCAUGAUGUGGUCCUUGUUGGUGGAUCUACUCGAAUUCCAAAAGUACAGCAGCUAUUGAAAAACUUUUUUAACGGGAAGGAGCUCUGCAUGAGUUUGAAUCCUGAUGAGGCUGUUGCAAAUGGUGCAGCUGUGCUAGCUGCAAUCCUUAGUGGCGAAGGCCACGAAGCUGUUCAGGACUUAAUGCUGUUAGAUGUCACUCCUCUAUCCCUUGGGAUCGGAACUAGUGGUGAAACAAUGUCUGUCCUUAUUCCAAAGAAUACAACUAUCCCCACUAAGAGGGAGCAAAUUUUCUCAACCUCCAUAGACAAUCAGCUUGAUGUGCUGAUCGAAGUCUUUGAAGGCGAAAACCCAAAUACCAAGGAUAACAACUUGCUGGGAAAAUUUGUACUCUCUGGCAUUUCCCCUGCACCUAAGGGCGUCCCUCAGUUCACCGUUUGCUUUGACAUUGAUGCAUAUGGGAGGCUAAAUGUGUCUGCCGAGGAUAAGACUACAGGGAAGAAGAUCAAGAUAAAAGUAACCAAUAACGAGGAGAGAUUGUCGAAGGAAGAGCUUGAGAAGAUGGUAAAAGAAGCUGAGAAGUACAGAGCAGAAGCUAAAGUGAACAAGAAAGCGACAGAGAAAAGGUAUGCUUUUAUUUCCCCGGGAUUUUUUCCUUUCUGCAAAUUAAUUACUUUGACAGAAAAACUCUAUAUCUUUAUAUGAGUUUUUAUUUACACUAUUAUGCUUGAUUUUAUAGAAUGGCUGGAAAAGGAGGACCUGCAAUAGGACUUGAUCUUGGAACCAUGUACUCAUGUGUUGGAGUUUGGGAAGGUAACCAUGUCGAAAUCAUUGCCAAUGAUCAUGGUAGCAGGAUUACUCCUUCUUGUGUGGCUUUCUCUGAUACUGAGGUUCUAAUUGGUGAUGCUGCAUACAGCCAGGGUGGGAUGAAUCCUAAUAAUACUGUCUUUAGUAAGUACCAAGUGCACUAUGCUAUCAUGCUAUGCUUUGUAUAUGCCUAAUCCAGGAUCUGGUUUGUGUUUCAUAAUUGUGCAUUUUAAGAUAGUCAAAACAAUAGAAAAACACGACGUAAGAGCAUCUUCAACGGGGUGUUAAUAUUUGGGUGUCAAUAUUAUCAAAUUAUUACGCUAAUAUUUUAUCCUCUCUCUUCGAUAGUACUUUUAGAACCUUUCUUACCAAAACUUACUUCAAUGAUUGGCACUCAAAGUUGCCAAUCAUUUAGACAAAUAUAUUAAUAAUAGAUAUUAAGAUACAUUUAUCUAUUUUGAAAGGGCGUCAAAAGUUGACAACUUUACUUGGCACCACUUCAACGAAGAACCAACAAGAGUGUCAUGCCACAUCAUGUCACAUGUCACAAUAGCACUCUUCUUAAAACUCUCAUCCGACUCAUUCUAAAUAUACAUAUUUCUUAACAUUUGUCUUUUCACUUUGGAAUCUAGUUUCACUGCUUCGAAUAUGUAUAUAAUUUGUUACUGUUGCAUACAUAGAUCAGGAUACCAAUAUACAAGCUGUUCAAGCAUAGUGCAGCUACCUAAAGUAAAAUCACCCAUUAAUUUUUUUGUGAAAUUUGUUAGUUAAUAUAUAGUUCUGUGCAAUGUAACAGAGAAUCACAUUAUAGCAGCAGUAGUAGUAAAGCUUGCUCGAACAAAAAUCAGAACUAAAAUAAAUGACUACUGAAGAUGAUCCUAUUUUAGACUAUACAGCACAAGACUUUUUUAAGGUCUCUCACUGGUGUUUAUGAGCUCCGGUGUAAAAGAUGUGAAGUAGAUGUAAAGAGAAUAGAUUAUAGAAGGGCUGUUAAAUGUCUUCGCCUCCCCUUCCCCGCUCCCAGUAAGAUUCAAAGAAACACAGAGAUCAUAGUGGUUAUGUUUGGGAACUUAAAUUUCAUUUAUAAUUUUGGUUUUGAUCAAAUAACGUGUUUGGAUAUAUGGUAAAAAAAAUAAUUAGAUUUGGAUUUCAGUUAAAUACAAGGCAUUGAAAUACUAGUAUAAAUUUAAGGAUCUGAAAUGACAACUCAAAUCAUUUCAUUUGAAAUCCAACGUUCGGAAUAAAAUACAUGUUCCCGAUAGCAAUUAUUUAUUCACUGAUGUUGGUCUUUUCUUUUCUUUUCCUUUUUUUGCUUCAAAGGUGUUAAACGCUUGAUUGGCAGAAAAUUCAGCGACUCAAAAGUACUGGGUGAUAUAACAUUUUGGCCAUUUAAAGUAAUCUCCGGUCCCCGUGAAAAGCCUGUGAUCUUGGUCACCUAUAAAGGUCAGCAGAAGCAGUUUCAUGUAGAGGAAAUAUCCUCUAUGAUAUUAAUGAAGAUGAAAGAAAUUGCAGAGAAUUAUCUUGGAUCAGUUGUUAGGGAUGCUGUUAUUACUGUCCCCGCUUACUUCAAUGACUCUCAGCGCAAUGCAACUGUAGAUGCUGGAGUCAUUGCAGGCCUUAAUGUAAUGCGUAUUGUUGCUGAGCCGAGUGCAGCUGCAGUAGCAUACGGCCUUGAGAAGAAGAUGGCAGGUAGUAGUACAGAAGGCGGAAAAAACGUGAUAAUCUUUGAUCUUGGUGGUAGUAAUUGUAGCGUCUCACUUGUCGUAAUUGAAGAGGGUAUUUUUGAAGUAAGGGCUACAACUGGUGCUACUCACCUCGGAGGAGAGGAUUUUGUCAAUCGGAUGGUGAGUUAUUUUGUUAAGGAUUUCAUGAGGAUGUAUAGAAAGGACAUAAGUGGUAAUGCUAAAUCUGUUAGAAGAUUGAGAAAUGCUUGUGAAAGGGCAAAGAGGACACUCUCUUCUGCUGCAAUGACUACCAUUGAACUUGAGUAUCUGUAUGAUGGUGCCGAUUUCUCUUCAAAUAUUACCCGUGACAGAUUCGAAGACUUAAAUAUGGACCUAUUUAACGGUUGUUUAGAGUUGGUCGAGAAGUGUUUGACAGAAGCCAGUAUAGAUAAGAGAAACAUUGAUGAUGUGGUCCUUGUUGGUGGAUCAACUCGAAUUCCAAAAGUGCAGCAGCUAUUGAAACACUUUUUCAAUGGGAAAGAGCUCUGCUUGAGUAUGAAUCCUGAUGAGGCUGUUGCAAAUGGUGCAGCUGUGCUGGCUGCAAUCCUGAGUGGUGAAGGAAACGACACGGUUCAGGACCUAAUGCUGUUGGAUGUCACUUCUCUAUCCCUUGGGAUUGGAACUAGUGGCGAAACAAUGUCUGUCAUGAUCCCAAAGAAUACAACUAUCCCCACUAAGAGGGAGCAAAUUUUCUCAACCUCCAUAGAUAAUCAGCUUGACGUUUUGAUCGAAGUCUUUGAGGGUGAAAACAGAAAUACCAAGGAUAACAACUUGCUGGGAAAAUUUGUGCUCUCUGGCAUUCCUCCUGCCCCUAGGGGUGUUCCUCAGUUCAUCGUAUGCUUUGACAUUGAUGCAUAUGGGAUGUUAAAUGUGUCUGCCGAGGAUAAGACUACCGGGAAGAAGAUCAAGAUAAAAGUAACCAAUAACGAGGAGAGAUUGUCAAAGGAAGAGCUUGAGAAGAUGGUAAAAGAAGCUGAGAAGUUCAAAGCAGAAAAUUCAGAAAAUAAGAAGGCAGCAGAGGGGAGAAAUGCUCUGGAGGAUUACAUCUUUAAGAUGAAGAACGUCAUGAGUGACGAAAAAUUUAGCUCCAAACUUCCAUUUGCGAGCAGAAAGAAAGUAGAGAAUGCUAUGAAGUUGGCAACACAGUGGUUGGAUAGGAAUCAGACCGCAAAGGUAGAAGAGUUGGAGGGAAUAAUGAAAGGGCUGAAGGGGUUUGCAAUUGCUUGAAUGUAUACCUUGUUUGAGAUAAAGUCCCUUUGGCCGCUGGCCGGUGCAAGAGGUGAAGGCCGGAGACGGUAAAAGCGGAUUUCCCAAGUUGUUGUAAUUUCUAGAUAAAAUUGAUUUGUUUCUAAUAUGAUUUGAUUACAUUUUCUUAGUGUUAGGGAGAAGGAUGUCCGCUAGGGACUACAGGACGGAUAAAUUUGGAACUUCAGUUCAUGUUCACAAUCAUAAGUCUGAAAGGAAGCUCGGCAAGAAUCAAAGAAAAUAUGGAAGGGCGUUGUAGAUAAUAGUCGAAUUCAAAUUAACAUUGAGAUUCUCAACUAAUCGGUUAAUUUAUUGAUCAUUUGGGAUUCACAAUUAUAAGUUUGAAAGGGAGCUCACCCAGAUAAGAAUUAAAGAAAAUAUGGAAGGGAAUUGAAGACUAUAGUCAGAAUACAAACACUUAAAACAUACUUGAAACAUAACAUAAAUUGAAAAGUGAAAAAUACUACUUAAAACAUAAUAUAAAUUGUAUAGAAGAAAAAGGCAAGAUGAUAAAGUUGAAAAAUUCAUUUAAUUUUAGUUUAUGGAAUAAAAUUAGUAAACAAAAGAAGCAGCAUGCUGUUUUAAUAUUCUUAAACCUAUCACACUAAUGCUUCUGUCAAAUCGACAUAUGCACGCUGCUCACGCCAGGGAGAAGGGCGAAGGCAUACAUGAACCUCAUGUUCUUCUGGUCCAACACGAUGUUUGGGAACCUCGAUCUCAAGCAUUGUACCUGUCUCAUCCCCAUAAGCUUCAAGUUUUGCAUCUUCUGGAAUGCGUGCUGGAAGGGUAAUUUCCCUAACAAAUUCCCCUGGUGGGCAGUGUUCCGGUGUCGGAUCUGUUAACUUGAAUGUUCUAUCUUGCCUUUUAAUGAUUGGCAUACACCCAGUGCUCACACAAGAUAUCUUCACAAUUCCAUGCGAGGGAGUGUUUCGCCAAGUGACUUUCACCCGCUGCAAAUCAGCACAAGGUAAGCUGACAAUAAUCAAAAAACCCUUAUCAUCCUCAUAAAUUGUUUUCGCAGCUGUUACUGGCCCGUAUGUGCUCCUCAUUACCCCAGUAAAUUCAUUAACCCAGUGUGGCUCAAUGGAGUGUGCGUCCACAACCCCAUCUGAAUGUGAACUGUUAUUAGCCAACGUACAAUCAUAAUCAUUUUCGGGUGCAAAAUAAUUUUUCGGCCGUUUGUUACAAUUAGCCAGAAGGUCCAUCCCUUCACCAUUUACAUGGUUUGGUUGCUGAGUUGAUAAUUUCAAACCACACCCGUUAAGCAAUCGUUUUGGUUGCUGAUUAACAUUGUUCUUUAAUGGAGGCAGUCGCUCAAUCUCAAGUUCUGUGACAGGAAGUGUCCUCCAUGAGCUGAAAUCACUAGCCUCAAGAGGAAUUGAGAAAUUCAAAUCUCUUCCAGUAAGCUCCAUCCACUUCUUGCAUUCUCCCUCGUCUAGGCCAGCAAAAUUGGGUGAAGGAACAACUUCUAUUCCAUGAACACAUUGGGGAUUAGACAGACCCCUAUAGUGUUUCCUCUGCAUUCUAUGAGAUCGAACAAACCCCUUAUCAGCACUGAAUGGAAAUGGACGUUCUCCUUGGCGUGAAUGACCAUUCAUGUAACUCCUUAGCUGCAUUUUGCCUAAUGCGUUAUCAGGCCUAUCCUUGAAAACCCACAUAUACAUAUUCUCCAUAUCAUGCUGAACCAAAAAGACAUCCAGCUUCAAAUCAGUUUUAUCAUACCCGGAAACUCCAUUAGUGUCCCGCACAGCAAUCUUAGACUUAGACUUCUCAUUUAAAGCUGGCUUAAAGUAAAAAUUAAAGAAAAACCAAGCACCCCACACACUGUCAAGCCGUUUAGCACACUUCUUUCCAACUUUAGUCAAAUUAAUAUGUGUCUCCGCCUCAUAAUGCUGAGGAGCAUGGCUAACAUCUAAGAUAUCACAAGCAUCAUUCCAAGAAGGCGGCGGCGGACUCGGUUCCGCUGACAAAGGGAGAUUAAUAUCUGGAGGACUCGAGACAUUAAUUGCACGAUUCAAUUCUCUCUCAAUUUCCUCAUGAGACGACAAACUCGAAUCCAUGGACAACAAAGUACACAAAUGACUAUCCAUAGAUAAUGUAGUAAUUACAGCUCCCCCCAUCUUUUCUUUCGUUGGCAUAAUUGUCGCUACUUCGGUGGAAUCAAUAGUCCCACCACAGUCAACACUCAAAAGCAUGAGCACCUCACACACAUAUUCACCCUCUAAUUCUAACCAAUCAAGAAACUUCCAAAGACGACCCUAAUCAAUUGACAACAUACCGAAACACCAUAACCACCUCAAAGCCAUUCUAAACUAAACCCUAAGAGAGAGAAAAACCAAAAAACAAACCAACCAAUUCAGAGAAAACCCAUCAAACCCCAAAACCUAUAAAACCAAUCAAACCCCUUAAAAACCAAAAAAACACCAAGAACUGAUUAGAUUGAACUAAAAUAUAGAAUUAUUCUAAGCAAUCAAUCAAUCCACAGCAUACCCAAAAUCCCAAAAACACUUCAUAGCCAUUCUAACCCAAUCUAAGCUCAAACCCAACAGAUCAAAUCAAUAAAAACUAGCCUAAACCCAAUAAAGAUCCAAUCUUUAAGAUUCAAACAACCCAAUAAAGAUCCAAUCUUUAACACUCAAGAUAUCAAACUAACCUAUAAAACACACAGAUUUCAAAGAUUUCUUAAAUUAGCAACAGGGCGUCCAAUCUUUAUCUUUAGCAAAAGUAAGAUAAAGAGAAGAAAUCAAAGAAAGAAUAGAACGGUACCUUUGAAGACAACGCAUUGAUCCACAAAAUGAGGGAGAUUGAGAGAGAUGAUUGAAAGAGAAACAAAGAGAGAGGAGAGAAAGAGGAGAAGAUGGGGUUAACGGAGUUAGUUUAUAGAGAGAUGGAGUUGGGACCUGCACCAGUUAGAACCGGUGAGGAAGAUAACGGAGGGGCGUUAAAAUAGACGGUGGGAAUGAUGAGAUAGAGAAAUGUAAUUAUUACUAUUAUAUGCAUGUAUGUUAAUGUUGUUGAGAUAAGAGAAGUGUCAAACUAGGCGUCUGUCUGAGUGUGUGAUUGGUUGUAUAAUGUAUGCAAGACUUUUGUGUAAUGUAGGUAACCCUAAACGGGAGUUAUGUUGUGUAUACGUAUACAAGGUUAUCUCUAUUAUGUUGUGUGGCUUUCACUUUUGCCGACUGUGGUAAGGUUAGUUGUGAUGAUAAGUCAUGUAUACGAUUUAUUGCAAAUACAAGUAGUGCGAUUUCGUUUUUUUUUACAAAGAUAAGAAGAUUUCAUUAACUUGAAUAUAAUACAGCUGGAAUAAACCCUCAACUCUUGAUAGUAUAAUGGAUCAAAAUUUAUUAAUAUCGUAAAAGAAUAAUAUUAUAUAUCAAAUUAGAUAUAAAAUUUGUUAUAGAAUAAGAUGACGUGACAUUGAUAAUGUGAUAUUUCCGAAUGACUUAAUCAGAAUAUUCAAAUAUACAUGAACAUAUCAUUUAAGUUAUAAUUAAUAAAAAUAUAAUAUGUGUCAUUUUGUACAUGUUUUUUUAAUUUAAUUUAAUAUUUUUAACAUUUUCUAUUAUAAAAUAUUGAAAUUUGAUAUUAUGUGUCACUAAGCGAUAUUUUGUGUGUAUUCAAUAUACAUGUCAUCUUAACUAAAUGACGUUGAUGAUGAUAAUUAACUGAACUAAAAUAAAAAAAAAUUGAUUAACUAAUUAUCCAAUAAAAUAAUAUUGUGACGAGCAAUUUGAAGUGACUGUAUAUGAUAUAUAAAAUGAUAUAUGUUAACUGCUUCAGCAAUAUCGAGGUUGCGUGAGACAUAAUCAGCCUCUUAUUAAUAGAUAUGAGAAGUGUGGAAAAUAUAAAUGAAUGAUGUUAGAUAAGGGAGAAGGAUAUUAGUAAAGUCUAUAUCUAUAACUUAUAUGACGGUAAUUUUGAUAAUAUUCAUGAUUGGAAUCAAGAGUCUCGAUGAUUUUUUUUGCCGAAAUGUGCUAGUUGUGUGUUAUUUUAGACGGAGAUUAGACUUUUGAGUUGUCUCCUUGUGAUCUUAUGAUCUCUACUCAUGAUUUCCUCAUUUGCUUAUAUACGCAUAUAGGGACGGAUCUAGGGAUUUUAGUCAAGUGGGGGGGGGGGGGGGGNNNNNNNNNNNNNNNNNNNNNNNNNNNNNNNNNNNNNNNNNNNNNNNNNNNNNNNNNNNNNNNNNGGGGGGGGGGGGGGGGAAUCACUUUUUAGAGACAAAACGAGACAAAUUUUCAUUUAACCAAAAUGGUUUGAGUUGAUUGAUGAGUUAAAAUAUAAAUUUAUGAUAAGAAAUAUACAAAAUAUGAACAGAAAUACUGAUAUUAGCCCAGCCUUAUGGGACUGCUGAGAGCAUGAGACAAGUAAAUAUUAGAACAGAAGGGGUUGAGACACGAGAGAUAUUAGCCCAGCCUUAUGGAGCUGUUGAGAGCCUGAGACAAGCAAAUAAGAUAUUAGCCCAGCCGAAAUUCAGAUCGAACCGAAAUUCUAAUAUUUUCCGGACCGUACCGGACCGAAAUUCUAUUAUGAACCGAAACGAAAUAAUUCGGUACGGUCCGGCCAAAAGAACUGAAAACUAAAAUAAAAAUUACAUUAUAAAUAAAUUUAAAUUUUAUGAAUUAUUUUAAAAAAUAAUAUUUAUUUAUCACCAACACUUCAUAAAAAAUAGAUUUAAUUAAAUUUACAAAUUACAUAUUAUUAUUAUAGUAUAUAAGAUAUAUAUAAAAUAUAAAUAUAUAUUAUAUAUUGUUUGGACUAUUCUAUCUAUUCAGUCUGGACCAAAAUAUUUAUUUAAGGACCGGAUCGAACCGAAUUUUUAUUUUGGUCAAUUCGACCCGAACCGAAUAGACCGAAUUUUCAGAAAAUCAAAACACUUCAGUUCGGUUUUCCGCUUCCACUUUAAUUUUGCUCACCCCUAUUAACAAUUACUCUAUUUUUUAGUUCGAUGUUGGAUCUCUAUUCGCUCUCAUCUCAUUAAUAAUGAUGAAUUGAUGAUCUUUCUGCAUGCAAAAGCUCCACACUAGAAAGACCUUUGUUAUUUUGAGCAUGAAUAUUUCAACUUUUUAUUUAAUUCGAUUCGAUACGAUACGAAACUUUUUAUGGCCCGGUUGACAUCAUCAUCACAUACUUAUAUAAUUAGUUAGAGAUGCAACAGUGAGUUUAUAUAUCUAUAUCAAUAAUUGGCUAAUUCUGCUGUCAAAUUAUAGUUUUAGUCAUCCAUAAUCUUCUGACGCGGUGUUUAGAUUUCUAAUCACCUCUUUGUAAGGCCAGUUAUCCGACACACCCACACUCCAUGUUUGUUUUUUCGUAUAUUUUAGUUGGGUGACCUAUUAUGGCACCUAACUUAUCUUUAACAUAUUGUUUAUGUAAUUAUAUAUUUUGUUGUCUACAUGAAAAUGCGGAUAUUCCUUUAAUAUAUUUAUGAAUAUCCGAUUUGGGUCUUAAGAUAAUUAUUUAAAAAAAUAAUCUUUAUUGUUUUGUAAGAUUUAGUCAAUAUGAUUGCAUUUAUCAACAAACUAUACAUAGCUUAGCAGCAUACUAUAUGCUAUCCUUCUUCUCAGUUUUCGGAUUUUUCAUGGUUGUUACUCUCAUCUCAAAUAUUAAUGAUCAUACUGAUUAAACUUUAUUUGAAAAAAUAUUAUGAUAUAUAUAAUAUAAAGAAAUUAAAAAGUAUAACUAAAUAUCUUGAUAUUAAUUUUUUCAGAUUAUAUACUUCUCGUCCUUCUGAUUACUUUACGGUUCUUUUACAUUUCUUUACAUUUAUUUUAAAGUGCAUAUAGUUUCAUAAUUUUUUAAAAUUUUAUAUAAAUAUUUAAACAUUAAUUUUUUAUUCAGAUAACAAAAAAAUUAAAAUAAUUUAUAAAACUAUAUCUUUUAUAAAAAUAUUAAAAUACCUGUCAAGCUCCCAUUACACAUAUUAUGAUAAAAAGUAUAUGGUCAAAGAGAGUAGUAUAUAGAAUCCGUAAAAAAAAAAAAAAAAUAAACACAAUAAUCAUAUUGAUUUUUCUCUUUUUAAGAGUAAGUUUUGAGAGAGAAAAUGAAAUUUUAAAAUAUUUUAAAAUCAUCAUAUAAGAAAUAUUAAAAGCAACAUAUAAAUCAGAACUAUAUAAUUUUGAUUAAAAAGAGUAUUUUACUAGUUAUCUACGAAAAUAUAGAUUGCGGUUAACCUAUUUGAAUGCGUCAUCUAACAAGUGUUUAGUUACUUAAACACUCAACAUGCUAAAAGUGGACAUAUCAUCAAAUAGUAUAAGGGUAGACUUUUCCCUUAUAUAUUUUUGUAUUAUACACACAAUGUAUAAAUUUACGUAUAGGCUAGUGGUUUCCAGAGUAGUUUUUUUUUUUUUGAUAAGCAGCAUUAAUAUUAAUAUCUCGGAAAGUCUUACAGCAAGUGUACUAAGCCACCAAAAGGAUGCACACAUGCAUCUGCCACCUAACCUUGCAGCAAAACAACUAAAGAACCUAGAGAACCUACAUAGCCAACAUGACUUCCAUAAUCUUAGCAAGAGGGUCCGAGACCUAACAUAGAACUGAACAGUUAAUAAACCGAAAAGCUAAUAAAAGCGACAAAAGAUAUGAAAGGCUAGAAGUGGUCAGAUGCUCGCGCUCCUACGCAGCUUUCUAACCCUUAACCCAGCAAGUGUAGCAUGAGAGACAUCGCGCUUUCGUUUGAGUGUUGGGGCAGGGGGAGGACCAUCCUCAACUUCUCCCAGGCCAAAGUUAGGAGCCACUUCAUCGAUCGGAGCCUGCAGCACCAUCCCCAUAUCGCGAUCCACAUGAUAUUUCAGGUCACCAAACCAGCCCGGGGUUUCAGCGAAAACAGAGAGAUGCUGUAACCCAUAGUCUGCUAGAUACCGAGCAGUUGAGUUCAUUUCAGUGGGAAUCCAUAUGAUCUUCCUAUUUGUGGUGUUCACCUUGAAGUGGUUGGCAUGCACUGUGUUGAAUAGCCUGAAAGGUUCCAGUUGGUCAUCACGCAAGAAAACAUGCUCUUGAGUUGAGAUAGUUUCAAAAGUGUUAUGGUUGGACGUUUCUAUAAGCGUCUUUUCCCAUUUUUUGUGCACAGAUUCCACACACGCCGCUUGAAUGCCAGCCAUGAUCGCCUGCUCUUCAUUCAGCCCAUUCAUUGGACCUGAGGCAGUCCACACAUUUGCACCAGCAUCAUCACGGGCAAUCACACCCACCCCUAUUGAGUUUCCAUUAGCGAGAGGCUCAGGAAGAACUUCACAAUGGACAUUAAUUUUAAUGUAACCCUCGUCAGGAAGCUCCCAAGUGACAUCCAUUAAAAACAAAGUGAAAGGAGAGUGAAAAUAGAGAAGGAAAGAGGUGAGUGAGAGAAGAUUAGAAGGAGAGAUGAAUAUAUAGUCAACUUGGGGCAGAGAAAAGGAAAGCAAAUAUACAGGUAAUUGCUACAACCCCUGGACACGGAGAAGAGACCGAUGGACAAUGCACUGGCUCGACUGCAGAAGUUAACGUUGGAAAAGCCAGCAAAUCUGAGAUUAGCCGCCAAUUUUAGAGGAAAUCUUUCAUUGGUUCCCUAAAAUCAGAGACCCCCUCUAAAAAAGCUGGCAUGAACAGUAACAUUGAAAAUGUCAAUACUAAUAGAGCUGUUCCAUGCAUUUGAAAUAGGUUAACUAGCAGAACAACAAAGAAAUGCCCGGGAAAGUGAGAUGGCAAAAUCCAGGGGUCAAGUGUCAAUGUGACUUGAGGCCCAAUAGCAAUGAAAGUUAGGCCUGUUAAGCCCAUCUUUGGCCAACUGGUCUGCAGAAUGAUUAAAAGUACUGGGGACAAAUUGGAUGCUAACUAGUCCUGCCAGCAGUUGGAGAAUGUCAAAGUCCGGUUGUAGUAGUGGGAAUGAAUCGGAUAAUCCUCUGUAUAUAGCAUUUAUAGCUCCAGUAGAGUCAGAGCAUACAACCACCCUUUUGUUAACUAAUUUACUGGAUUGAAUGUAGUUAAGGACAUGUAGAAUGGCCAUAACUUCUGCCUCCAGCACAGAGAAGGCUGGAACCUGGCCAGAGAAGCAGUAAAGAGUUUGUUUGCUGCUAUUUUUGAUACAACCUCCCACCGCACAACAUAACUUUCCCCAAGCAUUAACAUUUUUUGCACCAUCAACCAUGCAGAUGUAAUCAUAAUUUUGGUAUUUAAAAUCCCAGAACGACAUUGAAAUGGUGUGGUGAUGUAUAUUAAUUGCACCAAUUGGGUUCACCUUCCACAGAGGAUCAUCCCCAAAAUUCAUUAGAUUCGAAGCAAGUCCCCAUUUAGAUGAACGAAUGAAAAUAAUCUCUUUCAUGGCUGCUCUCGAAGUUCUCUUAGAUUGGAAAAUAAGCUCAUUUCGCGUCAGCCAAAUUGUCCACAAAGUAGCUGCAAUCACCAUUCGCCAAAUUGGAGAGACAUGUUUCUUGUGAAUUAGGCUAAAUAAUGAGUGUAGAGAAAAUUUGGGCACUCUGGCUAGUUGUGGCUUGAGGCUCCACCACUGUCCAACAUAAUCCCAAGCCCAUAUGGCUGGAGUGCAUUCCCAAAACACAUGGUUUACAGAUUCUACUUCAGAGUCACACCAAGGACAAAGUGCAGACAAAUUCUUUAGCCGGACACUGAGAAAAGACUUGGUUGGGAGAAUGGCCCAAGCAAGUUUCCAUAGGAAAGCGGUAAUUCUUGGGGGUACUUUUAUAGCCCAAAUGCAGUUCCAAUGCUUGGAUGAAGUGGAGGACGAGUGAUUAAUCCCCAGUUGAAAGAAACCCUCUCUAGAGGAAUAUGAGCCCUGGUUGGGUAUCCACUUGAGAACAUCCUCCAUGUCAUCUAACAAGAUUGCCUGCAGGUGAAAAGUGAUAUAAGAAAUAGAUUCCAGAUCACUGCUAGAGAGCUGUUCUGCCCAAAGUUUCACCCCGGUUUCUCCUUGUAGCCAGAUACCAACUACUGAGCGAACAAUUGUUAAACGCAUUGCUGAUUUUUUAUAUAGGCAGGGAAAAAGGACUGAGAGUGGUUCAUCUCGAAGCCAGCUGUCUUCCCAGAAAAGUACUCUCCUGCCGGAUCUAACUCUCCAUUUAAAAUUCCUCCUUUGUACUAGUGGUCCAACUCUCGAAGUGUUAAAAACCGAGAGCAUACUUUUUAUGACUGGAGAGGUCUUAGACAUUUCAACCUUGGAGAGGUCAUAGUUCCACUCCUUACCAUAACGCUGGACGAAGAAGUUGUUCCAAAAACAACCACGUUCCUUGUAGGCUCGCCAAACCCAUUUCGCCAACAGGAGAUUGUUUUUUAAAGAUAUAGGAACUAAACCUUGGCCUCCAGCACUCUUUAAUUGACAAAUACUCUCCCAAUUUAAUAGGUGCAUCUUUUUUUCUGAGUCCUUAAAUUGACCCCAGAAGAAAUUUCGACGCAUUUGUUCGAUAAUGUUGACAAUUUGAGAAGGCAUUUUAUACAAGCUGAACCAGAAAAGGGGCACGCUAUCAAUUACUGCUUUGAGAAGCACCACUCUCCCGGCAAUGGAAACUUUCGAAGCAUCAAAGGACUGCAACUUCCUUCGAAGUUUGUCAAUCAGAGGGGUCCAGAAGGAGAUAGAAUGUGGAGACGAACCAAUCAUUGCUCCAAGAUAUUUGAAAGGUAGGGACCCAACUUGACACCCCAGAACUCCAGCCGAAUUUGUUAAACGUGAAGUCGUUGUAUGAAAACCGAAGAGCUGACUUUUUGAGAAGUUUAUUUUUAACCCCGACAAUAGUUGAAAACAUUGUAGUAUCCUCUUGAUCCCAUACACUGAGCCUUCAUCUCCUUCAAGAAACAGAAUGACAUCAUCCGCAAAUUGCAGAUGAGUUAAAGAUUCAGAACAGCCCAGAAGAGAUAUUCCUUUGAAAAUUUUUUGAGCCUCGCCUCUGCAAAUCAAUUGAGAUAGUACUUCCCCCACCAGAUUGAAGAUUAGAGGGGAUAAGGGAUCCCCUUGGCGGAGGCCGCAUUUAGGACUAAACUCAGCUGUAGGUGAUCCAUUUACGAGGAUCGAAAUUUGAGAGGAAUCAAAAAUUUGUUGAAUCCAGUUGAUCCAUAGAGAGCUAAAAUUCAUCUUGGCUAAAACCUCAUAAACAAAAUCCCAAUUAACACGAUCAAACGCUUUCUCGAAAUCAAUUUUGAAAAUCAUUCCGGAUGCAAUCUUCUUUUGUAGCAUGAAUACAAUUUCAUUGGUGAGAAGUAUACUAUCCGAAAUUUGUCGUCCCCGAAUGAAACCUGAUUGUUGCGGGCCAACCAGAAGGUUCAUAAAUUUACUAAGCCUGAUCGACAAGACCUUCGUAAGGAGUUUCACUAAAGCAUUCAUGAGACUGAUUGGUCGAUAUUCCGAACAUUUCAUCGGCUGUAGUACUUUAGGAAUUAGAGCUAUGAAAGAGGAGUUGCAUCCUUGAGGAAGUGAACCAGUAGAAUGAAAAUUUUGAAAAAACAGCAGGACCUCAUGCUUUAUCUCAGGCCAUAGAAGAGAUAGAACGCCAGCAUUUAUUCCAUCAGGCCCCGGAGCCUUGGUCUUUUCCGUAGAAGACAGAGCAAAUUCUAUUUCGGUUAAUGUGAAUUUGGCAUCUAGAAAGCUACACUGGCUCGGGGACAGAGUAGACAAAGAGCACGAGCCCAGAUUGAAGACCAUCCUUGGAGGCUCCUUUGCUAACAAAUUGGAGAAGUGAGAGUAGAAAGCUUGCUUGAUUUCAACCGCCCUGGUAAGAGUUACUUGCUCAUACUCGAUUUUUCGAAUAGUGUUGUGAGCCCUGCGUUUAGCUAUAGCCCGAUGGAAGAAACGAGUAUUCUUUUCCCCAUAAAGCUGCCAGCUCGUUUUGGACCGUUGACAUAACAUACGAGACCUUAUCCUGUAUAACUUAUCAAGAUCGAACUGGCAUUUGGUUGAUGAUUUCGGGUUUGAAAGUCCAUUGUCUUCCCUAUCCCGAGCUGUCUCUGCUUCCUUUAUUUUGAUAUCUAUAUUACCCAUCUUGGUAGAAUUCCACCUCUUAACAGCCUCUCUUAACGACCUGAAUUUAUGAUGAAUAUUGGAGGACUGCGAGUUCUUCCAUGAAUUUCGUAAAGUAUGAGCGAGUGUGUCAUCUUCCAGCCAGCAAUUAAAGAACUUGAAAGGGCGCGGACCCCAAUCCUGAGUAGAAGUUUUGAGUAAAAGCGGCUUGUGAUCAGAUAAUUUCCGACAAAGAGCCUGAAUGCCCCAGUCUCCAGACAUAAACCACGCAGGAGAUACUAAUGCCCUGUCAAGACGACCUUUCUUAGGAGAGGGACCAAACCAAGUGAACGUGGAAUUGAGUAUUGGGAUAUCAGCUAACCCACAGGAAUUUAGGAAAGAGUUAAAAGCAUCCGAGAGCGCAUGUGAAUGAUUACAACCAAACCUUUCAUCUGCAGAACGAACCACAUUGAAGUCUCCAAGUAAACAGACGUAGGAUUCAUCUAGUAGUCCUAAUGCAGUACUAAGAUCAGCCCAAAGUUGCAGUUUAUCUCGAGCACCUUGAGGUGCGUAGAUAUUAAAACACGCAAAGCGGGUGGAAUUAGAAAUCAUGGUGCCUCUAAUUAAUAACCAAUGACGGGAAACUUCAGACGAGCUAAUGUUUACCUCUGCUGUGUUCCACACUGUAAGAAGGCCCCCCGAAAGGCCUCGAGCCGGAAAUUCAGCCCAUCCUGGAUCGUGGCCCAUACCUAAUCUUUUCACUGUAUUUGAGUCCCACAGAGUACAUUUUGUUUCCUGCAGACAACAAAUGACUGCCUUUGAAGAUUCGUUUAGUAAUCUGACAAAUUGACGACUAUCAGAGCUGCAAGCACCCCUGACAUUCCAGCUUAAGAAAGAGUGUGUAUUCAUAAAAACUUAAACAAUGAAGUAGAGAGAAACGAGAGAGAUUAAGCAGCCAGAUUCUGCCGGAUGAGUUCCAGUGAUUCUUGCCUCGAAUUAUUAGGGAGUAAUCCCAUCAGUAGUCCAGUUUCCAAAAUGGAUUCUGCCUCAUCAGUUGAGUUGUUAAGAAAGAAAUGUGAAAUCUGUUGAAGACCUUCCCCUUUUUUCCUUCUACGUUUCGGAAGUUUGAAAGAUUUGUUAAUCUUGUUUGAGUUGAGUUUACGAGGGCGUCCUCUCCUCCCUUUCACUUUCAGUUUAUCCAGAUCUUGCAAGAUGUCCAUACUCCUAUCCUGAAUUGAGAUAAAUUCAUCCAAGGAUUCCUCAUCCACAACUGAUCCAUUGGAAUCCGAAGCAUUUAAUGGGUCUGAGGGUGAGGUAUCUCUAUCACGGGGAAGCCAAUUUGUUGUGACCAAUGUGAUAGGAGACUCUUCUGAAAAGGGUGUUAGGGGGUUUAUGUCAGAGUUGGAAACUUCCCCUGCUAAGUUUUCUUCUUCAGGAAUAGUGAUAUCGCCACACCCCUCAUCCGUCAAGGUGUGGGUCUCAAUCUCUGAAUCAAUUAGAACUACAUUCCCAGUUCUAUUUUCCUCCAAGAUUACCUCUUCAUCUAAGAUCUCUUCCUCAUCUUCAGCAAGUAUUUCCUGAACUUCCUCUUCAUCAUCAACUAGUUCAUGAUCAUUGAAGUGAUUAUGCUCGGGAAGGGCAGUUGAUCCUGCUGGGUUACUUGAGAUUGACAUACAUUCCCCCUCAGAUUUCUUAGUGGAUUCGCAAGACCUCCUUGACUGAAUGAAGUCAUUAGCAGGAGAAUCCCGGGAAUAACUAAAAAAAUCAUUUGGAAUAGCAUCAUUUAGUUGAGACAAGGCCCCGGUUGUUUCCAGAAAACGUACCUUCCAGAUUUUUCCCAUGAGAUUAAUGUAUUUGAUUUCAUCGAUCUCAGAAACGCUCUGUGUUUCUAACAGGAAUUUUGGGGUUUGGUAGAAAUCCUCCUCAUCACGAGUUUUACCGAACUGAAGAAUGGUUCCAAAGCUACUAAGAAUAUUCUUGAAAUUAUCUUCCUUCCAACCAACAAUAGGCAAACCUCUAACUUCGACCCAUGUUUUCCGUGAUGGGAGGAGAUCAUCCAAAUGCAGGUCACGAACCUCAGCAAACCCAAUCUUUAGGAACUCUCGAUCAGUAUCUUGCAGAUCCAUGUAGUGCGGGAAAUAAGCAAUGAACCUAUCCCCAGAUAAACCUCUGAUUAGAGCAUUGACCGCACCUAGUCCCUCCGCAAUCAUACCCACAGUGUCUGUUGUUUCAUGUUUGACUGUCCUCAGGAAUAAGCUAUUUUCCAUGAUAUGAAUAAAAUCUUCGUCCGGCAAGAGCUCUACUGAGGCAGGGGGGGAAGGGAGAUCCCGAGGCAAUGAGUGACUUACAGAUUUAGGGGACUCAGGUGGGGUAAUAUGUACCUUUGGAGCCCGCGUAGAACUAGCAGAUUUAGGGGGCUGAGAGGGAGGCUUUUGAGCACCCUUAGCUUUAGCCAGAUAUAAUUUCCUUGAGCCAAUAAGUUUGCCAUUAAGAGCGGAAAUGAUGUUGUCAGCCUGUUUCUCAUCGGACACCAACAAGAACCCAAAUCUAUUGCCAAAUUUGUCUCUUUUCCGAGGCAGAAUAAUAUCCCUAAUUUUCCCUUCCUUUUUAAAGAGAGACCAUAGAUCUUUCAUAUGGAGGCUAUCAUCCAAUUCUGUAAAGAAAAUGGAUGAUUUAGGCGCCAUAUCACCCUUCUUUCGGGAAGAUUGGGAUUUUGGGGGAGGGGAUCGUUUAACAGUAGGGGACGGCCUUGCUGAAUUCUUAAGCAGAGCCUCUCUGAAAGUUUGUGAGGGAGACUGAGGAAGGGGUUUCGUUGAAGCGUGAUCACCCGUCAGCGAGUGAUGGUGGAUCUGUCCUAGAGCUAGGGAGAGGGCCUUGUCAUUACCACCUAAUGCGUCUUUAAGUACACCAGGCUCCACCAUAGAAGCAUGAACUUUGAGAAAAUCAUAAGUGAUGAUCUUUUGUUCUUCCACCAUGUAAUCCUUUUUAUUGGGCGAAAUAAACUUUGGUUUCUUUUGUAUUGGCCUAGCGCUGAGAGAGCCAAAAUGAAUCUGAUGGAGGGCCAUACGGACUCCUUCUUGGUCUCCAUUGCUAGCUUUAGCGAUUGUAUUUGGAUGUACCAAAUCCGCAUUCGCCCUUAUAAAGUUUAAAAGAGUAGUGUCAUUAUUAGCUUCAGAAUACUGACCUUGAGAUAGUUGCCGGAAACCAUUGAUGUAGAGGGCUGAGUCUUGAGAAUGUGGCUGAGAUUGCUGAAGGUUGACCGGGCGGACCCUAGAUCCCUGUUUCCCCCUUUUCGCCAUAACUCCUGCUUGUGCUUGAAGCUCUGAAACAUUUGCUCCUUUGUUAUCUGCUCUCUCGCCUUUCGUCAUUGAAAUCCCCUUUUGCUCCUGCCUUGCUAAUUCUAUAGAUCCAUAAUGAAUUUGAUUUAGAGCCAUUCGCACUGCCUCUCUCUGCCCUUGUAAUGCCUCUAUCCUUGUAUUUGGGUGAAUUAGAUGCUCAUAAGCUGAUAAGAAAAGGAGGAGAGGAUCCAUAGUAGCAGAAUCUCCUUCCUUGUCAUUCCUUUCAAUUUCUAGGUUUGAAGCCUUCUCCCACCACCCAUUAUUGUAGAGGAAUUCAUGUAUACUCCACAACGCCUCCUCAUCUCCCUUGACUCCUUCUUCUAACAACUCUCUUGAAACCACUCCCAAGAGAAAGUCCACCUUUGCCUCUGCCAUGGGUAGCAGAGCAUGAUUCCCUUUGUUAACUGCUGCCACUAAUUCAUGAUCAAGCAAGAACCAGAAUUUAUUGAUUGUUUCCAGCUGCUGUUGCUUUUUAAUUUCCUGUUCCGAGUUAUUUCCAAGCUGUGCUUCCUUAAAACCAGAUGAAAAGCUUCCAUUCCCUAGGUUGGUUGCUCCCUUACUCUGAAUCUCACUUCCUUUACUACUCUUCUCGCCGGAGGUGCCCUUGGAGUUGUUAUUACCUAGCGGUCCGUUGUUGGGUUUUGUGACCGUUGAAGCCAUAUUUAUAUCCAUGUGCAACUUUCCUUUUUCGGUUUCCAGAGUAGUUGAGGGAGUAGAGGAUGGCGAGUUGAUAUGAUAAUUGGAGCUUUUGAUGAAGAAAGUGGGCAUGUAACGAUAUUUGCGAGUAGAUUCUCCAGAUAUUUCGUAACAUGGGUUGGUUAUUUAUUUUCAUUAUUUUAUUUUAUUUGUUGUGGAAAUGAGAGAGCACGUGGCUUCUUAGUGGUGGUAGCCUGCCUUAUCAACAUUGUAACCUCAGUUAUCACCUUUCUCAACUUGGUAUUAUUUUAUUGUCGAGAGAAAAUGAAGGCCUUUUUCUUUGGUUAGCCAAACUUUAGUUUUAUGCAUGUGACUAUGUGAGUUAAUAUACUUGUACUUUCUCACUUUUUAGUAGAGCGAGACUUGUUGUUUACAACUUUAUUAUGAAUAUAAAUGAAUUUAGAAUGUGGAAAACAAGUGUAGAAAUAUGGGAAAGCUUGCCCAAGUUGGCAAGUAAUGCAAUCAACUACCCACUUGAAGUUGAAUAACCUAUAUUAAUGAUUUGAAUUAGAUCUUCGAUAUUUUGAAAAUAUAUGUUUCUCAAAUAUGUAUAUUAAAAUAUAAUAUGCUGUGAACUCGAUUUUAAUUUUAAUUUUUAAAAACACAAGUAAGGAAUCAUAGUUUCAUUCUCACAUCCCUAUGUACUCCCUCAGUGCCGUUGAGUUGUUAAUGUUCACCGUUUACACGUAUUUUGAGAUUCUUAUAAAGUAUAGUUCUACAAAAAAAUUUUAAUUUAUUUUUUUUGAAUAAAAAUUUAAAUAUUCAGAUUUUUUUUUGGGAAAAAAAACAUCAUGAAACUAUAUUUUAAAGAGAUCUUAAAAAACAUGCCAAAAAGUAGGGCUGGCAAUUUCGGGUUUCGGGUCGGGUUCGGGUCGGGUUGACAGUCGCGGGUCAAAAAAUUUACCCAACCCGAACCCGACCCGAAAAUUUAAUGGGUCAGAAUACUCAACCCGAACCCGACCCGCAUUACCCGCGGGUAACCCGAACCCGACCCGAAAAUUAAUAUUUAUUAAUAAAAAUAUUUUUUAAAUAAUAAAUAAAUAUUAUUUUAAUCCAAAUAAAUUAAUUUUUAUUAAAUUAAAUAAUUUUAUAUUAAAUUUAACUAAUAAAUUUUAUAAAAAUAAUAUAAAUAAUAUAAAUAUAUAUAAUAUUUAUAUUAUAUAUUAAUUUUCGGGUAAUUUCGGGUCAAUUUCGGGUAACCCGAAUUCAACCCGAAAAUGACCCGAUUUUUCUGGGUUGAUUUUGGGUCAACCCGAAUUAGACCCGAACCCGAAAACCCCCAACCCGAAUUCGUAUUUUGCGGGUCGAAUUCGUGUCGGGUUGUCGGGUCGGGUCCAAUAUUGCCACCCCUACCAAAAAGUGAUGUUAACAAUCCAACGAGACGGAGGGAGCUACGAGUUUUGAAAGAAGUCCCGAAGCUCCCUAAAAUUAUGACUCAAUGUGAUUUAUCAACGAGUAGUGCUACAUGCACAAAAUUAGGUACAUAAUUUUAUACAAAAUGAUAUGACAAUCUAGGUGAGAAAUUUUAAUGGGUGCUAUUAAUACAUAUGUAGGGGCAUUCCAAUCACAAGUUAACACAUACUCAUUCUGUGAAUGUUUUUGUCCCUAAUUCUGAGUAUGUAGCAUUUUCCUUUAACAAUUAUCGUGAUUUAAUGUGAUAAGUGGGAAAUUUAAAAUAUCUAUUUGGAUAAUUUUUGAUUUAUUAAUGACAUUAUGAGUUAUUAAAAAUAUAAUACUAGAAAUAAAGAUGAUUUAUGGGUAACUUAUGUUUUAUGAGUAAUUUUUAUCUAAAAAAUUGUUUUUAAAAAAUAAAUCAAAUAUCUCAAACUAACUUCUGUCUUUAAAUCAGUUUCUGAUUUGUUUUUAAUUUUAAGCAGACUUCUAACUUAUUACCCAAAUAAAUAUUUUGUACGCGCCAAUAAGAUCAACAAAGGCAUUCGUGACACUGGUGGGACACGGAAGUCAUGGGAAGUCAUUGGUCUGAGGCUUCGGGUGAAACCAAUAAUUAGCUCAAAAUGGAAAAUGACUUAAAUCCUGAAUUUUAAGUCGAGAUAAAUAGCAUUUUAAUAUCUUUUUUCCGGUCUAAUUUUUUAUGAACAAAAAUACAUUACACCGUGAUCAAAUAGUUUUUUUGUAUGAACGAAAAUGCAUUAUAAUGUGAUCAACUCAUAAUUGGAUGAACAAAAGCACAGUACAAUGUGAUCACCUGACGUUGGAUGAACGAAAACACGUUAGAAUGUGCUUAGUUUUGAUUAUUGUUUAUACAUCGUAUUCCAUUUCCCUAAAGAAUUGAUUAACCUUGAAAAGGGCCGGCAGCUUUUUUGAAUUGUGUUUUGGUUGAUAGUUUAAUAAUCCAGGAGGUUGCCCACUAACUUAGAACUCCAAGUCUCCCACCAGUUCGUUAUAAGUUUCAAAUGUGUUAAAUUUCCGUAGCCCAUUUCAAACACGGCCCAAAAACUAUUGCAACAAGAUCUUUCAAAAAUAAAUAAUUGACCUUGUCUGAAUGUCUGAUAUCAGAAGUCCAGAUUCCAAUUGCCAAAUGGGGUCCCAGAAAACGCCAAUUUUUCUUAAACAACAAACAUGUCCAAACUAUGAGAGCAAAUCCAAGAUGAGACAAACGUUACAUUUAAAAUAUCUGUCAAACAUUAUUUAAGGGUCUUUUGAUGUCAAUGAACAACUAUUUUUUUGGUAGUAGAGAUUUUUGAGCAUGCAAAAAACAUCAUUAUUAAUGAGAUUGAAAUCGACACAAAUAUGUCAACUAACUAAAAAUUGGUUGUCAGGGUGUGUCCUAGAAAACCGAACAUUUAAUAAUGUUCCAUAUUUUCCCCUAGCUGCAGGCCAACACACUCAGUUUCCAACUCCUCUGCAUCAUGGCACAAGACAAUGAAGGCAGCUCUAGUUCCAUCGUGCCCAAACUAGUCAUCCUCUUAGUCGCCAUAGCUUGUGCUGGCUUCAUAAUUGCGUUGUACCAUUGCAUCCGUGUCGGUUGGUGCACACAAUACCAGCAACGUCCCCCUCUGCAACCGCGAAAUAGGCCUUUUCCUUUCAGACGCGAGGAGCAGCAGAGCAGCGUUGAAAAUUCUAUUGCAGAGCUCAUUCCUGUACGUAAAUUUAGCAAGACUAAUUUGGACUUGGAGGGCGGGGAUAACCAUACGUGCUCCAUUUGCUUGUGUGAAUUCGAAGAAGGGGAGGAGCUACGUACAUUGCCCGAAUGUGUUCACUCUUUUCAUGUAAGUUGCAUUGAUAUGUGGUUUUAUUCGCAUACUAGUUGUCCGUUGUGCAGAACUGAUGCUACGCCAUCUCCACGGGGACUCAUACAUUAUUUGGAGUUGAAUUCGGAAAGGCCAGCUCCAAGGCAAGGUUUAGAAUCCAGUGAAGUUUGAGUUUGUUUUAUUGCCUAUAUUCUGAACUUGUGUCAGCCUUCUUGAACUAAAUUUUAUUUUAUCAAUGAGAUCGUCUCCUCAAUUGGGACUUUGGGGAAGUGAAAUCGUAGUGUUUUUUUUUUCGAACUUGAAAGUAGAAAUGUAAAAGUAGGGGAAGGUUCAAAUGGAAAAUUUGGUCUCUGGAAACUUGUAUAUUCUGUAUAAAAAGUGGCAUCUGCUUAAAAUUUUGUAGCUAAACUUUAUUUCGAAGAAAUUAUAUUUUUUUCUCAUAAUAGUGCUUUUAACUAUUGAACCCAUGUUUUUUUCAUAUUACAAAAUUAUAAUGUUUAAAGUGUUUUUCGAGUUCUCCAUAGAAUCCACAGUUAGUUUAACAGAUCACUGGCAAAUUACUAACUGCAAGAUUUAUGUUCACGAGACAGUAACUAAUAAGCGACAAACUAACUAACUAAAACACUGAACUGAGUAAUGUGUGAAGUACAUAUCACAGAACAACGGGAAAAGAAUUAAGAGUAUAAGUCUAUAAUGGGGAGGGUGAUCCUUGAAACAACAAUUCUGAAAACAAAGAGAUUUUCCUCCCUUAUGAAAUCUGAACUGAAAAUAUGACAAUUAAGACCAUUCUUACUUGAAACAAAAAUUCUGAAAACGAAGAGAUUUUCUUCCCCUUUUUUUCCCACUUAAAAUAUGAGAAUUAAGACCGUUCUAAUGAUCACAGGAGACCAAACUGUAAACACUGCAAAUUCACAGGAGUCCCCUUCCUCGCAAACCCCCUUAUUUCAUCCAUGCACAUGAAUACGGAGUAUACUGAACCAAGACCAGACGUCAUAGUAUUGCAGCAGUACUGUUUUCUAUUCCCAGUACUUGAUGAAUGAUGAUAAAAUUUUAUUGCCAGUUCUGCAUGUGGAUGAACUGGGAACUAGUAACUGUACAUUUUGUAUUCCAGAUAAACCUUUCGUUCUGAUUGCUGUCAUAAACAAGUUAUCCCAGAUCUCUAGUAAGAGAUUUCUUGUAAUGAUAACAUCAUAUUAUAAGUCCAUCUCUUGCAGGAUACCUCUUAAUCUAGAGGAAGAAAGCUUGUCACAUCAUAUGGAAAGCUAAUAUGUAAAAUAAAGAAUAUUUCGACACAUCUGUUAAUUACUUCAUAAAAUUCAAAUUCCCGCUCUGGAAUUGAAAAUUGACUUCCUGUACAGACUAAAUUCCAAGCGGAAUCGCCAAAAUUGUUGUCGUCAUUUUGUGAAAGAGCAGACAUAUUAAAACUAUGAAAGCAUACAGAGGCUUUACAUAGUAAGACAAACACUACAUAAUAAUUAUCAACCCAACAAUGACUAUUUGAUAUGCACUCAUUUCCAACCAUUCCUCUACCAUGGCACAAGACAACUCUAAUUCCCUCAUACCAAAAUUAGUCAUCGUCUUGGUCGCUGCAGCCUGCAUGGCCCUCGUUAUUGCAUUGUACCAUUGCAUCCGUGUUGGCUGGACCACGCGAUACCACCACAAUGAAACACCGCAGCAACAUCAUCUUGGGCAAGAGGAGCAACAGAGCUUUGAGAAUUCAAUUGCAGAGCUCAUCCCCAUACACAAGUUUAAGAAGUCCUGUUUGGAUUUGGAAGGCCGAAAUGAUCAUACAUGCUCAAUUUGCUUGAGUGAAUUCGAGGAAGGGGAGGAGUUACGUACCUUGCCUGAAUGUUCACACUCUUUUCAUGUAAGUUGUAUAGACAUGUGGUUCCAUUCACAUACUAGUUGUCCGAUGUGCAGAAUCGAUGCUACGCCAUCAUGGCACGGACUGAUGCAUUAUUUAGAGUCAGACUCAGAGAGGCCGGCAACAAGGCAAGGUCUGGGAUCCAGAGAGAUCAGAGUGUAAUUUUUUUAUUCUGCAUUUGUCGCAGAUUGGAUUAAAUUUUAUUUUAUCUCUUUGUCGCAUAUUUGGCCAAAGCAGCCGUAUCACAUCAAUACUGAUUUAAUUAUUUUUUAAGAUCAGACCAUAUGCUGAUCAGUUGAUAUAACAAUGCAGAAUGCCGGUUUAAUUAUUGUUCCAUAUCCCUCUAAUGAAAGCCAAGGCAAAGCUCAUUGGAUAUAUAAGUUUCAAAAUAAAAUAUUACACUAAAGCUGUUCAUAGUAUUUAGCUCUAAAGAGAGAUUCGGUUCAUGAGAGUGUGCUAAUAAUUCUUAAAAGUUACAAAGUCGAGUUAAAAGUAUCCUUAAAUUUCGCCUAAAGGAUACCCCUCUCUUAGUCGUUCAAUGUCAAUGAUCGAGUAUUUAUAGAAGUAUGAACUUGUGUGUACUAAACUAUUAUAAAAUCCAACUUCGAUUACAAAAAUUAUACAUGACACUGGCAAACGGACCAAGGAAAUUUUGCCCUUCCCUAAAAAAGAUCAAAAUAUUAUCACUUGGCAAGACAAAUUUUGACUCAUUCACAUUAAACAACUACAAUUAUCUUGUAAUAACCGUCAUGGCUACAUAGAUUUUGAAAUGGCCUUUCUAUCUAGCUAGUAAUUCUCUCCUAAGCAACUGAAAGAAGGUCUUCACUUGUCUUCACAAUGUCUAGCCUCAAUUUUCUGAGUCAUUUUUAUAUCCUCUUUCUUGUAGUUGCAUCCAUGGCCUUCUUCGUUACAAUUUAUCACUGUAUUAUGGUGAGUUGCCAAAAUAGAAUUGAGCGUCACAAUUCUGAUCAAGUGUCACAGUCCACUGUCAUCAGAAUACAGAACUUCUUACUUUGGCGCAAUGGACAAGAACUUAACAGUGCUCAAGAUCGUGGUGCCACGGUCCUGGGGCUUGAGAACUCGAAGAUUGAGCUAAUUCCAAGACAUAAAUUUGAAAAAGGUAAAGGGAUUCUUGAUGCAGAGUGCGCUGUUUGCUUGAGCGAGUUUGCAGAGGAUGAAGAAAUACGAACUUUGCCAGAAUGUUUGCAUUCUUUUCAUGUAGAGUGCAUUGACAUGUGGCUUCAUUCACAUCCUAAUUGUCCAACAUGUCGGGCCAAUGCUUCACCACCAUCCUCCUCCUUGCUAUUACAUCCUUGCCCAAAGUGAUACCGUGGUUAUGGCAUAGCAUAUUAGGAGAGAUGAAGAAUUGAAGAAAGGGACCGUGCAGUUAGCUUGGUUACAUGCAAAUGAAAGGACAGCGCAGGGCCGGCCCUUCAUAAGGCGAUCAAGGCGAAUGGCUAGGACAGCCCUUCAUAAGGCGAUCAAGGCGAAUGGCUAGGACAUCACUGUCCCACGGGCACCAAAAAAAUCUAUGCAUAUGUAAUAAAUAAUGAUAAAUUUAUGCAUUUAUAGACAUACAUUUAAAUUGAUUGUGUUGUUAAUUUUAAAAUAACGUUUUUAUUAAAUCAUUGUAUAUUGAUUUGAAUGUAUGUAAAAUUUUCAUUUACUAUCUUGAAAAAUAGGGACAUCAAUCACAUCAUUAUCAAAAUUCGUCUAGGACACUCAAAUCUGUGGGACGGCCUGGGUCAGUGCGUCUUUCUUUAAUGUAGCAGAACUUGCAUUACAUGAAAACUGAAAGACUUGUUACCAGUUCCUUAUGUCAAAAUUAGAAGAAGAAUUUAAUUCGGUUAUAUUGCAAGCUGCUGCAGCUGUUAGCUGUUACCCUAUCUUUUCUAAUUUCUGUAGACAAUGGUAUUAGAUUUUUACACGCCUAACUAAAAAUUAUUACAAUUCUAAAUCAAUAGAACAAGAAGCACAUCUGUCAUCGUUUGGCCAUUAGUCUGUGACCUUCAGAUGAAUAAAAUCAUGAACUCGAAAUCUUGCUUUAUUUUAGCAACGCAGAAAACAAAGCACAAAUGUAUUGAUGUAUAUAAGAUUUAAUUUCCAUUACACUUUAUUGAGAAUGAAUAAGAAGGAUGGUCAAGACUUGGAUAUUACUAAGUGCAGUUACAUGCCUAAGGUUUCAUACCCCUAAGACCACGUCUGUGAAUUUGAUCUUGUUUCCCAGUACAAACGCAAAGACCAUCGACACACUUGCCUCCAAACGGACACACGUUCGAACAUCCAGUAUCAAUGCAUUUUGAAAUUUGAUCUUGUUUCCCGGUACAGACGCAAAGACCAUCGACACACUUGCCUCCAAACGGACACACGUUCGUACAUCCAGUAUCAAAGCAUUUUGAAAUUUGAUCUUGUUUCCCGGUACAGACGCAAAGACCAUCGACACACUUGCCUCCAAACGGACACACGUUCGUACAUCCAGUAUCAAAGCAUUUUGAAAUUUGAUCUUGUUUCCCGGUACAGACGCAAAGACCAUCGACACACUUGCCUCCAAACGGACACACGUUCGUACAUCCAGUAUCAAAGCAUUUUGAAAUUUGAUCUUGUUUCCCGGUACAGACGCAAAGACCAUCGACACACUUGCCUCCAAACGGACACACGUUCGUACAUCCAGUAUCAAAGCAUUUUGAAAUUUGAUCUUGUUUCCCUGUACAGACGCAAUGACCAUCGACACACUUGCCUCCAAAAGGACACUCUGUCAAACAAUUAGUAGUGCAUCCAUGUACAUGCACCAAUGACACAGUAAACACCAGGACUAGUGUUAAGACUAUAGAAAACUGCUUCAUAUCUGAUGGUUUUUCUGGAGAAUAUAUAUCUGAAAGAUUUAAAAGAGAAAAUGUUUUCUCCUCUCCUUGCGAGUGUUUUAUUUCCGAUGAAGAUCCUCCACAAUAUAUACAGACAUAUUAUACAAUCACUCCAUCCGAAAGACAUAACUGUUGGAUUUCAUAAUAAAUUCAUAUUAAUUGUCAUUAAUAUGAUAAUUAACUUAUGUAACUUGCAACUAUUCACUUAAGUAUAUAUUUUAGGAUGUAUCAAUGGAGAUUUUCAACUGUUCGGUAGGAAUGAAAAAUGAAACCAUCUGGUGGUAUAUCACAGUUAAACUAGCAUAAAAACCCGUGCGAGGCACGGGCCUCUAGUUUGUGUUUCUGUUUUAAAUAAUAUUCAUGUCUCGUCAUAUUAUUUCGAGCGUAACUAUCACGUUUUAUUCAUUGACAAAGUAUGUAAAUAUGAAAAUGUAAUAUUUGCAACCUAGCAUUAAUAGUAAUAAUAAGUAUUAUAUUUUUAAAAAAAAUUAUGGAUCAGAAACUACAUUUGAACAGAUUUUUCUAUAUUCAAAGUCGUUAGGAUAUAGAGGCCACUACCGUACAAUCUACAUGUUCAAAAUUAUAUUCGAAAUUAAUAUUGAAACUUUUAAAUUUUAAAUAUAUUAUACAUCAUUAAAAGUAUCUGUAAUUAAAUUAUUUCAUCUAAUAUAACAUGAUUUUGAUUUAAACUUGUUCUUGAUAUGUGAAUUACGAUAUCUUAAAUCAUGAUUAAAUGAAGAUGUGUGGUCCGUAUUGUUUUAUAUUUAUUUCUUCUUUUUUAAGUGUAAGUUUGCGUAAUAAUUAAGUGAUACAUGAUGUGGCAUAUCAUCAACACAUUUUUUUUUAGCAUUGUUGCACACACCUUGUAUAAGUAGAAAUUGAACUAUGUAAAAAGACUCAUACCCUAUUUUAUUAUAAAAGUGUCUAUUGAAUUACUAACCUUAUAGUUGUACCCAAAAAAAUUCUGACACCUUUGAUAUGGCUUACCCUUUUAAUUUUCAUCUCAAUUAUAUGGUAUUUCAAUGUCUUAGAUUUUUAUUGUUAAUAUGUUAUAAUACUGUCUCGUUAUAAAAAUUUUAUUUUUAUCAUUAGUUAUCUAAGCUUGUUGAUUAGUACUUUUAAUGAUUUUCCAUUUAAUUGUUAUAAACCAGAUCUCAAAAUAAUUUUCUGGAAUUUCAAAUAGCAAAACGAGAGUAUAUAUGAGUUAGGCCUCAAGUUCAUAAAAACAUGAAAUGUAAUUACUUUUUGUAGUUUUGUACAAACUCACAUUUUUUAAAUAUUUUUAUACUCGUAUUUCUUGGGGGUGAGCAAUGUAGCAUAUCAUUUUCAAUUGUUAAAGAUCAGAUCAGGUAUUCGAUAUUCUGGAUUAUGGAAAAACUAUCCUUGUUCUAGUCCCGUUUAGUAAGAUAUUAGUUUUCAUCAUAUCGCGUCGGAUUAUCCGGCUCAGAAUUAAUUAUAUUUUAUUAGUUUAAUUUGUAGAUGAUUAAUUAAUUUAAUUGUAGUUUGAAUCAAUUUAUUUAACUGGUAUGUUAUAUAUUGAUUGAUGGCAUGUUAAAAUUAUAGCUUUAAGAUUUUAAUAUAUAUGACUUAUUUCUCUGUGUUAUUUUAUUUUAACCAAGUAAAAUUUAUAACUCAAUUCUUUUAGUUGGUCUCAUAAACAUUUAUUAUUAUUAUUAGUUGACUUUUGAUUAACAAUAUAGUGGGGCUGUUUGGGAACCGGAAGCAAUUUCUGCUUCUGGCUUCUGCUUUUCUUGACCCGUUUGUGUAAAGAAGUAGAAGCACUUUUAAGAAGCUGAGAAUGCUAACUUCUCUUUCACAGAUUCUGCUUCUUUUCCAAACACUUUAUUAACUUAUUUAUUUCUCACUUCUACUCCACUUCUUUACUUUAAACAUAGAAUCACUUUUUUUAAGCUUGGCGAAACGGCGAAACGGCCCCAGAAUUUUUCUAAAUUCACCUUCAUAUCACAAAUUACUAUAUUUCAAAUUCAUUUAUCAUCAAAAUUACAUCAUUUAGAUAUAUUUUCUAACACCAAAUUUGAUAUCUUUGUCAUUGUUCUUAUAUUUAUAAUUUUCUCAAAAAAAAAUUUAGUUACACGCCGAAUUCUGAAUUCAUAAGUUUAACAUAAAAAAUAUUUUAAGUAAGAAUAUUCUUUCAUUUACAUUAUUUCGUGUUAUUCAAAAUAUUGUAAUCUCUUUAUAAAUCGCCUUUUAUAAAAAAUAAAUAAAUUAAUAUGACAUUGUCCAUGUUGAAAGUCCAUCAAUUAUUUCUUUCAAAGAUGCUAACUAAAUCCUUAGUUUUUGUGCUUAUUUCUCACAUUUAUGACUUAAAAUUUCUGUAAUAUUGUAUUCGUACUCGUUUAGAGUAUUAAGUUGGAUUUGAAUUCUUUCAUUUUUAUUCGAAUAUGAAUUAUAUCUAUUUUUAGAAAUCUGAAUCAUGAUUCGAGCCCGAUCAUUCAGAUUCUUUUUCUAUUCUAAAUUUAUUUACGUAAAUAAUUGAUUUAUAAAUAUUAAUUAAUCAUGUAAGCAAUAUAUGAGACUUAUCUGAAAUAAUAACUUGUCUCAAAGAAAUAAGAAAUUGAAGAGAAUGUAAAUACAACAGUUUUAAUGCACGUGGUUAAUGCUUUUGAAUAACAAAACUAAUUGCUUAUGUAGCUCAAGUGGUUUGAGUGAUGUAUUUGUAUUGGAGAGAUCUUAGGUCCAAGUCUUAUGAAAAACAAUUUUUUUAUAUAUAUGAGGAGGAGGCAGGUUCGGAGUUAGGCUCGGGUUCGGAGCUAGGUAAUUUAUUUGCUCAGGAGGGAGGCUUAACACGAACCUGUUGUGCUAUUAUAUAUAUAAGUAGAAGUCCCCUGCAUUGUCAAUUUAUCAUAGUAACUUUCACUCAUUUGCCGUAAAUUCAAAUUUCCAUAAUUAUGCGUAAUUAAAACAAGUACAUUAUUUUAUUUCCUACCUAUUUUUGAUAUAUAUACUCUCUUGUUUUUGCUUUUUAUUAGAUUUACUAUCAUUUUUACAUUAAUUAAAAUCUAUAAACAUAUAUGUGUGUGUGAUUUUGUUGUAUAUUGAUUUAUAUUUUGUUUGUUUGUUUUUUCUCCGUAUAUCAUGGAAGCGAGCUGUUAUGUGACUUAUGGGUAUUAUUUUCUCAUUCAUUUAUGCUCUGUUGUCUAAACGUCCGGAACUAUACUUGCAUGACUUUAGUUAGAUGAUAAACUUUCUUUGAAAGAAAGAAAUCUGGAGACGGUUUAUUGUAUACCGUUCAUCAGCCGGAACAUAGACUAAAAUUAUCUUAUAAUGACCGUCACGACUACAUAGAUUUUGAAAUGGCCUUUCUAUCUAGCUAGUAAUUCUCUCCUAAGCAACUGAAAGAAGGUCUUCACUUGUUUUCACAAUGUCUAACCUUAAUUUUCUGAGUCAUUUUUAUAUCCUUUUUCUUGUAGUUGCAUCCAUGGCCUUCUUCGUUACAAUUUAUCACUGUAUUGUGGUGAGUUUCCAAAAUAGAAUUGAGCGUCACAAUUCUGAUCAAGUGUCACAGUCCACUGUCCUCAGAAUACAGAACUUUUUACUUUGGCGCAAUGGAGUAAUGGACAAGAACGUAACAGUGCUCAAGAUCGUGGUGCCACGGUGCUGGGGCUUGAGAACUCGAAGAUUGAGCUUAUUCCAAGACAUAUAUUUGAAAAGGGUAAGGGGAUUCUUGAUGCAGAGUGUGCUGUUUGCUUGAGCGAGUUUGCAGAGGAUGAAGAAAUACGAACUUUGCCAGAAUGUUUGCAUUCUUUUCAUGUAGAGUGUAUUGACAUGUGGGCUGUGGCUUCAUUCGCAUCCUAAUUGUCCAACAUGUCGGGCCAAUGCUUCACCACCAUCCUCCUUCUUGCUAUUACAUCCUUGCCCGAAGUGAUACUAUGGUCGUGGCAUGGCAAGGCCAUGUGGUUAAUCUAGCAUAUUAGGAGAGAUGAAGAAUUGAAGCAAGGGACCGUAAAAUACAGGAUUUUAGUGCAGUCUGAUGCUUGGUUACGUUACGUGCAAAUGAAAGGUCAGCACUGGGCCAGCCCUUGCUAAGGCGAUCAAGGCGAACGCCUAGGACACCACUGUCCCACGAGCACCAAAAAAUCUAUGCAUAUGUAAUAUAUACAGUAAUAUAUAAUGAUAAAUUUAUGCAUUUAUAUAUAUAUACAUGCAUAUAAAUAUACAUGCAUAUAAAUUGAUUGUGUUGUUAAUCUUAAAAUAAUGUUUUUCUUAAAUCAUUGUCUAUUGACUUAAAUGUAUGUAAAAUUUUCCUUUACUAUCUUGAAAAAUAGGGGCAUCAUUUUCAAAAUUCGUCUAGGACACCCAAAUAUGUGAGACGGUCCUGGGUCACUGCGUCUUUCUUUUAUGUAGCAGAACUUGCAUUACAUGAAAACUGAAAGACUUGUUACCAGUUUCUUAUGUCAAAAGUAGAAGAAGAAUUUAAUUUGGUUAUUUUGCAAGCUACUGCAGCUGUUACCCUAUCUUUUCUGUAGAAAAUGGUUAUAGUUUUUUACACGCCUAACUAAAAAUUAUUACAACUCUAAAUCAAUAGAACAAGAAGCACAUUUGUUAUCGUUUGGCGAUUAGUUUGUAACCUUUAGAUGAAUAAAAUGAUGAACUCGAAAUCUUGCUUCAUAACAACGCAGAAAACAAAGCGGAAAUGUAUUGAUGUUUAUAAGAUUUAAUUACCAUUACAUUUUAUUGAGAAUGAAUAAGAGGGAUUGUCAAGACAUUGGCAAUCACAAGUGCAAUUACAUGCCUAAGGUUUCAUACCCCUAACCAUGUCUGUGAAUUUGAUCUUGCUUCCCAGUACAAACGCAAACACCAUCGACACACUUGCCUCCAUACGGACACACGUUCGUACAUCCAGUAUCAAAGCAUUUUGAAAUUUGAUCUUGUUUUCCGGUACAGACGCAAAGACCAUCGACACACUUGCCUCCAUGCGGACACACGUUCGUACAUCCAGUAUCAAAGCAUUUUGAAAUUUGAUCUUGUUUCCCGGUACAGACGCAAAGACCAUCGACACACUUGCCUCCAAACGGACACACGUUCGUACAUCCAGUAUCAAAGCAUUUUGAAAUUUGAUCUUGUUUCCCUGUACAGACGCAAUGACCAUCGACACACUUGCCUCCAAAAGGACACUCUUUCAAACAAUUAGUAGUGCAUCCAUGUACAUGCACCAAUGACACAGUAAACACCAGGACUAGUGUUAAGACUAUAGAAAACUGCUUCAUAUCUGAUGGUUUUUCUGGAGAAUAUAUAUCUGAAAGAUAUUAAAGAGAAAAUGUUUUCUCCUCUUCUUGCGAUUGUUUUAUUUCCAAUCGAUGAAGAUCCUCCACUAUAUAUACAGACAUAUUAUACAAUCACUCGGAGUGAUUGAUAUUUACACGAGUGAAUCACUCCAUCUCAAAGACAUAACGGUGGGAUUUCAUAAUAAAUACAUAUUAAUUGUGAUUGAUAUGAUAAUUAGAGUAUAUGUGUUGGUAAAUCAUACAUUCUUUGUUUUAAAAAAUUUGAUUACAAUCAUAGUCGACUUGAUUAUUCCGUGAAAAUCUCAGAGAAAUUGGGUUCUUUUUAAAAAUAUCCAUCUGUAAAAUUACUUUUCUAAAAAUACUACCAUCUUUAUCAUUGUUUUUAAGAAUAUCUUUUCAUAAAUUGUUUUUUUCAAAAAUACGAUUUGCAACUCCAGGCGGCGCCAGCCGUGUUGCAACUUCAUUUGCAACCUCAUUUGCAACUUUUGCAACCUCAUUUGCAACUAUAUAUAGUUUUCAGUUGCAUUUAGUUGCAACUGAGGUUGCAAAUGAAGUUGCAACUGCAGUUGCUUGCAACCUCAUUUGCAGAAUUUGCAACUUACAGUUUUCAGUUGAAUUAGUUGCAAUUACAAUUGCAAGAGUUGAAACUUUCUAUUUUUAUUUGCAACUUUUGCAACCUCAUUUGCGACUUUUGCAGCCUCAUUUGCAACUGAAAUGGUUGCGCCGCCCAAGGUUGCAAAUGAGGUUGCAAACCGUAUUUUUGAAAAAAAAAAAUUUAUGAAAAUGUAAUUUUAAAAAUAAUUCUGAAAGGUAGUAUUUUUGAAAACAAUAAAAGAAAAGGUAGUUAGUUUUGUAGACUUCCCAUAGAAAUUCCAUUUAACUAGGGUAGGAUAAGUGUUAAUUAACUAAUCCUACUAAAAUAUUGAUAGUAAUAUUUACAUGAUCAUAUAAUAUUUUAACAUUUUUCUUAUUUAAUCCAAUUUUAUAUCGAGCUUGAAUUGUGGGUGUACAUAAGUUUGCUUUAGUCUCCACAAGUCUAAACUCAUAUUACUCACUCCGCUCAAUUUAUAAGUCCUUUUGUUUAAGUUUCUUUUACUUUUCCAAGAGUCUUAACUAAUUUUGGAUCAACUAUUACAAAAUAUUAUUUGUUGUUUUAGAAAAUAAAAAGUUACAUAUUAAAAUUGAUUUGAUUUAUCUUUUGAUGAUUUUUUUUGCCAGAGAAAACUCAAGUAUGAAGAAAAGCGAGAAAAUCUGUGUUAAUUACGUACAAUGUAUAGUAUUCUUUUCUUAAUUGCAAUCAUAAAUAUAAGGGCAAUUUUGGACAGAAUCUUGUGAAUAAUUACAUAUCUUUUAUUUAUGGUAUUUCCAAAAUUCAAUUUCUGCCACAAUUAAUGUGAAUUACAUUUCCAAAAUUCAAUCAAUUAAAUUAAUUUUGAAUAUAUCUUAAUAAAUAUAUUAACUCCUAAUAAAACACUUAGUGGAAUCAACCAAAUAAUAAAUUUAGCAGACAUAAGAUUUUACAAAAAAUCGUACUAAUAAAUACAUUAUGAUUCUAUUAAGAAUUUUAUUAAUAUGUUACAAAAAAUGUCAUAUCAAUAUUAUUAAGAUUUUACUAAGUAAUUCACUAAUGACAUCGGAUUUCUACUAUUUUAAUAUUCGAUAAAUUUAUUCCAUAUUAUUAAGUUCUAUCAUUUGAUUCCCUAACUAUAUCAAGAAUUUAUUAAAAAAUUGUUUCGUCCGUUAGUCAUAUAUUGACAUUAUUUAUUAUGUAUUCUUUUUAAACAAUGUAGAAUUUAAUAUAAUAAAUUUUAAUGAUACAUUAAUUAAUAUUCUAAUAAUUAAUGCAUUAAAUUUUCGAAUCUUAAUAAAAUAAAAUACUUAAGAGAAUUUUAACAAAAUAUUUUGUGUUGUAGAUUAAUUAGUAUUAGUAAUAUGUAAUAAAACAUUUUUAAGUGUCUUCAAAUAGAAAUUUUUAUUAUUUAUUUUAAAAGAACAUAUAAUAUAUUUUUAUAUAUUAUUAUUGUCUAUUCUAGAUAUUUAACAAUAUUAUUAAAUUUGUAAUAAGAUUUCACUAACAAUAUAAAAUUAUUAUAAAUUUCUAAAUCAUGUGAAUAAGUGUAUUUUAUAAAUACGUUAAGAUUCUAAUAAAAAGUUUUAUCAGGUUAUUCGUUAGAACAAUUAUUAGAGAUUCGUUAGAAACACGAGUAGAAAACAUUAGAAUUUUUUUAUAUUAUAUAUAAUCAAAUUAUCAAAAUACAUAAUAAAACUUUUCGAAGAAUCUUAGUUUAUUUAUUAAAUAAGUUUAAUAAUAAAAUUAAUAAUAAAAUUUAAUUUAAUAAUAAAAUUAAUAUAUAUAGAAGAUUCUCUAAAAUAUUCUAUUAUUUAUAAGUAAUAAAUAUUUGUAUCAUGCAAGAUUCUUUUAGAAUAUUUAAUUUUUUUUAUAUAUUAUUCACUCUAUAAUAUUCUUUUGACUCUUCAAAUAUUUUUAAAUUAAUAUUAUUUUGAAAAAUUUCAAACUAAUUAAUAUUUAAGAAUUCUAAUUUAAAAUUAUAAUAAUAUUUAAAGGAACACUUUAAGAAACCUUCAAAUGUUAAAUGUUAGAGGUGAAACACUUAACAGAAUCUUAAUAUUAUUAAUAUAUAUAGAAAAUUCUCUAAAAUAUUUUAUUAUUUCUACUAAUAAAUAUUUGUAUCGUGCAAGAUUCUUUUGAAAUAUUUAAAAUAUUUUUGUAUAAAUUAUACAUCCUAUAAUAUUUUUUUGACUCUUCAAAUAUAUUAUUAAAUUAUUAUUAUUUUGAAGAAUUUCAAACUAAUUAAUAUCAAAGAAUCUAAAUUAAAAAUUAUAAUAAUAUUUAAAAGAACACUUCAAGAAUCUUUCAAAUGUUGAAAGUUAUAGGUGAAACACCUAAUAGAAUCUAUACAUAUUAUUAACAUAUAUAGAAGAUUCUCUAACAUAUUUUAUUAUUUCUAGUAAUAAAUAUUUAUAUCGUGCAAGAUUUCUUUAGAAUAUUCAAUGUUUUUUAAGAAAAUAUUCACCCUAUAAUAUUCUUUUGACUUUUCAAAUGAUUUUAAAUUAGUAUUAAAUUAAUAUACAAGAUUCUCUAAGAUAUUUUAUUAUAAAUAUUAUAUGUUAAAUGUAAAAUGUAAAAUAGUAGUUUUCAAAUCUUUUCAAAGUGAAUCUUUUAAAAUUUGAAAUUUGAAAUUCAAACUGAAUAUACAUUAAAUGAUUGAUUGAUUGAUUGAGAUAUGAAGAAUCUAUUUAAAUAUGAUAUUAAUGUGCGAUUGAUUUUAUAUAUAUUUAUGUUACAAAAUUACCCUAUAUACUCUAGAGUUGAUUGACAUAAUUAAUAUGUACAAUACAUAGUAUUAUUAAACAAGUAUACGUGAUCAACGGUGAUUAACAGGGUUCCUCAGUUUUCUUAAUAACAGCAUCUCCAACGGGGUUGGCUAUAAUCGUUGGCUAAAUUGAACCUGUAAGACAAUAUGUAAAAUUUGCCGAACCUGUAAGACAUUGUACUUCAAUGGUGUUGGCUAUAUUGGUUGGCUAUAAUUUAAAAAUAGGAUGUUAUUAAUAUUUUAGAUUUUUAAAAUAGAAUAUAUCAAUUUAAUAUGGUACUAAAUGAUGUGUAAUCUUCCUACAGAUCUCUUACAAGCCUGUAGAGGUUCGACAAAUAUAGCCAUCUAUAGAAGGUUGACUAAAAUUAUUGAUAACAGAUUAACAUGGUUGGAGGGAGACCUUUUCAACAGAUUGGCUAUAUUUUUUAUAUUUGGCAAGACAACUCAUCAUUUAACUAAGAGGUUUGUAUGGUUGGAAAUGCUCUAAGUGGGUUUUCUUAGGAUCUUCCUCAUGAUAAUUAACUUAGGCAUCGAACCCACAAAUCCGUCCAUACUCCCUAUAAAAGACAUAGGCAUCCUCAAUAGUAGCGAAUUGCUGAUUCGCAUAGGGUGUCUUACUGACGCAUUUAGGAGUAUAAUAUUUUAUCCCAUUUGCUUCAACACAUGUCAUUUCAGGUUCCUCAAUACUGUUAAAUUCAACAUUACUUGACUGUGUUGACAAAUGUUCAAUUUCAUCAUCCGAAUAUGAACUACCAAUGUCUGGAACAUCAGAUUCAUGAUCAGAUCUCUCUGAGUCUGAGCUCUCAAUAUGUGGGGCAGACACGGAACCUACAUCGCAGAAGUAUAUCGUUAAACGUACUUCGGAACAUACACGCUAGGAAAAACAAACUCAAAAAACAAUGUAAUUAAAAGAUGUUCUGCAGUAUACAAAAAAUCAGAUACAAGUACAAUGUAAUGCUUUGUAUGUCAAACACUAUUGAAGAACAUAUAUAUAUAUAAUCUGUUCUGCAUUAUAACGCGAAAUACUAACAAAAGCCAGAUUAUAAAUCAGAAAGAGGAAAAAACGAAAAAAAAGAACCAUUCCCAUCAGACACGAUUAAAACAAACGAACACACAAAUCACAUCAAAUCAAAUCAUCAAACCUAGGAAGAAACACAAUAACGUACUUGGUUCUUCAUAUUGAGAAGCCAUGUCAAGCACAGAACACAAAAAUCGAAAAAAUAUUUACUCGUGAAUCUUUGGUUAAAAAAUUGUAUCAAAAACAGAACACAGAUUGCAAGCCCAAUAAGGUGUGACUUAUCAAGCGUAAUUGUUUCCCCAUAAUUCUGCACUGCACUUACGUGAUGUUAACAGCGUUAAAACUAACGGAUUAGAUAAAAGAAACUGUAAAACUAUUUUUUUAUAUUUUACUUAAAAUAAAAGAGACAUAAAAUAAUGACCAUCAGAUUAAAAUGUAAUGGAUGGCCAGGAUCUUGGACUCCUAAGACUCCAAAAAAUGUGUGAACUCCAUAGAACUUACUUCAUAAUAUAUAUAUAUAUAUAUAUAUAUAUAUAUAUAUAUAUAUAUAUAUAUAUAUAUAUAUAUAUAUAUAUAUANNNNNNNNNNNNNNNNNNNNNNNNNNNNNNNNNNNNNNNNNNNNNNNNNNNNNNNNNNNNNNNNNNNNNNNNNNNNNNNNNNNNNNNNNNNNNNNNNNNNNNNNNNNNNNNNNNNNNNNNNNNNNNNNNNNNNNAUAUAUAUAUGCCCAACAUUCAAAAAGAGGGACUCCUUAUAUGGAGUUACAUAGUGCGCCACUAUAAAUCAUCAAUUUUAUUAUAAAUUCUGUUAUAGAAUACAUAUAAAACGUGAUUCUAAUAUAGAAUACUAUAAAAUAAAUCCAUUUUAAGUAAUUUAACACUUAAAAUUUGAUUAAAAAAAGUAUAUUUUCGAAACUGUUCUACAACAGAAUAAUUCUGGAUGAUUAUUAUUCUGUUAUAGAAUCAUGUUGAGAUAUUGCAUAAUUGUAGAUGAUCUUUGGAAUAAAAAAAAUGUAUAACUUCGUUUUCAGUUUAAUAAUCAAAAUUUGUAAUUAUAUUUCAUAAAAAAUAUAACAUAAUAUAUAUUAUGUAUAUAUUUAUAAUGAUGUGCUACGUAACUCCAUAUAAGAGGGUAUGCUAUGUAGUGCUACCCUAUAUAUAUAUAUAGGGAGCUAUUCUAGUACAAACUCAACUAAUCUAAAAACCUACAAACCUGGUCCGAUCCAAUAGCAAAGCCCAGUCCAAUAAACAUAUUAUAACACCGCCCAGUCCAUCAUACAAAACAUCCGCCAGUCAGACAAAUUUAAUAUUAUAGUCAGAUAUACCUAUACAUACAUUACAGUGACGCUGCUUUUGCUCUCGCACUGUUCAUCUUCCUCAAAACAAAAGGUACGAAUAACAUUUUCUUUCAAUUACUCACUGAUUUCUUCGUGUAUUUGAUACAACGGUUCAAUUUCAUAGCGAAAUCGAGCACUGAAGUCGAGCAAUGAAUUAAGCAAAAUCAGUUUCAAAAAUCUUCAAAAGGUACAUUCCUAUGCUUUUUUAGUGAUUUAAGUGAAUAAAUCUUUCGUAGUGAUUGCAUGUCAGUAUAAUGAUGAUUCCCAGGGUUUAUUUUUGAUUUUUGACAAAAGCUAACUGUUCAUUUUAAUGUUUCUCUAUGACAGCAGGUAAAUCUUAUUUAUUUCAUAGUGAAGGCAUAAUUUAAUGGCUAGAACUAAAGGAGGUAUGAUUUUGAAAAUUUUCUAUGAUUGCAUACUUUUUUUUUUAUGAUUUGACUGUUAUUGAAUAUCAAACUGCUAGUGAUUGUAUUUCUCAGCACAUUAUGUGUUAGUGAUUGUAUUUAUCAUAAAAAAUUUUGUUAUUGCAUACUUGUUUUUUAUGAUUGUAAGUUUCAGCACAUUAUGUGUUAAUCACUAUCUUCUGACUCAAAUUAAGUUAGUAAUUAUUUGUUUAUAUUUUAGUGAUUGUAAUGCUGAUUGUGAUAACAAAUUGAAUGUAUUAAGUUCUCCUAUUGAAACUCCAGUGAUUGUAGAGCUAUAUUAGUGAUUGAACAGCCCAAGCUAAUGACAUUUCAAUAAUUAAAUAACAUUGUUGUUAAUUGCUAGUAAAUUUGUAGCCAAAUGUAUACAUACAUUAAUGUCCCUUAAGACUGGAUAAUUGUAACUUUAAAAAAUCUAUAUCUACAUAUAUAAGAAACUACUAAGAGUCAUGUGAUUAAUUUAGUACCUUAGGCUUGUAUUAUAGUGACUGAUUAACUUAUAAUUGUCAUUGUAGUCAUUCUAGACUUGUUUUGUAGUGAUUGCACGCUCUUAUGAUAAAACACAGAGUAUACCUUCACCUUAGUGCUAGCAUAUAUAGUAUUAUCACCAUAUAUGUUGUUGAUAAUUUUGUUAGUGUCAAAAUAUUUGGUGCCAUUCACUAUGUUAUUAGAUUCAAAAUUGUUGUUAUGAACUUGAAAUUACUUUUUUAAUGUGAUAUAAUAUUAUAUCUGCAUAAACUUAAAUGGCAUACACUUGUGCAAUAUUAUGUUGAUUAGUGCAUAAACUACAAAAUUUUUAUGUCACUGAAUAUUUAUGACUUUUAGAGCGGGGGAUGAUUACUUUUAGAGGACGGGUGAUGACUUUUAGGAGGGAUGAUGAAUUUUACAGGGCGGGUGAUGAAUUCUGGGGGGGGAGGGAUGAUGAAUUUUAUAGGGCGGGUGAUGACUUCUGGGGGUGGGGGGUUUAACUAAUUUAGUUUUUAUUUUGUGGUUUUUGUUGGAGUUGUUUAUAGUGGUUUUUGCAAUACCAAUUUGUUUAAAAACAGCAUGAUAUUGUGGUCUGUCUGUUUUAGUUGAUUGUAGAGUUAUAUAUUUUAGUGAUUCUGAUAAGAGUCCUCUGAUUCUUUUUUUAAUUUAGGCAUGAAUAAUAGUGAUUGUAGGCUUAUUUUAUAGUGAUUGUUUACAUUACAUAGAGUACUGUUAAGAUACAAUGUUAAUGUUAAAUAUAGUGAUUAAUCCACUAAAUAAGCUGAAAAACUUAGUGAUUCUAGUCUUGUUUUUCAAUGAUUAUAGGCUUUAUUAUGGAAAGACCAUUAUUGUCAUAUAAACUACUAAAAUACAGAGUGAUUGUAGGCCUAUGAUGAAUUGAUUGUAGCCCCUAGGGGCAUCAUGACAUAUGGGGGGGGGGGGGGGGGGAGCUUCUGGAGUUCUACAUGUCAAAAAAUGGCAUGUAUGUUUAAUCCCUUUCCGAGAUUCAUGUUUGCAGGACAUAGACCACAGCUUAGAAGAAGCUCCAAAAUAAGACAACAAAGUUUCCCCAAAAGUACAAGCACGGAAGCAAUAUAUCUUGUACAAUCAAGCAGUGCUUCAGAGCCUGACGAUAAUAUGGACCGCCAAACAAAGAUAUAUCGUAAGUCGGGAAAUAAGGCUAAAGUCACAGCAGGAAGACCAGUUGAAGAUCCUCAUCACACCACUGUAUAUCUUUGUUAUUGUUCUCAUAUACUUAAUGUUAACAUUUUACAAAAUUGUAUACUACUAAAAUAUUUAUUCUGUAUCUAUUUACCAGGAAUCAAGCGGACGUAACUACACACUAGCAAAUUUGCAAAAAAACUCACCACCAGUACUCUUAAAGAAGCCGCCCACCACAACCAAUGAUUGUUUCAACAACUACUUUUGAUGAAAUCCAUGACGACAACUUGACAAACAAUGAUUGUUUAAGAACUAGUUAGCUUAUUUUUGUGAAUACUCGACAAGCAAUUAUUGUAUGGCAAAUUAUCUGUCGUAUUCUAUCUUAAUUAUUCACUUUUUCAUGAUGCUAUUGUACAAGAGAUUCUAAACUGUUCUACAAGUAUCAAUUUUACUUUUAACUUCUUCAGAGGUUGCAAAUUCAGUUCAGUAAUAUGAGUAAUUUAAUUUAUGCUAUUAACAUGUUCCAAAUUUGUAGUAUGUGCUUCAAAUUUUACUAUAAUAUGUACAAAUCUCAAUCCAUUGAACUGCAAAUACAAAAAUAACGACUAAAAAACAUAACUACUGUUUUUAAAAUACAGCUAAACUUCAGUGAUUGGAACUCACAUUCUAGUGAUUACAACAUCACAUUUUAGUAGUUGGACCAUAAAAAAUUAAUGAUUGGAAAAUAUAUUUACUAUAUAAUCCACAAUAUAUUCAUUCAAAUGAACAUAAACUGUCAAAAACUAAGUAAUAUCAAAUUCAUACUAACUACUGUACAUUUUAAACAAAAUAUGACCACUUUUACAACAACUUUUCUUCAAUCUACACUUUCUUCAAUCUGUGCUUUCUUCUUCUUCUUAUCACAUGUCCUGGAGUCAUGAGUAGUUGCACCACACUCUUUGCAUUUUCUUACUCUUUUUUUGGCUUUCUUCUGUUCCCUUACGAACAUCAAAACCUCCUAAAUGACCAUAAUUCUUGUAAAAUAAAAACGCUUUUUCCAAGCUGUCAUGAACUUGAUUAACAGCUGGCACACAACUAAGAUCAACAACAGAUGGUAAAUAAUAUUUCCGUCCACCAGGAGACAAAACAUAGCUUGAUACUGAACCAUCAUUUUCACUAGAAGAAGGAUCACAACUCGCAUUUGAACUACUAAUAUGAGAUAAGUCACCACAACUAGAACCUGCAUCCGCACAUGAAUAACAAUUAAAAGCAAAAACUACACACACUACUAAUCAACUGCAUAACAAUUAUAAACCUAUAUUAUAUUGUAGUGAUUUACAUCAUCAAACUAUAGUGAUUGUAGAUUUAUAUUAUAGUGAAUAUGGAGUUACAUUGAACAGAUAACUUUGAUACACUACAAUAAACCACAAAAUUAGAUUAAGUUCAGCCAUAACAAAACAACAAUAUCUCACUGAACAAAACAAAUUUAUAUGUGACCAAAACACAGAACAAGUUGAAUAAUAAACCAAAACAUAAACAUGAAAUUAUCACUGAAUACCUAUAUUACUAAUUAAACUCAUCUGAUUUACUAGUUAACAUCAUAUAUUAUUAAAAACUACUAGACAUUCAUACAUAUGCAAAUUGAAAACAAGAAACUACAACUUUCAAACAAAACAUCUAGUACAUCAUCAUCUCCAUAUCUCCAUAUAAUCAUUCACAAUGAGAAACUACAAAUGUAAUAAAAAAAACUGUUAAUCAGCAUCAUUUGGCAAAAGAAAAAACAGUACAAUCACUAAACAACAUAUACACUACCAUCAUAUCACAAACAUUACACACAAGAACAAAAAACUGAAUUUACGGGGAAAAUACAUACUUGACCUCAAAAAAACAAAAAACCACACAGGAUAAGCUAAUUUCAACAUCAAAACAACACAUUUUUUAACACUAAAAAUACUAAACCGAAUUGCAAUAACAACAUUAUUAAAAGCGACAAUUGCAAAUAGUAAAUUAAACACAAAUUUCAUAUAAUCGAGGACAUGAAAGCAAAAAAGUAACUCUUGCCUUGAUUAUCACUGAUUUUGAUAAGAUCUCUUGUAAUCAUCGUGUACAACUUCAAUCACCGACUCCGACAAAAGCUUCAACACGAUAAUGAACGCCUCCAGUACGAUACUACCUCAAUUGAGCAUAAGAGCAAGCAUACGAAAAUCUCUCCAGAAGCUCGAAGAGAACGAGAUGAAAAUCUGAAGACAACAGUAACGAUAAAACAUGAGAGAGAAAGAGAGAUAGUAGAGAGAGAAGCAGCAACGCGUUAAAUGACACGUAAUCCAUAUCUUUUGUUCUUAUUUUAAAGCAAAUAAACGGAUGGCUACGAUUAAAACUAGCUACACAUAUAUCAAGGGCCCAGAUUAGUUCCUAGUUUUUAUUAAAAAAUAGGUUUGUAUUUGAACAAAAGCCUAUAUAUAUAUAUAAUAAUUUUUACCUAAGAGCUCGGUAGGAAGAAAAUUGAAACCCUCUGGUAUGUCACAGACAAAGUCCCCUGCAUCGUCAAUUUAUCAUAGUAACUUCCCCUCGUGUGCCGUAAAAUUCAAAUUUCCAUAACUAUUCGUAAAAAAAACAAGAGGAUAUUUGUGUAAAUAGAGGACAUCCACGUAUACAAACUGAAUGACACAUCACUUUUUUAUAUUACCUGAUCCCAUGUGAGCAUUUCUUGGACAACGUGACAUCUUUAGUCUCAACAUUAAUUUAGACAAGGAUAUGUUAUGCCCACCCUUUUUCCCACUCUUUACUUACCCCCUCCAGCUGUGAUUUUAUUAUUAUUUUUUUCUGCCCAAGUUUUUAGAGUUUUGAGAUUAAAAACUAUUAUUAAACUCAUGGUUAGCACAAAGUCAUAUUCCAUUUGUUGUUCAUUUUUCUGUUUAGUAAUCAUGUGAUUAUCCCCAUUUUAUAGAUUGUCUUUUUUGGUUUUAAUAAAGUUGCAAAGAUAGAGAGAUAAGUUUUUUGUAAUCAUACUUCAUGAUUCAAUAAUGUGAUUUUGUGUAAAAAGGGUCUUUGGUCAAAAGUGUUAUUCACUCUUGGAUUCUUGUUUUUGUGUUGUGUCUUGGUGAAAUGAGACUACUCAUUUAUAGUACCUAAAAAGACUUCAACUCUCUUUCUUGUGUUUUUUUUUGUACUAGUUUUGUGGUGUAAACAAUCUGCUUGCAGUUGAGGAAUCAGGAUUUUGGAUUAGUGGGAGCUGAAGUAGACUAGAUUGAGAUCAGAUGCAAAGAUGAAAUCUUUAAAUACAGUAGGGCUAGCUCUGAGUGUUGUGUUUGGGUGUCUUUUGCUAGCUCUUGUUGCUGAAAUUUACUACUUGUUAUGGUGGAAGAGAAGGUUUAGAAGUAGAGAUUUAGAAGAUGGUUAUAACAGCAGCCCAGCUACAAGAGAGUUCUUUUACAUGUUUUGUUGGAAAAAGCCAUCAUCUUUGAGCUCAACAGCUUUAAAUCCAGGGGAACUCACAGAAACUAGCAGCACCCAUGUUCAAGAAUCACUGUCAAAUGGUCAAUCUAGCAAGGACUUUUGGUUCAGACCAUUUGGUGAAGAUAGUGUAGAAGCUGAGCUCUUGGGCCUGCAGAAUCUCUCUGGCCCACCAAGAUUUCUGUUCACUAUCAAGGAGGAAACUAAAGAGGAUUUGGAAUCUGAAGAAGGUGGUGGCAAGUCAAGAAAGAGCUCAAGAACCAGGAGUUUGAGUGAUUUGGUUCUUAAUCCAGAGACUCCAUUUUUGACACCUCUUACUUCACCAUCUUAUUUUACACCUCCUAGAACACCUAUGGAUACUUUGUACAAUCACAAUGGAUUCAACCCUCUCUAUGAAUCAACAAGUGAUGCUGAGUUCAAUAAGAUAAAGUCAUCCCCACCUCCAACUUUUAAGUUCUUGAGAGAUGCAGAAGAUAAAUUGCAGAAGAAAAAGUUACUUGAAGAAGCUGAGAAUUGCUCUCAUAAGAAAGAAAGAUUUGUGACAGAAGAUGAAGAUUCUUCUUUUAUCACACUCAUUGUGCCUAGACAAAACAAAGAAAGAGACACAUUUUACUCUUCUAGCUCCUCACAGGUUCUUCCUCUGUCUGCUUCACCUCCCUCCUACAAACACUCAUCUAACAAGAAACCAUCUUUACAUUAUAAUUAGAGACAUUUUUGUUGUAUUUGUAAGAUUUCUCAUCUUAUUUUGUAUGAAUCUUUAAUUUUUCAGUAAAAAAAGUGGUAUUUAUUCUAGAUAAGUUUAAGAAUGAGCGAGAAUCGAACUCAGAACCGCAAUCAGAUAAACCAUGGCAACUUGGCUAUGCCAUUCUUUAGUUUUUAGAAAUCCUUACUGCUAGACUUUUUUAGUUAGUUUGUUUUUUGUUACAUGAGUGAUGAAGUUGAUGAUGCAAAUGCCUAGUGCUAGAGAAUUGCAUCCUGAAUUUUCAGAAGGAGACAGCAUUUCCUUAGAGACUUUAACUGAUUGUAAGUUUGGUGAAAUGAUGCCAUUGGAGGGGCUAGUGAGAAUGAUUUGUUUUUAUUCAAUCUAUGUGUCCCUUCAGCUGUGUAAUGAUUCAACACAUGUUAUCAUUCUUGUGGAUGAUGAUGCUAGUUUAGAACUCAUUGUAUGAUAUUGUCAAAAAGGUCAUUGUAUAUUCUUAUCAAAAUUUAAUGUAAAAUCAACUUUUUGUUGUCCAAUAAAUCUCUGUAAGCUGGGACUUAUCUAUUGUGACCAACUCAUUCAUCCAUAUCGUAAGUUUCAUUGGAGGCACUUGCUCCAUUUCCCGGAUGCUAGUGGUCCUGUCUCAGUUCUCAACCAGAAACUGCCUUAUAAUGUUAAUCGAUCAUCAGAACUAACCGAUUGACCUUUUAUCAGAAAUUUAUCAUCAAUUUUUUCGAUAAAUCAGAGAUUUUAGUCUGAUCGAAGUAUGAUCAGUAAAUCGGUAAAAUAUUUUUUAAUGAUCAAUCAGAUAUUAAUCGAGAAUCUUCAAAAUAUUCCUAAAACUUACGGAUAACUUUUACAACCGACAUGAGAUAACCCGUAAAUUUCGACGAAAUUUCUAACUUAUAAUGUUAACCAAUUUAUAUUCGAACAAAGUCCUUUCUUCAAAAUUUAAGAUUCUGCACCUUGCACUGAAGCUGAAGCAUGAGUGGUCUGCGAGCACUGGGGAUAAGGAAACCUCAUAGAAAAAGUGCAUGAGUUUGAUUGUUUGCAUAAAUUAUUAAUAUUCUAUAUUCUCUCGUUCUAAUAAAGUAUUGAAUCUUAUAGCACUAUAUUGUAGAAAAAUGUGAUAGUUUUGGUCAUUUACCUAAACAACAAGGAACGAGAAGCAAGCGUUCGUGACAAUAUCUGGUUUGGUAAGGCCGAAAGGCAAUGCACACACUGAAGAAUCAUUACAGAGUUUACUUUGACAGAGCACUUGUAUAUAAAUAUAUGUUGUUGAAUUUUGUGGGUGAAAUUUACAGGCUUUAGAAUAGGCGCCAAUCAUACACAUGGGUCUGUCUAAUGUAAAAUUAUUACAUACGAGACCGUAAGAUUAAAAAUAAAAGUUAAUUUGUCCAGUUUCUCAUGUCACGUUGCAGGAUUUUUCCAACUGUUAAAACCUGAUUUGUGAGGUUAAAAAAUGCAAGGUACAGAGUUACAGGUGAACUUUUUUUUCAUGAAGGUAAAUAUAAAAAGUAAGAGCCUGUUUGUCCCGACUUAAAGCCGGGAUUUAAAGUUUAUCCAAAUUUAAACUGAAAAAUGUCAGUUUGUGUAAUAAAUUAGAAGUCAGUUUAAAGUCAAAAAUAAGUCAGGAAGUUGACUUAAAGUGAGAAGUCAGUUUGAGGUAUUUUUUUUCAGGGACUUAAUUUUUUUGAACUUUUUUUUGAUAAAAUUUACCCCUAAGUCAUAAGCUACCAAUAAAUCAAUUUUAUUUUUAUUUUUAUAUUUUUAAUAACUUUUAAGUCAUUAGUAAGUCAAAAUUACCCAAACAUACAUUUAAAACUUUUAGUUUAUCACAUAAAUUUCGUUAAGUCAUAAGUCAUAAUUCCAGUCGAACGGGCUCUAAACCUAAAAGGCUUUUAAAGUUAUGUAUUACUCCCUCCGUUUCAAUUUACAUGUCCACUUUUAAGAAAAAUUUUUGUUUCAAAUUACUUGUCCACAUCAACUUUCAAUGCAAAUGUAUAUUUCCAAAGUCAAUUCUACUCCACAUAUCUUUUAUUUAUAUUUCCUAGAUCAAUCUCACUCCACAUAUUUUGAUCAUUUAAUGCAAUUAAUUUGUGAAUAUUCACUUUUCUUAAAUUGUGUGAUUUUUUAAAGUGGACAUCUAAUUUGAAACAGAGGGAAUAUCUAAUAUAUACACCGUCAUAUGAAUAAACAUGAUUAUAAAUUGUUUAUUUGUAAAGGAGGAAGAACAGAUAAAAGUCGCAAGGGACAUGAAAGAACACAUGUGGCCUGUUUGAUUUCUAAUUUAGUAUUUUAUGUACUCAUAUUAUAAUAUUUACUAACAUGCAAGUUCUACUGGGGGAGUGGACUGGUGAAAUAUACACGAUCACUUGAUUUUGGUUUGUGGACGGUUCAUUGAGAUUUGUUAAUUUAUAGAUUGGAAUUUCCCGACUUUAACUCUUUUAAAAGCUUUGAGAUUUAAGAAAAUUUUGAAUCUGAAGCUUUGAUUUUGGUAUGUAUUAUUUGUAUAUAUAAUUUGCAUGUAAUUAUUGGCCAACAUGUUUUCCGAGUAAUAUCAUUGAAAAAAAUUUAUGAACAUUUUGUUGGAUCAGACUUUUAUGCUUUUCAAUAUUUUUCAACAUAUCUGGCUGUGAUAAUGAAUUAUGAACCAAACCAACAUAUUCGUUAUAUCCCGUUUUAAAUCGGGCCUGAAGUGGGUAAAAUAUACCUCCUACCCUUUAACUUAACUAGAGAGGUGCUUUCUUUUAUCUCUCGUUUUGAGAGUCGACUCCCGUAUUAGGGUUUCAGCCGUCACUUCUCCGUCUUCCAGAUUUUCAUCUUCACACCAAUUAACCAAUUCGCUCUCUCAUCCCUUUUAUUAUUUUACUAGUUUUUUAAUAAAAACAAGAUCUAAUCUUGUUUGAGUACCUUGUUAUCAAGGUUGUGUGCCCAUCUUUUUGGGAUGUCAGUGUUAUGUUUUCGUAUUUUUAUGUGUCUUGAUGUGUCGUUCGAUUAUCAAUCUGAAAAGGAUUUAUACGGUAUUUUGGGAGAUCGGUAAGACUCGCAUCGAUUUCGGAACGAUGGUGGAUAUCGCAAGAGCUCACCUUUCACAACAAAUAAUUGUUCAUGUUUUGGAGACGUUUGGUGCUCCAAGAUCAGUUGAUUUGACUGAUAGUUCUGAACAUUGGGCUACAGGUGAUGCUUAUGUGAAGGUCAAUUGCGAUACUACUAGUUUCAUAACUGAUGUAGGUUGGAUUGCUCGAGAUAUCAUUAUAAUACUUUUUAGAUCAAAGAAUAUGAAUAUUCUAUUUGUUAAGCGAUCUGAAAACAAAACGACUAUUUGUUUAGUUCGUUCUUUGUUUCACAAUCAGAUUGUAAUUGACAGUUCGGGGGUUUGUCCUGGCUGGUUUUAUGCUUCGUAUUAAAAAAUCCUUUGUUUGUCAAAAAAAAACUAGAGAGGUGCUUUCCGUGAAAACUCCGACUUAGUGCAUAAUAAAUAAAACAGUGUGAUAUAAUAUUAAUAUAAUACAUUGACACAUGACCUUUUUCACAUGGGACUUACUUAAAUAGUUUCGAUUGUCGAUGAUGGGCGACAAUGAUUUGGAACCAAGAUAUCAGAACUGUCAUUGCACACUUUCUUAAAUUAACUUGAUUCCUUUUUGUGUAAUUCAUUAUUCUCCAUUAUCUACGUUGCUAAAGCAACAACCGCCAAUACACUAACUGCCAUCAUUCCAACGGAGCCUAUUUCUUUCAUGCCCUCACUCCCAUUCCCAUGUAAUACUAUUGUAGAUGCCGACACGAAUUCUGACGCUUCCACCACAAAAAUACGGUUGUCAAAUUUAGAAACAGCGUGAAACCUUGCCAAAUCCUUCAACAAACCAACAUCAGUAAUGAUUCAUUGGUAUGCGCGGGUUAAUAUAAAUGAUUCUAAACUAUGAACGUUGAUCCUAUUUUGAUAUAUAUAAAUCUAUGUAAAUGAAGAAAUUAUAAUAGUAUAUUGAUUUUUUUUCCUUUAAGGAAUGAUGAAAUCAAGUUGCAACCAUAAUUUCUUGAAACAAAGAAGAUAAUUGGUAUCAUAUAAAAUUUACUACCUCUUUCAUAAAAAUUCUUAAUAUUUAUCACUCAUUUUAAUAUAUGUAAAAGAGAUCUAUAUAUACUAUUUAAUAUGUAUUGUAAUUUUAUCAAAUAUAAAAUUUAUAUAGUCUUAAAAUAUUGUUUCUCGUAUCGUAUAUAUUCUAAUAUGUUAAACCUGUAAAUAAAUAGGUCGUAUAUAUUUUUUUGAUAAAUAUUUAAAUAUAUAUAAUUAGAGUUAAGUUCUAUGGAGUACACAAAAACAUUGGAGUAUUCGAGUACAAGUCUUAAUUUUUUAGUUUAAUCAUAAAUAAUAUAUUUGAUUAUACAAAUUUAUAUACAAUCUAUCAUUCAUAAGUUGUCUUGCACAUAAUUGUCUAUCAAUCUUUAAUAUCUUUCAACUUUAACAAGUAUUAACAUUAUUGUUCUGCUUAUUAGUUAUAUUGCAGAACAUAGAGUCCUGUAAUUUAUAAAAGUCAUUAUUCUACCUUUUGUUUACAAUGUUUAUGUUGUGUAGAACAUAAUGUGCAGGUUAUUAAAUGUUUACGAAUAUUAUUGAACAAAAAAAUUGAAAUUUAGAUGAAUAGAUUAUAUUUUAUCCAACUUUGUACUCCAAUACUCCAAUAUAUUGUGUACUCCAUUGAACUUUACCAUAUAAUUAUAAUAAAAAGUAUAUAUAUAUGUGUCAAAAUAAUGAAGAAAUCUAUAAAUGGACAUAUAUCGAUCAAAAUAGUUAUUAAUGCAAUAAUAUAAUUCAGUAUAAAUUAGUUACUCCCUCCGUGCCUCUCAUUUCUUUACACUUUUUUUUGCAUUGUUCGAUGAGCAUUUUAAGAUAGAAUAUAAUUUUAUAACCUUUUUCUGAAAAUUUUCUUUUCUUAUAAAAAUUUAGAUAAUAACUAUUUAUUCUGAAAAAAAAUUGAAAUAUAUUUUCAAACUAUAUUUUUCCCUUCCCCCGACGUAAACGGAGGGACGGAGGAAGCAGCUGAUUUGAGGUCGUUUACGUGAGCUCUCAGGCCCAUGUUACGGCAUGCUCUUUCUGAUCCGUCCAUGGAUUUCCAACUUUGGGUUAUCUACACGGGCCUGUUCAGCGAGUUUACUAUUCGAGAGUCAGAUAUGCCCACAUAUCGUAGUCAUAGUACCACUGUACUAGUAUGCAAGGUCGGAGCCCAUUCCAUAAUAUUUAAACUUCUGAGCUUCAUAUAUAAUGCCAAUGUCUAUACCAUUACUAGCCUCAAAUUAUAUUUUAAUAUUAUUUAAUAUAAAAUGUUCAAUUAUGUUGUGAAUUAUCAUAAUUACUUUGUUUAGUAUGGAAAGUGAAAACCAUCGUAAUUAUUUAGCCAAACACAAUAUAUUUCAAUUUUCCUAAACUUGUAAGAAACAGUACAUAGCAGUAUUCUUUGCGGAAGACUUGGUAAACCUUUGCUUGAUAAAAUGAAAAAAAAGUAAUUUUUCUAAAGUUUCCGCAUGUUUUUUAAAAUAUUACUUUAAAAUUUAUGAGAAGCAAAUCUCUAUAUAAAAUCUUAUAAAAGUUAAUUAACUUCGUGCAUUCUGCUUGCACGGUUUCAAAACUUUUAUCACAUUGUUGUUAGAUUUCUACAGCAACCGAACUUUUUCGCUAGCACUGUUUUGAGGGACACACCUUUUGAACAGGAUUCUAAAAUCAUUACUUACUCCGUCUCAUUUUACCAAUUUCAUGUAUUUUAAGUUGUUAAAAAAUUCACAUCUAAAUAUAAUUUUUAAAAAAAAAAUUAUAAAAAUCUAAAAUUAAAUUUAUAUAAGAAUUGAUUUUUUUUAUUGUGUGUAGAUAUUUUUUUUUACACCUCAAUGUAUUCAAUAUAGGUGUGAAACAGUCAUGGGAAUAACAAAUAUUUGAAACUUUAGUGAUAAUAUAUAAAAUAUUACAUAUUCCCUCAAUUAUGGCGGUAUCGUACACAAACCCUGUUGAGUAAACUGUAAACCAUCAAGACCCCCGCUAUCAUAAGUCAUAACAGCACUUUUAAGCUCUCUGAGCUAAUUUCACAAACACCUGGUGUGCGUUUUGCUGAUCAUCCAUGAAAGGAAGCAAAACAGCUGUAUCUGUCGUUGAAAAAUGCAAGGUAGCAUCCCUUUAUCCCCCUCUAAUAUCUACUUGCGCAUAUAUGUGUGUAUAUAUUUUUGAUAAUUUAAUUUUUAUUUGCUUAUAAUGUAUUAUGUUCAUUUUGUAGACUAUAUUGACAUCAAAUUGGCAAGGGAAUCUCAAUACCAUCAUGGCUGACGCUCAAGGAAGGUAUUCACUGUGCCCCCAUCACGCUGAAAAUAAAUUAUUUUGAAUGUUUGAUCAGUUACAUUUCUAAUGCAGCAAAGGGGAGAUUUAUACGUCGAAAGUUAAUUACUUCAUUAAGAAAGGGAAGCCGUACUUAUGGGUACCCGAAGAGGACUUGCACAAUGUGGUAUGCAACUUGUUUUUGAUUGGUUUAUUUUUGUGGAUUAUAUUAUGUGAAAUUUUUGCAAGCAUGUGUGUUGCUUGUGUUUAUUCGUAAUUAUAUUGGUGUGUUUUGUUAAGCUCCUGAGAAGUGAAGCAGUUCAUUGAAGUGUUUUUGUAGAUCGUUGUUUCUGUUAUAUUGUAUCAUAAACAUGAUAAUUUUAACUAUGUUGUUAUUACUGUAACUGUUAUUUUUGUUGUUAUCGGUGCUGCUUUUGAAUUUGGUUUGGGGGUACUAUAGCCUUGAAUCUCUAGUGCAUUUUGGCUUGCACGGAGAGAGAAAGUUUCGAAACAAUUUUUUCUGGCAGUGUAAGUGUGUAACCAAAAAGACGUGCCAGAUAACGGAAAACCGGUGAGUGGUGGCUAUCGAGAAGUAUGUGUAACAACCAAAAUAACUUAAACCCAAUUGUUUGAUUAAUGUAGAGUAAACCUCAGAGUUGUGGCCAAAGUUUACAUCGAUUUUCAAAACGUUGGCUAUAGUUCCAAAUUCUCAAAAAGAUGGCCAAACUUUGGCUUCGCUUUUUAAAAGUGUGGCUCUCGUUAAAUGUCACUAACGGGAGCCCAACGGGAGCUCAUUUUUAUCCUUUUGUUUAUUCCAAAUUCUCAGAAAAGUGGCCAAAUUUUGGUCCGCUUUUCAAAAAUGUGGCUCCCGUUAAUACAUUUAACGGGAGCCACACUUUUAAAAAUCGGAGCCAAAGUUUGGCCAUCUUUUUGAGAGUUUGAAACUCUGGCCAACUUUUUGAAAAUCGGUGUAAACUUUGGCCACAAUUUUGAAGUUUACUCUUAUAGUUGUGUGUAAGAAGGUGAGACAGGGUGAGACAUAACUUGGAAUUUGAGAUGAAUGUAUGUCUUUAAAUGGCAAGACUGAGUGUAAGAUAUCAUUAAUUGAAUGACUGAAGUACUGCAUGGGCAACUGUUUUCAUUUCUUGUUGUGUUGAAUAUUUAAAAAGUUAUUGAUGUCAAGUAAUUUGGCUUUUCAACCAAUUUUAGUGGAUUAGAGAGAAUCACUAAAUGAGUGAUCACAGUUCUCCAAUAACACAAUGAAAUAACUUUGCAUUUCAUCUAUAAAUAGCUAGAUUAGUCUAGUUUUAGGAUAUUUUACUACCAUUAGCAGUAGUGCUCUUCACUCCUGCUAGCACUGGAAUGCAAAUGUGCACAUUACUUAGCUGUACGACAUUUUUGAUACUAAUCGGAACCAAUUCCUGGUAAUGGCGUGUUAGUAUAGUAACUAACUCCAAGAAUCUUCUGACUAGUCAUCAAUCCAGACGGUGAAUGUAUCUGCAUAUCUUUCUCAAAAGAAAUUAAUAUUUGUGACUCCCGCCAGAUCAUCACCAGCCGCGAACCUAAACUUGGAUAAUAAUUUCAGAAGUAUGAAAUGUCGUUGUGCUUGAGCUUCGUCCAAAAGUAAUUGUUCUUGUGCAUCGAAAGUGAUUUUUAUAAGUUCUGUUUUUUUAAUUUUUUUGUUACAUAUAUAGUACUUGUGAUAUAAUUGACAGUGAAAUCAAAUCAAAUUUGUAAUUUUUGCAACAUGAAUACUGGUUAUUAUUUUUUCUUGUACACCUUAGUUGUUACCGAUCUUCUAUUUAAGCUUCUCCUUGACGAAUUUACAAACAUGUUAUUGGUUUGCUGCAUGGUUCAAAGUCGUGGACAAAAUUAACUGCUCAAUUUGACUUCUCUUACUUUUCUAGUAACAGUGUGUAGCUAAGUAAUUGAACUCGUCUUUGUGUCUUUUUAUUAUGUAGAAUACUAUCAUCGACGAACGCGGAUCAUUUGCUGUGGCCACACCUUUUCCAGGCCCGCUUUUAAACAUACUCCGGUCAAUGAAAAAGGUUUCUUGUAUAUAAUUCUAUUUCAUUCCAUUUCUUCAAUUGAAAUUAUCUCUUUUUUAUUGCAUAUAUAUAUACAGUAGCUGGCCAAUCAUAUAUGAACUUUGUAAAAUAGGAUCUUGGAUUCUUCAGACAAGUGACUUAAGACACAAUGACACUUUUAAUAUAACAUAUUAGAUGGUCUGUUAAAAAUAUUCUUGGUUAAUAUAUAAACUGGAAUUAGAGAAAAAUAUGACUUUUGGAAAAUAAUUUCCUAAAUAGCAUACAUGUGCAUCAGACAUGUAUCACUUAUCUAUAUUAUCAUUUUUUUAUUUUAUUGAUCACUCACUCAAACAAAUUUCUAAUUGUAAACACGGGCUCUGCAAUAGCACAUUUAUUAUAAUUUCAUGUAAUAUUGUGCAGUUACCACCUCGAGUUGCUCUAAUGGGAGACAUUGUUCCUCUUAAAGAUGAAAAGGUAUGAUAUCUAUUAAAUCCAUCAGAUUCAUAUAUAAAACUUCUUUCGAAUGACUUCGAAAAUUUUCUUAACUGUUUCCCUAGAACUGUUUUCUUUUGAGGUGAUAGGUCUGUACUCUGUAGCAUGACAUAGGAUUUGUCACAUUAACUGUUCUGAUAUUCUUCCAAGUUGGUGAUUCUUAUUCCUUUGGGGUUUUCGUCAUCUUAGAGUUUCUUGCUGUUUCAAGUGUUGGUUUUGUGGCUGCAGUGAAAUUUUAAUGGGAAAUUGCUUAAAUAAUUAUUCAGGGUACUUGUGUCGCACAACCUACAGUUACGCCCCAUUAAGUUCGAAGGAAAGAUCAGGGGGACAAUGGAAUGAAAUAUUUACUAUUCAUCAUAAGUUUAUUCCUUUCCUCAUUUUGCUCGAGCAAAUUUUGCAAAUCACACUAUAGCUCAAUUCUGCCAAUCAAGGGACCGAUGCUUGUUCCCAUGUUCCUACCUCCUGCUUACAUCCUUUACAACCCUUAUUUGUAGAUUAUUGGUGCCUGUUCUUGUUCACUUAUUUCUACUGUAACCUUUUAAUCCAAUCUUGAUUUCCUUGCAAUUUCUAAUUCCAUUCCUCCUAGCCGAAUGAAACAUAAGCAUUUAACAUGGUUGCUUGUACACAAGGGAUAACUGACGGGGACCUAAUUCUUUGGGAAUUUUUGUAUUGAGUUUAUUGCAAGUAGUUAUAGACUUUCUGAUGUAUUAUGCAACUUCUAAUUAUCGCAGGUAAAACUUGUAUUUUCAUGAAAUAUAAUUUAAUUUGUUGGAUUUGAAACUCCACCAUUUGAUUAGUCGCUACUCUGUGAAGCACCCCUAUACAUGUGAUGUAGGUUUAGCUUUUUAGGUUAACUGCUAGUAUUAACUCCGUAAUUUCUAUUUUCUUUCCGUCAUGUCGCAGGUUCAGUUAGCUACAGAAUGCCUUAGAGAAACCAUAACUUCUGAACAGAAAGCAUUUAAGGAAUCUAGCUAUUCAGUUUCUGGUGUAUUAAGCACUGCCAAUCUGGAGUCCACUUCAAGAAGCCAAAAUCUUCAGGAUCUCCUUGAUAGCAAUAAAAGCUACACAGUAUAUAAGUUGGAUUUAAGGUAGCAAAUUUUAUUAUUAUAUCGUUUACUUUAUACAAUAUUUCAUCAAAAUGUUGUUUUGUAUGGAACAUAGAAAGUUAGAGAAAAGUACUUGAAGUAUAAGACAAACACACAUCGAAGAGGAUAAACUAUUAAGCAAAGCAAAUUUAUCUGUUAUAUUUCGCUCGUAGAGCAUGAGUCUGGAGUGUAAGAUGUUUGCAGACCCUACCUUGACUAGUUGACUCAUGAAAGGAUAGGCUGUUUAUGCAAAGACCCUCAUCCCUAAGCCUUGACAACGCAAUUACAAUAAUAAAACACAUACAUAAAAGCAGUAUAGACACGAACACAAUACAGUAGGAGCCCUCUAAGUUAAUACGUUCUAAACCUAUAACUCUCUAAAUUGAUAAGAGGUCCCUGUCCCAAGUUGGGACCAAUAUUAAAAUUUAAUAACCCUUCUGUUGUGAUAACUAAUAUAUUUUAAGAUAAUCCCAGUGUUAAAUAUCGGUCCCAACUUUUGCAUAAAGUGAUGUUCUCGACUAUAUACAAUUUUGUAUACACUUUGUGAUCGUGAUUUUUUUUUUUUUUAAAUAUUUAUCGGUGCAAUUUUUUCUUGUUAAACAUCCACACCAUGUAUUAUUAUCUAAAUUACUUUUAAUUCAUCUUUAUGAUAUCUUUUAUGUCAUAUUGAUGAUUUUUUUUUCAAUUUAGGGAAUGUUAUUUAAAUUUAUAUGUGUUAUUUUGACCCCGGAAGCAUGGUUGUCAUGUCGGUCGACUAGUCGCGACUAGUCGGCGACUAGUCGAUUAAGCGAUGAAGGGAUGUCGACUCAACAUUUCGACUAGCUGAAUGUCGAUAUUUCGGUCGCCUGGUCGACUAGUCAGUCGACUAGUCGACUAAGCGGUCGACUAGUCGACUAUUUCAGCUACAGAUUGAGCAUUUUGACUUUUUUUAUUGCCGACUUCUUAUUGUUUCCACUUUCCAGCAGAAUGUGUUUACUGAUAUGUUAAUGGUUUCUGGUUAUGUGUUUCUUGCAUUCUGUAUUUCUAAUUUCUGCACUCCGCAGUUUGAUUUCUGUUACUGUUUGUUCUGCACUUAUGCAGAUUUCUGCUCUUUAUUCUACAGAUUAUUGCUUUUGCUCUGUUUAUUUGUAAUCUGCAUUGUGCAUAAAUAAUUCUGUACAUAUUAUUUCUGUAUAAUUUUGUUGUGCACUGCACUACCAGUACCAUACUUAAUUACAAAUUACAACACAUCACAGUAUCACACAAUUGUUAAUUUGUUAAUUGUUACAUAUUUUACAUGAUCAGAAGUACUUUGCUUUGUUGUUAUUUGUUAACUCUUUCCACUUUUCCGUCAUUCUCUUCACGUGUUCGAUCUUUAAUUCCUUAGAUUCUGGAAUAUAAUAUUGUGAAGGUGUCAGAACUUGGGAAACCUGAAUUACAUAAUGUAUAUAUAUUAUAUUCAAUAUAUAAUAAUAUAUUAUUUUUUGCCGACUAGUCUGCGACUAGUCUACGACUAAUCGACUAGUCAACUAGCCGAAGGUCCAUCGACUCGCUUCGACUUACCGACGUGACAACCAUGCCCGGAAGUGUUAAUGCAUAUAAAUAUAAGUAAAUCACUUGAAAAUAAUGGAUAUGAUAUGUAUUAGUAGGUAGAAUAUUUAUUAUAAUUAUUUUUAUCAAAAAAUAGAAACCUCUCUUAUAUGAUAAGUUGAUAACCUCUCUUAAGUGAUAAACUUCUCUAGUCCCAAAAAUAUAACUUUACAGGAUUUCUACUUAUAGAACUCUAUAAAGUGAAUACCAAGAGGUAAAAUGUCAAGCACUAAAUGGACGGAGAACAAACGGGAAGCAUAUUACACCAAAAGAAAUUAACCAUUAAGCACUCCCGUCCGCACACCCACCCACACUCCUAUACUACAUUACUACCAUCCCCUUUACCCCCAAUUACAGGAACUUUCAACCCUUUAGGAAUGUCAGCUGUUAUGUCCUCAAAUAAGGUUCAACUUUAGAUGUUGAUGUAAUGAAUUUUAGUAUUAACUGCUCCAUUCACCACGAUGAACUAUGUUAACCUUAACAAAUCUGCUUUUUUGUAAUUCUGAAAAUUCGAAUACCACAAAAUACAAUUAGUGUUGAAAUAUAAUGUAGUAAAUGGUUAAUUUUGCCAUUUGUUUUGUCUUUGCUUUUCUGUCUUUCGUGUUCCAAUUCUUACCACCUUAUUCUGAGUUCUUAUAUACAGUAUAUCUUAUUGCUUGUUUCACCCAUGUACUGUUUAUUGCUUGGCUGAGACUAGGGGUGAAUAAUCAUCUUAUCUUCUUAGUAUUUGUUGUCUGUUUUGAAAUUACAAAUUGAUUACCAGUACUGAAAGCUACUUUUUCACCUCCCUUUACUUUACAUGGUAAAUUAUUUAUCUAUGGUCAAAAUGGUAUCACCCUUUUAUUUCUUAAGUAUCUUUUUGCACAUUAAAGAUAUAUUAAUAAAAAGUUUGAGUUUCAGUUGAAACUCUGAUUGGAGUAAUCUAUGUGGGUGAGGUAACAAGGCAGAUAAUAGUUGUAAAGUGUUAAACACACUGUUCACAAAGUUUAAAACUUUCAUAGCAUGAAGCUUAAAGCUAAUCACCGUUGCUAUCCGAGGUACAAUUUUAGAGAUUUGAGACAAUGUAGGCCUGUAGGGCUCAAUUUUAUAUCUACCACUUAAUUUACUAUAAUUAAAGUAUGUACUAGCCAUGUGAUUAGCUAUUACUUAUCUACCAACUUUUAACAUUUUAAAGUCCUGGUUAUCUUCUUAGUCCUGGUUUGUCCGAUUUUUGGCCCUGGUUUGGUGUUUAUCAAGGCAAAGCCUUGAAUUUGAUAAUACUAGUACCUUGUUUGGGAUACAAGAUUCUGAUUAACAAAAAACAUAUAAUUGCUAUAUUUACAGUAUCAUAUGUAUGUACCUGAAACUCUCACAGUUAACCCAAGGGUCAUGUGUUCAUAUCUGAAAUUCCUCUACCGCUGUUGCGAUUCCGAUGAUGAUUCCAAAAUAAUCCCUACCCUAACUGCUUCCCCAACAUCACAGUUUUCAGUUACUGUCCAUUCAACUCGUGUCACCAAUUUUCAUCCCAAUAUUAACAUUUUUAUACUCUGGAACUCACUGCAAAGGAUUGAAGCAGUGGAGUUCCUAAAUAACAUUAGAUCUGUAGCAGUUCCUCAGACAUAUGUCAUUUCUAAAAAGCGAUAUGUUGUAAUAUUGUGAAACCUGAUUAUUUGUAAACCAUAUACUCGAAAGACAAUGUAAUGGGACUCAAACAGAUUGGUAAGUUUUGAGAUUUAUUCUUUCGGUAUAUAAAAUUAAUAUCAACAUUGAAGGAAAAUUUAUUCAUGAAGUCACAAGGUAAAAUACGUUCAAGCUGGAAAAAACAAUCAUGCGUCUGGCGUAAAAAUGAAAUCAGACCAAUUUUCCAAUGGAUUCUUACUUGGGAUACUAGGAUGACAUUGUUCAGUAUGCUUACUCCUGGUAGCGAAAUUAAGACUUUCAUGCAAAAGAGUUUUAUUCAUCCCGUAUUGACAUUACAAAAGGACCCUUGUAGAGAUGGCAGAAAAAACCGAUCCGAAUGGAUACUCGACCGUUUCGACCCGAAUGGAUAUUACCGAACCCGAUAUUUUGGAUUUGGAUUUGGAUACUAGGUUUUCCUUAUCGAAACCCGACCCGAAAUCCAAACCCGAUCCAAACCCGAAGCCCCAAAAAAAAUCAAAUAUAUAUAUAUAUAUAUAUAUAUAUAUAUGUGUGUGUAUGUAUACUAAUAUACUUUUUUUCAAUUUUAAAUCUACUAAAUUUUGUUUAUAUAUAUAUAGGUAGAGUGUGAAUGUGUAUAUUCUUGGGUUAUAGUGACUUUUUUUGUUUAACUAAUGAGUUACUUUAAAAUUUCAUACUCCAUAUAGCGAAGAUUUGUGUUUAGAAAUUAUUAAAUACUGUUCAAGAUUUUAUUAAUGUGUAAUAAUUUAUUAUUAAAGUAGUUUAGUUUUAAAUAUAAUGAAAUUUAAGGGCGAAAAAUCAAAAAUAAUAUUUUUACAAUAUUAUAUAAAUUUCGGGAUUCAGGUUUUGGAUAAACCCGAACAAACCCGAACCCAAUCCGAAACCAAUCCGACCCGUUGCCAUCUCUAGACCCUUAGUAUGUAAAUAAAUAGAUUUUAGUCGAAUCAGUAAAGGUUAAGUUAUUGAUACCACUUUCUUGAUCUGAAAACUUUUCUGCUAUGUGUAUCUCUCCGCAGCUCAUGUACUUACAUAGACAGCAACGGAAGUACCCAUGAAGUAGAUUUGGAGACAAUUAGAAAAACUAAAGCAGACGCUCUAUGUAAGUUCAUAAAAUUCUUGUCUUCCCUCCCCCCAUCUAAGCGAGUCACUCAUGAGCAGUAAUACCGUGUGUGUGUGUGUGUGUGUGUGUAAUAGUUGCUGGUAACUAUAAUAUUUUAGUUUAAUCCUUCUUAGUCCUUACGCUACGAAAUUGUCUUCUGUAGCACCUUUCUCUAUGAGUUUAAUCGAUGGAAUUAAUCAAAGUGAAGCAAGGAGGAGAGCACUGAUCUUUUUCUGCAUCACAUAUUUAAAUAAGAAUGUCAAGGUAAGUCAUUAAUCAUCAAAUUUCUGUGAACACCAAGGAACCAUGUAUAGUAUGCAGUGAGAUAUAGGAGAAAUCAAAUAGGGCUUACUUAAGGCUUUUCUCUGCACAUUUGAGUAAAUAAUACUUCCUCCACUUUCGAUGAAUUGAUAUAUGAAGUUUGGAAACAAUGAGAAAUUGGUUUGCUGAUAUUAUAAUAAUUUAGAAAAUUCACUAAUUAAAAAAGCAUGAGUUUUGUAGUUCAUGUGUAUACAGACAACUGGAAACUUGGGUAAAAGCCGCUAAAUAAUCUUUACAUUUUAUUUCUGGAGAGAAUAAGUUGAGAUAAAUGAUAAUUUGUGUGGUUAGUCAAUAAGUCAGAUAGUUGUAGUAACUGAUAACUCUAAUAUGAACACAUAUUUACAUAUUCUACGGCAAGGUUGCUAUCUUAAUGGGAAUGAGGAUACUAAUAUGUGUUCAAAGGCGUAGCUUGUGACUCACUCGAGUCUAGCAGAAUCAAAUAAGAAUUUCAAAUAAAUGAACUUGAGCCAUAUCUGAUUGAGGCAAAACAAAAAUUAAUUGGAAUCUGAGCGAGUUAUAUGAAUUCGAGUAGAAUCUGACAAUGUAAGUAUUCGUAGGCAUUUUAUUUGGUUUCACCCCUCUCCUAGUAAUUAAUAUGUGUGGAAUAUUAAAAAUUUGGUGCGUUCACUUGCCUAAAUAAAUUGAGGUUUGAGGUUGUAAUUUGAACACUUUACUUGCUGGAAAAUAAAUAUUGGAAAAUAUUACUAGUUCUACUUUGAAUCACAUGAUAACAGACUUGUACCUGUACUGUAAUUUAUGUAGUAAAAUAAUAAAUUGUGGCAACAUAUACUUCCUAGAAGGCUGAAACUUAUUGUAAAUUCUAGCACUGAUAAUUUGUAAUCCAUCAUGCAAGCUACAGAGAACUAAAAUGUUAUACUAUUAUCUCUGAUGGAAUAUACUUGAUCGACCAUGAACUUUCACGUUCUAGUUCAAAGCUAUGUGAUGUUAAGUGCAUUGCUAAAGUCUUGGACUAUCAAUCCAUAAUAAACUAUUGUCAGCAGUUUCCUAGAACCUGUUAUUCUUUCACCCAAGUUCUUUCCCUUGUAUCAUACGGAUUCCUUCUUCAAGUAACCUUUACGUUUCCUGAACAGGACGCGUUAAUGCUCUCUGCCGAUAGGAAAGGCUUUGACGUUCUAGGCAAGACUCUUGGGCCAGUGAUGAAUGAUGGUUCCCGUCAGUACCUGUGGGAAGAACUCAGAUUUGAGCUCAAUGAAGAAGCAAAAGAUAUUGAAUCAUUCUGUCAACAGCUUGUCUCAAUGGAAGUGGAGGCCCUUAAAACUGUCUCCAAGUUCAGUGGUAUAUGAUGCGCAUAGCCAUAUUCAUACCAGUAGUGGCCUAUGAGAAUGAGACAUGAUGUCUGCAAAAUUGAGGUAAGACUGGAGAAUUAGAUUAAUUUUGCCAAAAUAGUUGUAUGCUUCUGUCUUUGUAUACUACAUUUAUGAUUGUGUUUUUUUGAAAAAAACUUCCGAUCCUUGAAAUUUCUAAUCAAUUCGUCCAAGCCAGUUUUCUUAGGUUCAGCUCUCACAGAUAUACACGGUCAUGGACCUUUGGAUAUAUGAUUUGGUGGAAUUGGCUUGGGUUGUGAAACUGGUGUACCAUAAAUUUUACAGUUUAAGAUUUUCUAUUCACUUCAUUGUGCUAAGUCUGCAAAUUUGUCUGGUGGCUGCAAUACUCCAGAGAGAUUUACAAGUAUAGGAAAGGAUUCAAAGUGAUGAUCAGUACACAAUAAAAGCUAUGAUCUUGUACCACUAUUUUUUUAAAGCCGGAUUUCAACACAAUAUCAUAUUCUCAUGCAUGAUUCGUAAAUACGCAGUAAUAUGUAUAAUUUCGAGUAAAAUGCAUGACUGCUAUUGGGUUGGCUUCGGAACUUAAAACUUGUCAGUUCUGUGCAGAAAUAUCAUUUUGAACAAUGCAUGUAACAAAGAUUUGUCCUCGCUUGUUCAAAAUGUUGUUUUUUAUUUGAAAUUAGUUAAAAUCCAUAUAUUUUUUUGUAUUUCGUGUUCCCGUGUCACGUGUCAAAUCGUCGGGUCUAGAAAUAAGUCAUGCGACAUAAACCCUCAAAGAAAGACUUCAAGACUAUAAAGUCCGUUAACCACAAGAAAUGGAUUACUAUCAAAUAUAGAAAAAAAUGGGGGUUUACUAUGAGCAAACUCGUGCGUUUACCAGCUUCUUUUAUACAUAUAAGAGCCAGGCAAGAAAUGAAGAAGAUGAAUGGGGAGACCAUUCAGAAGUGACGUGGCACGUGAAGAAAAGCAGUAGGAGACUACCAAGUCCGACCAUAAGCAUCUUCUGCUUGCGGUAGAGCCUCCUCAGCUCAAACUAUAUACUUUAUAUAUCUUACUUUAUCAUAUGUGUCCAGUGGUGAUAUCAGACACGACUCGAACCCGACCCGAACUUGUAACCCAUUUACUGAAACAAAACUCGAAAGUGACUCGAAAAUUACCUUCAAUUUUCGAAAUUUUCAAUUUUCAGUUUUAUUUAAUUUUAGAUGAUUUUACCUUGACCCGAAAUCGACCUAAUUGCUGACAUGAACACGACUCGUUAUCCGAAAUUGCCACCCUUGCCUCUAGUAAAGUUCAUACUGCCCCAUAAUUUCGUUGUUAUUUUAUUUUCCGCAAGGCUCAUGUAAAUUGUUUCUGAUGACCCCCCGCCCCGCCCCACAUUUCUUGUUCAUGAAUGUAGAUGUAUUGCCGGUGGCAAAAUCGACCAGGAGAUUCCAGCCUAAUGUUUGUACAAUUUGACUUUAUUAUUUAAGUAGUUUUUAUGGUCUUGAUUCAGUUAUAAGGAUUUUAUGGUAAUGUAUUUCUUCUCGAUUGUUCAAAAAAAUAGUUGUAAUACUAUAAUAUGUAUGAGUAAUGUUAAGUACAUCAAAAUCUUUUCCCAAAUUUAAUAAUAUUUUCGCAAUAUGUGAAAUAAUAAUAUUUAAAUUUGCGGGACGAGAUUGGAAUUAAGAUGAACAUGAUCACAACAUCCAGCAGUCCCUUAUUGCAGCUCGAUCUUUAAAAAUUCCGUGCCUUGUAAGAGUGAGAUUCUCUCCCAAACACGUCACAUUCAGAUCUCUUUGUAGCAAAAGCAUAAAUCACGAACAUCAAGCUCAUAGCAAAAUGUUGUGGAGCCUUACAUAAUAUAUAUAUUCAUGCAUAUGUUCGUUUGCAUGUGUAUCAUGUCUUGAGGGUCGCAUCAGUCGGCUGCACAUAUUUUCAUCCCCUUUCGUCACCGGAAAACUUGGAGCUUCAUAGUUGAGACCUGAAUGUGUUUUCAAAUUUUGGUCACGACUAGGGUACUCCUGUGUUUAGAAUUUUAAAUAAAGUGAUGUGACACUUUUUAUGUUUAGACGCUUUUUUGAUUUGGUCUCAAACAAUUGUUUUCUGCAGUAUGCAUUUUAAAGUUCGAAAAACGCUUCGCUUUGCACCCCAUGACCAUUCUCCGUUUAAUUGACCGUUAAAGUUAACAGAUUUCAGAUUUUCAUCAGAUUUUCAUUUUGCACCCACAAGUAUAAUUUUUUUUCAUGAGCAUUUUGAUUUUUUUUUCAUGAAUCAAAAAUUUGUUUAUCAUUUUCGUCUGCUAGGAUAUUAAUAAUCCAAAUUAUCCGAAACUUAAUGUGGAAAACGAUACAUGCAGAUGGAUAAGCCCUCUAUACUCGGGGAUGCUGCCCUAUUGUUCUUAUCGUAAGAUGAAAAACAAUCAACAUCACCGCAAAUGACAAGAACAUUUUGCAUUCAUGAAAAAAAUAUAUUUCAAAAUACUCAUAAAAAAAUUAAAAUUGUGGGGUGCAAAGUGAAAACCUGAAAUAUGUUAACUUUAACGGUCAAUUAAACGGAGAGUGGUCAAAAAAGUGCAAAGCGAAACGGUUUUCAAAUUUUAGGGUGCAUACUACCAAAAAAUUUGUUUGAGACAAAAUCAAAAAUGCGUUUAAAUAUAAGGAAUGCAAAGUGUCAAUCACUCUUUUAAAUAUAUAAAUGAAAUUUAGAGAGCUAGCUAGGCUGUAUAUGAACUUAAAUGUAAACCCGAUUCAUUCGUUUUCAUGUCUUAACUAGGAAAAUUUAAAGUGCAUGAGUAUCAACUUAUAAACCCCAUCCAUUUAUAUAUAUAGUCUUUCUCUGUGUCCUAAUUUAUUAGAAAAAUCUAGUGCAUAUUUGGCAUAGUCUGCUUCUAACUUUUUUCAAUAAGAAACCUGCUUCUACUUUCCAUCACCCGUUUGUGUAAAAAAUCAGAAGCACUUAUAAAAAACUAAGAAUACUAACUUUUGUUUCGGACUUCUACUUCUUUCCAAAAUAGUUUAAUCAUUUAUAAGUCUUAAUUUACUUCUCACUUAUAAUCCACUUCUUUAUUUUAAGUAAGUAAGAAGCAUUUUUUUUAAAUUUAUCCAAGCGGGCUUACUCUAGUUCCCCCACCCCAGAGAUCGACAGAUCAACUUUCUCAAAUGUUAUACUCUAACAUUGCGUUAACUUAGAUGGAAUAAAAUGGAAAGAGAAUGUAAUGAAAUUUAUGCUGGGGUAAUCGAAAAAAAGUCUAUAAGAUCAAUUUCUUCUAUCAUUACAUUCCAAAAUAUUUAAAUAAGAAAUUUCAUGUGUUUUAGAAGGAAUGCUCAUUUCACUUCUUCACUAUAAUUUUUUAUUAAUAGAAAAUUAAACUUACCUAUAUUUAGUUAAUUACUACAUUCUCCUUCUUUUCUUUUUCUUCAUAAUACUUCUUUGAUGUUUCUCAUAUUUCAUUUCAUCCAAGUUCAUUUCAUCCAAGUGAAUACAACCUAACUGUGCUGUGAUCAUUACAACUUUAAUCCCUAUCAUAUAUAAUGUUAUAUGUGUGACCACUACAACUUUUGGUAACCGUAUAAAAUCACAUAAGAAAUCUUCCUCAAAACCCUAACAAAAUUUAUAACUAAAGUGAGAGUGGGCUAUAUAUAUAGGUAGCCAUCAAGAAAUAAAUAAACAGACACACACUUCUUCCUUUAUCUUUUCAUCCUCCACUUCUUGCUUUCUCUCUCUCAGCUUUAGUGACGCAAAUUUCCACCAUAAACCACCCAAACUUUAUCAAAAGAAAGAAAAGAAAGAUUAAAAGAUCAAAGCACUAUGGUUUUCUCAUCUGUUCCAGCCUUUCAAGUACUGGAUCCUCUCAAUUGGCAAUACCAAGUAAGUUUUUACAUUUAUCUCUUCAUCAUGAUUAACUUUAUAUCUACUUCUUGGAAAAAUUUGGAAUCUAGUAGCUAGUUGUAAGAUGUGUAUAUACUCUUAGACAUGUUACAAGAAAGAAUUCCGCACUUUCACAUGGACUUUUGACACCAAAUUUGUCGGAUUGACUUUAAAUUUAAGUAUGAUAUAUAUAUAUACAGAGAAGUGCUCAAAUACAAACUAUAAUCGAUUGGUUUUGGCUUUAAAUUUACAGCCACCAGGAGGAUCAGUAUCGGAUAACAAUAACGAUGAUAGCAAUCACAACCACCUCACACUACCACCUAUGCCUCCGUCUCACGGCCUUCCAAUCGGGCCUAAUUCAAUGGCAGAGAGACCUAAGUUAACAAAGCUUCCACCUCAAGAAACAGCCUAUAAAUGCCCGCGUUGUGCAUCCACCAACACGAAAUUUUGCUACUACAACAACUACAGUCUCUCACAGCCAAGGCACUUUUGCAAGGCCUGUCGUCGCUAUUGGACUAGGGGCGGUGCACUGAGAAAUGUACCUGUCGGUGGUGGCUUCCGGAGGAACAAGAAAAGUAAAAGAAUUAGGUCAAAGUCUCCGAUUACAUGUAAUAGCUCAGCAAGUGGAGUUUCUUCUGGUAGCUGUACCACGAACAAUAUUUUAGGUCAUUCAGCCCCUUCAAUUUUACCACAAUUUCCUUUGUUGCCCUCGAUGAAAUUCACUGAGAUUCUUGGAGCUGAGGAUAUUAACAGCUUGAUUUUCCGGGGAAUUCAGUCCCCAGCUGCCGCGUCUGGUGAGUAUAGUGAUCAAUGGAGAUUGCAGAAAUCCGCUGUUGCGCCUGGAGUACUGGAACCAUUAUCAACAGGAGUGACGUAUCAGUUUCGAGGUGAAGGUCUAGGGGAAGCUACCACCAGUCAGCAUGAUUUUAAGACAGCAGACUAUUCUAGUGGCCCUUCUCAAGCUGAGUUGAUAAAAUUUGGAGAAGAUCAAGGAUUCAUGAGUUUGCCGAAGAACGUUUUGGAUUUUCCGGGGAAUGAACAACAAGAGUAUUGGAGUUCUGUCUAUGCAUGGAAUGAGCCAAAUGGUUUAAAUCCUUCUACAGGUCAUCUCUUGUGAUUUAAAUAAUUUUUUGUUUCCUUCGAAACCCUAUUUUAUCCAGCGCUGGACUAUAUAUUAUUUUUGUUUGAUUAAUCUCGUGUGUUUGAUGUAUAUUGAAUAUAAAUCUCUCUGCUAUCUUAUACAUGAAGACUACCGUAAUUUAAGAAUUUGUACUCAGAUCAAGGGUGAAAGAAGCAUUGGCCGAGUGAAUGAACGUGUUCUGUUAUUUCUACGACUGAAAACCCUAAUGAAGAAGAAUGGAUUAGUAUGUUUGUUUUGAAUUUUGAUAUGUAUUGAUCUUCUCUAUAAGAAAGAUAUUCUUGUGUAACUACAAUUUAAGAUCAACAUAUCAAGGGGAUGAAUAUAUGUUUAUUUAUAUAUAGUAGAUAACCUUUGAGCACUGAUAAUUGGUUCCUGCAUGCGUACUUUUAUGUUGUGUCUGGUUAAAGUGAAUGAAUUAGGAGAAACGGAAUGAAAUUUUAAAUAUGUUAUGGACAAUAUAAUUGUUUAUAAUUUUCAUUCCUUCCCCCAUUCUAUUCCUCCUUAGCUAGUAAGUACUUUUUACGAGUAUAGGCUCGUAAAAAUGUUUCAUUUCCACAGAUGUGUAGGCAGUUGCCAGUCACUCCCCAUGCAUGUUUGUUCAAGCAAAUAUAGUAGUACGUCUAGUAGUCCUAGCUCGAUGAGCAUCAACUCAUAAAGAACGUACUGAUGAAUUAAAUUUUGUACUUCUCUCCCAUGCCCUAAAACAACCCUCUUUCUUGGACAGUUCAAUUCCCAAUGUUGAAUAGUAAGAUGAUCACUUCAGAUUCAUCAGCUUUUUAUGGUGGGAGAUAGGUGUCGUCAAAGUGGAGUAUUCGAGUAAUUAAUGAGGUUCGGCCAUGCUUGAAUACUACUCUACUCUCCCUUAAUUUCCUUUCUCAAAGCUAGCUUCUGGUAAUUAUAAAGAUCGACAAUAAAAGCCUAUUCUCCAGUACACGCACUCUCCUUUAGAUUCAGCACUUCUGUGCAGGGUAAUAACAUAAAUUGGGACCUCAAUGUAUCCCAUGUUUUAGUGUUCGAUUAAUUUGCAUUUUAGCUUUCCUAAGUGAGAACUGAGAACCUCAUAUUCAUCAAGUCGUAGGUAAAUAAUUUACAAUACAUCUCUUUUUGUGAUACAAUAGCGUUUCCAUUCUUAUUUACCUCAACCUCAUAUUCAUCAAGUAGGUAAAUAAUCUACGAUACAUCCCUUUUUGUGAUGCAAUAGCGUUUCCAUUCUUACUUACCUCAAUUCGACUAUUCUCAUACUCUUCAUUCCAUUUUCAUUAUCAUCCGCCAUCGGACAAUGCCCUUAGUCUAGAGAAGCACAUGAAUGUCAGUGUGAUGGGAAAUAAUUUUGUAAGAAUGAUACAACAAUGAUCCAUAUAUAUGAUUGAGACAUAAUUAAAGUGGUGGCAAAAGAGUAAUACAUAAAGAAGAGCCGCUGAGUGUAACAACUACAAAUUAUUUAGUAACAGAAUCUGUACUUAAAGUUUGUUGGGGCUGCCAAUUGCUUUUGUGAUAACCAGGACAAGGCAAAGGCAAAGCAAAACCUCGCCCCCCUCCCCCUCUGUCAAAAAGCUUCUGCGCAUAUAUUACACGCACGCACUCGCUUUCUAUCAAUGUGUGCAUGAUUUGUGAAAUAAUUUAGCGAUGGUUGUAGUGGUUGUGUCCAUUUGCUGAAGAUAAAAAAAUGUGGGGCGCGACUGCCACACAAUCACUUCCUACACCGUAUUUUUUAUCUUUAAAAAACACGAUACUUAAUAUGAUUAUCAGCGAAUUCUAUGAAUAUACCAGAUAUUGAGAUUAUAUAUCGAAUAUUAUUUUUCAAUGUCUUUUAAUAUUGAGUCUAUUUUAAAAAUAAGGGUGAGUGUACAAGUCCGGACAUGUUUUGUAUAAAUAUAAUUCAGUCUCGGUUAGAAGAAUUGAACACAUAUCGGAGCAAGAAAAAAAGAUGUCAGCCUUAUCGGAUAUAGGCUGAUUAAUUAAAUGUAUACAUGAUAGUUUUAAAUCUUGCAGGUGAUAUAACAUUAAAUAAGAAAAAUGGAGGACGGCGUAUUAAAGUUGUUGAGUCUUGAUCCAUGGUUUAGAGAGUAAGUUCACUUUGAAAAAAUCUUGACUUUGGUCUCAUGGCUUACAGUGGGUCACUUCAUUUUGAAGAAUUUCAUAGGCUAUGUCGACUUCAAUCUGAAGUGUUAUGUCAUUUUGGUUUGAAAAAAAGGCUCGUAUCAUUCGAUGACAGAGAAUUUCAUGACAAAAGCGAGUAUCAUGUUUAGAAAAUUAUAGAUCAAGAUACUAUUUAGUAUUUACAUAUAUAUAUAUAUAUAUUACACUCACACACACACACACACACACACACACAUAUAUAUAUAUAUAUAUAUAUAUAUAUAUAUAUGAGGUCGAAAAUGACAUUUGAAAACUGAAACUUGAAAUCAGGAAUUCAGUGGNNNNNNNNNNNNNNNNNNNNNNNNNNNNNNNNNUCCCUACACUUUUAUAAUAAAGACAUGGUUUUCGUAUACAUUUUACCCUUCCCACACCUUAAUCUAAGUGGGAUAUAGUUUGUAUGUUUAGUCUGGUUUAGUUUAUCUUUCAGUAAAUAUAAACACAUUUACGAGUUACGACUCAUUCUUGAUUUUUUUUUUUUUAAAUUCGCUCACCUAAUCCUAAAAAGAAUUAUCUAUUAAUUUACUGAUUAUAUUUCGAUUUAGCUAAAAAUUCCUAUUUAUCCAAUUUUUUUUAAUAAAUUCUAAAUUAAUAGAUCAAUCGAUUAAUUUCGAUACUAAUUUUUACGAAUAAUUAUAUAUGUUGUCACAUCGGAGCUUUUAUUUGUGUUGCAUGUUCUGCUCCGCCCAUACCAUGGUCGAUGUACCCUCCUUACUUCUGAUGAUAAACAUACUAAUUAAAUGUAGUGUAUGUAUGUUUCUCUUUUGCUAGCCUAUUGUUUCUUUAAACAUUCAACCGGUAGUCAUUCCAAUUGUUCAAUUUUAAGCAAUAAUAAUUAAAUUAUUCGAGGACUCUCAACACUACAAAAAAAAAAGGACAAAAUCGACCGGAUAAAAUCGACUGCCUAAAAAAAAUGUCAACUUAAAAUCGACUGGCAGCAAUCGGUCGGUCAUGAGACAGCACGACAUCGUUUUGCCUUGCUGACAAGUUCCAAGAACUCUCGUGAAUCGGAGAUAUGCUCUUUCUAGCUCGCUCGUCCGCUGAGAGAUAUAGCAAAAGAUAACGUGCAUGAGAUCAGGUAGAUUAGUCCAACACAUUCGUUUUAUAAUAUUAACACUUGUGUCUUGGUAAUUAUAUAUCUAGCAAUUUUACAUACGCUACGCGUUUGAUUGUGAAGCGAGAAGCAGUUGACUAGGCUGGUAUAUCAUCCAGCGACUCCUUGCGAGUUUCCGUCUCACAUUACUAAAUUACUGUAUUUUCCUAUCACGAAAAAGACGCGAAGAACUCAUAUAUUAUUCUACACUUAAUUUUUUAAAUUUUGUUUAAAGUAAACUUCAGAGUUGUGGCAAUGUUUACAUCGAUUUUCAAAACGUUGACUAGAAUUCCAAAUUCUCAAAAAGAUGGUCAAACUUUGAUUUCGCUUUUCAAAAGUGUGGAGUCUAAUGAGAGCCACAUCUUUGAAAAACGGACCAAAAUUUGGCCACUUUUCUAAGAAUUUGGAAUUCAUUUUUACCUUUUUGUUACAUUCCAAAUUCUCAAAAAAAUGGUCAAAGGUUUUCUUACAUAACAGCGUGGUCUAGGAACAAAUGAUGCAAGUCGACUUGUUCAUUUGGAGUUUUAUGCAGCUUCUGCUAUUAUCCGAUAGUGAUCUCAUUUUAGCCUUUAAGCUCAAGAGAAAUUUCUGUUCGCUACUUCUUCAAGCAAGUUGCAAAUAUUUAGCUCACAACCACAUCACUAGUCAACCAGAGCAGCUGUCAUAUAUGUUUAAUUUAUCUUCAAAAAUGUAUUCAUAUUUGUUAAGAACUUUCUUUUUAUUUUUUUUAUUUUUAAUCAUCGGUCAACGUACGUACGAGGCAGUUGACCACAAGCCUGGCUAAACAUUCAAAGUAAACCCUACAAGCUGGAAGAUGCCCAGUACUUAUAAAUCCAUCAUUUUUCUCAAACUCAAACGCUGACUUUACACUAUAAUUCUAUAAAUAUAACAAGAACAAGUGUACAUAAUUCACAAAACAAAAAACACACAAAUUUUCUACACUAAAGAGAUUAUACAGUUGACAUAUAUAGCUGAGGAUAUAUGGCACCACCUCCAACGCCGCCCGUCGUAGCGCCGCUAGUAAAACUAGUGGUGAGAGUGCUUACUUUCAUUUGCUUGCUCAUAGGACUCAUCAUCCUCACCACCAACACCGCCUCCAUUUUCAUCAACUUUGCGGAAUUUAAGAUCCGUUUCCAGGAUGUUAAAGCCUAUAGGUAUAAAUCUUCAUACUUUUUUUUUUUGCUAAAUAUAAAUCUUCAUACUUGUGUUUAGUAUUUUCGGAUGGAUCCUAGCUAGUUUAAAUAAAAUAACACACAACAAAUUAAUACGUAAUUAUUUAAAUACAUUGUCAUCCAAAAAAAGUCUGUGACAGCGGGUACAAUCCUAGUUUUACGUAUUUAGUGAUGAAUUAUAUAUAUUGAUCAGGUACAUGCUUGCGACUAUUGUAAUUGGCAUCGCGUAUACUCUCAUGCAAACUGCACUCACCGUCUAUGAAGCAACCAGAGGAAACCGCAUUGGUGGCCAAGGCUUCCUUCUCUUCGACUUUUACGGUGACAAGGUAUUCACACCGAGAACUUCAGAUUUCAGCACAAAAAGAUAAAUAUAUCCAAAAUUAAUUAAUUGAGAAUUAAUGCAAACAUAAUUAAUUCAAAUCUGUGCAAAUGUGCAGUUUAUAUCGCUGUUGCUGGCAACGGGCACCGGUGCAGGGUUCGGCGUGACAGUAGACUUGAAAGAUCAGUAUGGCGCAAUAACUUCGGGCUACGACAAGUUUUUUGACAAGGGUUAUGCUGUUUCUAGCAUGCUUCUCAUUGCAGUUCUCUUCUCGGCUGUUUCUUCUAUUUUCUCAUCUUUAUCGCUGCCUAAGAGAGCUUAGUUCCGUUAGUGAGUCUUGUGUUAAUUCAUCGUUGUAUUUAGAUUUGAAUACGAUAAGUUUCUGUAAUUUAGAUCAUUUGCAGUUGUUGUACUUCCAAGAUUAUUCAUUGUAGUAUUUUAUAUUCAUUGUAUUCAUUGUAAUUGUUGUAUUAUGUUGUCAUGCAGCAAGAGUUCAUAAUCUCGAAUAAAUAUAUCUUCACGCAAGACUAGCUAUUAUGGUAGUUUAUAUGAAAACUGAAAUGAAAUUCCCUUGGUAAAUAAUGUUCAUGCGAUUCAUCUCACUAUUACAAUUUACAAAGGUCACAAUUACUAAAAAUUUGGAGAAAUUAAGGAUUCUCUGAUUUGAUGAUAUCGGUCCUCACAAAAUGGGUGAUCUUCUGUAUAUCCAUGCCGAGAACUGAAUCCAGAAUCAGUUUUUUCCCUUGCAUAGUCCGGUAUGAAUCUGUAACCUUCGGAAAAUUCUGGUAAAUUUUGUACUCUUUCGUCGAAAAAAUAUCUGUUGUUUGGGUCGUCCUUGUUGUUUUGGGAAGUAUUGUAAUGUGAAUUGCAUCUUCCGUAUUGUUUAGAGUUUGAAUCUGCGGAAAUAGAACGCUGGCAAAAACUUCCUGAACCUUUUAUCCCACUUGUUAUCUUUCGAGCUUUAUCCCUCUCUUGUUUAAGAUAUGACUCGUCUUUAAGCAGCUUCAGUAUUCUCUCAGAUUUGUUUCGGACACUUAAUCCCCAGUUGAACCUGCAUCACAAGUUAACAUGCAUUACUGCCACAAGAAUACUGCAUAUAUGCGUUGACCAUGUUGACGGGACCAUCAUGAUGUGGUGGCCUGGUGGGCCCCACAAAGCUGACUUGUCAAUGAUGCAUGUGUGAGUCUCGACCCACGUGUCAUUAACAUAUGAUGACUUCUUGAUAGAUAAUAUUUUUAAUAAAUAAGUAUAUGUGGUUGUACUGAGACUCUAAACUCAACCUCUUAUUACCGAGAGAAAAGAGAUAUCCAGCAAAAUACAGUGCUAGAAACUCAACCUCUUGUUAUCGAGAGAAGGAAAGUAUUUAUUAGAAUAUAAGACUUGAACUGAAUAACCUCUUGUUAUCGAGAGAAGAGAGGUAUCCACUAAAAUACGCUAGUUGAAACUCAACCUCUUGUUACCGAGAGAAGAGAGGUAUCCACUAGAAUACACCGUAAUGGAUCAUCUAUGAAAUAAUCGCAAUUUGUGACAUUAGCUAAUAGAAAUACUCACCCUUUCUCAUCAACAAAUUUGAGGCUUCCCAUCUCCCAAAUAAUGUCUUUAUCCUGCUGAAAAUCCUCUGCAACUCUCUUGGGACCAUGCGUUAGAAGUCCCUCCAGCAAAAUAAGCGCCUUAUAUGAACACUGCCACUGCUUUUUGUCGUACAUCCACAGCCUGCUAGCACAAAAAAAAUUCAAUCAACUUUUGUGAUCCUUCUCUAAAUUAAUUAUUCUUUUCACAAGCUAAAAAGCAGCAUAAACCUCUUAUGCAGAACGUCCACAAUUCUCCAGUACUCAUCAACUUCAAACGCUGCACGCGACAAGAAUCUGACAGUUCUACUAUCCAAUGUCAUCAAACUUCCAUCCGUAGCCUCUUCCGUCAGACUUCAACAGAACAUGCACAUGUUAACAGAAAUAAAAAUUGAUAAAAUUCGAUACAGAAAAAAGAAUUUAACAUACAUUUCUGCAGGUGUAACAUCAGUGAAGGCGAGCCUGGCGACCUUGAUCUGUUCUUUGAAGAAGAAAGAAGUCUUUCUCUUGAAUUCAUGUAAGGAAGGACUAGCCAUUGCUUGAAUUCUUGUAGAACUUCAGAGAAAUACUUAUGAGAACGUAUAAGAAGCUAUGAUCUGUUAAGAAUGCAUGUUAAGUAAAUAUGGAUGCUUAAUUAUGUAUAAAUUUAAUAAUAAUCAGAUAAUGCAAGUUCAACUGCUCCAUUACCUUUAGGCUUUAACUAAUUUUACCAACUACAUUCUCUAAGUGGAUUUGCAUAUGCAAUGAGCUAGACGCGACCUGAUAGAGACAAAUUAAUGGUUAUUGCAUUCUUUUCCUUAUCAAACAAUUUUUUUAAUUAAAUUCGAUGAUCAAUUUCUAACUUCUGGUCUGCAUUUUCCAUUUAGUACUAUAUAUGAAAUGCAUACAAGUAGAGGUUGACAAAUAGUAGAAGUUAAGAUACUGACUAGCAUUUGAACAAAUUAAAAACUAAACAAAAUUACAUCAGACACUUUGUGUAUAUUCAUGAGAUAAAUCUAAUAAUUUUGUGAUGGAUUCUUGUGGAUACAGAUCAAAUGGCAACACAACUGACAAAUGGAGGUCGAAAGCCACUUUGAAGUGCAUUGGGAACUUGUUUUUGUUUAAUUUCAAAACAGGUACCAAAUUUUGAAGUCCAAAAAUACCAAACAGGACCAAGAUUUUUUGGCUUUCAAUAGAAUUUCGCCGUGCCUAAAUUCUGAUCAAUCCUGUUGUGAUCUUGUAACAUUCUAGCCCUCUCAUCUCACAUGCUUGCAAGAGUCUCCUUUCUUUUCUCCAAAGCUUGAGAGUUCAUAUACCAAAACACCCACAUCGAAAACAAGGUUCCAAUCAGCACCCAUGUCACCAAAAGAUUCCUCCACCAGCUUUUUCGAAAUCUCUUUAGACUAAAAUACUCAAAAUAGAAAUUAUAAAUCUUAUAAGCCCUGAUCUUAGUGCCUACGUUCAUUGUUAUAAGAAAAUGUUAAUUAGCUUCUUAACAUCCGCACUGUAGAGCCAGCUAGACCUGUCAAUUCGUUCAUAUGGUAUACUUAUAUGUCGUGUACUCAAAGACCAAAUAUAAAACCGACCCAUUUAGGGUUCGUGUACUUUCGUGUCAUAUUCGUGCGUGUUUCGUGCCGUUCUCGGGCGUGUUUCGUGUAAAAUUGAAUAUAAAUAUAAAUAAAUAUUCGUGUGUCGUAUACUUUUUCGUGUCGUGUAUUCAAAUACCAAAUAUAAAACCGAUCCAUUUAGGGUUCGUGUACUUUCAUGUUGUUCUCGUGCGUGCAUGUUUCGUGCCGUUCUCGUGCGUGUUUCGUGUAAAAUUGAAUAUAAAUACAGAUAAAUAUAUUGACUUAAAUCUAAGAUUGAGAUCAAUUUGCAUGUUUUAAAUUUGAGGAUAUGCAUCCAUUUGAAAGACCAAAUGUCUAUAUAUAGUGUGAAAUGAUUGUCGGAGCCUGUCAAACAAUGGCCUAAUUAAAUGGGCUAUUUGCUUUUGGGUCAUUAUCAUAAUCUAAGACGGUUGCCAGAGCAAUUGGGUGAUAUGAAAUGGCUAAAGGAGCUUGAUUCACGCCGCAAUUGAGGAACUGCCAGAUUCAAUUACUCAGCUCAAGGAGUUGGUUCCAAUGAAUUUGGAUGGUUGCAAGAUGCUUAGAAAGCUACCACAGCAGAUUGGAAAUAUGAAAGGCUUAAUUAAGGACAUUUCUUGCGAGUUGUAGUGCAGUUGAACAACUUCCAGAUUCGUUUGUAGGCCUCGUUAAUUUGGAGAGACUGGAACUGAGCUGCCGCAGAAACCUUGGGAAUCUUCCAAAUAUCAUAUGGAAGCUCCAGUUGCUUCAAGUACUAAAUCUGGGGCACUGUUCAAAGCUGGAGCGAUUGCCUGAGCAAUUGGAGAUGAUGCAAUGCUUAGAAAAGCUUAAAGCAAAUGGAACGGCAAUUGAAGAAGUACUAGAUUCUAUUGGGCUACUUAAUUAGUAGGUUAAGGCUGUUGAAUUUGUCUUAUUGCCGUAAGCUAAAAUAACUGCCAAGUAAUGUGUGGAAUGGUGCAUCACUUGAAAAAUUAAUUCUUCCCCGAGAGGACAUCGAUAGAAUUAAUUUGCCUGAUGCAGUGAAAGAUACAAAGUUGGUUUCGUUAACUUUGAACUGUAAUAUAAGAUUAUGGUUGCCUACGAUUCUAAGUUUUCCUUCGUUGAAAAAGUUAUUCAUCUGCGAUGAGACUGAGAAUUUAUCUUCAACCAAUCCUUUCGGUCUCUCUGGGCUUUACAACCUACAAGUUCUCGAAUUCUCUGGUUGUGCAAUUUUUGGUUCAUCGUUUCUGGAACAUCGUCUUAAUAUAACACACUUAUGCCUAUCUAACCAUGCAACACUGGUACAUCUACCCGAUUUAUCAAGCUUGAAACAGUUGAAGAAGUUUCAUAUAUUCCAUCACAUCAGCCUUGAAUCACUUCCUCAUCAUCUUCAAACACUUACAGUUUAUUAUUGCCCAAGCUUAAAGAACUCUCAAACAUGUCAUUUUUGAAGGAAUUGAGUUAUUUGAAUUUUGGUAGCUGCAGCAAUCAGAAAUCAUUUAGUACCGAAAGAGUCCCCUGCAGGUAUGUUUCCGUUUGAUCUCCCUCCCUCCCUCUGUCCCAAAAUGAUACACAAUCACACUUCUAUAAAUCCAACUACAUUCUUUCAUGUCACAGGUAAUCAAAAAAUGCCUCCGUUUAUACGAAGCUGAGGCACCAAAGAUGGUAAAUUGGUUGAGCUACGAAAGCAGUGGGCAUACGAUCUCUUUUGGUACAUCCCACCACUAUUGGGAGAUAACUUAUUAGGUCUUGCGCUCUCGAUUGAUUUAUCAUGCAGAGAGCUGGUUCCUCAUUUGAGCAUUAGAGCUGCACUCAUAAAACAAAUGGUACAACAAAGUGCUGUGUGAUCCCUUUACACUGUAAUGGACCUCAAGUAUAUUCACUGGUGCAAUGCUUAAGUGGAGAUGAAAUCUCAAUAAGAAGUGGAGAUGCAUAUAGAGUUGAUGCACCAGAAGUAAUUUAUUAUGUACAAUUGAAGGUGAAGAUGUACGUUGUUCAUGUGAUACCAAAAACACUCUCCACCCCUGAUUUUUGCUCUGUUUUAAGCAACUUGAUUAACUGAUGUUUUACAUCUUUACAAAGUAUUUGAUUUUAUCUCUCAGUCAGUUCAAUAUAUUUUACUAUAUAUUACAAAUAUUUCAAAUAAGUCUCUGUUUACGUUGCUUCAUGUUUAACAUUUUUCUUUUGAUAAUUUCCUUUUUUCGACUUAUAUUUCAAUUUUAGAAGCUACCAUGUUACUAUAAGAGUAGUAAUUAUUGACGCACAGAACCGAAAUUGGAAUCUGCAGACACAUAUAUCAUUUAUGAAACAAAUUCGAAUAAGACAAAUUUAGAACCUAUCAAAAUAGAGGAGAAAAUUUCUAAAAGUAAAAUUUCAUUUAUUAUAAUAGAAUAUAUACAAUAUUGUUUACGUAGGAAUAGAAUCCUAAAAUUAAAUAUGAUCAAAUCUGAAUAUAUCGAAUGAUGAUAAAUAUAGUUUCACAGUGAAGGCACUCGCAGAAUCUUUACUACUUCACAUCGUUACUAUGCCUUCAAAGAUGAUAAUGCUCUUGAAAAAGGCCUAAUAAAUAUGUAGUUAUUUCUGGGGAUUGGCAUCCACCCCGUCCGGCUCGACCCCAAUUCGACCCACGCCCCGUUCGAGUCGGGGAUUCGAAGAAUUUUCGGGUCGGGGCGAGGAAUGAGGAAAAUGUUAUAAAAAAUUUGGAGAUCAGAGCAGCAGGGUCGGGGAUUCGUGUCUCCCCACCCCGAUCGCCGACUCCAAUUAUAUAUAUAUAUANCGACUAAGAAAAAUGAGGAUUUUGAAUUUAUCAUAUUCUGGCUUAAAAGCUAGAAAUUGACUUAUAAUUUCUUUACCCAAAUCUAGGGAUAGGCAUUUACCCCGCCCCGCUCGACCCCGCUCCGAUCCCCACCCCGUGCGGGUCGGGGAUUCGGAGAAUUUUUCGGGGGCGGGUCGGGAAACGGGGGAAGUUCUAUAAAAAAUUUGGGGGUCGGGGAUUCGUAUCUCCCCUCCCUGCACUUCCACUUGACAGCUAUCGUAAUGAUAAAAAACCCCGAUUGUAUAUAUAAAUAAUAAUAUAUUUAUAUAUAUUAUAUUAAAUAAAUUAUUAAAAUUAGAUAUCUUUUCUAAUCUUAUUAAAAUUAAAAAAAUAAUCUUUAUUUUUAAUAAUCGAUUAAUAUAUUGUAAUAUAAUAUAUUUUAUAAUUUUAAAAUUGUCGUUAUUUAUAUUUUAAAUUAGUUUUAAUAUGAUUUGAUGUUAAAAAUAUGAGAUGAUAUCAUUUUAUUAGUGUAUUAUGAGUUAGUAGUUUUAUUAGUGUAUUAUGAGUUAUUAUAUUGUAUUAUGAGUUAUUAUAAAUUAUAAAAUUAUUUUUUUUUUUGAUUAAAAACUAAAAUGCGAAUUCCCGCAGGGAUCCCCGUUCCUCGUUCGGGGCAGGAAUGGGGAAGGAAAAGAAUCCCCGUUCGGGGUUCGGGACGGGAUCGUGGAUAACUAUCAAAUUCGGGGAUCGGGAGGGGAUAGCUAUCCCCGACCCCGAAAUGCCACACGUCCAUCCCUAUUAUCUCUCAUAGCUAUGCUCAUUCACCCUGGUACCUCAAUGAGCUUGUUGAGAUCCUUAGACGCUAGAAAACGGUUUAUUUAACCUAAGCUAAACGACUCAAAUUACGUUUAAAUUAAAUUUUUGAAGCAAUUAAAUAAAUAGAAAAUUCAUAUUUAUUUAGUACUUAUAAUCUCAUUUUUUUCAUUUUUAGUAAUAAAUAAAUUAUACUCUCUUUAUCCGGGCGAAUUCUUUAUAUUGGGGUUGGAUACGGAGAUAAAAAAAAUGUAUAAAGUAGUAUAAAGAAUAAGAAAAGUGGAGAAAAAUUGGGAAUCAUGAAAAAGUAUGGGUUGGAUUGAGUUUUAUAUUAUUAAAUUUUAUUAUUUUGUGAAAAUUUUGUAAUGUAAAAAAAUGAAAGAGACGUUCAACAAAAAAAAUCGUAAAGAAUGCAGCGGGAGUCUUUUUUCCAACUCCGAAUGGGUCGGGGUCCAAUUCUGAGUGUGCAACCCUCUAAAGCGCCAAAAUAGAUGGUAAUGCAUGAAAGCUUGGUGUUUUUAACUCAACAAUUACUACCAGGCUACUGCCAUUUUGAUGAUGAACUCAUUUUUCUUUACAUUAAUAAGAAUGCUCACUUCAUUACUUCCUUCACAUACCUCCAAUUAAUGUCAUUAACUUGUACUCAUUUCCUUUUCUGCUAAAUGUGAUUAUUAAUAUUAACAAUUAAUAAAACAAAAAUGACUUGAAACUUCCAGGCUCAACGUGUUGUUGACAUAACAUACAAAUGGAAUAGAUAUAAAUUUUUCAGUCCCAUUUUUUGAAAUUGUACCAAGGCAGCUAGCUCUCACUUAAGUCCUCUCUCUGCAUAAAUACAAUUGUGUUAUGUGUAUGCAAACAUCAGACACAGUACUGAAAAGAUUCCUAUAAUAAAUAGUAAUAAAAGCCUCAUAUAACCGAAAUGCUUCAAGAAAUGAAAUGCUCUGCCACUGGUUUGGUGGCACAGUAUAAUCUGAUCAUGGGAGUUACGCUUGUCUCAUUAAUACUCCCUUCUUAUCGCUUUGCUUUUGCUUUAUCUAUCUCUUUCUACGUGCUUCCUCUUCAAUUUUAUUUUCUUUUACUGCUUUACCACAGAUAACGCGUUCUUUGCAUGUCUGUAUUAUUGUUUUCUCAUGUGCGAACAAAUUUAUGUCCUUUCCGGUGUUCUAAAAAUCGGCCUCGACCGAGUAAUUCUUACGAGAGGUUGUACCGAUUAUAAUAUGGAUAAUAGUCCUGGACAAUCGAUUAUUAGCGACAUAUCAUUAGUGAUGAAAAAUAAAUAAUAAAAAUAUUAGGACAGAUGAUUUUUCCGCUGAAAGAUAAUGUAAAUCCUCCUGCUUACAUAAAAAAACUAUAAUUAAUGUCUUUCGGCGGAAAAAGCAUGUUGAUAGUAUGAUGCAUCAUAUGCAUGGUAUUAAUUUUUCGAUAAGAUCUGAUUCUUGAAUUCUACAACAAUGAUACCUGCAGCAACAUUUUAGCUACUUAACUUUAAGAAUGAACUAUAAAUUUACAGUAAUUUGACUAUACGAAAUGACUUGUGUUGAUUUUGGUGUUUGGAAUAUUUUGAAAGAGAAAAAAAAGAGGGAAAAAUAUAGGUGAAGUUGUGCAGAGGUAAGUUGGGGGUUAUAAAUGCAUCUCCUGCCAAAGCUUACUACCAUCUUCUUAAAUAUCACUAGCCCUAGACAAUAUUCUCACAACACUCUCUCCCCUCUCUAAUACUUCCUCUCCAUUCUUUCGAAAAACUCCACAUAUAUCAGUAGCAAUGGGUGUUUUUCAUUCUUGAAGAGUUGGUGUUUGAUGCUAGCUAAUACAUGUUCAUACUUGUGACACAUAUACUAUGAUAUUGGCCGGGCUCACUCAGAUGCGCACAUAUGCACUUGAAUAGUUAUGAACGGUGAGUCUGAUUGAGCCGCGCCAAUAUCUUAGUUUUGUUUCAUUCAAACUUCCGGAAACUCAUCACUAGGUUAAUUGCGUUAUCUAUGUAUAUAUAUUUGUUAAUAUUUACCAAUCAGUUAUAUUUGAUUGGUUUAUAGUUCUUACAAACAAUCACCUCUAUUUUCUAGUUAACAAGAAUAUUGGUUUUUCAGAGACUGGAAAAUGAAUGACCCUUAAUUUUCAUUGCGAGAUGUCCGCACAAAUUUCAUUAUAUUCUCUCGUAUUUUGAUAUCUACUUUUCCAAACAUCACAUUAUGCUAAUUACAAUCAAUAGGAAAAUAGAAGACGGACAUCUGCAUUGUACAACACCAGUUGCUCCUCUAUAUGAUAGUUCAUCAGCUUUGAUUUAUGUCUCAAUUAGUCUUACAAAAAUUUUCAGCAUUCUGGCGCCCGUGUCCAGCGUCUAGCGUCCGGUCAUCUGAUUAUGCAGCAACUUGAAAGUGCUGGUUAGAGGAUCAGGGUGGAAAUGUCAGGUGGUGGUUAAUGUGACAAGGUAUCGGCUGCGGUUAUGGUAAAAAUAUAAUGCUAAAUAACAUUAUACACUUCACUCCAAGGAAACAGGACAAAACCGACCGUGCAAAAGAAAUACCGAAGUGUAAAUGCUACUACACAAAAAUUUACACUUGUAUCAUUGAGCUUCUAGCCUUCGAUCCUACUCGAAGGGUUCAUUAUAGAUGCAAAUCGAGUAGGGUUAAUAUUAAUACUAGUGAAGCAUAGGUAUAUAAGUGAGGCUAAAAUCUCAGCUUUCACUCCAAAAAAUUUCUUCUUUUUUUUUUUGCUAAAUAAAAUUUUCUUUUCUUUUUCUUCCAACUUAAAUUUAUUAAGGAUAAAUUAGGAGAAGAUUAAUAUGAUAGUCCUCUUGAAGUUGCUUUUGUAUAUUCAAAUUUAAGAAAUUAUUAUUAUUUUUACUAUUACAAACGACAUCUGGUAUCUUUAUACUGAACUAGAAUAUGGGGCCGUAAACUUGCUUCUCUCAAGUCUCAUCUGCAUGGGCUAAUUCCUUAGAAGUAAAAAUAAUUUUACCUGUUGUCACAAAAAAAUUACGUACCUUCAAAAAGAGUGAAUUUGAACGUUCUGUUUUCUCAAAAUAUUUUUCGCAACUGCUUUAUAAUUCUUUAAAUACCGUCAAAAACAAUUUGUGUAUGUGAGUAAGUAUGUUAAUUUUUGAAAAAAGUAGGAAAAUUACAUCAUUUUCCAGCUCUAACUUGUUUUUAUCAAUGUGAUAAUCGAUUUAAAGCAAUAUAAAUAUAUUUAUAUCCGAUGAUAAUUUUUAAAAUUAGAUUAUUAUAUAUAGCAAAUAGAAACAACAUGCAAUUGUUAGAAAUUGGAAAUGUAAAAGUUGUUUACUUUGUGUGCAGUGGGAAAAUCAUAAUCUAAAAAUCGAGAUCGGCUAUAUUAUUGUGUUAACGUGGUCUUCUGCCUGCAAAGGACAGUGGCUAAUUUGUAGCAUUCAAUAAGGCGUGUUCGUAAAUUACAGAAACGAUUACAUAUUAUGUGUGAACAUCAGACUAUUAUUGCGCAAAGUCAUGUAAACAGCCAAACUAUCAUCGAUGAUUGUAUAUUCAUUAUGUUACACUUCCCUUGACAGGUCAUAAGCACAGUACUGUUUUUGAUUCUUUUGUCGAUUGCUUCUCGUAUCAAAAAUCGAACCGAACCGAGAGAUCGAAGUAUACGCAUGUUUUAAAGACGAAGCCAAAAAUGGUCCGGUCUGUCUUCGGAUGACAAGUCUAUUAUUCUUGGAUGUCAAUGCUUUUGUUCUGAUUUCUGUCUUGGUCCACCCCCGAAUUCAAGCGGUUAGACCUUACGAAAUCGACAUUAUGCGAAAAAGAAUCUGAAUUUAACCAACUGUGAUAACAUGAGUUUCCUCUUGAGGGUAAAACUAGAAAUCAGUGAUUUCGCUUGCAAUGUACUCCCUCCGUCACCCUCAUUUGUUUACAUUGAGGGACGGGAGUUCGACACGCAUUCUAAUGCUCUUGUAAAACAUAGUUCGAUAAAUUAUUUUGAACUUUUUUUUCAUCUAAAUAAAAAAAUUUGAUGUUUAAAUUUUUAUAAAAAAAUAAAAUUUUUUAAAAUAAAUCAUAGAACUAUGUUUUUUAUACGCCUUAUAAUCCAUGUCGAGUAGUGUGAAAAAAUUAUAAAGAAAUGAGAGAAAGAGCAGGUCAUGCUUUCGGUCGGCUAUCAUGUUUUACACUUACUAGUUACUACUAUGAUUUUGUGUUCAUAUGCUUAUCUGUUUCUGAUGUACUGAGGUUGACCUUGGGGUGUGGCUAAGAUUACAAGAAAAUCAUUAUAAAAUUAGGAAUAUUUUUGUAAAAACAGGAGUGGAUUUUAUAUUUACGGAUUCAUCUUUAAUUUGUUAAAAUAUUGCCUGACCUCGGGUUAGCUUCCUGUGAGCACUUUCGGGCCAAUUUUCUUUUAAUUAAAUCAUUAAAAGUGAUUAUAUUGUAAGCAUGAUUAGAUGAGUGUUCAUAUUUGAGAGAAAUAAAAUCUAGUUAUAUGAUUAUUUUAAUUAUUUUAGUUUAGAAGUCAAUUGUUGCUAGUAUAAAAAUAUUUUUUAUAACACAACUACAAUAUCGGUAGUAUAGAAUACGGACACUCUUUUAUAUUAAAAAUGUCGAUUCUUAAUAUAACCAACAUCAUAGAUACUUAUGAUAGAUUAAGAGUAUCGGUUCUAGCGUUCUACACUUAACCUAAAGUAUAAAUGACUAUUACGUUCUUGAGUGGUUUAUUUAUAUUGUGUUUAUUUCAUCGACGCUGUAAAGCGGGUUAUAUACAUCGGCCAAUUAAUUUCAUUGACUUUGUAAAGUAAUUUAUUUAUAUUAGGUUUGAAUUCGAUGUUAUAUAUCAAAUUUAGUGGUGGGCAUAUUUGACUAUGAUAAAUAAUUUAAUAAAGUUGAAAAUAUUGAAAUUAGAUAUAUAGGGAGUGUUUGAAAACGCUUAUAAGUAUUUUCGGACUUUGUUUUAACACUUUAAAAUAUUUCUACUUUUUACGUAGUAAUUGGCAAAAGAAGUUGAAAUUCUUAUUUUGAAUUUUUUAAGUCAGAAUCUCAAAGUUAGAAAUGUUGACUUUUCUGGACUUUUUUUAAUGAUUUGCAUUUUAUUAUGAAAUUUUUAAAUUUUAAUAUAUAAUAAAAUUUAUUUAUUAAUUAAGUUUCUUUUAUUUCAAAAUUUUAAUAUUUUUAAUUUAUAAAUCUAAAUUAACAAACACUUAAUUAACUAAUAAUUAAAAGUCAUCCAAAUAUUUUUUAAUAAAUUACAAACCAAGUUCAACUCUCACUUUUCUUUUUCUUUUUUUUUUAGAAUGAGUUCAACUCUCACUUAUAAAUUAUAAUCAGACUUUGUUAAUAUAAUCGAUAAAUGAAUUUUUCGAACUCAACCCAACCAGCCCCGUAAUCUCCCAUUACCCAGCUCAGUCGAUACCCAGUCUUCGACUACCAGUCUCCCGAGCAAUCUGUGGUGCAUCGAGACAUCAAAUCCAGCAAUAUAAUCACAAGUAACGCCCACUUUACCGAAUUUACAAGUCACGGUGAGCAGGUUUAGGGGUAAUUCGCCCAAUUGAAGUCACUCUGCUAUUUAGGGUUUGUUUUCAUUCUGCUCUGCUCUGUUUAUGAAUGUAUUUAGGGUAUGUGGUGCUUCAAUUGAUUAUAUAUGUGCUUUCAAUUUGUGUUGUUUUGUAAGCUACUGUUUGAAUAAAUUCUAAUAAACAUCUACUGGAGUUCUGUAACUUGUCUCCAGUAUUGUCAUGGUAAAACCAUUACGAAACUUAUAUUUUCUCCCUAAAAAUCUUCUAUAAAGCCUGAAAUUACUAGGAAGUUGAGGAAUAAAAAUACAUAUGAGGAGCAAAUAGAAGGAAAACUUGAUGCAACUCGUAUGGUAAAUAAGCAGCCCAGCGGUGGACAAUGGACAUCACAGCCUUAACUUAAUUAUAACCACGACAAAUGUUUCUGUGCAGCUGCUCUUCGAUUGAACACAGUUUGGUUAUGUGUAUAACUUCUAUGUUCACUGAAGUGAAAUUUUUAUCCAAAUAAGAUCUAUAAAUAACAUUGAAACCCAUUCUAUUCUAUCUUCACCAAAUCACCAGUAACACUGUAAAAGAGGUCAUGCAUUCUGGAGGAUCUCAGAGCUCUGCUUUUAAGCUAAUGUUUUUUUCUGCAAAUUUUCUCUUGUUUUUUGAAACUGAUUAGACCUAAAUGAGAAAUUUAUAAGUGGAGUUUAGUACGUAAUAGAGCUUAAUUUGAUACAGUACUUUUUAGGUGAAAAGGAUGUAAUUGUCUGUAAAUUGGUUGUGCCUCACUAAGUUGUCUGUUGGCUGCAAUUAUAUACGGCUCUGUUAUACAAUGAGUUCUUAGCCUGCAAAAUGAAAAUGACACACAUUAAGCCCUGAUAUCACUGUUUAUACUUUAUACCUUAUACACACUGAACAUUAAAUAGUAAGUUAUAAAUCAGCAAAAAAGUAACGAUAGUGGUCAGAAAUUAAGCAGAACAACCAUAAUUCUCUCCCUCCCUCCCUUCCCCUCUCCCCUCCCUCCCUCAUAUUUAUUGAUAUGUUUGUUUUUAUGAUUCAUCACAUGCAUAUAUGUAUCAUUACUUGAACUGUAUAUAUCUACACAUGCUCAUUAAUUAAUGUUCUAUUAUUGUUUGUUUGAAUAUAUGCUUCAUUCUUGUUUGAUUUGAUUGAAAAGUUUCCACCUUUAUCUGAUGUUUUAAUACGAGGAUGCCCUUUUUUUUGUGUCUCAUUCACAGAUCUGUACUAUUGUUGUUGAGUAGUAAAGAAACUAUUCAUGGAGUAUUGUUUUUGCAUUUUUUGAAGACUAUAGUUUCAUGAAUUAGCUCAUAAUAAGGUAAUGCUCUUAUUUGACCUUCUGGCAAUAUAAUAUAUCCUGUUUAUGUUCUUAUGUUGCAUAAACCCUCUUAAUUUACUCCCUUUUAUUAAUUUUCCAUGAGUAAUAUCUGUAUCUUUAUUGAUACAGGGCAUAUCGUUGUGAGGUCGGCCUAAAGUUUUCAUUUUGCAGACACUUUCACACUUAUCAGUUAUCAGGUUAGACUUUUCACUUUUAUCCAUCUGUCUGUGCUAAUUAUUUAAUUGGUUCUUUUUAUCAUAUUUGAAUUUAUGAUUUGAAUUUUUGGUUGAAUAUACCUGCACUAUUGAUUUUGCGUUUAAUAUUUGGGGGAUUUUUUUUUUAAAAAAAAAUUGUGUCUCCUUUUUCCAAGGAUCAUUGGUGAAAUUAAAUGAUAGUUUAUGUAGCUAGAUUAAUUUGCAAAGUAUAAAUCUUCACUCAUCUGGGCAGAUUUUUUUUUUUUUAAUUUUAAAUUUUCUCUUCAAUUGUCACAGAUCUUGUUUAUAGCUUUUUUUUUAAAACCAACCAACAGCUAUUGCUAUUUGGAACCAAAUGUGACAAGUACAAUGGAAAAAAUUGUCAAUGUAGGUGAAACAGGCGGUAAAGAAUUAAUGGAAAGCUAAAAGUGUCUUGGUGAAAUCAUAGUUGUUGAGAUUCUUAUCUGUUCUGUUAAAGUUACAGUUGAAAUGUGUCUAUUGCCAAUUAUGCGUAGUGCUGUAGUCUAAUCUCACAGCACCUUCUCAAACUAUUUGAUUGCUAAUUUGUUAAAUGAAUUUAGUUAUUGUAUAAUCAUGGCUGAAGCAGCUCAACCUGAAAGGUAGACAUACAUUUUAUACGGAGAUGAUUCCGUUGAACUAGACAAAAGACCCGUGUGUGCCCUGUGGGAGGAUAUCUGUUAAAGAUGCUUGGGAUUGCUUCCCGAUUUCCAGUUGGGAGUGCCUCUCUUAAUUUUGACACAAGGUCCUUGACGUGAGGCACACACUGACUUGUGAGGUUUGAACUUGGAGGAGUGCAGGAAAAUAGUUAAUACAAAGUCAGGAACAAGCCUUGUGUAGCAUUGAACUUGUAUUUCUGAAACACAUUCAGAUCACUAGAUUGUAUAUACGUUUUUUCAGUUUAAGUAUCAUGACACUUUUUUUCUGAAUUUAUUAUUAUAAAGUGUUUGCAAGAAGUGAUUGACCUGAGUUUUAUUACCACUCAAUUGCCUAAGUCCAUAGUCUCGAAGACUUGGAGAUAGUUUUUGAGCAUAGCAUAAAUAUGGGGGUUCGAUCAUCAGUCGCUUGUUGAUCCACUAGCAGUAGUAUUCUUUAUUAGUAGCGGACUUGAGGUUGAGGAUAGAGUCGUCAGUGGAGUCGUUGCACAUACACGUACCUAAAUUCUUGCAAAAGGCCAUUUCCCUAUAAAAGAAUGUGGACCAUAAACAGUUGUGCAUUAUCAUACAAACAUCUCAUCUCCUUUAGCAACUGUUGGUCCAUAGUUGAAUUGUUCACUAAUUACUAUAUGGUCAUCUGUUUCAGUGAUGAAACGGGUAGACUUCCGUUUUAUAAUCCUAUUUUCAGCAUUUCUUCGAAUCUUUCUAAUUAUAUAUGGAGAAUGGCAAGACACUCAUAUGGAGGUUAGAUACACAGAUGUCGAUUACUUUGUCUUUUCUGAUGCUGCGGCGCUAGUGGUUUCAGGAGUCUCUCCUUACAAAAGGUCUACAUAUCGAUAUUCACCCUUAAUCGCAUAUCUUCUCACACCAAAUUCAAUAGUUCACCGGUCAUGGGGAAAAGUUCUCUUCUCUAUUUCAGGUAUCCCUUAUGUUUUACACUAAUUACAAUGGAUCUGUCAAUAUUUUCUCUUUUUGUGUUUAUUUUUUUUUCAUAUUUUAAAUAUUAAAUCGUAAAUAAACAAGGACAGAGCAAAUUGACAAAAGGCAUUCAUUUUAAUCUAUAUUGGUAACAAGUCAAUACCUUUUCUUUUGGUCUUAAUUUGUUCUCUUUUCUAUAUAUAAUUUGUAUGAGACCAUCUGAAAAUACUAACUGUGUUAUACUUGUUUUGAAGAUCUGCUUGUGGGAUAUUUUAUCCGGUCAAUUCUGAAGCUACAAGGUGUUUCUGAUGAAAUAUGCAUCUACUCCGUAAUGGUAUGGCUUUUUAAUCCGUUCACCUUCACAAUUGGAACCCGUGGGAAUUGCGAGCCUAUUAUAUGUGCUAUGGUUUUGUGGAUUAUUUUAUGUCUCUUGAAAGGUAUUUCAUCUUCUUUGUAAUGACUUCCCCAAUCUACUUGUCCUUUGUGUUUUUUGUUGCUUUGUUAAUUAAUUAAAAUGUGGACAACUCAAGUCCUUGUAAAAUAUAAUCUUCAUUGGGUUGCUGACAGAACUUACAGUUAAAAGGAAGAAAGGAAGCCAUGCAAAAUAAAGGAUAAUAUGCACCAACUUUUGUCAAUAUAUAUGUAUGAAUUCCUUAAGACAUUAAUUUUUUAAUGUGUUGGUAAAAUCACAUGCCCUAAUUUUACCUGGUUAUACAAUUUGUACUGUUUUGAAAUGUAUGAAACUUUUGAACGAAACGGUGCCCUCGGUGUGCAAGUGAAGCAUGGUUUUGAAUUUGCCAGUGACAAGUUGGGAGGACUCCAUAUUGUUAAAAUAUAUUGCUGAGCCCCCACCCACCCACACACACACACAACACACACAGAAUUAUCUCUUGUUACUUCUAGGCAAUUUGUGGUUAGCACUCCCAGUACUAGUCACAUUUCACGUAAAUUGUAUUAGGCUGCUCCUCAAUAGUUUUCUCUUGAGUUACGACAUAUUGUUCUUCAUUCUACAGGCAAGUUGUUACAGGCUGCAUUUUGGUACGGUCUUGUUGUCCACCUGAGAAUAUAUCCUAUUAUUUAUGCACUUCCAAUCGUCUUGGCCCUUGAGCCUUGCAAUUUUCAAUCUGGUAAAAGGCUUAUCCUUCGAAAAUGGAGUUCUAGAGAUAUUAAGGCAGCGCAGAGGUCAAGUACCAAGAAUGUAUCUGACCUAGUUCAGAAAUUGGGAGUUAUUGCAAGGUUGCUCACUAAAGAAAGAAUUCAGUUUGGGCUUCUCUCAGGGACUGUUUUCUUCUUUUUUACAGGAAUUUUCUUUUACCUGUAUGAAUUAGAGUUCUUGCAUGAAGCCCUAUUAUACCAUCUUACACGUACGGAUCCGAGGCAUAACUUUUCUAUAUACUUUUAUCACAUAUAUCUCCAUUAUGAGCGAGAGUUUUCACUUCCAGAGAAGCUUGUCUCUUUUCUGCCUCAAGUUAUAGUGCAGCUUGUUCUCAUAUCCCGCUUUAGGAAGGAUUUGCCUUUCUGUUUCUUCUUGCAAACUGUGGCUUUUGUAGCUUUUAACAAGGUUUGUUAUCUAUAACUCAUAAGUUUCUGAAUCUGUUAUAAUCAGUCAUUUGUCAGCUCGAGUUAUUUGAAGGAAUCUUGAAUUUUGAGUCUACAAAAGCUACACACCCUUGUGUGAACAUAAAGUCCUUGUUGUGCUUCAAAAUCAUGUAAGCAGGCAAAUCAGUCUCUUGGAUUAAUUGAUUCUGAAUUAUACCAUUUUCUCUGACAGGUCAUAACAGCACAGUACUUUGUGUGGUUCUUUUGCCUAUUGCCUCUAAUACUCCCUUGGAGUAAUAUGAAGCCAAAACAAGGCUUAGUAUGCAUUUCUCUGUGGGUUGGAGCACAAACACACUGGCUACUGUGGGGCUACCUUCUUGAGUUUAAAGGCAAGCAAGUUUUUUUGUGUCUCUGGGUGGCAAGUCUAUUAUUCCUGGCCGCCAAUACUUUUGUCCUCAUUUGUGUCAUCACCCAUCAUACCUGUUCCCCGUUAUUCAGACCCUUGGAACAUGUGAAUCGAACGAAAUCAGCAAAAUACAAGCAAUGACCUGGAUCACAAUCUUAACCUGUAUUAAUGAUUUACUAUUGAUUUUAGAAACCCAAUUUUGCUUGAAUUAUAGUUUUUUAGUGUCAAAGUGUCAUUCUUUGAGUUGUAUACAGUGGUAGCGUAAGCCGUCAGGCCAGUUUUGUAUGAUUGUAUAUCUACUAGAUAUUAUGAUGAAGUAGUGUUGAAACUUUAUUAUAACAAGAAACUUGGAACAUGAAUUUGUGAUGAAAAUGCUUUGAUAUCAUAAGAUAAAUCAUUUUCUGGCAGUCUGGCUGAUUAAAGGUCGCUAGUUUUGGUUGCUUCCCUAGAUAAAUUGAUCCCCUACUCCAUUAUCCCAUGUGGUUUACGCCAUACGUACAAUGUGGUGGUAACGGAUAACCCAGUGUCAAAGACAUAUUUAUCCGUGUAAAGACAUAUUUGCGGCUUGUAAGAGCAAGUCUAAUAGGUUACCUAAACUUGCUCUUAAACUUACAUUUAGGUAAUGUAUUAAAAACAAGCACUCCAAUACUAAAUCACUGACACAACCUCAAAUAGCCAUUAUUUAUUUAUAGGUAAUCCCUAGCCAUUACCUAUAUAAUAUUUAUGAAUAAAACAAUCAUUUCUCUCCUUAUUUCUUUGUCUUUUCCCUCCUCCCCCAAAUUUAUUAUUAAAAUAAUCUUAGGAGAACAAAUACAAGGAUUGCUAUUGGAAUUGAAACUAAAAUAAAUUACCUAAAUCACUAAGACUCACUAUGAUUCAUUAUUUUAUAUUAUUAAUAAGUAAUGAGAUAAGUAACCUAUUCAACUCGCUCUACAAGGUCAAUUGAUUUGUUUACAUCAAAAGGUUACAAGGCGGCAAAAAUAGGGAAUUGAAAAUAAUUAAUUGAUAUACCGAUUCAGUGAUUGACAUACCGAUUCAGUAUUUGGAGAGAUUUAUCUGAUUUUUUGAAUAAAUCAGAGAUUUUUAUUCAAAUCGAAAUAUAAUUGAUAAAUUAAUAAAAAAAAUUAUUAGAAUUAAUCGGAGUUUGGAGUCACCAUGUUAUAAUAUUGGCAAAUGGAUGUUUCUUAAUGUGACACCGGACCAAACAUUUGGCAGAAGACCGGAUGGUGAGAAAGUCUAAACUGCGGGAGGGCGCACAGUACCGAAUGUGCCCAACUGAGUAUUAGUUUUUCAUGUGCAGAACAGAUGAAUGUUAUCAACAACUCAACAUAGUCGGGAAAGAAUGGUGAUAGGAGUAUGAUGUAAUAUGAGCCUAGACUCGGACUCUUCCUGUUAUAGUACAGUGAGAUAUAUCUCUUUAAUUCCGGGAUCUUGGAUAUAAACUACUCCCUCUGUCCCUCUCAUUUCUUUACGGUUACUAUUUUGGGAUGUUCCCUCAUUUAUUUACAUUACUAUAAAUAGUAAGUUUUUCUCAUCAUUACACCCACUAUCUUCUUCCACUAUCUCAUAUUUAACAAUAAAAAUUACUAUUACACCCACUACUUUCCUCCACUAUCUCGAAUCUAUUAUUAAAUAUUGAUAGGUCCCACUACUUUACCCACUUUUCAUCUAACUUUACUCAAUUUUCAUACAUGUCUUGGUCUCCGUGUCCCCCUCCAAUGUAAACAAUUGAGGGGGACGGAGGGAGUAGUAAUGAAUGGCACCAAGGUGAGCGAAAACCCGAAUAAAUUCGAAACAGAAAUCGCGAAAAAUUGUAAAAAAUCAAACCGAAAUCGAAAAUAAAAAUUUAAAAACCGAACUGUGUACGUGUGUGCAAAGUAUAACGAAUUAAUUUAAACCAAGCAAUUAAUCCGAAAUCAAAUCAGAAUUAAUUUCCUGCAUUCGUGUCCGCAGGUCGCGCGGAAAAGCCCGAGGCUUGCGAAGCCACACACGCGGGAAAAGCCCGAGGCUUGCGAAGCCACGAAAUUUCCCUCGAAAUCCCACAAUUUGCACCCCUGCGCGCACGUAGGUGGUGGAGCACUAAACAUAAGUUAAACACCUCAUAUGUGUUCUAAUAUAUAAAGCCAUGGAAGGCCCAUUUUCUUUUCUAUGUGGGACACUAGUUUCUUUUCCAACUUUCCACUUCUAAGGAAGCAACUUUGGAUCAUCACAACUCAUCCAUUCCUUAAUCAUUUUGAGUGAAUAAACAUGCAUUGGAAAGUUCUCUCGGAGGAGAACAUAAUCCAAGCAUAACCCGCCACGAACACGUAACUGAGCCUUACUCAAAUUUGUGCUCAAAAUGACAAACUUCCAACAAAAUAUAACAACUGCUAUUUGACAUCUUGUGCCUUGCUAUAUUAACAAAGCAAACAUGCCAUUCAUCAUAGUUGAAGUACGAAGCACUUUUUAAGAAACGGAAUUCUGUGAGUAGGAGCCUUAAAAUUUGAAUGCUUUAGUUGUACCAGAAUGUCACUUAUUUUUAUUUAUAAAUUAUAAAAAGGUAACUCUGUGCUCCCCAAACUGAUGUUUAGUUCUAUGUUUCGGGGUGGGAGGUUUCUUAGUUAAUUUUAUUCUUAAUCUCUAUUGCAAGUGUACGAUAAACAUGUUGUCUCCUUGUGAAAUUCUUAACAAAGCUUCACCUGGUGUUGGAGCUUCGACUCGGAUGAACUGAUUUGUGUUGGAGCUUCACUUAGUGUUGAAGCUUUUCAUGCGAUUUUUAACCGAAACUGAACCAAGAGAAACCGAAUUCGAGGUUUUGAAAUCGAAACCGACAAUGAGAUUAUGGUUGAGAUUUUUUAUUUUUAAAACUGGGGACAUGGGGUUCAGGUAAAAUCGCACCAAACUCACAUCCGCUCUCCCCUAAAUGACAUGACUCUAGCUAUUGGGUGUCGCAAAUUGAUGAUAAACUCGAUUUUAUAUGGAAAAUGUCAGGUACCUCAACAAAAAAUAUUCAAAAAAAUUCCAAAUUUCACGUAUCAUUUUGCAAUUGGAUAUUGAGUCAUUAUUUAAUGGAUCUGCAUUUAGAUCAAUCUCAUCAAUAUAAUUAUCUCAAAUUAAUGUAUCCUAAAAUAUUUUUGAAAAAAUAAUUUGAAUUAUCUAGUAUAGUCCAUUUUAUAUUUUAAAAAUAACAAGAAUAGUUAAAAUUUGUAUAGCUCAGAUCCCGAAACUAGGUGGUCCAAUAAGUGGGAAUAAUUGAUUAUUUAUGUCUGCCACAAAUCUUGGUAACCAUAUGCCAUACAUAGGCAUGUUUGAAUGCUGCUUUUCGCCGGUUUUGUUUUUACAAUUUAGAAUCAGUAUCCUUGUGUAAAGAAGUGAUAGAGAUCAACAUGUGGUUUAUAAAUUAAAAUUUGAUAAGUUGGAAAUUCUAAAAUUUUCAAUUGUUUAUUUUCAAAUAAUAAAUUAAUCACAAUAAAAAAAUUGUUUAUAAUAUCUUAUAAUAAUAAUAGUAAUAGUAAUAGUAAUAGUAAUAAUUUCUAUAGCUAAGAAGUUGUAGAGAUAAAAUAAUUUAUAUAAACAUAUAAAACAAAAAAUUAUUUCUUUUAUUAAUAACAUUUCACUUAUAAGCAAUAAGAACUACUUAUAAGUUAAACCAAACAGCCUUCUGGCUUCCCACCGUUCUAAAUUCUGUUUAAGCAGAUUUUUUUGGCAGCAAAUGUUUUCAUGCUUUUUCCUCUUUCACUUUCAUUUAAGAAUAACCUAAAUCCAUCCAUCUUAAAAGAAGUAGAACUUCUAAUUUUUAUGUGCAUCACGAGAUGUAAUAAUCUUUUAAAAUUUUCUGAAUUAAAAUCCUAUAUUUUUAUUUUAUAAAAUAAAAAAAUAUAUAAAAAAAUGAUCGGAACGGAAAUAGCCCUAGUUACCUAGGUGCAGUACUGAUACUCCCUCCGUCCCCCUGAGUAGGAUACAUUGGGGGACGGAGACGCGGCACGGAUUUUAAUGCUCCUCUAAAGUGUAGUUGUGUAAUAUAUUUUUAAAAUUUUUUUUUUUUGAAUUAAAGUUUGGAUUUUAUAUUUGAAAAAGAAAAUCUCAAAAAUAAAUUACGGAACUAUAUUUCAUAAGAACAUUGAAAUACGUGUCGAGCAGUUGAAAAGAAACGUACACUGUUAGAUGGCAUAGAGGGAGUACUACUUUUGACUUAAUCGACUUGUAAAUGGAGAAAUGACAUCCAAUAUCCAACAUCACUGCAGAGCUGAUACUACUGUUUAAUACUCCAUUUGAUAUGACCGAGUACUGUUUGAAUCCUGCUUUAGUGCUUUAACUUCGUUUUCAAAAUCACAAAAGCAAAAGCCAAAUCAAAUCACACUUUAUUUUAAUCCAUUUUUAUCUUACCAAAGGGGAUGCUCUUGCAAACUAAAUAUUUGCAAUCCAAACCUCUGAAUUUUCGUUCAAAAAUGAUAUUGUACUCAUAAUUUUGUAAACUUAAAUCGCACUCCUUAUAUUUAUAUUUCAAAAACGAUACUCACCCCCUCCGUUAAAUUCUGUUAACUUCUAUUAAAAUAUCUCAUUCGUCUCAAUUUAUAUGUCCCUUUUACUUUUUGAGGAGUCAAAUUGACUAAUUUUUAACCAACUAUUAGAAAGCAUUUAUUUAUUAUUUUAGGAAAUCAAAAGUUACAUAUUAAAAUAGACUAGAUCUACUUUUUGAUGAUAUUUUUUAAAAAAAAUUUGUUCAAUUUUUCAAAGAGAAUAAAUUAAAAUUUAUAUAUUUUAUUCAAUAUAUAAAUUUAUGUGUUAUUUAUAAUAAAUAUCACAUAAUAUUUAUUUUUUAUAUUUAAAAUAGUGUAUAUUUUAAGUACUUAAUACACACACACUAAAAAUUUAAAAUUAUUUGAUAUGUAAAAUUAUUUUGACUUGGGGAUAGCUUAAUUAAACAAAAAUUUAAAAAAAAAUAACGUCAAAAAGUAAAUCUAGUCUAUGUUAAUAUGUAACUUUCUAUUUUCUAAAAUAAUAAAUAAAUAUUUUCUAAUAGUUGGUAACGAAAUUAGUCUAUUUGACUUCUCGAAAAACAAAAAUGACAUGUAAAUUGAGACGGAGGGAUAUUUUAACGGAAUUUAUCGGAGGGGUGCGUAUCGUUCUUGAAAUGUAAAGAUAAGAGGUGCGAUUUGAGUUUUCAAAAGUAUGGCUGCAAUAUCGUUUUCGAACGAAAGUUACAGAGUUUGAAUUGCAAUUAUCUCUUAAAAUAAUAUGAAAUAUUGAUAUAUUAAAUUUAACCUGCGAGAUGUUGUGUUUGUGUCCAUAAUCAUAUCAAAUCAUUCUGCAAAUGAUUAAAUUGAAUUUUAGCCCGGUCAAAAUUGAAUAAAAUAUAAUCCAACAAUUUCAAUUUUUUCUAACUGUAUUUUGAACAUCCCCGCUUUGAAAAUUAUGUUCUAUAAUAUAAUUUAAAAGUUCAAAAAUUACUUUUAUAAAUUGAGAUACACGAUGUGCAUGUUUGGGGAAGGGCAAUUCCGGCUUGUUUUGACAAGGAGGCAUUUCUACUUUUCUUGACCGUUUGGGUAAAAAAUGAGAAGUAUUUAUGAAAAACUAAGAAUGCUAAGUUUUGUUUCAGGAUUUCUAAUUUUUUUCCCAGACAGUUUACUCACUUAUAAGUUUAAUUAUUUCUCACUUCUGAUCAGCUUCUUUACUUUAAAGAAGACAUACUUUUCUUAAGUUUACUCAAACGGCCCCUUCGUUCUAGUAUAUAAUUUAAUGAUUGUUAAAAUCGAUAAAUGUUAACGAUUAAUUGAUAAUGAUGUUUAAGGUACACUAUAAAUUAUAAAUUACAUAAGAUAAUCAAACAUCAAACAUAUUAAUUAUAAUUAAAUUUAAAAACUAUAAACAAUGUUUCUCUAGCUUAAAAACGAAUUUUCACAUAACCCAACUCUACAGCAAUAUUAAUAAGAAAAUAAAUUAUUUAAAAUUUUAGGAUCAAGAGAGGAAGAGGUUCGACAAAUAUAAUUAACAUCAAUAACAAAAAAUAGUAAAGUUUAGAUAAGAAAAAUAUGUGUUGGGGUGGGGACUUUUUUGUACAUAGUCAAUUAUUUUUAUUUAAUAAAUUUUCUUGUCCAUUUUAAUUAAAUUUAUAGUGUCUUGGAGAUGCCGUUAGACUUUGUUAUUUUAAAAUAUUAAAAAUGAAAAAGGUUUUUUCGUCAGAAAUAAAAAUCAAGAAGUUAAAUUUUAACAAAAACUAAUAUUCUUACAACUAUUCAUAAUUGUGUUUGAUGAGCAGUGUUAUAGAAAUCGGAAAUUGAACAUAAUCGGCUGAGCUACCGACUCAGGGAUUAAUUGGAAAUCGGAGAUUAAUCGGAGUGAAAAUCAUAUUUAUUUUAAUAUUAAAAUAGUAUUUAGUUAUUAUGAUAUUAGCUAUUUAGUAACUAAUAUAUUUACUAUAUUCAUAAACUCUCCAAUUAUUCAUAUUUAAAGUAAUAUAGUAUUUUACUUUUAAUAAUUUAUCAUAUACACUUCGAUUAAAAAAUAUAUAUAAAAAUAAAUCGGAUUUCAAAAAUCCCGUCGAUAAAUACCCGUUGUUUCUAAAAGAUUUGCCAUCUACAUCCCUGCCUCCCAAAAAAGUACUUCCCCCCGUCUCUAAAUACUUUUCCUGUUUGUACUUUCACGUUUGCCAACACACACUUUUGAUCGUUAAUAUUUUUCAUUUCAUAGUAGCAUUAAAUAUAAAAAUUUCACCGUAUUAAAGUACUCGUGAAUACGAAUCUAACAAGAUCACUCAUGACUAUAUUUAGUUUUGUAGAUUAGAUGUAAAUUGGUAAUUUAUCUCUUGUUAUGAACAGUACCGACAUUACAAACAGGAAAAGAAAAAAGAAACGGAGGGAGUAUAAAAGUCCAGCAAAUUCCCACAAAACACAAUUACAGAAAUACCUAAAAAGAAAAAUCCCAAUAAAAUAAAAUAAAUUUAUACAGAAACAAAACAAAAGAGGCGGGCCCACAGAAACGAGUAAAGCACGGGGAUGGGCGUAACUGCAUAAGUGAACUACAAAGUCCAGAAGGAAAAAAGAAGAUGCUCCGGAUAUUCCCUCUUACAAUCACUCAUCUCCCAUCCCCAAUCCAAUCCCUUUCCCUAUUCGAUAACUCAUUAUAAUAAUCUUAUUAUUAUUAUUAUAUUACUCAUCUCUUUUUCUCCCUUUAUAAAUUCGAUUAUUUUCAUUCAACCCCUCCUCAAAAACACACACAAAAAACACACACAAACCUUAAUUAAGACAACUGAACAUGCCGCUUUCAACUGACUCCUCAUCGUCUAUGAAUCAACAACAACAACUGCUGGAUAAACUCAAAGUCUUCAAGAUCCAAGGCCGUGACAAACGUGGUCAUAUCAUCCUUCGCAUCCUCGCCAAAUUCUUCCCUGGUAAUUAUUUUAUUUUAUUUUAUUUUUGUUUAUCACAUGCAUGGGCACCAUGUUUUGUAUUCGAUUAAUUUUUUUUUUGAUUUAUUAGCUCGAGAUGUGAGCGUUGACGGGGUGAACAAAUACUUGGAAGACAAGAUAUUCCCGGAGCUUGAGAAACGCUCGUUUUCCGUUCUUUACGUCCACACCGACGUCGAAAAGAGCCAGAAUUUCCCCGGAAUCUCCGCCCUCCGAUCGUUUCACGACGCGAUUCCGGCCACCGUCAUCAACAAUCUCCAGGCUGUCUAUUUUCUCCACCCGGGACUUCAGUCCAGGCUCUUUCUCGCCACUUUUGGCCGCUUCAUGUUCUCCUCAGGGUACGUGAAAUAAUUGUUUUCACGCUAAAAUUGUUCUCGACUUUUUCAAAUUAAUCACACCUAAUUUUCUCUGAAUUAAUUUAAUCAUAUUUGUUAAAAAAAUAUUAGUAAAUAUUAAUGUUAUGUUUUUCGAAAUUCUGAUUCCGUCAGUUACGAAAGAUUUUAAUACGGAUUGAUUUUGUUUUGUACAGGUUGUAUGGGAAACUGAGGUAUGUGAGCAGAGUAGAUUACUUGUGGGACCAUGUAAGGAGGAACGAGAUUGAUCUCCCAGAGUUUGUGCAUGAUCAUGAUGAAGAUCUUGAGUACCGUCCGAUGAUGGACUAUGGAUUGGAAAGUGAUCAUCCGAGGGUGUAUGGUGCGCCUUCAGUGGAUUACUCCCCUUCCACUUACUCCACCAGGUGUAUUUCGUAGUUGGGGGAUGGGACGACGUCGUUUUGAAGUUGCCUGCUUUGAAUUUUGUUGUUAUGGUGGUUUGAAGCUUUAUGGGAAAUAUAGUGAAUGUUAGGUUGUGAAAGAUAGUAAAAAACGAAGUUUGGAAGCAAAGAGAAAAAUGGAAUGCUUCUUGUAGUAUAGUUUUGUUUUCGUAAAUUAAUUUCAUAGUUUUUGUUCAAUCUUUUUAUGGAAUGGUUAUAUACUCGAAUAAAUAUUUCUUUUUUAAUAUCAUUACUAAGAUUUCAUUGGGUAAGCCAAUACACAAUAACUUGUGAAGCUAUAUCAGAUUAUCGAAAAAAUUGAGAAUCGGAAUUAAUAUGAUUUAUGAUUUAUUGGAAUUUUGUCGGACAUUUUAUUAAGAGCAAUGCUAGGUACCCCAAAAGAUUUAAUCUACAAGGGGCCUCAUUAUUUUGGGAGUAAAUGCAACCAAUCAGGAUUAGACACCUCAUUUGGGAAAAAAAUUUGGGACAAUUUUUUGAGGUCCCUAACAUUUUUCUUUUAUUAAUGAAUAGAUAAUUUUUAGUUAAUCAAAAUAUAAAUCGAUGAACAAUUGAAUACGUGCCGAAUUUCCGUCCCCGGUAAACAAUUGAGGGACGGAUCACGGGAGGAGUAUAUUUUUGGCCAAUGAGUAGUGUCCACAAUGUUGUGAUAACUGAUAACGGCAUAACGCUAACUUCUCAUACAAAUAUACAUUUUUUUGACUUUUUUUUUUUUUACAGAUACAUAUUUUUGACUUUGAAAGUUCAAAAUGAUACAAAACAGGCUCUCGUUCAAAAAGUGAAAGCUGGGUCAUCAUCAAAGCAUUAACCCUAUCACUAAGCAAGUGGUAUGAAUGUCAAUAAAAUUAUCUAGCAAAUGAAACAGAUAAUUCAGAUUCAGAGUACUAGUCAUACAAUCAAGCCUUACCGUAGAAAAAAAAAAAUGAAUGAUAAAUUAACAUUGUGGAUUGAACGAGAAACCAAAAAUUUCAUUGACAUUCAUUGUGGAUUAAAAAAAAAAUGAAUGAUAAAUUAACAUUGUGGAUUGAACGAGAAACCAAAAAUUAUCACUAAGCAUUAACCCUAUCACUAAGCAUUAAAAAAAUUGAUGUAAAACAAAAACAAAAAUAUCAAUUUCAUAAACAAAAGAAAGACAUCACAUCGAUUCUCAUAAAAGAAUGAUGUAAAACGUUACGAUACACAUCAGUUUCACAAGUCUUUCGAUAUUAAUAUACCGUUCUAUUAUAUAAUGAUAUUGAUGACAUACGAAUGAAGAACUGAAAUUAUAAUAAAGGUAUAUACUUUUAAAGUGGCUAGAUUAAAGUUGCGAAUAGACAUAAUGAAAUUUAAUUUUCAAUAAUAACAAAAUAGUAUUCUCAUCCCAUUUUAUUUCAGUUAUUUUUUUUUUGGUUGAAUUUUCGAAAGGAAUAAAUCUUUUAUUCACAACCUCUAUAUAAAAUUAUAAAUACACUUUUGUAUAAUAGUGUAAUAAUUAUUUCACUUUUCAUGAUUCAAAUUAAAGGCAAACAUUUCAUUCUUAAAAAAUAUGUUGCUCAAACAGGUUCAUAUAAAACGGGAGAUCGAGGGAAAUGAAAAGGAAAGCAUAAUAUAGCAUUCUAAACAUGUUUUAAAUGUAUGUGAUUUGAAAUAAAAAAAAAUUAUUUAUGAAAAAACUGUUUUAUCAAUUUUUACCGAACAAGAAUAUAAAAUAUUAUUAUAAAAUCAUGAUAAAUUCUAUUAUUCCAAAACUGGCUGCUAAUCUUAUAAAAAAUAAAAUAAAAUUGUCCGCCACUAAAUUCGUGGGCAAGGUUUAUCAAACAGUCCAUAAUUCCACCCUUCAACUACACACUCACUCAGCUCCGCUCACAUUUCCGGUCAGUUUGCGACAAUCUCGCUUAUAUUCACGUCUCUUUACUUUGUUGCCCAAUUAUCUUGGUUUUUUUUUUAUUAUUAAUUGCAGCUUGUAUAUCAAUUAUUACAUUUUUAAUUGUUAAUACACCUGAUGAAAUGAACAUAAUUACACAUGAACAAUUUCCCUCGUGAAAUCAGUUACUAAUUUUGAAGUACAAUUGUGCGAUGCUGAAUUCUGCGGUGCUAAUUGUCGAUUAAUUAACUUAAUAUGACACCUGUAGUUCUGAAUUUCGAUAUUUAUGAGUAAUUUUUAGACUGCAUUUAGGUUAAUGAUGUCCGUGUUUGGAUUAGCCUUGUUAGCCGAAAACAUGUCAAAUGUGUGUCUUGUAAGGGAAUAGAGGCAAUGUAAAAUCUACGGGAUGAUAAUCAUAAUAAAUUAAUAAUAAUGGCGAUAAUGAUUAAGUGGCUGUUUAAGGCCUAAUUGUUUGUUGAUUUCAUUUGUUAGGGUAAUUGUUGGUGGAUGUGAUAGACAUGGAUUUCUUGCGUUGGGCGUGUCCAUCACCGGAAGAACAGAAGUCGUGCAUCAACAAGUAAUGCAAGCAAUUAAGUUGAUUUCUAUAGCUAUGAAUUUAGAGAGUUAAUGAGUGUGAUUGGCGAUUUUUUUCUAGGUCUGUUGCUUUUAAUUACGAUAUUAAAUAUAAAGGAGCUAGUGCGAAGCCCGCGUCUUCGCUUCAAGAAAAUGAGGAGCUUAGUAAAGAUGGUUUCUUUGUUAAUCACGCAAAAGUUUUACUGGGUUCGGGGCCUGAGACUUAUGAGAAAGGCAAGACUGCACUGCAGACUUGGAAGUGAGUAUAUAAAAUUCUGGAUAGUAGCUAAUUUAAUUUAAAGGAUAUUUUGGUAUCUAAUGGAAAUUUGGUUUGUAGGCAUUUCGGAAUGAAUUGGGCUUUUGUUGAUCCUCAGACUCCAGUCCAAACAGGGGAGAAGUUGUGUGUUUGUGUCAAAGAGAUUGUACCAUGGAUCAUGAUGCCCCUGCAGGUUGUGUUUGUAAAUGAAAGCAAAAUGGCUAAUAAGCCUGUGGCCUCUUUCAGUUUCGGUAGCGGUACCCUCAAAGGACACCUACUGGUUAGUGCUUCUUUGCAAGUUCUGAGCAUGUAUUCACUGCAAGUCCUGGGCUUUUAGUCAUGCCAAUAGAUAUGAGUUACUAGAAAAUAGUUUUGUUUUCCAAACUCAUCAUAAUUAUUUUUUACUUGAAUGAGGCCUUGAUCUUCAGUAGUCUUUGGAAAGAAUUCUCAAAUUCACCUUUACUAAAAUCAUCAAGAGGUUCAUUGUCAGAACAUUUAAACUGCAUUGUUUGUUUGUCACAAAGAAGUGUACCUCGUUAAGCACCAAAGUCCCCAUGUAUAUAACUCAACUUGCAUCUACUCUUUAGUCUCAACUGUUAUUACCUUUUUUGCAACCUGAAACCUUUUCCUUGUGCAAGAGGAACGGUGUCCAGUUCGUAAAAAAUGCCAUAGUUUUUUCUAUCAACAGCUACAGUUAUGACAUUUAUGCAUUAAUGCUAUUAGCUAUAUAUAAUUGACUUUCUUUCGGUUUUAGUUGUUUAACAAUUGUUGUUCAUACAUACCAAGUCUGGUAAUGUAGGUUGGUCUAUUGCUCUCGGUCUCGGAUAUUGUAAAUUUUCAAUUAAUGCUAUUCCGAAUUUAUUAGGAAAAUAUUCUGUAGUGCUGCAAAUGGUUGUAAUAAGAACAUUCCAAAGUGAAAAAUUAUUGUUGGAAUCCCACAUUGAUAAAAAGUUUCAUAUCUGAAUAGAUCUCCAAGUGAUAUCAUGCAACUUUUAGACUAUUCAGAGGUGUCAAUCUUAUAAACCAAACCAAAUGUACCCAGUAUGUCCCACUUAUCGCAGAGGGUAAGAUUUUUGGAGUCUUACCUUCAUUCAAAAGAAUGAAGAGGAUGUUUUCAUAAAGACUCCCGGCUUGUGUUUGUACAUGUGUGCGAUUAUGUACAAAGUGAAAAUUACUACACAUAAGAAAACAAGAUAUAUCAAAUACAUGUACAAACAAAAUUUGAUCAUAUAAUUUGUAAAGUGAUCAAGUCAGUAAGUAACCGAGCCCAUAAUUUUCUUGACACGGGACUUACUUGUGAUUUGAAUUGAACCAUAAAAUCUGUAGAUUUCACUGCUCCAUCAAAAAUCCCUAAUUUCUUCAAUUAUUUCCAGGGUCUUAUUCAUCUCUAAAUGUUAAUAAAAUAAUCUCGAUUUCUGUUAGCGUUGUUGAUGUCCCUGUCAUGUGGUUGUGCCUUGGCAGCAAUACACUCACCCACAAUUUUAUACACAAAUUCACACACAUAAUAUACAUAAACCUUAUAAACUAGAUAGAAAGGAAUGGUUAAAGUUUGUUAUUUGUACUUCUGAUUUGACAGUCAGUAAAUAAGGAAGAUGAAAAAUAAUGAUAAUCACAAGUAAUUUGUAUGGAUCCAAGUAGAUUUGAAGAAAUGGAAAUGACAAUGUAAAACAAAUUCUUUUUCACAUUGGUAUUUGGGAUACUAUGGCCCUGUUUGUUUAAGAGAAGCUGAAGCUGCUUCUGGCUUCUGCUUCUCUUGAUCCGUUUGUGUAAAAAAGUAGAAGCACUUUUAAGAAGCUGAGAAUGCUAGCUUCUCUCUCACAACUUCUGCUUCUUUUCCAAACACUUUAUUAACUUAUUUACUUUUCACUUCUGCUCCACUUCUCUAGUUUAAGCAAGAAGUCACUUCUUUUAAGCUUGUCCAAACAGCCCCUAUAACUAUUGGUUCCAUUUUCGUUAAUUGCUGUAAAAUAAAGCAGUCUGAGUUUCUUAUGUACUUUUUAAUGCUACCUGAAAAGCUUAGCAGUUAACCAUUCUAAUGUUAUCUAUCAAUUGGAUAUAAUUUGUUAUAGCUCCAGCUUAUCUGUUGCAUGCAUCAGCCAAGUCUAGUGUUUAAACUAGUGACUAAUUGGUGGGGCUGACAUUCAGAAAUUGUGGUCAUGCUUAUCCUUUCAUUGGUUAUUUGCUAAACUGGUGUGUUCAGUGCAUUUUUAUUGUUUUAACUUUAGCAAUCAAAUCAUUCAUCAAGUUUAUGUAAAUACCUCUAGUACUCUAUAGUUGCUGUAAUAAGUUAUUAGCUUUGUGCUCAAUACCCUCAAACAAUAUAGUUGCAUAAUAAAUAUUAAGAUUUUACUUGGUUGUAUAUCUUUUUAGUAACAAAGAGUUAAUGUAAUAUAUUCCUUUGUUGAAAACAGGCUGGUGAAGAGCGUUUCUCAGUUGAGCUAGACGAGAACAAUCAAGUUUGGUAUGAGAUACUUUCUUUUUCAAAGCCGGACCACUUUAUCUCGCGAAUUGGGUAUCCAUAUGCGCGUCUCAGACAAAAGUACUUUGCUAAUCAAUCUAGUUCUGCAAUGCAAAAUUAUGUAUCUUCCAACUAAAUUACUUAAUAUCCUUGUCACUUUUUAUUUUGAACUUUUAGCAAAUAUUAUGUCCUAUAGAUCUGUAUAAUUUGAAUAUUUUCAGUUAACUUUAUAUACAAAGAUUAAUAGGCUGUUUCUGGAGUCAAUAAUUCUAUAGGUGAACUGUUGACCAUCAUUUCAAUCAGGAAUGCCGUUGUCAAAGUCGCACAUUGGUUGACAUAUAUUGAACGAUAUGGUGGCAUCAACUUUUCACACUUAGUGACUUACAAAUCGGGAUGAACAGAAAGUGUGAUAUAGUGCAAAAGCAAUAAUCAUGUUGAUAAUUAGUUUAAUUACAGGAUUGAUAUGCAUUUUGUUAGUAAGAGUUGGAAACUUGAAUAUUAAAUAUAGUUAUUAGCAUUUUGGUCUCAGUUCUGAAGUGGGGUAGUUGUGGAUAAUGUAGGGAACUAUUAAAUGAGAAUAAUAUGUGAAAAAAACUAAAUAUUAAAUGAGAAAGAAUGAAAAACCAACACGAAAAGAUUUCUCCUUAGGUUUGUAUCGUAAUUCUUAGCAUUUCAGGUCUAUAUUCUUUAAGCACAUAAUGAAACCACUAAACUUCUGAUGCUAUGAAGUUUCUUGUGGAAAUUAGGCUGCUGCCUUCAUCUCGAAGAACUGAGAGAGUUAUAUAAUGGGAAUUUUUAGUUGAUCGGAGUUUUGCAACGCCUAGAGUCUUUUAAAGAUAUUGCUAAGAAGGUUUAUGCAAUUCAUUUUAUGCUUCUAUUCAGUAGCAAAAACAUACCUGUAGGAUCUUGAUGCUGAAGUAUGUCAUGUGUAUCACCUAUUAGAUAUGGUGGAUCCAGAACUGAAAGGAUUUCCUGAGGAUGAAGUCAUUAGAUAUAUCAAAAUUGCAUUUUUCUGCACGCAGGGAUCAGCAAGUAGGAGGCCAACAAUGGGCCAAGUUGUUGACAUGCUCUCAAGAAACACCAGGUUGAAUGAGAAGGAACUGUUGGCCCCAGGUUUUUCCCAAGAUAUGGGUGCACGUUCAUCUUCGAGGAACAAGUCAUCUGAUACCCCAACAAGCACUCAGAUGAGCUCUGUCCCCAUCUCUGUCACUCAAAUCACCCCUAGAUAAAACUCGAGUUUCCUUAUUUUGUAGACAAGAUUUAAAAAGGAAUUCGAAGGCAAAAAUGUGCUACAUAUGCNUAUUUGAAGACCAUAUCUUACACCCUUAAUUAAAACAAUAAACAACGGCAGAUGUGAAGACAUGUGGCAAGUCUUUAAUAUUUUAAUAAAUGUAGAUAACCUCAGUAUAUCAUACUGUAUGAAUUGUAGUUUUGCAAACUUCAGUGAUACAAGACAUUCAAUUGACAGUUAAUUACUCGUCAUUUCUCCUGCUUAAUUUUUUCCGUCAGAUCAAAAUCCACAUGAUCAUAGGAUAAGAUCGACAACGCGAAAUAGUGCAGAACAACUACGACAUAAGUCGGAGAACCGUCUACAAGUAACGUGUUAUUGGGAAACUACAGGACAUGAAUCAAAUGUGAAGAACUAUAAUCUGUUAAUUUUUCGAUUGUUUUGUUGUGUUCUUGUUUAAGCUCGACUGGAUGCUUGCUGCAUGUCAAUGAAAAUAAAAGAAAAUGGGGCCAUUAUAUGACUUUGAUGUUCUUAAAAUGACUGUGUAAUAAAGUAUUAUCGCUUGCUAAUAUGGUGGUGUUGUUUAGUUGUUUAUGCAUGACCAAGCAGUUUGAUAAAUGUUGUAUUGUUCUGUUUGAACUAUGAUCUGCUCUAUUUUGUGUAUUGUUCUUCAGUCGCAGUAUACUGAGGGACAAGUAGACUGAGAAUAAGAAGGAUAAAUAUCAAAGAUAAUCUUGGUGCUUGAAUUCAUGAGAACAGAACAACCGCCUGAUUUCACGCUUGAUUUCUGAGUAACCGUUAUAAUGUAUUUAUACGGUGAAGAGAGUAUAAGAAACAAUAAACAAGUAAACAUUCUUUUUAAAAUAAUAACCACCAUUAGAUUUGAAGAAGAUGGACGGACCAGAUGGGGUCUCCAAUACUCCAAAUAAAUCCGGUCUCCACAGAACUUAAGCCUAUAUAUAUAUACUUCCAUUAUUUGAGAUAAAUAUACAUAGGCCCUCCAUCUCAAAAUACUCAUAUCAGUUGAGAAGUAUAAAUCAGAUCACAUUACUGAGAGACAAUGUUCAAGAGACCCUUAUCCUAGUCAGGAUCCCUGGUAUGUGUUAAAAGUAUAAAUUUCAUUUGGUGUUUUGUUAAAUACAUAUAGGUUCAAGGAGAGUGAUAAUGUAAAUUGGCAUCAGAUUCUAGGUUUAUUUAGAGAGGUCUGUUGUUGCUCCUUGUUACAUUGGGAUUGUGCCCCCUUGAUUAAUAUGUUAUGGUGGCCCCCUUGUGCAUUCGAGGGGAGUAUUAGAGGUAUAAGAUUCAUUUAGUGGAUUCUAUCAACACCUAAUUUUUUUAAGAAUUAGCUAUCUAACAAUAUGCUCUCUAUGCCAUUCUCUGUGACUCAGAUGCCUCCACUCUUUGUUAUUUACAUGAUUCAGUCUGCCCUUCAUUUGACCUGAGUCUCAUUAAUGCUCCAUCUAUGCUAUCUAGUUAAUUAAAACAUAUGUCAUGUUCUCUUCCUGCUUGUGACAAGUGACUACUAUGUUCCCUUGGACUUCAAGUUGGUGUGAAAAUAAAGAUCAGGACAUGCUGUAAGACUUUUGAUGUUCGUGGAAGUAGAAAUAUUUGGUACUAGAAUCACCAUGGCUAGGUGGUCAUCCUGAUUAAUAAAUUGCAAUGUACUCCAUGUUGCACACUUGCCUCAGGGCGGCAAUCAACUUUUUGUGAUCUUUUAACCUCUCUCCGGAAAAUGUGUACUGGGGCAGUGUAGCCUUCAGUGCUUAACUAUCCAUUUCUUCUCCGUAGAACAGACUGUAGGUUUCACAUUCACUCGUGUGGUAACUUAUGACAUGAUAUAUGUUUACAUUCAUAGUUAUCAGAUUUUUGAUGAAUUUGUCAACAAACUUAUCAUAGCAUUACUCAUGUUGGUUCUGAGAGAUGGUUUGUGGCAAAUCGAGAUCAUUUGUCCAUAUGUAAUUUUUUUUUUAAAAUGGUAACAAUUUUCUUGGCCGUUGGCACAGUUGAUACUUCAGUUUCUCAUAUUUUGAGUUUAUUCAGAUCCUCUUAGAUGUCAAGUGUGCUAGGAUGCAACCUACUAGGCAAGCUAGUUUGAGUUGGGCUCUUAUUAAAUUAUAUAGAGUACCUGAAACUUCUAUUUACUGCUGUAUAUACCUUAGUAACCAAGAUGAGCUAUAAACUAGUGUCGGAAGCGUGAUGAUAUGUCUGGAGAUGGUAUUCUCUGAGUUAUAUCUUCUUGUAAAUUGCAGCAGUUAUAGUUAGAUUAAUAUCGAAAACAUUUUAUACAUAAACAUGAUAUACAUGGUAAGCCCUUUUAUAAUGUCUAACGAGCGUCUCUAACUCAACAUAAUAUCAUGGUUUUGUUGAACCAACCGUUUCAGAAAUCCACAUAAAACCAUAAAAAUGGCCUUUGAGUACCGGUAAGCAUGAUAUGCAUAUUAAGUUUUCAUCCUUAGCACAUCUAGAUUUUAAGAGAAUCGGUAUUCUAGCAAAAAUCGUUGGUCAUUUCAUGUUGCCCACACGUAGCCCACACUGACUUCCACAUUUUCCUCCUUCCAACACCUUUACACAAAGUUGCAUCAAUGGGGAAUUCCUCAAGUCACUAAAUUAUUGUAAUCUAUAUACGACAAAAUAGUGCAGAUUCUUGAGAUCUGUUUAGGGAACUAAGAAAUAAGAAUGAAUGAAGAUUAUAUAUAUUAAGAUUAUAUACAUAAGAAGAUAUAGAGAUUGGCAAUUGAUAUUAUAUACUUUCUUUGCACGUAUGGCAUUUUAUAUAUGUGUCUCCACUGCAUUCAUUAUUGUCUAUUGAUAUUUUUAUAAUGCAAGUAGAUGCCUGACUCGCUUAGCUCAUUUGAUAUGUCAUACUUAAUGUCUUAGUUCCUACCUUAAGUUUGUUGCUUGCUACAUUUGUAUUUUAAUGAAAGGAAUAUUCGAGAAUCAUAUAGAUGGAUUCUAAAGAAGAGUCUCCAUUUUCUGCUAUCUUCUUUACUUUUCCAUCUCAUUUGCUUUUCCAAUUGUAGACACGAAUCACAAUUUCUUUUUUCAAGAAAGAAUUCAUUAAUUUGAUGCUGUAAUUGUCUAAUAGGAUUUUGCUUGGGCGAUUCACACGUUGCGACUUACUGACUCUUUUAUUGUUCUUUAAACACAAAAAAUUGCUUUAGGUGGGUUUCACGCCCAUAAGUUUCGUGAGGUUUGUUAUUAUAUAGCAAGGCUCUGUUGUUGCAAUCCAUCAUCAUAGUUUCUCAAGUAAAAUAUUAUAUUUGAUAUUGUAGGUUUGCCUAGUCGUAUAUCUCUGUUUAAAGAGGGAUUUAGCUGUUAAGACAAAUAAUGCAUACUUGAGUCUACCUGUUAUAAUAAAUGUUUGCACGAGUGGUAUGCCUCCUUUGUUUCCGGCACCGGGGUUUUGCUACCUGCCAUAUUAUCUGUAUUUUCUUUAUAUAUUAAUGAUAUCUUAUCAAUGCAGCCAAAUAUGCUUUGUACUACAUGCAUUAUCAUGAUCCUUUUAAAUAUUCAUGUUGUUGCUGCUGUGACCUCCUUGAAUUACUCUUAGAUUAUAAAUGUUACUAGUUAGCAAUAUAUCUAAUUUUUCAGACCCGAAGCCUUUUCAUUCCUACCUUCUCAAUUUUCAUACACUAACUUCCCUUGCCGGCUUGCCAUGCAUUUGAAAAUUUUAUAAAUUAGUUGUGAGAUUUUUCCUUCUUGUUUUGCUGUACACAAUUGUAAAAUAUCAUAGAUUAUUGUUUUUAGUUUUUAUUGAGACUUGAAUAGAAAGUGAGCUGCUAUGCUAGUUACAGUGGCAGGGACGGAACUGAACUGGAGGGGCACGGGUGACGGCCGUCCCCCCAAAAGUUGCUAUUUUUUAUCUAUAAAAUUUCAAAAAUUGUUAUUUGGUCCCCCCAUUUUUUACUUGAUUACUUAUGUUAAAAGGAAGUCGCUGGAAAAAUUGACAAUGAAUCUGUCAUUGAAGUGUUUUACGAGAUGAAAAUGUUGUCAAAUGCAGUUAAAGUAGUAUCUAUGUAUAGUUUGCCUCAUUUGAUGUUUAAAAGUUGCGUAUAUGAAGUGAUAUUUUAUCUAUCCUUUCAGAAUAAAUUAUGCGAUUUAGUUUAAAAGUUCGGCCCCUCCAUUUUUUCUUCAAGUUCCGUCCCUGUUCAGAGACAAUGACUGCUGCUGGCUCUGUCAUUGUCGACUCUCCCAUACUUGAAGUAUUAAAUGGAACAUUGAAUUUAUUUCAUAAUUAAGUAACAGGGGCCGGCCAAGUGCCAACUAUGUACUAUCUAACAGUCCUUUAUGAAUUUUGUCCUAAUGUAUAAUCUAUUUUUUGGUCAUUGAAUUAUGUAUUUUGUUCAAUAAAUUCAUUACUAUAUAUAUUGCUGAGCUUUUCCAAUAAAUGAAGAUCGUUUCGUUUAGUCUAGUUACCAUUAAGAAGGGUAACUGUUGCUCCUAAUUAUGUCUGGAUGGGUGGAACCUUCGUAAGAUUAUACUGGAGAUUGUAGAAAUGAGAUCAAACUGAGAUCACAUGCUUAAUUGUUAAUCAAGAUUCACAUUGAUAUAGUCGCUGAGAUAAACAUUGAAUAAUGUUUUAAUUUGUUUACUUAAAUGUUGCACGAAUGGUAUUUUGUCAGUAUGUCAACACUGAGGUUUGUUACCUAAAACUAUAUUCUUUUUGGAAUCUGGAUAUAUAUUAUCCUCUAAUUAUUGUGUUGUAGCAAUGACUUUCGUUGUGUGUGUGUGCACGCUUUUUGUUUAGCAAGUUUUGUCUAAUGAUUUGUGCUUUCAGACCUCGGUUAAGUUUUCUCUGAUUCUUCCUGACGUUUAUAUAACUUGCUUUUUGAUUAAGCAGUUAUCCGACACUGUGUGACAUGAUAAAACUUAAUCAUCUUAUCAGGUGAAACUCUGAUCAAUUUCUAUCCUGUUACAUUACCAUGGACCUCGAAUGUAGGCCAAAAUUUAGAAUCUGGGAUGGCUGUUUAGAGAUAUUGAUGUGAUAUGGACUAUAAUAAUGCAACUAAUAUACAAUAAUUUGUUUGCAUAUGGGUGGUGGUUUCUACUUUCUAGAUAUUGAAUACUGGUAAAGACAAUAUGAUAUUUGUGCAUGGCUGGCAUGUUUCCAAAGUGUUCCCUUUCAGGUUUGCACUUGGCCAGCCAAAGAAGUGACUACAGCUAAGAUGUUGUAUAAUUAUUUAUUCAUUCCUUCUUUGCUUAGAUCUGUAUUGUUUUUCUAUAUCGAGGUUCAUGGAGACUGACAUUUUCAUCUAUAACUGAGGAAAUAAUUUUUAACUGUUUAGUUAAUUUAUGUUUUUACCAUAAUUAUUUCUUUGAGGAAUGAAGUAGGUUGAUUCUCUGAAUGUCCCUGCAGGCCUGGUUAAUUAUCAGUAGGAGAUGCAGGCAUGCGAUUCCAAAUUUUAUCUGUUUAUAUAAUUUUGAAAUGUUUCUAAAUUAUUAUUUUUUCCUUCGAAAAGGUUAACAGGGAAUCUGCAGAAACUGACUCCCUACUUUAACUUUUUCUAGUAUCAUAAUAUAUGCUCAUAUAUCUUACCCUUUCCAGAUUCUAAUUCAAAUGAGAUAUGCAUUAUAUGCUAUAUGUUUCAGUUACUAUGUCAGAUGGGUUUCAAUUGGUUACUAAUAUACUGAUGGAAUUUUAUAUACGAUGUGGUGAAGAAAUCAUAAAUCAUAAUUUGGAUGUAAUAAUUAUUCACUUCACCAAUUGUUUUGGAUAUGUAGGAACCCAUGAACAUAGAAAUUUAAUGAGAUUAGUGUAUGGGAGAUUAAACUUAGGAUAAGGCUUUUUUGAAGGAUUAUACCAUAUCAUGCUUUGUGAGAUAAAUUUAGUGACAUUGAUUUAAUUCUUAUCAUAUCUGUUGCAAAAUUCCUCCAUGGAUAUGUUUUGCAUUAUCAGAUAAUCCUGGAAAUGAAGAACACAGUGACAGUAUGGUGGAGACCGAGGUAUGUGAAACAUUGAAGUACUAUAUUGGAAUUGUGUAUAUACAUUCGAAAAUGAGCAUGUAAUAGCUAAUAGUUUUGUUUACAUGUUUAUACAAUGCAAAAUUGAGUUCCACAAGCUUAUCCUCUAAUAUUCGGAUACUUUUGCAGAUGUCAAGAAUCACAGAUCAUACUACUUAAUUACUGGGAAACAAUGUUGAGCAGAGACGCUCUUGUUCUAAUGAAGUGCCUAAACAUGCUCUCCAAGCCAUUCUCAAUGCCUUCAACAUCACUCUCCAAGGUCUUUACUCGAUCCACUUCAUUUACAUCAUGCUGUUGAUCUUCACUUGACACAGCACCCUUGUGCAUCAGUUUUGAAACUUGCAACCACUUUGUAGUAGCCUUUGGCUUCAAUAUAGGUGUAGAUAAGAAUAGCAAAACAGAUUGAAAGACAGAAACACUUGCGGCAGUGACUUCUUUUAGUGAUCUAAUCACUGCACCUAGGUGCUGAUCUUGAUCAAAGAUUUCUAAUACACUGCUUUUGGUAUCCACUUGCUUGAGAGAUGCAGUCAAUUUUUUCGAAUCCUUGUUAAUCGCCUUUCUGAAAGCUGCAAAUUCCGCGCUUGAGUCCCCCUUCUUCCUUCUUAAAGCAGACAGAAGCUCUCUGGCAUGAACUUUAAUCUCUGACAUAACAUCUCUUGUAUUCCCACAGAUAUCCAAAAGCCUCACCGAUUUAUCCAUCAACUCAUUGACACACUUCUCGUUCUGAUGGUGAGAAAGCGCUUGCUGGGUCAGUGGCAAAUUCAGAAACUCAUCUGUAUAUUUGUACAACUCCCCAAGCCUGCACAGACCAUCACAAACCGUGUCCGCUGUCAAAACAUCAGAAGCCUCCGCUUCCCAUGAUCUGAUCCUGGUAAGCCCUUCUUCGAUCUUGCAAGCACUCGGAUGCAACGUCGACGGGAAGCUAGUCGAUCGAACAGUGCAACGUUUGUUGAAUUUCAUUGAAGUAGCCAUUUUCUUAACUUGUCAAAACUUUUGAUCUGCCAAGCUCUGAAAAUAUUUGAUACCUCAACCUUCAACUCUCUGCUAUUUAUAUGCUGAUACCCUAGGAUAUUAUACAAAUGUAUCUAGAUAUUAUUAUAAAAAUAUCGGCAACUAGCGGAUGAAAAGGACGUAUUUAAAAUUUCACGGGUAACUCUUCGCACAAGAUGGCUCCGCCCCUGUCGAUAGUAACGUGGCUGGCAUUUCAUGUGAAAUGGACUUAUUUAUUUCAAUUAUUUCAUCUUUGUCCCCAGCAAGCUCAACAAUAAUUUGCCACAUUUUUUUAGCAUUUUUAUAAAAAUGCAUUAGUCACGCCAAUUUGGCCUCCCAAUUAUUGCUCUUCGAGUGCCACAUUUCACUUUUUUCCUACCAUCCACAUACGUGUAACUUUUUGCAUCAAUGUGGAAAAAAGAUGGUAUUAUAAUCGCAACAGUGGAGAUCUGGAGAUCUUUCAGCAGAUUAAAUAAGCUACGGCUAUGGUUUAUUUGCAAACGUGUUUCCACCGUUUCAUCUGCCUUGCUGCCUAACUUGCUUACUCUAGUUUUGAUCUUUUUGUACAAGUCAGAGCAAGAUGCCUAAUCCGCUUAAUUUUUCUGGCGAGUUAUCGUUUCCACUUGUUUAUCAUUUUCGUCGUGUAUUCGGACUCUCAAAUUCUCGACCUCUUGUUAUUAUCACUAAUCGGGUUGAAACGGGGAUUUUUCGCGUAAAUUUGAAAAUUUGGCUUCUAAUUAUAUAAAAUUGUUUAAAUUAUAUUAUCCAAGCUGUUUAACGUAAUUAUUUGUAUUAAUUCUAAAUCAUGUUUAUGUUGGUGUGCUAAUUGUUGGUUGUAUGAUUAGGAAAAAAACAGGUAGAGUGGGAUCUAAGGUGAUUAAUAAGCUAAUUAUUGAUAGAUAUGGGUUUACAAACUUACAAUGAAUGCAGACACAUGUUUAAUAAAUGUAUACACGAGUGCUAUGUUCCACAUUGUCUGCGCUAAGGUUUGCUACUAGCUGGCUUUCACUUGUCUCGUCCUUCAAGUGUUCUCUCUAGUCUCUACCGUUGGAAAAAAUUCUAUUGAAUAAUUUUUUAAUCGUAAGUGUUCAAGAGCUUAAUAAGGGUAAUUUUGCGAUAAAACCAGAUUAGCUGCGCUUAAAAAGUUAAAAUUACUGGUUUGUUGUUGUGGGCCUCUACUUAAUAGGUUUAAAUCAUUUGAGUAGCUUUAAAAAUUUUGUGGGCUUAAAAGUGGGCUCUGCAUGCACCACAUGGCAAGAUAGUGUUAAUAGAAAAACAACUUGUCAAGAUAAUUAUUAUUUAGUUUAUGUUAGUUUAAUCAAUCAAUUAUAAGUUUAAUAAAUUAUUAAAUUCUAAUCAAUAUCUAUUUUUUGUUUUUUUAAACUUAUAUUAACUAAUAUAUCAGUCAAUUCCAUUAAAAAUACUCUGAUUUCUAAUUAUAAUUUCUACCUAGUAACCUAGAAGAAGAUUAGAUUAUAUAAUUAGAUUUUCAGGAGCCGUAAAACAUCGUUGUGAGAUGGAAAAUUAGUUGGAAUAUAAAUAAUAAAAUAAAUCUAUUAAUAUGAGAUCUUUUAAGAUGCGCUCGAAAAUAAAUUUGCAUAAAUUCAGUCUAAAAUAAAUAAUAUUAUAUUAUUUUGAAUUAUGACUCACUCAACAGCUUAAUAAACAGUUCACAAUUUCAGAUUAAUAAUAAGUCCGACUCUCCCAGAAUGGCCACGAGAUAGACGAGUCAUCCUGCAUUUUAUUUUUGAGCUCAUCUCGAAAAAUUUCACAAUAACAAAAUUAUUUGACCUUAAUAUUCUAACUACCUGCCCAGGUGUGCCAACUCCCCACACUUGCUAGUAUGUUUAAUACAAAACCUACAUAGUGGUAUCUUCUUGUUGAAAGAAUAUUAUAUAUUAUUUACAAAGUAAGGACCAGUUGAUUUGUCUGAUUAUGAAAUUCUUGAGAAAACAGAUAACUUUUUUUAUUUAAUAAUAAUAAUAAAAAACAAAAAUACUUUUUCACAGCUAAUAUAUAAAAUUGUUACAUACUUGGCCUAAUUAUUGUAAAUCUAACUAAUUAUGGUUCCAAGAAAAGGACAUUUUUUAAAUAAAUCUAAUAAUGUGAUAAUUAGAACGCACUCCAUGACAUGGUUCACACAAAUAAGAUCUGAAUAACUUCAAACUUGGGUAUUUAUAUACGACUAUAAGAGUAUUAUAGGCGCAAAAAAAAUGACAUAAUAAUUGAGUGGAAAAAUUUAAUUGAUAUUAUUAAUAGAUGUUUGGACUUUUUUUUAAUAAAAUAUUAACACAUACUUACUUUGUGAAUCUGGUGGUACACAAUUUCAUAUAUCAAAUAUUUUUCAUUGUAUAUACAGACGUACAUUUCUCACACUGUCGCACAGAUUCUUAACAUACCGAUACAAAAUUACAUGCUGAAGCUCCUUUCCACCAACAAGGCCUGAAACCGUCUAAUAUCCAAAACAUUCAAUCAAAAUCUUUUCUAUUCCCUUUUGUAAUAUCAGCAAAAAGUCGAAGAAAAAAUAUAUACAGCCUAGAUACAUCUUCCUAUAAAAGAUUUCAUCCUAGAUUUUCUACAGGCUAAUUUAUAAUUUGGUACCACCGUCAACUUAUUAUUCUUGUAAAAGGGUUCAUGAACCCAUGAAAGUCGGUUGCUAAUUUAAAUGAAAUGCAGAACUUGUACGUACAUUUGUCUGCAUAGGAUGUACCUUCAGUACACAAUAACAUUGAGAUUUUUGUUUAGAUUAAUUGUCUGGGGAUAUUACAUGUUUUUAAAGAAAGAGCAAUAGGAUAAGAUUAUAUAUGUCAUAUGUAUGUAUGGGUUCUUAUAUUAAAGUUAUUAAUAUAUUAUUAUAAAGCAUGCAGGCUUAACUUUGGCAGAGAAGAUGGAGUUAUAUUCUAACUUGUGCAUGGCUGUCAAUGUUUAAGCAAUGUCCCCUGUUAAGGUUUGUAGCCGUAGAUAAAAAUUUGAUCUAAGAUGGCCUGAAUAAGAAUCAGAAUAUUUUCCAAUAAUAUUAACUUAGUCCAAAACUGGUGUUAAUUUUAAUGAAUAAAGGCAGCUGACUCGUGCAAGAGCAACUUAGAUUUACUUUUAACAAAAAUAAGUUCCUUUUAUUCAAGAAAAAUACACUUCUAUUCUGUUAAUAUAUAUCAAUAUUUGCUGACUCUAUAUGAACAUAAUCAACAUACUUAUAACUAGAAAUACUUGAUUAUUGUAUGUAACUGCUCCAAAACAAUACAUCAUUUAAAAAAGUGAAAUUUUUCCAAAAUAAUUGUUCAACACUUUCUUAACAAAUGCAAAACAAUUGGUCCCACUGUUCUCACAUGAACCACUAUCUAAAUCUAUAUAUAAAUACGAUUCUAAUACAUGUAUAAUAGAACCAUUAAAGACUCACUCAUAUUGGGUUCACACAAUUCUUAAAUAAUAUAAGAGAUAGGAAGUUUAAAAGGAUGCAUUUCAUUUUAUAUAAUAAAUUUUAAAUGACAGUAUUUGAGUUGUUAUUUCAAAUAUCCAUAUGAUGAAACCGGGUUUCCAAACAAAUUAUAAAUAUAGUGAUAUUAUUAAAUAACCUUGAUCUCUGAACCUAAACGUGUUAUCAUUAAGAAACCGGCUAAGGUUAUGAAAUUAGGUUAGUUUGUUUCAUGAAAUUAUAAUUUGUGUAAUUAGUCUCCUCAUUAUUAAUUUUAAACAUCAUACAUUGUUAUAAACUUAUUCAUUUUUCUAAUAUAGUAGGAAUGUGAAUUGGGAGGGAAGGAAUUGAAAGGAUCCUCUGAAACAGUUUCACGUGAUUUAAUUUUGAAACAAAUAUAAAGAUCUUUAAGCUUAUCGGUUUAGAUAUAACACUUUGGAUCUUAGUUGCAUUCAUUAUUUAUACAUAUAGAAGCAAAGAAGAAGAAAUCAUGGAAUAGAGAAGAGACUAUAUGUGAUGGAACUCAAAUGUUUGUAUAUAUUUACUCAUGGAAAGAACUAAUACAGUUCUUUCUCUUUACAUUUCAAUCAGCAUCUAUAAACUAAUCAAUCCUCUAAAAUUCGGAUAGUUUUGUCAAAACAUCUAAUCACUGCGAAACAAUGUUAAGCAGAGAAGUUCUUAUUCUAACAAUGUGCCUAAACAUGCAUUCCAGUUCGUUUUCAAUUCCUUCAACUCCGGCCUCCAAUGCCUCUAGUCUUUGCUUCAGCAAACCAGACUCUUUAGUUGAACCCGAUGUUAUACUUGAUAAUUCCGCGUCCACCUUCUCCAUUUCAUUCAUUUGUUGAUGAUCUUCACAUGCAACUCUGUUUUUGUGCAUGAAUCUUGAAACUAAUGACCACUUUGUGGAUUUCACCUUUGUGGAUGUUGCUAAGAACACGAGUACGUAGUUGAAUACAGAAAUAGUGGUGGCAGUAACUUCAUUGAGUACUCGAAUAACUGAAAUUAAGUGUUGAUCUGAAUCAGCAAAUUGAGAGCCACUUGUUCUGUUAUCUAGUUGGUUAAGAACUGCGGCUAGUCUUUUGGCAUCUUUGUUUAUUUUCUUUCUGAACAAUGUGUACUUGGUAAAGCUACUUGGAUCGCCUUUAGGCCUCCUUCGUAGACAUGAAUGAAGAUCUGCAGCGUUUACUUUAACUUGUGACAUAAUAUCUUUUGCACUUCCACAGAUAUCUAGGAAUCUGAUGGAUCCAUCCAGCAACUCGUUGAAUGGGUCGUCGUGUUGAAGGGCAGAGAGGGCUUGUUGAGUCAGUGGCAGAUUGAGAAGAUCGUCCGUGCAUCUAUACAACUCGCCUAAUCCAGAUAGGCCGUUGCAGAUGGUCUCUGCUGUUGGUGCAUUUGUUGAUACUUCAGCUUCCCAUGUUUUAAGCUUGUUCAGCUCCUGAUCCAUCUUGUAAGUACUCGAAUGUGGCCUGCAAGGUAAGCUAAUUGAUCGAAUGCCACCACGGGGUUUGUUGCAUCUCAUUGAAGCAGCCAUUGUUUGUUUCUGUGUUAAGAAUAUGAAGUUAUGUGAAGUGUUGAUAUCCAAACCUCUGUUGCAUUUUGUUAUAUAUAGACAAAUGCUAAGACAAGAGCAAGAUUAGUUUUAAAAUUAUGGGACAAAGUAAUGGGCAUGUGAUCAAGAUGACCUUUGCUAUUUUUUAAGUCUUGGUAUUUGGUGAAAUUCAUUGGUCAUUUUUGGUGUGGCAUGCUCUUUGAGUGCCACAUUGCCAUCUUUUGCGCAGCUUCAUCUACGUGCAUUCUGCAUAUGCAAAAGUUGAAUCAAAGGGGAGAUUUCAAGUCAUCAAGAAAGUAUUUAACAAUAGAUUUUAAUAUGAUGCUGCAGAUUGUGUGAUCUUUCUGGGGAUUAAUAAAUAAUUACAGAUGCAGAUGAGAUUUCUGGAGUAGGAUUGAAGAUACAUACCAGAUUAGUUUAAGUGAUUGGCCAUAAAUAUUCUAAAAUGGUUGCAGGUAUGUGUCUUUUGUAGACGUGUCUCCACCGUAUUGCUCGAUUUUCUCUCUUAUUGGAUGUCAGUUGCUGCCCAACUUGCUAACUCUUAGGUGAGUCAUGUCUCUUUCUAUUUUUUAUGUCUAGCUCCCACUUAUUGGUAAUGCAGUGCUCAUCUUAGGCCCUUGUUAUUGUUACAACUCACCGUCAGAAGUAAGGCAUGCGUACAUCUUAGUCAUCGGACCUCCGAAAAAUAGUAUAUUCAGUUUGAUCUUGUAACACAAUCUUCUUUCACUAAUACAGAGUUCUCAUCCAUUUGACUUUAGAACAUGGUAAAUUUUUAACAUAGCUUCAGGUACAAGAAGGCCCCAGACCAAUGCACCAGGGAUUAUCCUAAAUGCAUGUAUUAGGACAACUAAACUAUUGAGAUUAACAACAAUCUUGGUAACAUAUAUCUCAUUAAUGAUUGGUUUUUGUUUUAUCUGGAGCUAUAGUGCUCAUUGUUUAUUUUGGCGCCCACAUAUGUGUAAGGGACUAAGGGUCAUAUUGAUUGGUCUAUUUCAUGCAUGCAUCUAUUAAUGACACUCUCACCCUUGUGCUUAUACAUAGAUCUUCUUGGAUUUAUCAAAGUCGGCAGCCAUUAAAUUUGCAGACGGUGGCUUGCAUUUAAGUUGUCUAAAUGAGAAGAACCUUGUACAAAUAAUGCAGAGAAUUACUAGUACCAGUACUCUGUGGAUUUAGCUAGAUCAUUAAGUUCUUAAAUUAUUGAUCUAAGAUUAUGAUGGAUAUGGUUGUUAAUUCUACAUGUUUGCAAGAGUGGCAUGUUUUACAAUAAUGUCUGCACUGAGGUUUGCUUGGAUUAUUGUACCUUUCCAUAUGCAAAGUACAUUAGUACUAAACUACAAGAUCUACAGCUAAUAUAUACGUUUUCAGAUUAAUCAAUCUUGACAAAGUCUUCCUUUUGUUGAUGAAUUUUAAUGGGUGCAAUUAUGUUUUUGUUGUUAAUCAUCAAUUUUAUGAUUAAGAAGCUUACGAAAUAAUCAUGUACAGAUGUGUAUAAGAUAAUCAUGUUCUGAGUGAAAAUUAUUUUAGACUAAAAUUAAUCAUGCACAAAUUACCGGUUACAGUGGUGAGAAAAUAACAAUAGUGCAGAUCACUUGAACCAUUGAACUUUGUUAGAAUAUAAUAUGAUCCUGGUAAGCCCUUCUUCUAACACCUCGAGGUUUUAGGAGAAUUGAUCACUUAACAUGGUAUUAGAGCUCUGUAUAAUAGAGAGUUGUGAAGAGUUUCUAGUUUCUAUUCAAGCCCAGACAUGUACAUAUAUGAUACUGAAUAUGGUUUAAACCUGGUAACUUAGCAAAAUUUCUGCCUAAACCUUUUACCCGUCUAAAUCAAGUUAUCAUGUGUGCGUUUUAUUUGUUUUUUUUACUUAAUCUCGUGGGUCUUCUUGAUCCUGAUGAACCUUUGGCAUAACUGAACCAAGUCUGUAGUUACUUAUUAGUAAUAGUAUUGCAAAAACCAUAAGAAAGCACAAUACCAUAGUCUACAGGCUGAUAUAAGUUUAUAUUUGAUGAAACACUUCAGCAAAAUGAAUGGAAUAAAUCCAAAGAAGAGAAAAUGUUACACUGAGCUAGCUUGAGCUUGAUGGAGAUCUUAAUAUUUACUUUUUAAUAAGUUGUAGAACAAGGAUUGCAUGCAAUAUUAUGAUGUUCGAAGAGCCAAAGGUAUUCUGAGAAUAAACAAAAGCAAAUAUAUAUGUAGCCGUAGAAGAUUAAUCUUGUAAAUGUUCCAGUAUAAGUAUAAAUAUCCCUCAUUUACAUUUCAGUUGAACUAAUAAAUGAAUAUGUAAAACUAAGGCACUUUCUGAUGCUAGAUCUAUAAGCUGGAGAUGAUAUUUAGAAAAGAUGCUCUUGUUCUAAUCAAUCUUCUGGACAUGCACUCGCUUGCAGAUUCAACGAGUUCAAUGCCAUCAUGGAGUGCCUUUAGCCUUUCUUGCGCGAUUUCAAUCUUUUCACUUUCACACGAAUCAUAUGAGUCUAGUGCAGAAUCAACUUUUUCCAACUCAUUCUUGUUUUGGAGUUGCUCUUCACAGGUUACAGUUCCCUUUUGUAUUAAUUUUGAAACUAAUGACCAUUUAGUUGACUUGGAUUUGGAAACUGGUGAAGAAAAGAACAACAGGAGGGACUGGAAAACUGAUAUGGCCACUGAGCUAACUUCCUUUAGUACUCUGAUCACCUCUGACAAGUGGUAAUCUAAGUCGAAGAUUGCUGAGCAUGUGAUUUUGAUAUCCACCUGCUUUAAAUCUGCAAUCAAUUUUCUAGCUUGUUUUUUCAUCUUUCUUCUGAAUGAAUUAAAUUUUGAUAUGCUGGUGGCAAGGGUCAAGUCUCCCUUCUUUCUUCUUAUCGCAGAUUGAAGAUCCACAACGUGUUCUUUAAUCUGCGACGUGAAGUCCCUUGUGGUGCCACAUAUAUCUAAAAGCCUCACAGAUCCAUCCAACAACUCAUCAACCCAUUUCUCUUGGCGAUGGUUAGAAAGGGCUUGUUGCGUAAGUUGCAAGUUUAGAAGAUCAGCAAUACACUUAUACAGACCUUCAAGUGUCAAUAGGUCACUGGAGACCGCAGAUGCAUUACAAGAUGAUGAUACAUCGCGGGUUUUGAGCUUCCUAAGCUCCUCAUCAAUUUCAACUAUAUUUGGAUGUGAUCUUGAAGGCAAGCUAAUCGAUCUGAUAUGAUGACUGUUGUUGGCUUCUGAUGCACAAGCCAUUUUUGCUAUAUUGUCAAAAAAUUCAGAAGAUUUGAACUUUGAAUGGUAUGUAAAAACUGCAGACUUUGCUAUUUAUAUCACCACAAUGCAGGGGACAGAAGAUCAAAAAAAUGAUGCUAGUGUGGGCUCUCCCUUAAAACUUGUUAAUCUGUUACAACUUGUCUUACAAAAUGCACUAAAAUUUGACAAAAAUUGCAUGAUUCAUCUCCUUGUAGCUUCCUCAUAAUGUGGUAUGAUUGACACCAUUACAAAAUGUUAACUAAUAAAAAAUUGCAGCUGCAUCACCUCCAUAUAAAUUAGCUGGCAAUGCUGUCUCUGUCUCAUCCAGAACAUACUCAUGUCAUUGUAACAGCAACACAGCAUAUUUCUUUAUUAGAUAUGAUAAUGCAGGGAGAUACAUGAAAUUUCAGAGAGAUUUUCAUUAGCCAUUGCAGAAAAUUAGCACACGAAUUGUUUGUCUGCAUCGUACAACAAUCUUUCAUUUCGUGCUACUGCAUUGUUAUUUGGAUGUCGAUGAGAAUAUGAGAUUGGGGAUCAUGCAUAGACAAAAUCAAUCUAGCUCUUUCUUUAAUAAUGCAUGAUUAUAAUGCAGGCUAACAGGCCUAAUGAGGGAUUAUAUUAAGUUUUAGCAAGCGUCCAGGGGCUCUAAAUUUCCGGGAAAUUUCAGUGGAAUUAUUGGGAUCAUACGGAGAUGAUGUACCAUAUUCAUAUAUUAAGGAUCAUAUUGAAAAUAAUUAAAAGAUUCCAAUGGAUUUAGUUGGUAAGAUGGUCUUUGUUUUUAAUAUCUGUACACGAGUGGUUUGCUGUCAUAAUUCAGUGGGUGUUCUUUGGAUCAGGGUGAUUCUAUUGCAUUGUCAGAUGAUUCAAAAUCUGCUUGUUUUUCGUUUAAAAUUAGAUCUCAGCAAAACGAAAGAAUCAAAAUAGUUGCAAGAACCUCAAAAAUAAGAAUGACUUCUCCCUCUUCUUUUUUCUAAUAUACCUGAUAGGGAUAAGUUAUAAUGAUUCUGACUUCUCAUCCGUUGAGACGAAAUUUAACGAUCAGGUUUUAAAUUGAACAUAGUACAUUAUUGGGAAAAAAAAGUUGAAGCAGUUUAAUUUUAUUACUACAUGGAAGCGUAUAAUACAAAUUAUUUUUGGCCCUCACUAGACCAAAACUUUAUCACAGAAUAUUAAUUUUUUUUAUUUUUAUUAUUAGCCUCACGACACUAAUUUUCUGACUCCACCAUAGAUUACAAAUUUUCUGUAUUUUCUAUUUGCUUCAAUCUUUCAUUUCAUACCUUUGAUCCCUAACAAACUGCCAGGCUCUAUUUCUGAAACAUGGCUAAAGAGAUCUCGUGUUUUCAUAUUGUUCUUGAUGUUGGUGCGGCUUGGUGGUAGAGCCAAGAUUCCUCUGACAUAUAAUCUUCACACCGGCACCAGAAAAAGUAUUAAUGCAUUCUAAGUUUGUAACGAAACUAUGAGAGCACAUUGUAAUGAAGGCAACCACUCGUAUUAAGACAAAAUCUAAUGUAUUCAAAGUUUGUAAUGGAACUAUGAGAACACAUAGUAAUGAAGACAAUCAACUCUGAAAGUUAGUAAAGAAAUCAUAAGAAGACAUUGUAAUCAAGGCAACUAACUCAUUUUAAGAUAAAAAAAUUUAAAACAUUGCAACUAAACUAUGAUAGCACAUAGUAAUGGAGGCAACCAACUCAUACUAAGAAGCAGCAAGCAAAGAAAUAGAAAAUUGUUAGAGCCUUGUUGGCCAAAUGCAUAACAAGAUAAUCAGAUCACAGAGGAGCCCACAUGGUAAUCAUACUGCAUCCUGUGACACAUCUUGUCUCCUCUCCUGUCUUUUGUGCAUGCAUAUAUAGCAAUGCCUAUAGCAAGUAGUUCUCAUCAAAAAAACUACAGUUGAUAAAAAAUCAAAACACAGAAAACUAAAGCCAUGGCUAGUACUAGCUACCAUGUUAGAUCAAUAAGCUUGCCUUGCAGAUCACAUCCUGCGAUAAUCAGAGUCAAAGAGGAGCUUAGCAAGCUCAAAACAUUGGAAACUCCAUGCUGCCAGACAUCAGAAGCAAUUUGCAACAGUCUGUCUGGCUUGGCAGAGCUGUAUGAUUGCACAAAUGAUCUUCUUGGCCUUAAGUUAACCAAACAGUCCGCUCUGAUGGAUUGUCUGUUAGACGGGUCUGUGAGGCUUCUUGAUAUAUGUGGUGGAACAAGGGAUAUUGUUUCACAAAUUAAGGAACACACAAGAGACCUUGAAUCAUCUAUUCGAAGGAGAAAAGGAGACAUAAGCAUUGAAAGUAGCGUUGUGAAAUUCAAUUCCUUUAGGAGGCGAAUGAAGAAGGAAGCCAAAAGAUUGAUUGCAUCUUUGAAACAAAUAAAAAAACAAUAUGAGGCUUUGGCAAUGUUGGAUUCAGAUCAGAAACACUCAUCAGUGAUAGGAUUGCUGACAGAAGUUACAUUGUCAAGCAUUUCGGUUUAUCAAUCCUUGUUGAUGUUUGUGACGGUACCAGUUUCAAAGACAAAGGGAAGGAGAUGGUCAGCUAUAACAAAGCUGAUCCACACAGAACGAGUGUCGUGUGAAGAGGAAAACAUGAAUGAGUUGGAAAGGAUUGAUGCAGCAUUGAUAAGUCUUUGUAGAUCAAGGAAAGGGGAGAAGAUUGAAAGUGCACAACGAGGUCUAGUAGCACUGGAGACUCAUUUUGAAGGCAUAGAGAGUAAUUUAGAGUGUCUGUUUAGGCGCUUGAUCAAAACCAGAACCUUAUUCCUAAACAUGGCAUCAGACUGAUGUUCUUUAAGAUGCUUCACUUGAAAUUUUCCCAGAGGCAACCAAAUUUUAGAGGAUAUGCAUAUGGAUAUGUAAUUUUCAAGAGUUGUGUACAUUAUAAUAUAAUUUUCGGAAACAUAAUGUGAAUCAAUGCUUUCAUCCAUCUGUUUUACAAGUCCAGUUACUUUUCUUUUAAUCUCCCAAGCCCCACUACUUCAAUUUUGUUACUAAAAUAAAUAUCAGUUAAGUAGUUAAGUAGUUAACUAAUAACAAGAACAUAGCUUAUUGACAAAAACCUGAUACAUAAGCAUCACACAGUGCCACAAAGAUCUUAUUCUAUUAGACAACUUAUAAGCUUCCUUCCACCAAUGCUCGCUGACAGCCUGAGGAGAAGAUGGUGGUGAUUAAUGCAUUACACCCGGAGUAACUUCCAGGACAGAAUACACUUAUCCAACAAUGCAAUUUACAUAAAUAUUUAAAGGCCUCUCUGAGAACUGGUAUUACAUAUAAUUAGAGGUCAGUUUUUUAAGUAAAAUCCACAAAUAUUGAGUAGUAGCAGGUUCAAAAUUUGCUCACAUGUAAAUAAUAGGCCAAGUGGCGGAUUAACAAUUGGUCAGCUAUUUCCUAUAAAAUGGUUCUUGUGGAUAGAGAGAUUUUUAGUUGUGUUGCAAACAAGGACAACCAUCUUUACGUGUACAUGUACUUAUUGAAUUCAAAAUCUCUAUCACAACUUAAGAAUCAUAGCUAUGCACAAACAACCCUUCAAUCCAAAUCAGCUUCAGAUUUCUUAAUCACCUUCUCACACAAAUCUUUUAAUUUGUAGUAAGUUUGGCUGUGGUAGAUGUUUGUGAUGAUUGAUGACAGUGUCCUCUUACGCAUGAAACACCUAAAUUUGCAAUUUGGAGUUUGUGAAGGCUGAUAAGUCAUUCAUACGAAGCAACCAACACAGUUUUGCCUUCUUCCAGAAUGAAAAUAAGAAAAAUUUAAAAGAUUGAUUGCAUCUCUGCUGAAACAAGUAAAUAACCAAAUUGAGGCCUCGCUAUUGACCUAUCUAGAUCAGCAACACUUAAAAUGUUAAGAUCAAUUAGUUUUGAGAGCAUCACAGUGCUGGAGAAGAAAUCAAAAAGACUGAAUGCGUAUUUAAAGCAUAUAAGGAACCAUUAUUGGAUUAUUCCGCAGAAGUUAAUAGCAGUAGCAUACAAAUAAUUCCAGUACAACCAACUGGACAGCAUACAACACCUCGACAAAUUAUUCAGGAUUGCACUGUCCAUUUCUCUAAUUUGCUCGACUAUAAAGGAUCAGUGAACUUAUAACCGAGUAAAACGAAUACAUAAUCAUGUACUUUAGAUUAUUGGAAGCCAUUCUGUGCAAAAAAUAUAACUGGCACGAUAGAUUAUUGGAAGCCAUUAUGUGCAAAAUAAAGCCAGGAUGAAUUUAUAGGCAUGGAUCAAUUAAGCAAUGUGAGGAAAUCAAGUCCAAAAUGUCAGAAGUGGGAUUUGAACCCACGCCCUCUCUCGAAGACCAGAACUUGAGUCUGGCGCCUUAGACCACUCGGCCAUCCUGACAAUGUUGAAAUAUUAUGCUCUACUAGCUACUUGACUCCUGACUAGUUGCUUGAAAACUAGUAGGACAAAGAUAUGUAAUAAUAUCACAAGCAUAAUAAAGCAAAGACUAUCUCCCUGUUUGUCAAGAUAUACUUAUGUUCUCUACAUAUGCAAAAAUCUGCAGUAUCAGUGUAUUACAGUGUACUAACGUCUAUGAUAAAAGAGAAAAAAUAUAACCAUCAAUGAGUCUGCUUUGUAUAAUGCAGAGUUAAUCGCCAUUCUGAUAACUAGGAUACAGUUAUAAGUUGUUGCUAAAAGACAAUUCCUGCGAAAACCACAUUUUUAUAUACUAAUUUAUCUUAGUUUGACCUUAUUGUAGGUAACAAAUUUGGCUGAAACUCUCAGGAUUCUUGGAAACAAAAGAAGCAAAGCUACUCAUUCACAGAUGCUGAAGGUACCACCAGUAGUAGAAGUAGAUGGGAGGUUCAUGCAUAAAAGCAGGGCAUUAGUGAUAGUUUGUAGUAAUAAUUGGCAUAAUCAGUGAGUAAUCAGUGAAAUAAGAGUUGCAAAGUUCAGGUUGUGUUCCAGGAAAUUAGAUGCUGCAGAAAAUAAUCUGAAUUUAAUAAUUUUAGAGAUGUAGCAAUCCUUUUAAUUUAUAAAUCGGUUACAACUCAGAUUUCUUAACUGACAUUUUUCUCGGUGUAUUUGUUCUUUUACAUAUAGCGCGGUAAGUGAGAAUUGAAAUCUAGACCUCUUUUACCAGUAGGAGCAACUCUGCCACCGCUGAGCCUGUCCUAAUUCUUUUGUAACUCAGUUUUUCAUAAUAUAAACAUCAAAAUCCUAUCGAAAAUUAGCGUGAAGGAAAUGCUGGAGUAACUUAAUCUAAAAAAAUUAACAUGCAAGACAGGUGCAUGAGCACUGAUUAAUGAUUUUUGGGCUUAGCUUCCUUGAUAAAUUAAGAUUGAGCUGAACGUUUAAUAUAAAUAUUUGCAGCAGGAGUCGAAAUCAGAAGUAUUUUAACUGUACUCUUCUUAUAUCAUAUUUUUGUACAAGCAGAUUCUGUAAACAAGUAUAAUCCUAUGACCCCUAGAGAAUAAGGGGGUGAUUGAGAAACUAGCAAGUAAGAACAUUAAGGAGAGACACUCUAUACUGGAUAAGUCGCCUAAUUGCAGCGUCUAUUCCAGACUCGAGUCCAUCAAUGCUGACUGCAAGUGCCUCUAACUUAUUUUGUACAGUUCGAACUUCAUCUGUAACACCAGUACCUCGAGCAUGUGCACUAAGGCUGCAAAGGGCAACAUCAACUCUCCCUACUUCGUUAUUGAUCUUCUUUCCCUUCUCAAUAACGACUAAACCUACUGGCAUCAGUUUGGAGAUCAAGGAGCAUCCUCCAAGCUUGGUUUUCAAAAGGGAUGGUGUGGACAAAAACAAUAAGAGAUGUCGAAAAAUUACAUUUGUAAUACUGCUUAGUUCUCUAAGCACUCUGAUCACCAUCAACAAAUGAGGAUCUAAUUCUAAUAGAGGCAAAAACACAAAUUUGCCUUCGGCUCUCUUUAGUAAUCUAAUACACUUCAAAGCAUCCUUCUUUGCCUUCUUCCUGAAGGUGGUGUAUGCAUUUACAUCUUGUUGGAUGGAACCUCCACCUCUUCUACGCAAAGAUGACUGAAGUCCUUGCACAUGUUCUUUCAUCUUCGACAACAAAUCUUUAGCACAGCUACCCGCAUCAAGAAGAGUCACUGAACCUUCAAGUGCCUCUUCAAAAACUUUACUAUCUUGAUGGUGUAAAAUGGAUUCUUGAGUGCGGCUAGUCUGAAGAAGCUCCUCGACACUAUUGUACAGCUCAGCUAGCCCAACCAGACCUUUUAGGAUAGUCUGGCCACUAAUCGAUUCUUCCAAGGAUGGCAAUGAGGCUUCCCAAAUUUUAAGCUUGUCAAACUCUGUAUCAACUUUGAGGGAAGUAGGGUGCAAUCUAGAGGGCAAGCUAAUGGACCUCACUGGGUGCAACCCAAAGGAGCAAUUCAUGGUCUAGUGUUUGUUUUUCACAAAUGGUUACAAGUACUCUGUGUCUGAGAUAUGUCGGAAUGCAAAUUAAGGAUCAAUCUAUAUAUAGAAGACACAACAAAAGCAAGCUAGAGAAUCAAGUUAAACAACUUCCAUGUGAGGCCAAAUUGAGUGUACCUACUGGUUUAAUGAACUUGUAACAAAUUUGGAGUACAACAAAAUUCUUUAAUCUUUUCUCUAAUUGUGGUCAUUAAAUGAACAACGCUCAUCCCUGAUUAUCUUUCAUUAUCCACCCACCGAUGUAUGUAGAAUUGAUAUAAAAAUUAACCAUUAGUUCGGAUUUCUGCCUACAUGCCCAACUUCUCCCCAUGAUCAAUUCACAAUCUACUACAGAAUAUUCCUUAAUAAAAUACACCAAUUGAGCAAUGAUAAAUCACUGACCCUGCUGAUAAUAGCCUUGUUACAAAGAAUCACAGAGGUGCAUAGAGGAGUAGGUAAUAUAAUUUCGACAAGGUUACGACAAGAAAUAGUAGCUUAAAAAAAGUUCUUAGGUCGUACAACCCUAGGAUUUAGGGACGCCACAUCAAGUAAAAUUAAACAGGAUCAGAAAAUUAUGCCUAUGGUUAUUUUAAAAUGCCAUUUUAAUAAUGUUGGCUGGCAUGUUUAGGAGACAAGGAGGCAUAAGCCAUUAUCAUUUCCUUGUCAAAUGGCAAAUACAGUUUAAUAAUAAACCUGCAUCUUAGAAUUGAGAAUGUGACCUCAUUGGUUAGGGGAGGUGGAAUGACUGACACAUAAACAUAAGAUCGGCACUUCUGUGUAUAAGACAUGUUACUUACAUAUGGUUCAGAGGGUCCAUAACUUAGCAUGAAUCUCGAAAAUUGAUAUAUGUUUUACUGAAAUUGAGGCUAGUUUCAGACCACAAUCAUGAACGGAGACAGCAUAUUCUUUGGCCUUUUCUUGCCUGUAAAAAAUUGAGACUAGAGAUUUUUAGAAGUCUUUGAAUGAACAUUUAGGUAUUGAAACAAUAUAUGUAAGAGAAUUAUAUAAUGCAUGUUUAGUAGACAAGGAGACAUAGUAUAAGGUUUUUAUAAGGUCGGGUAACUUGGAAAUUGGAGUGAGUCACAUAAAAAAAAUUCAUGAAACGUUAAAACCAUAAUCUGCUGUUCAAGAAUCCGGGGAAAUCGAAUGACAAAAAUGAUUAACACAACAUGGGCAACAUUUUGUAUUACUAUGAGAUGUACAUUGAACUUGUAGUAUUCAUGUUUGCGUAAAAUGUCUUCAGUUAAGCUGCUUGUCACAUUGUCUGAUAACAUUGUGGACUAGUAGUUCUUGCAUAGCAGAAAAGAAACGCAGGUUAAGACAUGUAUUUAACGAAUGAUCAAGCAAACAAUAUUAAACAUAAUGAUGCAAACCUAUAAUUAUUUUAUAGUCUAACUAAAUAAUGAUGGCAAACUUCAUUUUUUGAUUUUUUUUUUCCUUUAUUUCUCUAUCGUCAUCACUAAUUCCACGUAACUACGUGAGUUACGUGAUUAUUUCUCUCAGACAUUUGAUUCCUCACAAGUGAUUCUUGCAACCAUCUAUCAACGAUUUUUAAAGUUGAUUGGACACUGAACGCGGAUGAAGUGUCCCUUCCGUUCACACAAGAUACCUCAUAGAUGGUUGAAUACUCAAAUCAGCCGCUUGUCAGGAAUCGAGACCCAUCAGUUUUUUUUGUAGGUUUAUAUAAUGCUCAACUUACCGGUUAGAGUCAGACUGAAAUUUCAGAGUGCAUCAUAUAAUAUAACCCAAUCUCCAAUGUCAUGGCCGUCCCAACUCCCAACCCAACUUCAGAGUUCACCUUAAAGUUAAAUUUUAAUGACAAGCGUCACAAGCCCUCAUAUCAUACUGGACCCUAUUGCAACUAUAGCAGUCCGAGAACCCAGUCAAGCCCAAUGAUGGACUCAAUUGAAUGCCAGGAGUUUUCUUUUUCUGAAGAAAAAAAUGAUACAUUUAAAAACACCAAAUUUAACUGCAUAUCACAUAUAUGUUCAAAUAUUGCAUGCUACAUCAGUAAAACAUGUAGAAAGAAAAAUGUUCAGAUUCUGCAUGUCCUGGUCUUCUCCCUCAGAACAAACUUCUGAAUCUUUCCUGUUGAAUUAACUGGUAAAUCAUACAUAAAAACCAUCUGAGGGACCAUGUGAAGGGGCAGUAGUUCCCUGCAAUACUUGAUAAUCUCUUCACCACUCACAUUAUCAUCAUAUUCAUCCCUUAACUUUACAAAAGCACAAGGUGUCUCACCAUUGACACUGUCAGGCCUUGCCACAACCGCAGCUUCGAGAACCAUAGGAUGAUUUAACAAGACAGCUUCAAUUUCAAGUGUCCCUAUGAUUUCUUUCCUAAACUUUAUCACAUCCACUGCGCGAUCCUUCACCUGUAUACAACCAUCAGGGAGUCUAGUGCCAAGGUCCCCGGUUCUGUACCACCCAUCUUCAAAAGCCUUUCUAGUCAUAUCCGAAUCUCCGAGGUAACCGGACAUCAUAGUAUUGCUCCUAAACAUCACUUCCCCAAUGGUUCUUCCAUCAGAUGGUACACUUUUCAUUGUUACUGAGUCUUUGACAUCAACUUCUUCCAUGAUUCCUUGUCUAAACUUUAGGCUUAUUGUUGACAUACUCAACUCUGCAUUGGACAACUUAUUAACAAUCACGGGUCCGAGAGCCUCUGUCAUUCCAUAUCCAUACGUGAUGUUAAAUCCCAAUUCUUGAACUCUGGACAAAAUUUCAAUUGCUGGCAGUGCUCCAGCAAUUACUGCUUCCACUUUGUAGGCAUUUUUCCGCGUAUAGUUAGCUGGCGCCUCUGCAAUCUUGUUCAGGAUUGAUGGCGCCCCGCAUAAAUGCGUUACUUGAUGAAGCUCUAUAGCAUCAAAAAUGACUUCUGUUGUGACAUUUCGGGUGCAAAUAUUCGUGCCACCUAGCGCAGCCAUUGCCCAAGGUAAGCACCAACCAUUGCAGCGAAACAUGUCAACUGUCCAUAAGAACACCGGAAAUUUUCUCAUCUCAAAUCGAAAAAUUGCAGCCAGAGUAUUGAGAUAGGUUGCUCUGUGGCUGUAGAUUACUCCCUUAGGCUUCCCUGUUGAGCCAGAAGUGUAACUCACUGAUAUGGGAUCAAUUUCGUUCUUCGGUUUAACUACUUGAAAAUCAUUUUGGCCCAUAGCAAACAGGGAACUAUAAUUUAGGCAACCAUUAGGAAGUUUUUCGAAAUGUGAAACUUCUUGAUCCGAAUCUGGUAUCAGAAUUAGGAUGGGGAGCUUGGUUUGUGCCAACGACAAAGUUUCGAAUGCUGAAUGCACAACUUCGACGAAUUCAGAGUCUACGAAAAUCACUUUGGCUUCCAGUUGCGUUAGUAUUGAAGCCAACAUUGUUGUGUCCAACUUUGUGUUAAGUGCAGAAAGCACACCUCCACUCAUGGGAACUGCAAAAUGUAACUCAUAGAGUGCUGGGAUAUUUGGUGCCACAGCUGCAACCUGUCAAAUUUAACAAGAUCUAUACUUACAGUAACUCAUUUAACGGUUUUUCUAGUCUGUGUCCAUAAUCACACAAUAAUAACCGUUUUUUAGUUAUGUGUCGGAUUUCUAAUGACAAGUGUCUUUGCCGAGGCAAUUCGGGUUUGGUACAAUUUUUGAUGCCUAAUUUGGAGUAAUUAAGAUGUCAAAGAUGAAAUGUUAGCUUUACACUUGCAAGUUGCAGGGAGAUAUUAAUUUUGUACUCCCUUUGUCCUAUUUAAUUGUAUACAUUUCUUUUCAACUGCUCGACACGCAUUUCAAUGCUUUUAUAAAAUAUAGUUCUGUAACUUAUUUUUGAAAUUUUCUUUUUCUGAAUAAAAAUAUAACAUCCAAACUUUAAUUCAAAAAAAGAAAAUUUUAAAAAUAAAUUACACAACUACACUUUACGGGAGCAUUAAAGUCCGUGCCGCGUCCCGGUCCCCCAAUGUAUACAAUUCAAGGGGACGGAGGGAGUAUUAGAUAAACUCAACGGUGUAUAAAGUCAAAAUAUAAAAUAGUCUAAACUACUCAACUUCAAAUUGUCAUUCCCUGAACUAGAAUUAGGAAGCGUAAACAACGUUAAAGAAAUAAAAAAGUCAGACCUCAUAUAUUCCACAGAUGUAAUAUUUGAUGGCCGUCGUCAUAGGUUUAGUCUGGAGUGUAAACGAAUCUUAACCGACGAGUACUUUGGAAGGACAAUCCCUCCAUUGUUUUCCAGACAGGCAGAGCAGAUUUUUUAUUCGAAUAAAGAUGUCUGAGCUCGAGCUCGUUAAUUUUUUAAACUUGAAUUUUUAAAAAAUAAAUCUGAUUGUUCAGAAAUAAUUAUUUUUUUAAUAUAAAUACUUAUACGUUAUAAAUAGAAUACAUAAAUAUAAAUAUUACUUGAAUAUGUUAUUUAACAAAUAUAAAUGAUAUUUUUCAAAUGAGCCGAUCUCCACACACAGAAAUCAUUAUUCUCAAAUGAGCCGACCAUAGUCGGAAGAAUGGGUCAUAAAUAUCAUCAAACAAAUACUUAACUCAUAUUAGUACAAUAUAAUGUGUUUUAAGUUAAGAAUAAAGUUCAUCCUUGAAUAUCUUCAAAAUAUUUUCAUAUUAACGAAGUUGAUUGAUCGGUAUUCAAGUCGUAUAAAGUUUAGACUAAAUAUCAUAAUACAUAAAUUAUCGUUUUUUGUUCUAAUUUUAUCGAAGUUGAUAAUUUAUGUAUGAGAGCUAAAUCAAAUAUUCUUACAUUUAUAUACAACUCGAUAAUUCUCGAAUUAUCGAGAAUUGAUAGUUUAGUCUCGAUAUAUGCAAGUUCAGUUUAUAUAUAAGAACUUAAUUAUGAGAACUAAAUCAAAUACUCCUACACUUGUAUAUAACUCAAUUAAAUUGAGAGUUGAUAAUUUAGUCUUGAUAUAUGAGAGCUCGAUUCUAAAUCAUGUUCUUAUGUAUAGGAACUUAAUUAUGAGAACUAAAUCAAAUACUCCUACACUUGUAUAUAACUCAAUUAAAUUGGGAGUUGAUAAUUUAGUCUUGAUAUAUGAGAGCUCGAUUUUAAGUCAUGUUCUCAUUGCAAGUGAGUAAUACUCCCUCCGUCCCUUUUUAUCUGUCCAUUUUGGAAAGAAAAACACAUACCAAGGAAUACUUAAUUGUAUAAACUUUUUCAUUAAAUACCUCUAAUUAAUAUCUUGAAAAUGGUGGAAUACCCCUACUUUAUGUCUUGAAAACAUGAAUUCAACCAAGUUUUAAAUAAGUCAAGUCUUGAAAAUUGAAAUUAUGGAGAUAUAUUUGAAAAACUAUCAUUAAAUUAGUUUUGAAAGUAUAAAUGGACAAAUAAAUAAGGACAAAUCACUUCAAGAUAAAACAUAUCACUUCAAGAUUUCGAGGAGAGUUAAAGCUUAAAUUUACGAGAAUAAUCAAAGCAAACUAACGUCGAACUUUGUCCUUCAUUAACGAGCAACAAAGUACUGAAGCCUUGAAAAACAUGUAACGGCAAUCAAUUAGUAGAAGCUAAUUAAGGAAAUGAGAAAACUUACAACAUCACCACGGUUAACUCCCAAAACAUGUAGAGCAGACGCGAUCUUGAGGCAUCUUUGACGCGUUUCACGCCACGAAAAUUUAGUGUUUCGAUAAACGAUAGAGACCCUUUCGGCAUGAACCAAUGCUGCUUGUUCCAGGAAGUUGAUCGGAGACAAAGGCAUGAUCAUGUUGUUUGCUGAGCAUUGAAUCACACACUUCAUUUUCUCAAUCUUCUCGUCAAUGGUAGCUACAUAUACAUGCACAAACCAUAUAAAAUAUUAACCUGAGAAGCACUAACUCUUUUAUAUUCUAGAAUUUACAUUAUAUUAUUAAUAUAUCAUACGAUAGGAUGAACUCUUGAAAUACAGCGCAAAAACACAAGACCUGCGCUAAUGGUUCAUACUUGGUUAUGACGUUUAUUUUUGCCGUCAUCCAUUAAUUGUCAGUUUUCUGUGACAAGUACGAAUACGACUUAAUAUUAGGGGUGUACUUCAUGAAAUUCGAGUAUAUUUAAUUGUGAUUAUUCAAAUUCAUUAAAAUCUUUUGCUAUUCAAUUAAGAUUUUAAAUUAUGCUACAAAAUAUGGUGAUAUUUAAUUGAGAUUGUUUGAAAUCAACUAAAAUAUGGUGAUAUUUAAGUGAUAUUUUUUGAAAUCCCACCAAAAUUCAUGAAAUUUGAAAUAUUAUGCUUAAAUCCUAAAGAAUCUGCAUAAACUCUACAACAUUAAAAUCCGCACAAAAUCAAAAUCACAUACAAUACAUUAAAAUCUAUAGAUUAAAAUCCUAAUUAAAUGCACCCCUCUUAACAUUUCAAAUAUAAAAUGUGAGAAAUUCUUAAAAAUACAGGAACAAUGAGGUAAUUACGUAACAUAUUUAACAAAACUAGACCAAGCCACCCGUUAACAAAACAAUCUACGAAGAUGAAAAACAAAUCAAUGAAAUACAAUGUAUUAAUGAAGACGGUAAAAGAAGUGUACCGUUCACUAUAGUCAAUUAGUCAUAACCGUGUACAAUCAACAAGGCAUGAAUGGCUGAAUUGUCAGGCCUUCAAAAAACAAGUCCCGACUGCUAAAUAGAUUUUUGCCCACUUACACUAUGAUAGUGUGAUCGUUGGAGCUAGUUUAGAGAAAAAGGAAAGAGUUUAUGAUUUGUGAGUUGCAUACAGGAGUACCAUCUUAUGAGUUGUUCUUCUAUUUAUAAGACGAGAAUAGGAAGUGUAACGGCUGCAGAUUUAAAUUGUUGUAACUCAGCCGUUAUAAAUUAUUCAAUUAAUUCUCAUCCGUUACAGAAUAUAUAUAUCUUAAUUCUCAACUGUUACAGAAUAUUUAUAAUUAAUAUAUACUCACCUGAUAAAUAUACAUAUUAAUUCUCGAUUGUUACAAAAUAUUUAAAUUCAGUUCUUAGCUGUUAUAUUUUUUGCUGUUGUAGAUUAUAUGUUCUAUGGUAGUUCACUAUUUUAUUGGAGUUCUUGGAGUUCAUAUAUGUUUUGCAAGUAAAAUAUAGCUUAAAAUUUUGCAAAACAUAUUAUUUUUCAAAUAAUGUUCUACAAAAUCACUAUUAUAUUAAAAAUAUUGCGGAUCUCAUACAUUUUACGAGUAGAAAGCAAAAUAUAUUAUUCUAUAGAACAUGUUUAGUUUGUAGACAUACGUAUUUUACUUAUAAAUGUAUGAGAUUUGUAAUAUUUUAUUAAAGUAAUGAUAUUUAUGAAAUAUCUUUUGCAAGAUAACAUUUUUUACAAGAUAUUUUAUUUGUAGAACAUCCCGAGAACUCCAAUAAAAUGGUGGACUCAAUGGAACUCUAUCCCCAUACAUAUUUUGAUAAAUUUAAUUUAAUCAGAUUCGACUGUUACAGAAUAUAUAUAUAAUAUAUUUAAAUAAUUCUGAUUUUGAAUUUCUUUUUUAGUUUAUUCAAUUAUAUUUAUAUUAAUUAAUCAAUUAAAUAAGCAAAUAACAAAAAUUUCUCGCCAGAUCGCCUCACGUAUGCAAGAUAUUCACACAAAUGACCCCGAGUCGAGAUGUGGCAUGGCAAUGUGACUACAGGUGGCAAUCGUUUUGUUUCGUAUACUUUCGUUUCGUGUAAUUUCGUGUUUCGUGUACUCGAAGGUGAAACCCGUAUCCGCCCGUUAUUAAUUUCGUGUACCUAAUUUGAAACCCGUAUCCGAUCCGAAUCGUUUCGUAUAUAUUUCGUGUACUUUUCGUGUAUAUUAUAUAUAAAAAUAUUAAUAUAUUUUUUCAUCAAAAAAUGGAUUUAAUAUAUAUUUUCCUUUAUAAAUUUAUUAAAUGUGGAUGAUAUAUUUAUUUACAAUUCUCUAUAAAUUUGUUAAUGUAUCUACAAUAUAUAUCCACACAUACAUAUAAAUAUAUACUUUUUACUCAAUUAUAUAUCUAAUAUAUCAUAACAUAUAUAUAAUAAAUAUUAUCUACAAAUAUUUCGUGUACUUUCGUGUAUUUCGUGUACCCCAGAUGAAAACCCAUAUCCGACACGAAAUCUAUCAUGUAAUUUCGUGUUCGUGUAUUUUUGUGUUUCGUGUAUCAAAAAUUGAAACCCAUAUCCAUUUUUUUCGUGUCGUUUCGUUUCGUUUCAUGUUAGCGUGUCACGUGUCAAAUUCACAUAUCAUGCACAUGAUAUCUAAUAAAAUCACAUAUCACAUACCGCUCUUUAUUAUUUAAAUGUCACACAAGUCAAAUUACUCAUUUCAAACUUUUUAAUGUUCCUAUUUUAAUCAAUUUCUCCAAUAAAUUACAUUACAAAAAAUUAUUAGAUUCAAAUAUGAUAAUUUAAGUUUUCAGUUUUAGAAAAAACCUCUAAUUAUCAGAAUUCAAAAAUUACAUAAAGAGCAUAAUAUAUAUAGCCUAAUUUUUUUUUAUCUUUCUAAUAUAAAAUACGUGUGGUAAUAAAUGAAAAUCAUACAGAGAAGCUAAAUCUCAGAAUAGGGUAGUGUAAAUGAACACUUUGAAAUUCAUAAAACAUUUUGAUUCUGAUUGAUGUGAAUGCGAACGUUAUUACUUAUUUAUAAGAUAAUUUUAUCCACGGAAUGUAUUAGGCGCUUGAUUUGUUUGACACCAAUUUCGAUCAUGAUUCAAAUCUAAAUUUAGAAAAAAUUUAAAUAAUUAAAAUAUUUAACAUAAAUGAAAAUUUCCUUUUAUAUUAAUCGAAUUAAAAUCUCAUAAUCGAAUAUAAACAAUCAUUUUCUUUCAGCUGAAAGAAUGAUAGAAAUGACUUUUCUCCGCUGCCAAACAGGAUGGCCUCAGGCUACGCACAUAAACUGAUAAACAUAUAAAACCCUGACACUGCAAAUUUAACUAAAAUAAUCGAUAAGUGAGCUAAUAAAUUUUCUUAACUAAAGCUAUAUAUAUUACUUAAAGAUUUAAAGAUAUAAUAUAUUAUUAAAAUAAUAAUUUCAUAAAUUACAAACAUGUACAUUCCGUGUAUACCGAGUCAGACCAUUUACUGAAUUAAAAAAUAACUCUGCGUGUUUUGGCCGGUGACGACCGACUUUAAACGAGCAAAGUCAGUCCACCAUCAUAAUUUAGACAAGCAUGUAUACAACUGCGUCUGCAAGUCUAGGUCUUUUUAGCGCACUAUUUAAUAUUGCAUAUUACAAUUGUGGUAAACAUCGGUGCAUAAAUUCGAAUCAAUGAGGUAUCUUAAUUGUCCAUCUGUGGAGCAUGAUCGAAUCAUCCGGUCCUGGUUUCGAUUUUUGAUAACUUAACAACUGAAGUUCUCAAGUCAAUAUCAGGAACAUUAUUCUCAUACAUCACAAGACAAACCGCAUAUUAAGAAAAUACUUGAAACACAAUUACAUAGCAACCAACCUCUCUAUGAAAGAAGAAGGAAAUAGCGCCAGGGCGAAAACCACAACAUAUUCAGUAUUCAUUCAGCUUUCCACGAUGAAAAGGGUGGAGUAUCCGAGUUCAGAUAAGAGGCUGCUCCGGUUGGGUAUCUUUCACCCUGGACAGAAUUAGCAAUGGAUUCAAGUUCCGCCAUUUCGUGAGUUGUUAAUUUUAUCUUUAAAGCUCCAAUAUUUUGGUCAAAAUUUUCAAUUUUGGUGGUUCCGGGAAUAGGACACACAUCCGAUCCCUGAUGAUGGACCCAAGCCAGUGCUAGUUGUGAUGGAGUACACCCUUUAUUUGAUGCAAUCGCAUUAACUCGAUCAGAUAAGAUUUUAUUACGCUCUAUAUUUUCCUUCUGGAACCUUGGUAGAGCCUGCGCAGAAAGAAAGAAUUAUACAAAUUGAUCCAAGGAGCCAAGAACUAAUAUUUAAAACAUAUUAGUUCAGAAUACGGAUUAUUAUAAAUAAAUAUUCUGAUUUAUGAAGUAUGUUAAGCAAUUGCAACUUUUGCAUUCCUUCACGGGUUUACAUAAUCUAUUUUAUACAGCUAGUACUAGCAGUACGAGGUUCAGAAUAGUUACUAGCAACCAAACCUUCAAAACAAAUCAGAUUGUUAAAGUUUCUUUAACGAAAGAGUUUCAGACAGUUAGAUUGUAGUUGUUCAUGAAUUGUUUUAACUUUGCUUGCUGUGUUUUCAUGAAGAUCCAAGCUACUAAAAGAGAACUCGGCACUCUGCAAAUAGUGAUCAGUUUCUUCAAUAAACUUGAUUUUAUUUACUUUUUGGCUAAUUUAGACAAUAAAACUGAAUUUUAGAUUUUGAAAUUAAAAUACAAGCUUGAUACUUAGUAUAAUAGAGAAAACAACCUUUCUGUAGUCAUCUUUUGCUAAGCUGUCAACCAAAUUUGAACCUCCAGACAAGAAUCCCCGUCCCAGAGGACUAUAUGCAACAAUCCCAAUGCCUAGUUCUCUGAAAAAUACAAACCAGUGAACUAAGUUUCUGAUUUUUUUUAUAGGUAGUUGGAAAAUAUGAUGAUUUAAACAGAUACCAUACCUGCAAGUAGGAAUUAUAUCUUCCUCCACGCCCCUCGACCACAAAGAACACUCCAGCUGCACGGCAGUGAUGGGAUGAACAGCAUGAGCUCUUCUGAUUGUAGAUGCAGAGGCCUCAGAAAGCCCUACAUACUUGAUCUUACCUUCUUCAACCAGUUUUUUCAGUUCUCCCAUCUUCCAAACAAAUGCACAUUUUUAAGGCACAAUGGGUAAAAGGAGAAAUAGGAAGAAACAACAUAUUAUGGUACCAUCAUCACAUAAAUCAACAUUUCUUUGCACUAUCAUGGUUAAUGGCAUCAACUUACAACUGUAUAAUAAAAACAUAGCACUUUGACCUCCCGGACGACUAUGCGCCCCAACUGAGUCGAUGAAGAUAGUAGUCAAAUGAUUAAAUAACAGUUUUUUGAUGGACUACUGGCCUAGAGCUCUCACAGAUAGUCUUCUAAGUUGGAAAUGAUUUAAUACAAAGUGAAACUGACGAAUUCUCGACACAAUCAGAUCCUUUCGCAAAUCCUGCUAUCAUGAGAGUUGCUAUUUAACAUUUAACUGGCCACUGUGUGCACACACUUUCACAAAUGAAAUAUCACAGAUAUGCUCACUGCAGCCAUUCCAACAGCACACCAAGAAAGACUCAUCUAGGAUUUGGGUAAAAGCAGCAAAAUCAUUCAUUUGUCUAUUGUUGAUUUAUGAAAAUAACAUUUUUUAAUUAAUCAAAUUACCAGUAAUGAGGACAGAUUAAUACAACAGCUAUAAAAUUUUUAGCAGAAAACUUAAAAACAGGGCAAGUAAUUUGGGACACGACAACUAUGUAUUGACAUACCGUAACUUCAAUUGGCACUUGAGUGUCAAUACGGUGCUGAUAGUACAAAUCGAUAAAAUCAAUCUCAAGCCUCUUCAAGCUAGCCUCACAACACGCCCGCACGUAUUCUGGAUCGCCUUGCACUACUCUGAUUUCUCCAUCCAUCCUGAUCCCAAACUUGGUAGCCAGCUGAACUUUGUCCCUAACACCGUCCUUUAAAGCCUACAUUCACACAAUCUCAUUCAAAUCCUUUACACAUUUUGAACUCAAGAUUCAUUUACAUAUUGAACGGGUGUCAACCCAAGUCCCACGUCAUAAAAAUAAAGAAGAUUUAUCUUGAAUAUAAACAGUCAACGAACUCUAUUAAUAUGAAGCGUUUUGGAAGUAGCCCCAAAACAAAUCCUUGCGGGCUUGCCAUAAUCAUCCCCUUAAUCAUAUCGAGAUGAUGAAAAAAAGGCACAUAAAAAGAAAAACGGACCUUAGAAAUGAGGAUUUCGUUGGUGUGAGGUCCAUAAAAAUCUGAAGUGUCGAGAAGAGUGACACCGCUUUGGACAGCAUGGUGGAUGAGUCGAAUCAUGUCGGAAUCAGGCUUGGUCUGACCGUAGAAGUAGGACAUUCCCAUGCAGCCAAGACCCUGAGCUGAAACUUCAAGACCUUGUGAACCCAACUUCAUUCUGGGGACUGCAUCACCCAUUGUAAGGCUAGUAUAAUUUGGAAUUAUUUAUGUGUAUCAGAGAGUUGAGCCGAGAUUUUCCUUGACAAAAGAGAGAGUCUAGUAGAGAUGAUUUUAAGCAUGAGUCUGGAGAUCUAUGUUAUUUAUAGGUGCAGGACCGGAAGCACAGAACCGAAUGGAAUCCAACCAAAAAUCAAAAGUUAUGGAAUUCAUGGACCUAGUAGAGGACUACUAUAGUCUGCACUAAGACCAGACCAUGACCAAAUAGAUAAUCACUUAUGACUUAUGACUUAUCUAUGAAAAACAAAAAAGGGCUGCCGGACGUAAAAUCAGGACAAAGACGAGUAGUGUUAGGUAAUCAAAAUUUAUUUUUUAAAUAAAAUGUGAUAGUUAAAUAAUUUGGUUCGAUUUAUUGAUGUAUGUAUAUACAUAAAAAAUCUCAUAUUAACUUAAAAAUAAUACUCCCUCCGUUCCAUUUUAACUGUUUUUGACUUUUUUACACGUAUUUUAAAGUGUAAAAAAAAUCACAUCUAUAUAUAAUUAUUCUUUAUAAAAUUUAUAUCAAAUAAAAGUUUAGAAUCUAAACUUUUAUUUGAUAUAAGAAUUGAAUUUUUUAAUUAAGCGUAGACAUUGUCUUUUUACACCUCAAUAUACGUGUUAAAAAGUCAAACAUCACUUAAAAUGGGACAGAGGGAGUAUAACUUAUAUGCAUAUGAUUGUUAGAAUAUAAUAAGAUUUUGGUAAGUUCUCUUCCAUUUAAAAUUUUAGAACAAUUGCUCACUUAACUUAAUACUAUCAAAGUAUAGUCUGGUGGAGCCUUUUUGAGAUUUUGAGAGAAUUGAUUAUUUAACGGACACAGUUUGGAAUCAUUUAUUAAUACUUUACAUUUUUUUUUGUGACAGAAAUACAUUGCAUUUUCCAAUCAGGACAAUAAGUGCAGUUUUUAUAGUAACAAAUUCAAGCCACCAAACGUCAUUGCUUGCGUUUUAAUAUUUUCCACUCUACUUUCCAAAUAUGGAAACAUUAUAAUAACUCAGCUUUAAAUUUAUGUCAGGCCGCCGGGGACAAAAUCACAAAAUACAGCAAAGUUAUAGUAAUGUAUAGCAAACUUCUUCAAUUAUAGCGCUCCGAUAUGUAGAAUAUGGUGGCCCGUUGGGUAGAAAACUAGAUACAACAAACUAAUAUCAAUUGAUGCAGCCACUAGUCAUGUGGAAUCCAGAAACUAUUUUAAUUCUGAUUAUAUUAUUCAGUUUAAAAGCGGAGCAAAGUUUAAUUGACCACUUUUUUGAAAAUUUGGAACUCAUUUCUGCCCGUCUGUUACUCCCGUUAGUAAUAUUUAAUGAGAGCCACAUUUUUAAAAGAUUAAUUGAAAUUAUUAAUCAUGAUAUUAAACAAAUAUAUUAAAUAAUAUAAAAUAUCUAAUUUAUUAAGAUUAUUAUAUUAAUUUUAGAAAGAUAUGUUAUGAUUAAUGGGAUUUAAAAGAUCGAAUCAACUAAAUAUCUUGUAAGGUGAUUUUUAGAAAUAUCCUAAAACGUUUUACAUACAGGUGAUAUUAAGGAGAGUAAUGUCAGGGACAUCAGAAUUUGUACCGAAAUUCUGUUCUCAAAUUACAUGGCAGACAUAUGACGGAUUUUAGUUGAGUGGUUUAUGCAGAGACGGAAUCAGAAAAAUAAUUUGAAGGGGCGAAAAAUUUUUAUGUAAAAAAUACAUUCCGACAAUUUAGAUUUUAUUGAUAAGUUUAUGAAUUUGUAUGCACAAAAUUCAUAUUUACAUGAGAAUUGGGAACAUAUUUUGGGUUACUUAGUAUCUUCCUGUUUAGAACUAUGCUACAAGGUUUUACAUGCUGGACUGCUGGAGUCUAGAUCAGCACUCCUGAUUAACAUGUGACCCCAAUUUCUUGUAUUAUACCUAUUUGGAUUAGAAAUCAUAACUUAGCUAGGAACAUAGAUUUUAUUUCCAGAAGGAUUAGGAUUUAAGAAUGUGAAUCUGAUUCGGACAGCAAGCUUCUUACACUUGUUGCUGUUUUUUAUAAACGAACAUGGUGGUUUUGAAAGUCUUGAAAACAUACGAAACAACAAUGGGAAAUUUUGUACUUGAUGCUCUAAGAACAUCAACUCUGUCAAUACAAACAUCAUUCCAUGAAAUCAAAGUAUCUUUCGGGUCCAUCAAAUCAUUAUUAGUACCCUGGACAAGAUCAAACAGUAACAAUUCCAGCCCUGUCAUCUCGAAAACAAAGUUGCGCGAAGAUAUCAAAGAGUUUGAUGAGUCUAAGGUUGGCGUAAAAGGCCUAGUUGACGCAGGAAUCACAUCGAUUCCACGUAUCUUCUACCAGCCACCUGAGAAUCUAAUUGAUUCGCGCUCUCUCACGCGAACCUUGGAUAUCCCUGUCAUUGACCUGGCUGCGUCUGACAGGGCUAUUGUUGUGAGACAAGUUCAAGAAGCAUCGUCUAAGUUUGGAUUCUUUCAAUUAAUCAAUCAUGGAAUUCCUUUGUGUCGUAUGGAUGAUGUGAUUUUGUCGAUCAAGGCUUUCAAUGAGCUUGAAACAGAGCUGAAAUCGCAGUAUUAUAGUCGUGAAGGAAAUGAGAAGAGAGUACUUUACUAUGGUUCAAGUUUGCAUUUAAAUGAAUUAGAAGGCGCCAGCUGGAACGACACGUUGCUGGUAGCAUUGGGACCGGAGCCAGCAGAAUCAUGUUAUGUUCCGGAGGUAUGCAGGAUGGCGGUGGCUGAGUGGGAUGAAGAGAUGAAGAAACUAGGGGGUGCUUUAUUAGGUUUAAUGAGUGAAGGACUCGGGUUGAAGAGGGAAGCACUAGAGGAGAAGUUGUGCAUGGAUGCUAGAAUCAUGGCUGGAAAUUAUUACCCUCAUUGUCCACAGCCAGAUUUAACUCUGGGCUUAAAAUCGCAUACUGAUCCUUCUAUUUUUACUCUGUUGUUGUCUAAUCAUGUACCUGGCCUCCACGUUAAAGUUGAAGGACAUGAGUGGGCUAAUCUGGUGGCUCAUCCGGGGGCUCUUGUGGUAAACAUUGGUGAUGUUCUUCAGGUAAAAUCAAAUAUUUCGUAUUACAUCAGGUCUUGUUUUUAUAUUUUGCAAAGUUGUGAAACUAUGUGUCCCUGAUAUGAAUAUUUUUUUUUGCAGAUUAUUUCAAACGACAAGUACAGAAGUGUUGAACAUCGGGUGUUGGCCAACUCAUUACAAGAACCACGAAUAUCAGUUGCAGUUUUUUUCAACCCAGCUAACGAUGCAGACACUUAUGGACCGUUACCUGAAAUUACAUCACUGGAUGAACCAGCUCGUUAUCGCGACUUUGAUUUACUAGAGUUGAGACAACAAAUGAAAAAGGAAGUGGGUGUCAAAAGUUUGAUUAACAACUGCAGGAUUGGUCCAAAUUUGAAGUGGAGAGAUUGGAAUCCGCUCAGGCUUCUACAGUCUUAUGUAGGUUCUAGUCAGAAUUAGAUAGAUAUUCAGUUUCAUCAAUUUUCAGGACUCGCUGUUCCCUGUAGUUUAUCACAUUUUGAUUCCCGUCACUGGUAAUCCGGCUAGGAGGUCUUUUAACCAAGAAUUUCAUAUGUUAAUCAGAUCUUAUCUCUGCGGCUAGUUGUAACUGUUAAUUACCAGCUUCAGAAUAGUUCUUUUGAUUGUUUUGUCAUGUGCUUAAUUGUGCAAAAUUUUAAAAAAUGGUUUUGAUUGUUUCAAUCAGCAUGUUAUUGAGUCAAUCCUACAGAGGUUCUUUUCAUUUACAUGUAACUGCUCAGUUAUCUUAGCCUUUUUUUUCUUUAGGUAAACCAAACCAAGAAUGUAAUACUUUGUCAAAUAUUUUUAAUACACACGAGUUUAUACUAGAUGAGCAUCUCUAACAAGGGUUGUCAAAAUAAUUGUCAAUAUUGUCAAAUCAUCAUAUAUUAAUAUUUAUUUCACUCAUUUUUUAUCAACUUGACAACAUUCUAAUUCAAUAAUUAGCAAAUUUUGAAAGUUGUCUAUGUGGUCCUCUCAAUUGAAUUAUAAAUGACUCAUGAACUAAUAGAAGUAUUAAUAAUCUACAUUUUCGGCACUUAUAUAUGUAUUUUAACUAUUUUGGAAAGUUACGAAGUUUUGACGAUGGUGAUAGGCAGCCUCUUGGCAAUCAUACAACUUCAAUAGAUUGCAAUGAAGAUUGUCCUACCACAUAAGAUUUAACAACCUCUUAGCAAUUUCUAUCGGAGAUGCUCUAAGAUAGAUUUGACACCCCUUUGACAAAAUCUCUAUCGGAGAUAUCAUAAGAUGAACAAAUUUUUUUAAUAAUUAUAUAUUUAAAAAAAUUAUUGAGUAUAUAUAUUUAUAAUUUUUAAGUAAAUAAUUUAUUAUAAUAUCAGUCAGUCGAAUACUCAACCCCCACCGCCGCAUAGGGUUUGCAAGUUGUAACUGAAGAGAAAAUAAAAGCAAGACAAGAUCGGUGCUGCUUAUUACAAAGAGAAUACCCAGUUAAACACACUCUCUCUCGUAACGUUUAAACAGGUUACUUAGCAAAUGGCGAACAGCAGUAAAAUUCUUCUUGAUUUGGAGGCUGAAAAAUCUCCCGCAGGUCUUUUUUCUAUCUCUUUCCAUCCCUGUUAAUUUUUAUAUAACUUAUUUGUUUGUGUUUGCUGAUACUGUUUCGGGGUUUUACAUUAUUUGCAGAAUCCAAGUUUCUGUUUUGUAUGAAUCAUGAUUUCCCGCGGCAGCCUAAGCCUACAAAAUAUGAAUUGCCUCAGAAAAAGCCUAUAAUUACCUCGGUUCCGAAAAGCCAAGGUAACCAUUUUCAUUCUUUGUGCUUUAUUUGUUUUGUUUUAACACUGUGUGGUAAAAACUCGUUAAAUUAAUACUCGAUUAUGUGAUAACAUCUGUUAAUUGAUACUCUACUAAAAUUUGUAGAAAUUGCAGUAGAGGGUACUGUAGGGGUGUAAACAAACCAAACUAUUCGUGAGCUACUCGAGCUCGGCUCGUAAAAUAUUUGAAUUUGAUUCGGUAAUAAUCGAGCCGAGCUCGAGCUCGAGCUAUUUGGAAGUUUUACCGAGCCGAGCUCGAGCUUCAAAUUACUCGGGUCGUAAAGUUCGCGAGCCUUAUCGAGCCUCUUUUAUUUUUUAAUUUUUUUAUUAUAAAUAUAUUUUUACAAAUAUUUUUAAUAUUUUAUUUAUAAUUUAUAUAUUUAAUCGAAUCGAACUCGAGUCGAACCGAACAUAUUUCGAGUUUUUGUCAAUAUUUGGUGACUCGAUUCGAGCUUUCGAGCCGAACUCGAGCUUAUCGAACUAUUUACGAGCCGAGCUUCGAACUUGAAAUUAAAGGCUCGGUCGAACUCGAGCUCGAACCCCGAAUUUUUCAGUCGAGUUCGAGCCGAGCCUGCCAGUGUUCGACUCGGCUCGGCUCGAUUACACCCUUAGAGGGUAGUAUGCCUAAUUAUAGUUACUUAAUAUCACCUGGAGUAUUAUUGUGUUUAUUGCUGAUUCACAUUAUGAUGAUUGGUUCCCUAUUAAAUUAAUAUGCAAUUAAAAAAAGGUUUAAAAGAAAUGGUUCAAGGAUUGCCUCAGUCAUGUCUUGCUUUAAAUUAUUGAUACAUUCAGUUUGCUUAAAGGAUUGUAACUCAUUUGUUUGAUGUAUAGAUGUUUGAGGGAUAGGGGAGCAGUGGGAAAAAUAUUUUGAUUGUAUAUUUUUGUUAUGAUUGUAGACUGUUGUUUAUCACCUAACUGAUUGAGCUUUCGUUACCCUUUUGGUGGGCAAGGUUGUGUUAUGGUUGGGAUGGUGGGAAGGCUGCACAUUGGUUGUAGGGUGUGAUGUUUCUAGUUUCUAAAUUGUAAAAACUACAAUACUAUGUUUUUGAAGUAUUAGAAUAGGUGGAGUUAACUAAGCAUGAAAAUAGUAUCUUUUAUGGUGAACUGAUCUCUGCAUACCCAUUGGUUGGUAGCAGAGAAAGGCGAUGAAAUGUGAAUUAUAUGGAGGGUUGUAUAUAAAAUGGUGGAAGACCUUAGCUGGGGCACGGGGCAAAUCUUGUCAGUGUUGGUAUGUUAUAUUGUUGCUAGAUGUUGGGGAAGAACAAGUGAGUGGUUUUUCAGGGUGAUAUUAGUCAAUGAAAUAAGUCUGCAAACACCAUUAUGUGUAAAGUUAUAGUUUCUUAGUGCUUUAGUGUAGCAUCCAUAAUUACUAUACUUGAUUUCAACACGGUAUUAUAGUGUGUAUUACAGAUGCACAUAUUAAAUUUGACUGAAAGUAUGAUUACUUUAUAGAAACUUCAGGUUAUGACAUUUUUCUUGCUUAAGUAUCUAGAUAUUAAAAAUGACUUUGACGUCUAAGUUAAUGUAGGAAUAUACUUAUAAACUAUUGUUCUGCAUACUUUAACCCCGUUUUAACAGUUCUGGGAAAAUUGAAGGAUUUCUUACCAGUUAUGUCAGAUGCAAAUAAAAAACUGCAGCUCGCUGCCAUGGUACGCUAUUGACUGUAGAUGUAAUCAGAUUGUUUGUCCAAUUACUUUCUUUCCCCACCUUAAAUUAUCAGGACCAAUAUGUUAAAUGUAGGACAAUGCGAAGGUAUUUGAUAUUGAAUCACUUGAAGACAAUGAUUCUGCACACAUUGAAAUGGUAUAUUUCUCUUACACCUAAUGAUGAUUCUAGCAACCAAUUUCUGUACUUAAUUUUGGGGGUAACCUAAUAGGAUCUGAUGCUGGGGGUAGCUGACCUCCAUACCCCUGAAGCUAUUGCUGCUGCCGAGUCUGCUAUCAAUGGUAUUCAGCCAGUUUUACCAUUUGCAACUACUAGUAAUAGUGAUGAAGACACUGAUGAAUACGAUGACAGUGAGAGUGACAGUGAGAGCACUUAUGAUGAUGAGGAUGGGGGAGAAAAUAAGCGUGACUCUGACAAACAUGAUCAGGGCAAUGAUGGUAUUGAACUAGCAUGCUCUCUUGCAAACACAAAAAGAGCCAAAUCCGUCUGCAAGGAAUCAUCUGAAGAUUUGGGAAAUGCAAAAUCAAGCAAGCGACCAAAGAUUGUCGAGCUUUCAUGAAACCUUUCCGGACAUAAAAAAAAAUGAGGUCUGAACUCUGAAGAUGUAUCUUCCAGAAUCAUGGAAUAGGAUGGAGCUAGAAGAACUAUUACCCCAAGUUCACUGAUAUCAAGCACGGAUGAAACCAGCCUGUUGGGAAGCUUGUUGGAGGACUGUAACAUGUUGAGUGUAAAAUAUAUCUGAUGGGUUAUACAUUUUGUUGCUACAAAUUUGUGGUGUUGAAUUCACAGUUCAAUUUGAUUAUUGUACCAUGUGAUAAGUUUUUUUCUCAGUUUAUCAAUUGAAUUUACUCAUGAUGAGGAUGGUAUUUUGGAAAAGCUUUAUUUCCUGAUCGGAAUGUGGUGGCGUGGUGCAGUCAAUUUGGGUGGUGUGGCACCCUGCACCACCCCUGCUUACCGCAGUAACUUCUGAAGCCAUUUAAUCUAAUUAUGUUAUGAUAAUCGAUCAACAUUAAUCACUUCAUCUAAAUACUAGCAGAAAACUGUUAAUAAAACCGAAGAAUGACCCAUAAGUAUUAAUAGUAUGUACAGCUGAAAGGUAAAUUUCUUGCUGCUGUUGGUUGUAAGUGGUCGAAAGAAAAAAUUGACAACAUGAAAUUAAAUUUAAGCGUGUACAAUUGUGUACAGCUGAAAGUGAAAACAGAUGGUCUCACCAUUCCUGUGACAAUAUAUUUAAAUGUGAUUUGUAUAUAUAACAGUUCACGGUGACCUUCCGCCCUUUUCAUGACUAUCUUGAUCGAGAUGAAUGAAAUCAUUUCAAACUACUUUCACUGGCAUUGUUGUCCAGUGAGCGGGUAUCGGAACUUGUGUGCGUCAGUAUUUAAAUUAAGGAUCUUUCUACUUUUAAUUUAGACGAAAGAGAAAUUUGUUGUGUACACAGACACAUAUCAGAAAAUCCGUUAAAUUAAAACGCUUGUUAGUGUAGGAAGUGUUUCUGUUUCAUACGUGGAUGAAUAUUAUAUGAAGGUGGAGAUUAGAGUAGUGUUCUGGCUUUGACAUACGUGUCUUCGGGAAUCAGGUCUCUACUCAAUUCCCAGUAAAACAGUGGUUACUGUCUCAAAUUCUGCAGACUGAAUCACUCUGCUUUUCACCCUUGUAUCUUCUUUAAUUCCAUUGUGCAACUCAAGAAGUUUUAGUGCCAUAAAUUAUGAGAUUUCUUAGAAAUACUCGUUUCCUUCAAGGAAAUGAAUGUCUGUCAGACCUAUACUUUUACUACCACAAUUUGCAUCGCCGUGACUGAUUAACUAAUAAGAGGUCGAGAUUUAAGUGUCGGGAAAUUACACUAGCAAGUGAAUUUUCCAGCAGAGCAGUGCUACAGGGACAAAAUUGGAUACAAAAUUUUGUACAAAAUGACACAGCACGUUCCAAACAAAACUUAACACAUGUCAUUUUGUGAAAGAUUUUGUACAUAAUUUUAUGCCCGAAGCACCAAAUUGAUUAUAUCUGUUCUGUUGUUCUUACUGCAUUAAUGUAAAAACUAGUGACUCCAAUACUAGGUAAAGUUAAAAUGAUACCUUGGCAUCUAAUAAAGCAGGCUCCUUUAUAUCAAAAGGUUGACAUUUUGUAUAAUCAAUGGACGACUAAACAAAUUAAAGAAAAAUAUAUUUAAAAAAAUUAAGGAGAGAUAUAGACAUGCUUAGCUAAUGAGCCAUGGCAACCGGAGCUGCAUAAUUGAUAGACCUCUGGUUGGGCAUUGCAAGCAUAAAAGUGUGAUCCAAGAAAUCAUUCAACGCGACCACAUGUUCCAGUACGAACCUAAGCUCAUCAGCACACGAAAACGCCAUGUUUCCAGCUCUCCUCACUGCAUACACAUAAAAUGUUAAGCACCCUUUCCUGAAUUUGAAUCUUGCCAUCUCACAACCGGUUAGACCCCGGAUGAUCUUUCGGUUUACUUCUCCCAGCGGUAUUUCCUGUGGCCAUAUCCUGUCAACUGCAUUCUUCAAAUUCUCAGACUCGAACACAAAAAUAAGUACCUUGGAUUUUUUGGUGCCUAGGCCUAGUGUAAGAGUGUGCCAUGCAUGGUGUGCUAAGAUAGUAAAAUUUGUUGGUAAAAAUGCAGAGGUGGACCGGAAACUUGUUGAUGUUCUUGAAUUCCCUGCUGGGCUUUUUUCGUCUAGGGAGAGGAGGUGCAGAAGCUGCAAUGGCCGCGCUUGGCGGAUAGUGAAUGAUUUUACAAUAAAUUGGCCUCCAAAACGGAGGCCUUUAACAUCAGAAGAGGGCUUGAAUGAGAAAUCUGAGGCAUUGGUGGCAAUCUUGGUGGUAUGAUCCUGAUUUGGAUGCUGAUAUUUUUGCUUCUUGGCCUUCUUUUUUUCUUUUUCUCCCAUGAAUUUGGUAUUUGUCUUGAGAAAUAGUGUGAGUGGUUAGAGGUGCACUGGUUAUAUUUUUGUAGGGUGGGGUUGAAUUAUAGCCUUUUAGGGAGUAUGAUAUGAUAACAAACCAAUUUUUGAGAGGUGGCUAGUGGGUUUCAUGAUGUUUGUGUUUAUGUUUCCAGCUUUGGGCUUUAAAUUUUAGGUGAAAGUUGAACCGUGAAACUAAUCAUACAAUGACUAGAAAUUGUUUUUUAAAACAUUUAUAUAAUUCAUAUGUUGUACAGUAGGUUGGAGGGUUGAAGUUAUUACAAGUCCCUACAUAUUUAUGACAUAUAUCUCAAGAUGUUGGCAGUUCAUUCACUGCAAUUUAUGAUUCUCUUCAAAAGUUUUGAUUUCUAAAAACAAAAAGAGAAAAAAAAAACAAUUUUUCUUAUCUGCAAAACCGCAUAAUUAUUAGUACAUAGUAAAUGUAUAAUGUAGUACAGUAGAACAUUUUAUAAGAGAACUCAGCUCUUGUCCUAUCUUAAGCAAAUGAAGUGUCUAUCUACCAUCUCAAUCAAAUGGAAAUUAGGAAUUUAAGAGGUUUUAUGCAUGAUAUAUAAACAAGUCUUCCCAAUAAAGUUGUUUCCUACCAAAGGAAACCCCACUGCCUUUAAUCAUUUCAUGGAAAAUUUUAUACACUGUUGGGUAGACCAGGCUGUGAUUGUCCCACAAAUGGUCCCAUAUAUAUUCUUGCAGAUUAUAUGUCCUUGGAUAUUUACAUAUAUAAUAUCUUCUUAUUGAUCAAAAUGAAAGACAUCUCCUACCAAACUUAGGUAGGACACUAAUUAGAUUGUAUCCAUUUAACAAUAAUGUGUCUGAUUAAUGCCUCCUAAUUCAAACCGGUAAGAGUUAAAUGAUAUUGAUUUGAAUAUGUAUCUUUCAACAUAUUGUCAAUUACAGGUUGCACAUGAAGGUGGUAAUAUGAUUUUAACAUUCACUAUAAAUCCAGAAGCCACGUAUAGCUUCAAAUGACUCGCUAACAAUGUUUAGCAAAAACAUUAUCUCAAACCAAACUAACAUUAGCUGCUUUAUCUCAAACCAAACUAACGUUACAUCAAACUAGCAUCAGAGUGCAGAUUACCUACAUUAUUAAUCAACAUAAAGAAAGCAGUAUUCGCCAAGAUGUCAAAAACAGUGAAUAUCCUCCGAUGACAUUCCACAAUGCUCGGGCAAAAACUUUAUUAAAUCUUAUUUCAACCCGACAUUGCCCAUACAUAUUACAACUCUUUCAAGAACUUAUUCAUGCUCAAAAAUAACACAAGACAAAAGUCAACCCCCAUGCAUCAUCACCAAUUCACCAUACACAGGUUACAUAUACAAAUCGACAAACAAAAAAGAGGGAAGAAAAAAAAAAGAAUAACAAAAGCAGAACAUAGAACAAAUUUGUAAUAGACUGAUGCUCCAUGUUCCAGCGUUAUCCAAGAAGCCCGACUAUCUCAAGAAACUGAUGCUGUAGAAAACUACACCCUUCAACAAUUUCCAAGUCCAACCAUCUUGCAAUAUCUGAUGAAAAUAGGUCAACAACCUGACACCCAAACAUGGGAUGGGGAACAAAAACAACCCCACAUAAUGUGUUUUAGCUACUUAUUUGAUGUAAAUAUGAACCCAUUAUCCCUGGUCCAUAACAACUUAUUAUCUCCCCCAAAACAAUUAAAAAAAAAAAAUCUAACAGGUCCUCACUGGUAAAAUUUAUGUAAAACGAAUUUUAUGUAUCCUAAAAAAUUAAUUUCCUCGCGGACAAAAUUUGUAAGACUCAGAGAGUCUUGUAUGAUAUGAGCCUACGCCGGUCAAGCUUCAAUAUACGACUCUUGUCACUGUUUCUUGGCUUCAGUAAUCGCUGCACUUCCAUUUCAGAUUGAAUUGAAGCUUGCAGUCUCUUUAAAUGCCCAUAACAUUGCCUGUGAUCAGACCUCGCAGUGGCCCUCAGUUUCUCAACUUUCUCUUCAAUUGGACAAUAAUGCCUCUGAUAUGGAGACUGCCACUUCGCUUGCAAAUAAGCAAGGGAUCUCCAUGGAGGGAAAGGCAUCGAGUUCUGCUUGAGAGAAGACCUUGCAGCUUCAACCAUGACUUGAAGGUAUUGUUUCAAUUUGCUCAAAGAGCCCACAUAAACAACUGGAAGGGUAUUCAAUAUCCUGUCAUAUGAGUCAACAGCUCUAGCUAUUUCAAAGUGACUCCUAAAGUCUAUAUCAAUGAUCAGACGCUCAGAGCUUCGAGCAUCAUUGUGAUUAACAACAUCAAUAUACUCAUGGUCCCCUGGAUAAAAAAGUUAAUAGAGGAAUAUCAGUAGCAACAAAAAAUGUAAUUAACUCUACAACAGUACCCGAGCUUACAAAAUUAUAAAUUACUUAGUCAAACCCAAGAAUAAACUCUACAUAUCCAACAAGUCACAAUUAAACAUGCAACAUCAUCUGAGUAAAAUCAUUUGUGCAACACCACCAUAUUGCUACCAUUACCAUAUAAGAUAGCAUGCUUCCCUUUCAUUUAUUCAUUCCUGAAUUCAUUAUCUUAUAUUUUAACUUUCUUACAUACUCUGCUAAAGCCUAGGAAUCUAGCUUCUUACAAGUUUAAAGCAAAAAAAUGGAUUCAAGAACAUACCCCCAGGAACCUUUCCACUACCCUGCCACUUAGAUGAGCACACAGCAGCAUCAUAACCAGAAAGUCUCAGAAGCUUUACAAGGGAAUAUCUGAUACAACUAGCAUUACAUGGACCUGGCUUGACAAGGUGUAGGUCUAUCUCACUGAUAGAUUGCAUCAAAGAAUCCACAACAGACAACAAGUCACGUUCAUACUGAUCCAUUGACAGCUUAUAACACUGUGGAACAAGAAAUCAAGACUAGAAGUCAGAAACUUUAGAGAUAAUCUUCAGUACAAACUUUCCUCUUCUAUUUAGAAGGAUAGAGAUAGAGGGAGAAAUUCAAAGUGCAGCCAUAAAUAUUUAGGUUGGCAAUGACAACGUAACAUAUUUAAUUAAAACCCCAAAUACAACUUAUUAGACUUAUUCUAUCUGAUGUUCAUUUUCAAUUACCUUAACAAUUUCAUCACAACAUAACCACCACAAAAUAUUUUCAAAAUGUUCAUUGUUACCUUCUUCCAUGUUAGAUUACUUCCUUUUACACUUAUAUAUGAUUUCCACUCAAUUCUAAUCAUGAAGGAAGGUAUAAUCAAUGACAAAUCAUAUAUCAAGAAAUUAUUCCAUAGACAAGACAAAGCUCGAAAAAAUUUCAAUAUAGAUCUGGUUAGUGAUCACUCUACCCUGUCAGGGACUAAGUAGUCCAAUAAACUUUAUAUGUAAUUUAGAGAGAAUAAGUACUAUAAUUUAGAAGUACAUUUACAUCUUCCCUGCACCCUAUGGCGUAUAGAUUAAGCCGCUCACUCAUCAUAUAAAAUAGCAACAACAAAUCAAUAAAAAUCAUCACUAGAAAAUAAAAGACAGUCAAUCAAAAGACUUCAAAACACAUUAAAGAAUUGUGUAGACCAUAAAAACAACUUAACAGCUGCCUCUGAAUGAAUAACGACAGUGCACACACAUUUCAUAUGUGCACUGGAAAUUUAAUAACUUAAACCAGUAAAUUAUUCUUCUAAUGUUUCAAAAAAUUAAUAAGAAUUUCAAAAAUGUAGUUUAUGUGCUUACUAUGAACCUUCAAUAUCUUAGUCCAUUCUAAAAGAGGGAGUUCUUAAUUACAAUUUGUUGUCUUCAUAAAAUACCAUCUCCUGUUACAUUGAUUACAAAUGUCUCCGUACAUCAAAUACAGACAUCUCGUAACAACGGUAAGUCACCACUUUUGGCCAAUUACAAUCAAUUUUUUCAAAUGAACGAUUUGAAGACCCUGAAACCUUGCUUCGUGCCUUUCUACGGAAAGAAAAAAGACAAGCUCAAUCUAUGCUCAAAUCAGAUUACGAAAAGCCUGUCUCGAAUUAUUAGCAUCAUAAAGCCUUACAUUUAUGCAUUACAUAAAAGUGAUAAAUCCAUAUUAUAAACACCUUAAUACUCAUCAUCAUAAUAGAAUUAUUAGUAUACCAAUUAGGUAGUCUCUUAAUUUAUUACAACACACAUGACACAACACAUACAAAAUGCACAUAAACUUACGUAUAUUAAAUUAAACUUUUAUUCAAUUAAAGUCAAUAAAAUUAGGCAUUCAUUUAAAUCGCAUUACGAAUUUACAACCAAUCAACCACCUAAUCCACAUAGACACAACAUGGCCAGUUCCGCAAAAUCAACACACGCAAAAUUCACAAAAAAAUAAACACAAAAUUCACCGAAACACGAAAUACGAAACCGAAAAAACCUUGAUGUUAUCGGCCAGGCUGGGAAGAUCGGAGAAGCCGGAAUCACUAUCACUACUAUUAUGACACCGAUGCGAAUCACCGCUCCCGUUCUCCAAAAAAUCACUAACCAUCACCGCGAGAUCAUGCUCGCUCUCGUGACUAUAACCUCCGUCACCGCCGGCCGCCAUUCUGAUAAUCGAUAAUAAUUCUCCNCCCUCCGUCACCGCCGGCCGCCAUUCUGAUAAUCGAUAAUAAUUCUCCCCGAGUCGCAUAGACUCCACAAUCCAUACUCACCGCCAAACACAGCCUUACAAAAACAAUUAUCACAACCUAAUUAACAUAAAAUCGAUAACAUAUUAAAGUUUCGAAACGAAAUGAUUGAUGAAAUAUUAAAAUUUCAUUUGUUUGGGCGCCGAGCCCUAGAAAAUAUCGAAUUGGACGAAAAAAUGCCAAUUAUUAGAUAUUAAAUAUAUACGAUUGAAUUAUUGAGUUUCGGUGAUUUGUGUGUAUAGGUGUAUGUAUAGGUUUGGUGGUGGAAAAACCCAACGCGGAGAGGAAGGAUGAAGGGGAGGGGGAAAUGGUGGGAAUAUAAAGGGGAGGGGGGGAUGGGGGAGUGAAAAGACGAAAAGGGGCUUAGGGAGUGUCGUAAUGACCAAGGAAACGUGUUGAAAUGUGACAGGGGGAUGGGGACGAGAAAGUGGAUAAAGCUGGAGAUGAACCUGGACGCUGUGAACAAACCAGGGGCUGGGCUUGGGUUUGGGCUGGAUUGGGUUAUUUACGGCGGUGAUUUUGUUGGUUUUAUUGGCAUCGUGGACGGCAACUGGUUUUUUACCGUUUCAAAUUUAUGGAGGAGUUCACUUUACUAAUUAUCUUAUCUCCUUGAUAUAUUUAUAUUAUCAUUUUCAUUGGUAAAAUUAGUUACAAAAUCAGGCGGUUUUCAAUUUUUUCCAAAAUAAAAUAAGUUCAAAUCAAGUGUUAGAACAAAUACUAAUUCGGUUUGGCUAGUGUGUGCCCAUGGGCACAUGCUAAGCGCGUAAAUUUUUGUAUUUGGGACAUUUUGAUGUGUGUGGUCGGUGUAUUUGCAGGGGGGUCCACCAUUAUCAUGAGAUAGGAGCCAAUCAAAAUGAUUUUCCGCGCUUAGCAUGUGCCCAUGGGCACACCAUAGAAAAACCGAUACUAAUUCAUAAAAUAUAUAUGUGUCAAUAGUCAAAAAAGAUAAAGCUCAAAGUAUUUUCAAAACACAAUCUUCCGUGUAUCAUGCAAAUGUUGGAUUAAAAAAAUAGUUUUAUCAGGAGAAUUUUAAUCUAUUAAAUAUAUGUUUCAUAUAUUUGGAAAUUUGAAUUUUUCAUGUUUUUUCUUUCCAAAAAUUAAUUGUUUGGUCACAGUGGAAUAAGCUUUUAAAUUCACUUAAAAAUUCUAUACAUUUCACUUUCCGAAAAAUAUAUAGGAUUAAAAUAAUUUUGGAGAUAAACACAAAUGUGGAUAUCCAUUAUCCGGUGGCGCAACUUUAUCCUGGUCAUGGAUUAAUAUAAUAAUAUAUGAAGAACGAGUUGGGGACCAAGCCAAAACAUGACGGGGUACUUGUGAGUUGUGAGCUGUAACAGGAAAAUUCAUAUGAUCAUAUGUUAUCCGUAUUCGGCUUCCUAAUAUGAUUGUGGAUCUUUCAUGUGAACAUCCGCAACUGGUAUCCUUUUUUAGUCACCUCUUUUUCAUUUCUUUAUUGCUCCAUAAUGCCAUCUCUCUCGUAAUUCUCUCUCCCAUCUCUCUCGUAACACUCUCUCUCCUCCCCCAAUGGUUUAUUCGGAUUUUCGUAAGAUUCUUUUGACAACUCAAAGUAUAAUGAUUAAUUAUUUUAAUCAUAAAAUAAUAUUUUAUAAAAAAAUUGAAAUAUAGGAAUUGAUUAAACUAACUAAAAUGUAAAUCAUAAAACAUUAUUACAAUGGUAGGCCACUUGCUUGGCCCAUGGCACAUUAUCAAAGAUACCAGUUGUACUUCCUCUCCAAAGAAAUUAUACUACUAGUUGUACUAUUAUAUUCAAGUACAUGAGAAUAAAGUUAUUACAGUACUACUAUAACUCACGAGGGCCUGAUUUUGACUCUUGACUUGAGAUGAAUGGAUGGUACUUGGUACUAGUAUGGUAAUAUAUCUUGGUCAACCAGAGCUGCUAACCUUGGAUUUAUCCUACAUGUCCUGGUCAAGGUUCAAAUGUGAUGACUUUGCAUUUUAUACAUCAGUUCCAUUACAAUCACCGUCUUGUUCUUUCUCGACUCAUAAUUAAUACACUGCCCUGCUCGUUAGUUUGCUUGGCUCAGUCGGCCAGAUGAACAAUUCAGGGGUGACAAUUUUGGUAACAGGUCGUGUUCGUGUCAACAAUCGAGUCGAUUUCGGGUCAAAUUAAAAUCAUUUAAAAUUGAAUAAAACUUGAAAUUGAAGUUUUUAGAAAUGAAAUUCUAAUUUCAGGUCAUUUCGGAUCAAUCAGGUGAUUUUCAGGUCACUUUCGGAUUUUGUCUCAGUAAAUCGGGUUACGGGUUCGUGUCGGUUUUGAGUCGUGUCUGAUAUUGCCAGUAAACCCUGUUUAAACACUCUAUUUUAUCUAUUAGUCAUGCUAAUUCAUAAAAUAUAUAUGUGUCAAUAGUCAAAAAAGAUAAAGCUCAAAGUAUUUUCAAAACACAAUCUUCCGUGUAUCAUGCAAAUGUUGGAUUAAAAAAAUAGUUUUAUCAGGAGAAUUUUAAUCUAUUAAAUAUAUGUUUCAUAUAUUUGGAAAUUUGAAUUUUUCAUGUUUUUUCUUUCCAAAAAUUAAUUGUUUGGUCACAGUGGAAUAAGCUUUUAAAUUCACUUAAAAAUUCUAUACAUUUCACUUUCCGAAAAAUAUAUAGGAUUAAAAUAAUUUUGGAGAUAAACACAAAUGUGGAUAUCCAUUAUCCGGUGGCGCAACUUUAUCCUGGUCAUGGAUUAAUAUAAUAAUAUAUGAAGAACGAGUUGGGGACCAAGCCAAAACAUGACGGGGUACUUGUGAGUUGUGAGCUGUAACAGGAAAAUUCAUAUGAUCAUAUGUUAUCCGUAUUCGGCUUCCUAAUAUGAUUGUGGAUCUUUCAUGUGAACAUCCGCAACUGGUAUCCUUUUUUAGUCACCUCUUUUUCAUUUCUUUAUUGCUCCAUAAUGCCAUCUCUCUCGUAAUUCUCUCUCCCAUCUCUCUCGUAACACUCUCUCUCCUCCCCCAAUGGUUUAUUCGGAUUUUCGUAAGAUUCUUUUGACAACUCAAAGUAUAAUGAUUAAUUAUUUUAAUCAUAAAAUAAUAUUUUAUAAAAAAAUUGAAAUAUAGGAAUUGAUUAAACUAACUAAAAUGUAAAUCAUAAAACAUUAUUACAAUGGUAGGCCACUUGCUUGGCCCAUGGCACAUUAUCAAAGAUACCAGUUGUACUUCCUCUCCAAAGAAAUUAUACUACUAGUUGUACUAUUAUAUUCAAGUACAUGAGAAUAAAGUUAUUACAGUACUACUAUAACUCACGAGGGCCUGAUUUUGACUCUUGACUUGAGAUGAAUGGAUGGUACUUGGUACUAGUAUGGUAAUAUAUCUUGGUCAACCAGAGCUGCUAACCUUGGAUUUAUCCUACAUGUCCUGGUCAAGGUUCAAAUGUGAUGACUUUGCAUUUUAUACAUCAGUUCCAUUACAAUCACCGUCUUGUUCUUUCUCGACUCAUAAUUAAUACACUGCCCUGCUCGUUAGUUUGCUUGGCUCAGUCGGCCAGAUGAACAAUUCAGGGGUGACAAUUUUGGUAACAGGUCGUGUUCGUGUCAACAAUCGAGUCGAUUUCGGGUCAAAUUAAAAUCAUUUAAAAUUGAAUAAAACUUGAAAUUGAAGUUUUUAGAAAUGAAAUUCUAAUUUCAGGUCAUUUCGGAUCAAUCAGGUGAUUUUCAGGUCACUUUCGGAUUUUGUCUCAGUAAAUCGGGUUACGGGUUCGUGUCGGUUUUGAGUCGUGUCUGAUAUUGCCAGUAAACCCUGUUUAAACACUCUAUUUUAUCUAUUAGUCAUUGCCUAUAAGAAAAACAGGCUCAAUCCCAUUUUUCAGCAAUAUCAAGUUAUUGAAGCUCACCCUUACCAACUGCACCCACAAUCUUUAUACAAUAAACCAGCUUACGCACAAUGCUAUAAGCAAAUUUUGAAAUGAAAUUGUGUGCAACAUGUAUGACAAUAUUAGUAGCCGACUGGAUCAAGAAGUUAAAGGUGGAUUUGCCUUGCAAGUAUGUGAAACCUUCACCCACUAAAAUCUUACUCUUCGGAGUGAAGCAAAAGUAAAGAAUCCCCUCCCCCCUCCUUAUUUUGUGCCCCAAACAAAAUGAAGUUUACUUUCUGAUAUCAUAGUGUCGCAAGUGGAGAGCAGGAGGAGAAAAUUACCAACAAAAAACAGCAUCUUUCUUAUUAAUCAAUUAAAGAGUCAAAUCCACAUAAUCUUGGCUCCUAAAUCAUGUCAAUACCUCCAAGCCUAACACUCUUAUUCAAUAGUUCUACAUAAACUAGUAGAAGGGCCAUCAGUCAUUACACUUGCAUCUCAAGAGCAAGAGAAGCUUUAUGAAUCAAAUAAAAACUUGAUCCAAAUCAACUUAUUGUAUAACAAAAUUGCUAUGUCAUUAGAAAAUGCAAGAGAUCAACAUUGUUACAUGGUCAUCAUUCAAGAUAAAGAAAACAUGACAGAUGAUAAAGGGUGCUCCACUGAAAUUUGAGAGUACAAAGUCACCCAAAUAUUCUAUGGGAAACUGAAUGUUCUAUUAAAUAUUUAACAACAUUACAGGACAUAACGAAUAUAUUCCCAAACCUAUCCCAGUGUACUGUCCGUUGUUUCCUCGAGUCAUAAUCAAUGGUCUUCCAUCUUUUUCAAUCCUUUCAUAUCAGUUGUCUCCACCCUGUAUUAAAAGCAAGGUCAUAACUUAUACUCGAUGCCACAAAUACACUUGCAAAUUUAAUUACUACAAGAUAUUCUAGGAAAGUAUGUUCGCCAAGGCAUGGUGCAUCUGUCCUAUGCUAUUUUUAAUCAAGCCUUAGAUUACACACAGAGCUUAGAAACAAUUUAUGUUAUCUCUGCCCAAUUAAGUUGUGUAUAUUACAGGUCCACUGGAUUUCCAAAUUUAAUGGGAAGUAAAAAAAUCAAUAAUGUGCCUAAGCCUUUAAGGGAUAGGAUUAUAUCAGAAAACAUUGACAAAUUCCGAUAUCCGCAUAUAAACAAAGUUGUUAGACCAUGUAGUGAAGUUCCACAAAAGGACUGAAGUGAACAGAGCCCAUGCUUAAAAAUCGAGCUUGACGAACUACGUUACUAAAUAGAAAAGAAAAUGUAAUAACAAAAUUAUACAGUAGCAUAAAGCAAUUAUCAAACUAGAUUCAAAAGCACCAACACAACUUAAUACAUACCAAGUCUUCAAGCAAAAUAACAAUUGAAUCCGCAGCAAUGUAACAAUGUAUUAUGGAUAAUAAGUCUACCACACGGCAAAUUAACAUAUUAAAACAAGAGAGUAAACUCAUAUUCGUCAAGCUUCAAAUUUUCCUUAUGUUUGUGAUUUUUCAUGAGCAACCCUCUCAGUGUUAGUAGGUUGGUGGGGGAUAUGUACGUACUUCCGCAUCAUCAUUAUCAUCAAAAAAUAUCCAAAAUUCAGCCUAAUUUACUUUUUUUAGCUUUAGCAACUGAAAAAAUAUUAAUCAAUUAAUAAAGACUGUAUACUACACUUGUGUAUAUAAUAUAUAGAAUAAUAGAAUGCAUUACUUUAACCAAAAAGAUACACCAACUCCUACAUCAUAGUUUCUGGAUACACUAUAAGUAGCAAGACAGCUGGGUUAGCAAUUAGGCAUCUAAGAGCAAGUCCAACACUAUGCUAAGAGGUUCCCUAAAAAUAUUAUAAAAUAAUAUGUCUUAUUGAUUUAGCACACGCUUUAGUACAUGAGCUCCAAUAGUACUCCCUAUAUCCAUUCCCUAUUAUUAUAAUAAUAGGGAAUGGAUAUAGGGAGUACUAUUGGAGCUCAUGUACUAAAGCGUGUGCUAAAUCAAUAAGACAUAUUAUUUUAUAAUAUUUUUAGGGAACCUCUUAGCAUAGUGUUGGAAUACAAUUUUAUCCCAUAUUCUCUAUUUUCGGAUUUAAGACUUGAUUUAGCACACCUAUUGGACUUGCUCUAAGGAGAUAGACCUCUAGUCAAAAGUCAACUAAGUGCAAAAUUAAAAGCUGAACAAUGAGGGCUUAUAUGGUCCAUCUGUGACUAAGAAUGAAGUUGCAGCUAUGUAGAAUAUCUGAAGUCUUUAGCCACAAAAGCUAUCACUGUGUCUUUUGGCAAGCAAACAUCGUAAGUUAACUCUGUUUCACUUACCAAUCGCAUCCUUCGGCCACUGUCCAAGUGGUCAACUAGUCACCAACCACACAACCGUGCAGUUGACAAGUAUAAAAGAAGCAAAAUGAAAUCAGGAACACACACACGCGCGCAUAUUCAUCCAAUUUCAGGUAAAUUUGGUUUAUAAUUUGUGGAAAACGAUUCAAAAGGAUUAGAAGGAGUAUCAUCAACAUAAUAACUUGAUAGCGUUGCUGUGCUAUGGAUACUCACUGUACACUCAUGGAUAUCUAAUACUAUAGUCAUAUAGGCUUACUACUAUGCAAUAUUUUACAUAGAACACAAAAAGAAGUACACAUACACGACAGGAGAAGUGAUUUGAAAAUAUAUGCACUAUCAGUUCCUAGCUAGCAGCAUAACAUAUGCACUAAUUUAGUUUGUAGUUACCAUUUUAACACACAAAUAUAUAAGUAGGCAGAUUGUUUUGGUUGAGCAGAGCCUGGUAAGAAAACUAGACCAACUGCUUAGUUCUAUAUUCAAUAGUUAACUACCACUUUGCUUGAAUCACAUGAAGGAUUUCAGGUAAUUCGGGUAAAUUCACGAGGUUCAUUAGAAUUAAUAACACUUGGUCCAGUCUUGUUGCAAGGAACUUAAAGUCCUCUCAGAUAUACUCAAAAGGUACUAAAAGCUCAGUCACAACACAGUAUUGUCACUUGGUCAAAUAAAAUUAUUUGUUGCAUUUGAUUCUCCCCUAAAAAACUAAACAGAUUUAAGAAUAUGAUUGAUCAAACACAAAGAGAGCGUAAAAGUACUAAAGAAAUUUAAGUAAUCAAUUUCAACUGAUAAAUAUUUUUAUAGAGCUUAUCAUAUUUGAUCACAUCUAAACUAUUAGGUAAAAAAAAAAACUAUCUGACCAAAAAUGGCUCAAAAAUAUUGUGUAUGUAGAGGAUUCAGUAAAGUCUCCUAUAAACAUGGGUCCUGCUCCCCAGCAUCAGCAUGUGUAUGCUGGGGAGCGCUUAUCUGCCAUACAAAUUUCAGACCGUUGGAUGAGAUACCAACAGCCAGGAUUAUAACAAAAUUUCACCUCAUCCAGCGCUUUUUAACCGCUAGACACCUAAAUCAGACAAUUUGGGGAGCUGUUUUUUUCACUAAACCAGACAAUUUUCUGGAAAAUAUUAUGAAACUGCCAUUAGUAUGUUCAGCGCAAAAAAGCACUUAACGUCCAAAAUUUGAAAAAAGAAAAUACUCGGAUGUCCAGUACUUUUUAAUCACGGAGCAUAUUGAACAUAUUAAAAACAUUAACACAUCCAGUGGAAAAUAACCGCUUGAUGCUAGGUGUUCAGCAGUAAAUUGUGCUGGACGUAGCUUAAAAAUCUUAUAAUCCUGGAAUGUGUAUGGCAGAUAGGAGCUCCCCAGCAUACACCUGCUGGGGACCAGGAGUCCAGGACCCUAUAAUCAUUCGCUGGAAGUCUUUAUUAAAGAUGUGAAAUAUCAGAAGACAAAGUGAUAAGGUGGAAUUUACUGGUCAGUAAACUAUAUAGUAUUGGACAAAUUUAUUAUCCAAGAAGAAGAACAAGAAGCAUUUCUCUACAAUGUACUUGUAUGAAACACAUAACAGCCCAUUUGAUACUUACGUAGUUCCAUAUAAGACAAUCUUUUGAACUUUUGUUGUCUCGCAUUCAGAUUGGUUAUCCUCGAUAAAAAUUGUCAAGCUGAUACAAUGUCCAGAGACAAAACAGUGAGAUCAUUUCAAAAGAUAAGUAAAAAACAUUGAAAGGCUAAAAUGCAAUUCUGAAACUUACCUGCGAACAUUCUGAAACUUGACAUACUUUAAAGCAACUGGUUUUCCCUAUAUGUGCAAGUAUACAAUAUUUGUAUGUUAGCAUUUACAACAUUGUCUGAAACAUGCAAUGGCUUUCACAAAGGAUUCAUCAUAUCACUGGAAACUCUUACCUUGUUAUCUUCAGAGGAUAAUACUAUGGUGUCAUUUGGAGCAUAGUCGUUAACAUUACUGCAAAUUACAUCAUUUUGGCAUGGUAAUAAGGUGCACGAAAAUUAAACUAUGACAUAAUUACUGCGUGCAACUACAAAUCCACAAAUCAGUUACCUGAAUCCCAUAUGCUCCCUAUUUGUAUACAGUUUAACUGUUUUUGGACCUGGAAAUUGACACAAAGUUCCAAAUUUGAAGACAAAUUCCAGUAUGAAGGUAUAUGCACCCAUGGUUCCAAGUUAUCACAAUUAAUUAGUGGAGACCCUUUUACGCAGUUUCUAUUAUACACAAAAGGGAUGCACAAACACAGUAAAUCACUGCAACAAUCCAGGAAGUAACUGGCAAUCCCGGUGGGUUGUGACAUAGGGGAAAAAUGUAUUGACAUCUAAUCAAUGUGCAUGAUUAUGAAGUUUUAGCAAUUAGCAUACUAUCACUUAUUACCAUAUUCACAGAGUAGGCACAAUUUAAAAAAACUAAAGCUAGAAUAUGUAAGACUAACUAGAAUAAAUGCUAAAAAGCAAACAAUUGUAAGAAACAAGUUCACGAAAAUAUAUACCUUCCUCGUCAAGUCCUUGAAUGGCAAUUGAGUGUAGUUUGAUGACUUGGGUGAAAGGUAUAUAAAUCAAAAGUUGUUCAUCUGCAUCACUCUCUAAAUUCAACCCAUCAUCUUCUCUAUAACCCUAAUGCACAAAAAAAAAAAAAGCAAAAGCCAGUUUAAGUCACUGAUACAAUUACUAAAUGGCUGAAGAAAAAACUGCCAGAAUAUUCGAUAUUUUCCAAUAAAUAUCAUUUAAAAUUCUUAUGUAAAGGUUUCUACUUCCAAACAAGAAAAUGUAUAGAAGCAAGGUAUUCCCAGCUUCUUGAUAAUUUCCACUACCACAAAGUCUGCAUACAGAACGAUUUUGUCUCUCACAGUUAUGAACAUACACUUGAACUCAAAUAUUUUUCUCAAUACAGAUUGAACCUAUGGUAACAAAAGCGUGUCAAAUGCUGCCUUUAUUCUUUCAGUACAAAUUUCACCCACAUGAAUCAUGGACGUUAAUUACGUUGCAGCAGUGAAUGAUGAAAUUUUCCGCAACUCUGCAAAACCACUGUUUUCUAAUCAUUCAAAUUGUGCACUAUAUGGAACACCGCCCCACACUUCUACUAAAAAAAGAUCAUUUAGUUUUCAACCCCCUAGCUUACAUGAAUAGCCCAUUUCUAAGAUCAAUUCGAGUUUGCUGGAAGGCAUCGCAUCACCGUAAAGAUGACAAGCUACUUCCUUAAGGUUUCCAAUUGAGUUAUUUGGUGUUUCCUUUGAUGCUUGAACAAUAGCAGUAUAUAUUAAUUAAUUUAAUAAUUUUAGAUCCAUAUUAGAUUACAAGGAAAAAGGAGGUGUUUUUCUUUGUAGAAAUAUAGCAGAUUACUUUUAAAAACUAGAGUACUAGACCAUAAUGAUUAGCUUUUUUUUAGUUAGGAAAGUACUUAGCUUUGAAACAAUAAGAUCUCUGUAUAAAUUCUUGUAAUGCUGAAAACAGUUCUACCUAAAGAUGAUUGACGAUUAUCACUUAUUUGAUGGAAUUUUUUGAAACUACGAGGCUCGCCUCCAUCAAUUCCCAGCAGAGGUAGAUUUUAUCCCUUAAAUAUGUACCACAAGUUUUUAUGACUUCACAAAGUUAUAUAUCAUAUUCAUCACUGAGUUCAAAAAUACUCAUAUCAAGAACAAGAAAACCAUUAACAAGUUGCUCUAAUUUGCAUUGUAAACUAGUACUAUUAUACUAUGUUCAGCAUAUAUAUUAACUAGUAUGAUCGCCCCAAUCCCAAAACACGAGUAUUAUGCAAUCAAAAAACCACCAAAUGUAUCACACAAUAAAACCCCUUGCGAGAAACAUAUACAACCAAAUACAAGUCAAUACAAGUAAAAUUGGAAACAAAUUUUAAAAAAAAAGGGGGGGGGGGGGGGGGGGGGGNNNNNNNNNNNNNNNNNNNNNNNNNNNNNNNNNNNNNNNNNNNNNNNNNNNNNNNNNNNNNNNNNNNNNNNNNNNNNNNNNNNNNNNNNNNNNNNNNNNNNNNNNNNNNNNNNNNNNNNNNNNNNNNNNNNNNNNNNNNNNNNNNNNNNNNNNNNNNNNNNNNNNNNNNNNNNNNNNNNNNNNNNNNNNNNNNNNNNNNNNNNNNNNNNNNNNNNNNNNNNNNNNNNNNNNNCGGUAUAUAUGAAGACCUUUUUGAGAGCAUUGGCAUAAGCCUGGGUUGAAGUUUGAUUCAGACAUUCGACUCCAGUCCAAUCUAUGAAGUCCACUAGAUCAACCUAAGACGGCAACAGAAAUCAGACAUAUAUACAUACAUACACAUAUCGAUACAGAUGUAAUAACGAAAAGACAGAAGAAAACAUACUUGGUUUCUUUGAAUUGCAGAGGCGGGUUCUCCAGACAUUGUGAAACGGACCAAAGAGAAAACCCCUCUUCUGUGUGUACGAGAGUCAAACGUAUGUAUGUAUCUUGUGUAUAAAGUCCGAGGUAGUGGGCGCGGCGCGGGUGUCUCACGCAAGGAAUAACUCAAUUGGAUUAUUGUGCCUGUUUGUCGAUCAAUUUUUUUAAAAAAUAAGUUUUUACUUUAAAAAAAAUUAUUUUUUAAAUAUAAAUGUCAAGAAGUUGUUUUAUAUUUAUUAUACUUAGUAAAAAAGUAAGGACUUAUUUCAGAAAAAAUAGAGAUUACUCACAUCAUAUUUUAUUAAAGAUUAGUAAAACAAAAGUUUUAUUUUGUUAAAGUAAACGUUUCAAAACAAAAGUUCUAUUUUGUUAAAGAUUUACUAAUUUCGUGGGAUAUCACACAUGAACUUGCGUGUUUUAUGAGAAUAUAAUUAUUACUAGUAUUAAUCUGUCACUGGUGAGUGCAUCUUCUCGAUGAGGUUCAUAAGAAUUAAGCACAUAUGAGAAGUGAUAAGUUGAAAUUGCAUUCAUGAAGAAUACGCAAAGGCACGCUAGUUUUUAAUACAAGAUGAGAUAUAUUAACCUGCAUCAACUUAAUAUUUAGAGUGACAACUUCAAUUUUCGCUUUAUCUUUUGAAAAUGAACUUGGACGUACUUUCUAGAAUUGGGGUUUUGCAAAUAUAACGUUCAAGCAAUCUACAGGUGUGGGAGUGAUCAUUAAGAAUGCAGAUGGCCCGUAUAGUUGUCAUGGUCUUAGGAAUCCUAGGGCCUCUGAAUCAGAGGACCAAUGAAAUAUAGGCAAUUGUACUUGGCACUAUUUAAGAAUGAGAAAACGGACUGAGCUGGAGACAGAAUCAACUGAGGCACUGCGUGAAUGAGAGGAUUGGCGAUGUUUAUUGAUGUUUACCAUUAUUGAUUGGUUGAGUAACUGAACCAGCGCCUUAAAGACAACUACCUAGUGCUUCAUAAGAAAGUUAUCGCGGCUAGUCAGAAUUGCUUGGCUAAAUACUUGGCUAAGAACAUUGUAGAAAUCCGAAAAAGUCCUCGAAGGAUCUUCGGGCCAUUUGAUCGAGUUAGGGGUAUUUGGUACCUUGAUAUGUUUCUAGGUUUUGUGAGGGAUGGAUUCAUGAAGAUGAUUAAAAAGAACAACAGUAACAGCAAAAUGAGUGGGUCAUGCAAGCGGACGCGCGCAGUAGUCUCAAGCACCAAUGAUUCAUCGGUUGGCAACGAAAACAACAAUCUGAUCAUCAUUGACUAAUGUGCUAGUUCGAUCACCCUGCUCGUGUAUUUAAACCAUGCCCCUCUCUCAGUUCAGGUAACUAAUUUUAGUUAUAUUAUGUUUUAGAUUAGUAUGUUCUCAGCAUUAGUUCUUAACCUGCUUUGAAUAGCAUUUAUAUGUGAUGAUGUUGGUGCAUGGAAGUUUGCCUUGGAGACCAUGAGGUUCCCAGGUCUUCUUCCAUUUUGAUUCCAAUGAAAAUGUUUAUCCGGAAAUGAAUCUGUUAGAAUUUUUAAGAAUUAAGUAAUUUGCCUUAAACAUUAGUUGGAAAUGAAGGAUGUUCAGUUUUGAGUUGGUAGUAAAGCUCUGUAUUGAUUUGCAUACUAAUGAUAUUGCACGCUCACACCCACCACUCACUCUUCUCUACUUCGAUACACAGUACCUGGUAUAAUAUUUGAUCAAAAAAGUGUUUGAGGCCAUAAUAUUUAAAAUGAGCGAAUGGUCUGUGUGAAGUAACCAGGUUGUUACAAUUGUUGCAAAAUUAUUUGCAGAUGUUGUGACAGAGAGUCUGUCUCACAUGAGUCCAUGUUGGGUUCUUUUCGUGAGUUAUGAUCGAGGAGUUCAUUUGUCCAAAAUUUGAUGGUCAUAUCAUUUUUUAAAAUUGGAUGGUAAGCGUGUAUAAUGACCCAAACUUCAAAGACAUGAAGGUAAUUAAGCCUAAAUUUCAAAGGCGACAACCAACAUUGAUAAGUCCAUCUUCUAAUAAUUUUUACUUUCUCUGUCAAUUUUUUUUAUAUAUCAAUAUUAAAACAUUGAAUUAUAUUUGAAUAUGGUUAACAGUUUAUCGAAAAUGCUCAAUUUUAUACGAAAUUAUAACAACACGUCGCACUACGAAGUAAUAAAUCAGAUGUCAAAAUGAUUUUUUUUCCACAUAUAGCAUAUUUGAUCUAUAAUAUCAUCAUGUUCUAGUGUGUACUAUUCUAUUUUUGACUUCUCGAAUAUCUUUCUAUUUUUGUCUUGUGAAUAAUACCUUUAUAUUUUAAAUUUAAUGUAUAUCAUAUCAUUAUCUUACUUAAAUAUUAAAUAAAUGUUGAAAUUUAAUUAAAUCAUCUAAUUUUUCAUUUAAACUUCAUUUUUUUCACAUUUUCAACACUCGUAACAAGUUACUACUUAAAAUAUCUUAGAACAAAACGUAGUUUAAAACUUCUGUAUAGUGUUUUCAAAAUAUUCUUUUUAAAUUCCUGUACAAUCAACUUUUUCAACUAACAUCAUUACUUUUUGAUAUAUGUGGUACUUUAUAAUUUAAUUUUAAAUUAACUUUUGUGUAACAUAAAAGUAAAUAUAAAAAUACCAUUCAUAAGUAGUCGAAAAUAUGAAAUGCACCACGCAUAAAAUAAAAAAUAAAAAGGUAUUUAACUAAAUAGAUAUAUAUUUUUUAUAUUAUUUUCAUCAUUUAUUUGAAAUUAAAUAAUUAAUUUAACUAAGUAUGGCAUAUUAUUCUUAAUAUGAUAAUUUUUAUAGAUUAAAUAAAUUAAAACGCUUAUCUUGAUGGAUUUUAUUAUAAACGUGAUUAUUAAUUUUUAGAUUGAUAAGAUGAAUAUGUUCGUCUUGAUUCUUGAGUUUUUUUGUGAUUUUUUAUGGACCUAUAUGAUUUGACAGUUUGUCCAAUUUGAAUUAUGACUAGUUAUUACUCCCUCCGUCCUCCUGAGAUAUAUACAUUGGGGGACGGGGACGCGGCACGGACUUUAAUGCUCCCGUAAAGUAUAGUUCCAUAACUUAUUUUUAGAAUUUUUUUUUCUGAAUAAAAAUUUGAAUGUUAUAUUUUUAUACAGAAAAAGAAAAUUUUAAAAAUAAGUUAUAGAACUAUAUUUUAUAAGAGCAUUGAAGUGCGUGUCGAGCAAUGAAAAAGAAACGUAUACAAUUAAAUGGGACAGAGGGAGUAUCAACGUAUAGAUAAUGUUAUACUUUCUCCGUUAAUUAGUCAUUAUAUUGGGGGUGUUUGGCAUUGAGAAGCAGAGCUUCUUUUCCAUGAAAAAGCAACUUCUACAUUUUGAUGACUGUUUGGGUAAAAAAGUAAUGCCAAAUUUUCUUGAGCUUUUGCAGAAGAAUUGAGAAGUUAGGAAGUCUAACUUCUCUUCCCCGGCUUUCAGCUUCUUUUUUUUAACUUGUAUGUAAAACAAAAACUUACCUACUUGCAUGUAAAACAAAACUCACCUAUCUUUUCGUUAGUAAUUUAUUUUUUGAUAUGUACUUUAAAUAAUGAUUUUUAUAUUAAUAAUAGUUUGAUAUUUUUAAAUAGAAAAAAAAAAUUAUGUUUAAAAUUAUCAAAUCUACCAUUUAUUAUAAGUCAAGUUAUCCAAACACCUAAGUACUUAAAAUUCACGGCAUCCAAACACCUCUAAUCCGAACCAACUUCUCACUCCUCUUCCACUUCUUUACUUUUAAGUAGAAGUCACUUCUUUUAAGCUUAGCCAAACGGCCCCAUUGUCCAUUAAUUUUGCAUUACACUUCAUGCGUUGUGUUAUGCCUAGGGCUGUUAACGAAACGAAUUCGAAACGAAUAUCUUAAUUUUCGUAUUUGUAUACGGUUUAAAUACAUAUAUUCGGAUUUGUAUUCGUUUAUUAUCCGAAUAAUUAUUUGUUUUUUAUUCGGAUUCGGUUAGAUUCACUAACUAUUCAUAUUCGUUUAAGGUACUCUUUUAAAACAAAAUGGAACUAAAUAACUGAAGUGCUAGCUCGUGACAAAAGUAAUAAACUCUUAUACUACACCAAUUCAAGCAAACUAUAAAAUACUAAUUACACAGACUACAAUCAUCCAAUUCAAAGAAACAAAAUUCAAUUACAACCAAAAUGUAAAAUUUAAUAUGUCUUAAUUAACUCUAAGAUCAUGCAACAGAACUUUCACUGGCUCAACCUUUUAGUAUAUGGACGGGUAGGGGUGAGCAAAAAUUCUCCAAACCGACCGAAACCGGCCGAUCCAGUCCGCUCAAACCGAAUUUAACGGUUUAAUAACGGUUUGGUUUGGUUAUGGUUUCAAAUUAUAAAAACCGAAUUAUUUCGGUUUGGUUUCGGUUUUUACCUCCAAACCAACCGAUAAAUCCGAACCGAACCGAUUAACCGAAUGUGUAAAUUUAAAUAUUAUAAAUAUACAUGUACGAAUAAUGUAUUAUUAAUAAUAAAAUUAUAAUCUACGAAAAAAUGUAAAAUCUUAAAAAUAUAAAAGGUAUCCUAGUAAAGAUUUUUUUUAAAAAUAUUAUUUAUUCUAUUUUAUGAUAUUAAUUUCGAUGUAUGUAUAAUAUUUCCAUUCUUUUUAUUUAUAUUUUUGUAAAAAUAUACGAAUCACAUUUUUUUUAAUUUUCUUCCGUCUCUUUUUAUCUAUCAAGCUAAUAUAUUCUUGUAUCCUCUUUAAAUAUGAUUAAAUAGAAAAUAUAAAUUGAAUUUUUCAUUCCUUAUUUUCAAGUUAAAAUUUAAUUUUGUUGCUAACUUUGUUUUACAUAUAAAAAACGGUUUAAACCGAAACCAAACCGAACCGAACCGUUUUAAACAGAUUGGUUUGGUCUGGAUUUUAAACAUAAUGGUUUGGUUUUGGAUUGAGAUUUUGAAAAACCGAUUAUUUCGGUUUGGUUUGGUUUAGACCUUUCAAACCGCCCAAACCGCCCGAUGCUCACCACUAUGGACGGGGCUGGUUUAAUUUAAUAUCUGGUCUCAAAAUAAUCUAUAAUCCUAUUAAAUAAGAAAUAUAAUAUUUUUAUAUAAUAUAUAUAUAUAUAUAAUAUUUAAUUUCCGAAUAAUUAAGUGAAUAGCGAAUACGAAUAUUUAUCUACUCGAAUUUGUAUUUGUUAAUGAACCGAAUAUUUUUUAAGAUUUGAAUUCGUAUUUGUAUUUGUUAAUAAACGAACACGAAUAAUACUAAACGAAUUCGAAUACCGAACAUUUCAUUAAAUAUUCGUUUCGUUAACAGCUCUAACUUAUGCCCUGAAUUUUACAAACGUGACUUGAAAUAUUAAUUACAAGAAUUUGGAUAAUGGAUGGUAUAAAAAUAAAUAUUAAUAUAUUUAUUUUUGUUACAUUUAUUUUUCCUAACAUGGCUGCACUUGAUAAACAAAAAAGAAUGGGCCUGAAAUACAAACUGGACCACGAUAAUUAUUUUGGACUACGGCUAGAGGAUCUUCAGCCCACAUGGAGUCAUAAAGCAGUUGAAAGUUGUUGGAUAAGUCAUGGAAUGGAUCGUAACUCGUAACAAUCUGCAGGAUUACAGAAGUACAAUUCAAAUAAGAAAAUGAGAUAAGGAGGCACCAAAAUUGGAGGCGGUUACAUGCACGUGGGUUGGUGGAGCAAAAGUAGGAAGGCUGGAGUUGUGGAAUAAACAGGAUUCUCAGCAAAAUAAUCACGAAAUAGGCGCUCAUGCCCCCUGGUUAUGAUUUCGACGAAUGAACUUGCGAUGUCGCCUGUUUUCAGAAUACUGUCUAUAAGCCCUUUCACUUUCAACAUCUGUAUCAUCUUUUGAAGAAAAGUAUGCUAAGAUUUUGCGAAACAAUGAUCUAACCAUUUAAUGAUAUGUGAUACCACAAAGAAAUUUCUACAAAUAUUUGAAAGAAUUACAAGUUAUUGAUGAACUGAUGAAAGAAAGGAGUAUAUGAGAUAGGAAUAUAUAUUACCGUUAUACAAAUUUAAAUUUUGUAAAAGAAGGAUACAUAAAAAAAAUAUUAAAAAAACAAUAUAGAGAUGGAGAUAAGGACUGGAAUGUGAUAACGUCUUAACAGAAAACUAAACUUUUGGGAUAAUUAUGGGAAAUUACUAUAUAUAGUAAGUUUUUGGGGUUAAAGAAAGAGACCCCAAUGAGAAUGCUCUAAAUAGUAGGUGUGUAAACGAAGAGAGGACAACAAUUCUUACUCGAAUUACAAUUUCAUCUUCAUCUCCUGUAAACCAUUCAUAUAGUGAAUAUUUUCUUUCGGCUGGGUAACCAAUCCCAUCCGCGGUUUUUACCCUACAUCGGGGGUUUUCCGCGUCACCAAAUAUUUGUCUCGUUUUAUUCAUUUUAUCGCUCAAAUUAAUUCACAUAUCAUUCACCCGUAUAAAAUUUCGUUAAAACACGUUGAUACACUUUAUUCUUCAUUUAUUGAUACUCAUGAAGUUAUUUGUUGGUCUUCCUUUCACUUGUGAGAAUUUCAUGCUUUAGAAUAGUUAUCAUUUGACUAAAUGUUCUUUCCAUCCGGACCGUUUCAUUCAUGAUUUAUUUGACAAUCAACUGUUAUUUUAAGAUCACUUCACUUGUUACGAAAUCUUAUCCGUUAAUAUAUAAAAUUUACUUUAAAAUAUUUUUAUAAUACUAUCAACUAGUAAGUAACCUAAUCAACAAAUACUCUUAUGAAUAUCACUCGCUGACUGGUUAAAAAUAAUUAUAAUUUAAUGCUAAUUAGUGAAUUAUUAUCAUUAAACCCAAGAUUAAGAUUGGCGAUUUCGGGUUUGGGACUGGGUACGGGUCGGGUUAACAGGCGCAAGUCGGUUUUUUAGCCAACUCGAACCUGACCGGAAUUUUAAUGGGUCACAAUAUUCAACUUGAACCGGACCCGAUCCAUAAUAUUUAUUAAUAAGAAUAUUUUUCAAAUAAUAAAUAAUUGUCAUUUUAAUUCAAGUAAAUUAAUUUCUAAUAAAUCAAAUAGUAUUUUAUUGAAUUUAACUAAUAGAUAUUAAAAAAUAAUAUAAAUAUAUGUAUUUUAUAUAAAUAUGUAGGAUUUUUAAAAAAUGUAUUCAUUUUCGGGUUAUUUCGGGUUAAUUUCGGGUAACCCGAUUUCAACCCGAAAAUGACCCGUUUUUUCUGGUUGAUUUUGGGUCAACCUGAAUAAUCAACCCGAAUUCUACCCAAAUCCGAAAAACUCCAACCUGAAUUCGUAUUUUAUGGGUCAAAUUCGUGUCGGUUACCAUAUUGCCACCCCUACUUAACAUAUAUUCCCAACAUAAUCCAUAUGAUAUAUAUGAUGCCCAUGAACCUAUAACCUCAUACCUUUUUAAAAAAAAAUAAUUGAUCACUUAGCAUAUACAAGUAUUUGUGUUUUGAACACACAAAAAAUCAUAAUAUACUACACCACUUUAUUAUUAUACCCUGACAUUGUGACCAACCAAAAAAAAAUAGAAAUUCAUAUAAAAAAUAUAAAUAUCUAGUUGACCUAUAUUUCUUACCUUUGCCUCACUUUUUAUUGAUUUGUUUUAUUUACGUACUUCAUUUUUAGGAUUGAAAAUUUUGCAUGACACUAAAGUUAACAAGAAGAUGUAUUAUUUGAGUUUGCGAUUUUAAAAUUCAAGCCCGUAUGAGUCAUUUAAAACUAAACCACAAAAUUAAUUCAUUUUUGUGUCAAAUCGAUCUAAAUCUAAAUAAUAUAAUAUUAAAUGUUAUAUGUAUAUGUUAUAGCGUUCUAUUUGUAAGCCCAUCCCACGGUCCAGCCCAAAUAUAUUGGCAAAAACCCUAUUUUUCUUCGAUCAUAUCUAUAUAUAUCCGCCGCCUCAUCAUUUUUAUGUGUUCUUAUAUCUUAACAUCUCUAUGAUUGUUUUCUCAGUUUUUUUCUUUUCAAACAUCUCUUCUCCAGUCUAUAUCAAGUGCUCAUAUCCAUGGUGAUACUACAUAUGCACACAAACAAAAUACUUAGCGUCACAAUAAUUUUGAUAUAUCGGUAAGUUACUGCUUUGACUUUUGAAACAAUAAUAUAUGAAUACAUACAUAUGCUGAUAUAGUAAAAAAUGUGCUAGAUCUAUCAACAACGUUGAAUACUUACUCAAUUUUCAUUGAAAUAAAAGCAAGUUUCAGAUUUGUUAUUUUAAAAUUGAAACGAAACAAGUUUGUGUAUGAUCCAAUUCGCAACACGCGCACACACGCACAUUGUUUGAAAUUAUUUUAUUUUAAAUUUUAGAUAUGUUUAGAUUUUAGUAAGUUACGGUUUUAAAUGAGUUUUGGGUAUUUAAUCUAGAAUUAAAUUGAAUCACAUUAUAACCCUGUAGUUUGAUAAUUAUUUAAAUUUUAAAUUUUUAUUAAAUCAAUUUCGGUUAAGAUUUUUAGUUUGCCGACAAUAAAAGAUUAGUUGACAACUCCAACAUAACACAUAACACAUAAGUUUAACCAUAUUUGAUAUCAUUUUUCUCCUCCAAAAUAUUUAUUGGCAUUAUUUUUACUAUCUCCAAUUUGGUUUAUGAAAUUUAUAUGAUUUAUAUACAUGAAUCUCUUGCAGUAAACAAUGAAGAAAGUGCUCCACGAAAGAUUAAAGUCUUCAUUUGAUUGGAUACAAUUUGCGGGUAAUAUUUUUUUCCUUUCAUAUACAUUUGUAUGACUUAUGAGUUAUUCAAAAUAUACGAUUUAGCAACCAAAUGCAAUUGGAUGGAACCAAGACCAGCCUUUGAUGCAAUUAAAAUUGACUUCGAUUUUUUUCAAAAAAAAAAUUGUAUUAGGGGGUUACAAUUAUAUAAGAAAAAUGGAAAAUAGUUUUUUAUUUACAAACCAUAUUUUUGUUAAUAUUUUAAUAAAAUCACAAAAAAAAUCUAAAAAUAAUAUUUUUGAUAAUUCUUCUUGUUUAUUCUCUUUAUAAUAGUUCAGAACAUUAUAUAAGUCAUAUAUAUAAUCAUAUUUUAAUUAUUUAUUAAUUCAUCUAAAUUUUAUAUAUUUAUAUCCAAAAUUGAUUUGUUACAUUUUCAUUAACAGGCAUUCGACCAAUAAUGAACCAAUUCUAGCCAGAUUUAGACAAUCCAUGAUACAUAACCUUUUAGUUUUAGUUACUCCGGGACCUAAAAAUGAUGUCAUUCACUAGAAAACCCUAGUGGACUCCAAGCAGUGCUGAUGAUGCAACAAGCGAGCUAGAUGAGAUGGAACAUCUAGCACAGAUUCUGAAUCUAUUUGAACCAACAAGACGUGAAGCUUCACGCCAUGUAGCUAGAGAAUUACUGAACCCCACACAAUUGCUUGAUAUAUUCAUGAACAAGAUAGUAUAAUGCUAUACAGGUGAAGCUUCGCGACAUAUAACAUUAUACUUACCAUGUUCAUAAUAUAUCAAGCAACUGUCUAGGGUUCAGUAAAUCUCUGGCUACAUAGCGUAAAUUUUCACGUGUAUAGGCUAAUCUUGUUGGUUCAAAUAGAUUUGGAAUCUGUGCUAGGUAUUCCAUCUCAUCUAGCUCGCUAGUUGCACCAUCAGCACAACCUGGAGUCGACAAGAGUUUUCUAGUGAAUGACAUCACUUUUAACUCCUCCGUAGCUGAAACUACAAGGUUCUGUAUCAUAGACUGUCUAAACCUGACUGGAGUUGGUUCAUUAUUGGCCGAGUCGAGGACAGCUCCUAAAGUAGUAAUACGAGUGACUGCAUCCCCUAGACACUUGGAGAAAGACAACAUAUAUCAAUUGGGAGAUUGAGACUGAAGUAACAUCACAAUGAUUUUAAUUAUCUUUCUUUCAUCUUCUUAAUUUUAUUGUUGUGUUAAUCUUUGAGAUGUUGAACUAAUUGUUAUUCAAGGCCUUGAUGGAUUCUUGAGUUAUAUAUAUAUAUAUAGGCUCAUGAUCAAAUAGAAACCACUUUUAAAAUAAAAACUAGAAACCAAUACAAGUUAGUGAUAUCCUCAGUACAAUUUAGUGAUAUUCUCUUUACGAUUUAGUGAUAUGUGUUGCACGAAUUAGUGAAAACUUGCGGAAACUGCCCAGAAUUUCUGAAUCUGUUCUAGUUGCCGAUUCAGGUGGUGGUUGCGGUGGUGGAGAUAAUGGAGGUGAAGGUGGAGAUGGAGGUGGUGGACAUGGAAGGAGCCUUUAGCUUUGUCCGGCAGAUUUUUGGCAAAGAUCUGGAAUUUAAAUCGGUAUUAAGCUAGAUAUACGGUACUGUAGGUGAGGAAGACCGAGGUGGAGGUGAGGACGAAGGUGCAGGUGGAGGUGGAGGUGGGGGUGGAAUGGAAGGGGCGGUGGAGGCCGGAGGGGGGUUGGAUUUGGUGGUGAUAUAAAUAAUGGAGGCCGACAUGGAGGUGGUGGCUAUGGAGGGUCGGGCGGCAUGGAGGUGGAGAGAGUAGCAGAGACUUGGCGGGGGUGGUAGGGUGAAGCUGCCGGAAGCGGGGUGGAGGGUUGGUGGGUUGGAGAAGAAGAAGGCAGAAAAUGGGGUUGUUUGAGAAUUUAGUGAUAUUCUCUUAGAAAUUUAGUGAUAGUUUCUAGUUUCUAGAAUAAGGAGGUUUCUAUUGGAGUAAAGCUCUCUCUCUCUCUAUAUAUAUAUAUAAGUGUGCGUUCUUCUUGAUUCUUAGAUUUAGUGUUCAUGUAAUUGAUUAUGUUGGUUUGUGUAUAAUGCUUCUGAAGGAGUAAUUAACUUUGAGAUUGAUUCAAUAAUCUUGGUGAUGCUUGGAAGAGACAACCUUAAUUAGACCCGAUCAAUUUAACUUGGGAUUGACAUAUUGUUAGUUUGUGUUCAUGAUAGGAAUGUACUUGAUCACCCCCAAAUAGUCAAAUUAGGAUCAUGUAUUCAUGCUGCUCAUGGAUUUAACACGUGAGAUACAGAAGGUCCUUGUGAAUAUAUGUGUACCUUAGACUAGCGGUUUGAACAUGAAAAUAGAGAUGAUGGAAGGUGCUUGUAAACUCAAGAUGGAGUUAAAGGUCUAGAUUUAAAUCUUGUUUCAUUCUUAGUCUUGUGUGUAUUUUCAUAUUAGUACUCCCUCUGUCCCAGUCAUUUGUAUACAAAUGGCUGGGACACGGAGACCAAGAAAUUGUUUAAGAAAUUAGUAAAGUUAGAUGAAAAGUGGGUAUAGUGGUGGGACCCAUGUAUAUUUAAUAAUAGAUUUGAGAUAGUGGAGAAAAGUAGUGGGUGUAAUAGUGUUUAUAUUAUUAUAGAAUGAAGAUAGUGGAGGAAAGUAGUUGGUGUAAUGAUAUUUUAUAGUAUUAUAAAAGUUUACUAUUUUUGGAAUGUAUACAAUUGAUGGGACGUCUCAAAAAGGAAACUGUAUACAAUUCACUGGGACGGAGGGAGUAGUAGUUUAUGAUAAAAUUUUCAUCAUAGUUUAUUUAACUUGGAUUGGGCGAACGAUAGUGAAUGGUAAUUAGCACUUAGCAGCUCAAAUUAAACUCGUGAGAAUGAAUUAAUAUACUACUUGUUGGGAUAAGUACACUUGAGUUAAAGUUGCAAAAUCGCUAACACCUACAAAAUAUAAUUGUAAGAGAUAAAUCUUUGUAAUUGUCGUUUAUUCAAAUUAUCCAUCACUCGUUGAUUGAUCUUAAUAUAGAUGAACGAUGAGCUCAAUGAAUCCACGAUCUGCUAUCUAGGAAAGGAAUUAAGAAACUUCUUUAACAUGAAUACAUGAUGACAAAUAGAAAAACUUGAUGAACUCCUUUUCAGUUAAAUUUAAAUAUCCUUUUUGUACCAGUAGACUCCUUUAGUCUCACCUUCAUCUUUCUCCACGUAAAUGCAUUCCUUCAUUUCUCUGUACAUUGCCUUGAGAAUUGGAGUUCCAUCAUACUGAUAAUAAUCACCCAAUAGAGGCUUCAUGGCCUCUGUGGCUUCGAGUCCGUGGUAAUGUGGGAUCAUGGAGAAUAUGUGGUGACAGACAUGAGCAUUGCAGACAUUGUGGAACACCUUGUUCAAUAUUCCAUAGUCUCUGUCGACAGUGCAUAGAGCUCCCCUCAACCAAUCCCAUUCGGUUGAAUCGUAGUAAGGCACAGAGGGAUGAGUAUGGUUGAGGAUGGUGAUCAAUGUGAACCAUCCAUUGACAACAAGCAAUGGACCUCCAUAAACACAGAAAACCCAGACAAAUCCUUUGGCUAAUACUAGAUUGUAUAGGCCAUAGAUGACUGCAAGAAUGGCAACAUCAGAAACAAUGAUUUGUUUGCGUUCACGUUCUGUGUAAAGAGGGCUAUGGGGAUCAUAGUGUGAAGUCCACCUCUCAUACUUGUGUCCAGAAACAUUGAACAUCAGGUACAAAGGGAAGCCUAUGAGGAGUGUGGUAACCCACACAAGGACACGGCCAGGUGGGUUGUUGAAAAUUUUGUAGUAAUUCCUGAUGUUGGACUUGAACCUCGGGACAUAAACCUCGUCGUUCUCAAGAGAUUGAGUGUUGGCGUGGUGACGUCUGUGGCUAAUUUUCCAAGAGAAGUAAGGGACCAUGAGAGAAGAGUGGACAACAAGGCCGACAAGGUCAUUGAUCCAGCCAUAGUCACUGAAGGCAUCAUGAUCACACUCAUGGCCUACGACCCAAGCCCCAGUCAAGACACAACCUUGGACAGCAAUGUAAGCCGCCCAUCCCAAGUAAUUAAGAGGAUGCGGAAGGUACUGGUCUAUGUAAUUCGUGGCAACAUAGUAAAGGGCAUAGGCCAUGAGGAGAUCUUGAAUGAGAUAACGAAAAGAAGUGAUGAGGGAUUUUUCAAAGCAAUGAGCAGGAAUGGCUUUCUUAAGGUCACCUAUGGUGAAAGGAGGUUUCUCAUGAGGAGCACGUCGAAGUGCUUCUGUUUCAGUUUUUUUGGCCUUAGGAGGAUCCGACAUUCGACCACCUGCACCCAUUGUUCCUGAUUACUGAAUGCCUUCAAUAUAAUCAGGA
rnacentral:lncRNA from 1 species